rnacentral:lncRNA from 1 species
UCCGGUGAUGAAAACAAGAUGGUAAUGGAACCUUCCUUUUAUACCUCAGUCCCAAAGUUUCAAUUGACCAGCAUCAGUUUGUCAAAGUGCAUUACAUCUCAACAACUCAAUCUUGAACUUCCUACCUUCCUUUACUACCAAUAUGACUUGAGAUAUGUGGAUCUUUCUCAUAACAAUUUCAGCGGAACAGUCCCAACUUGGUUGUUAGAAAACAACACAAAGUUAGAAGUUCUCAUCUUGAUGGGUAAUUCCUUUACUGGUCCUCUCUCAUUUUCGUCAGCUCUUAUUUCUAAUGUAUCUUCAAUUGACAUAUCUGAAAACAAAUUACAAGGUCAAAUUCCGACUAGUAUAUGUUCAACUUUUCCACAUUUGUGGCGGUUAUUCUUAUCCAAGAAUGCUUUUGAAGGUAAUAUCCCACUUUGUUUAAGUGUCAUGAAGGACUUAUCAUUUUUAGAUCUAUCAAACAAUCAAUUGUAUGGAAAAGUACCAGAAGAGUUGAUCGCGAAAGGCUCACUGACCAUUUUGAGACUAUCAAAUAACAAGCUCAGUGGAAAUGUAGUUCCUGUGGUUCUCAACUCAAAUGGGGUGCAGAAUUUAUAUUUGGAUGGAAACAAUUUUUCAGGAGAGAUGACAAAUGUUGAUUUGUCUACUUUUGAGUUUCCAAAUUCAAUAAGGGAAAUUGAUCUUAGUAACAACAAGUUGCAUGGAAAGCUCCCAAGAUGGAUAGGGAAUGCAUCGUUUUUGGAGAGAUUAGCUUUGUCCAACAGCGGUUUCGAGGGUUCUAUUCCAAUGGAAUUUUGCAAGUUGAAUAGGUUGGAAUUUUUGGAUCUUUCCCAAAAUCAUUUAUCUGGAUCUAUACCGUCAUGUUUUAAUCCACCAAACAUAGAGCAUGUCCACCUCCACGAGAAUAGACUGAGAGGUCCACUAUCACUUGCUUUUUAUAAUAGCUCCUCUCUAGUGACUUUAGAUCUUAGAGGAAACAAUUUGACAGGUAAUAUUCCAAAAUGGAUUGACACAUUUUCUUCUUUGAGUGUUCUUCUCUUGAAAGAUAAUCAUUUUCACGGUAAAGUUCCAAUUCAGUUAUGCAAGUUGCAUUCUUUAAGCAUCAUAGAUCUUUCUCAAAAUAUGUUUUCUGGUCCUAUACCUUCUUGUUUGGGAAAUUUAUCUCUUCCAAUGCAAACGAAGAAGAUUCUAGACAUUGGGAUCUAUAGGCAAUCUACAGAAGAGGAUGAAUCAACACGCAUUAUGAUAGCAAAUCUGGGACUGGAUUCUUACUACCCUUACAGCUACUUUGAAGAAGUAAUAGAGUUCACAACAAAGAGUGGGUUCUAUUCGUACAAGGGCGACAUCCUUUCAUAUAUGACUGGGAUUGAUUUAUCUUGCAACAACUUAACUGGUCAUAUCCCACCAGAAUUAGGGAACUUGAGUGAAAUCCAUUCUUUAAACCUUUCACACAAUAAGUUGACCGGAGUUAUACCCUCGUCAUUCUCAAAACUUCAUCAAAUUGAGAGUUUGGACCUUUCUUACAACAACUUGAGUGGUGAAAUCCCCAAUCAAUUGGUAGAGUUGAACUCUUUGGAGGUUUUCAGCGUGGCAUUUAACAACUUUUCAGGUAGUAUUCCCGAACCAAAAGCUCAAUUUGGGACCUUUAUUGAAAAUAGUUAUGAGGGAAAUCCGUUUCUUUGUGGAGUUAUAUUGCAUAAAAGUUGUUCCAAAACCGAUUCACCAUCAACGAUAUCAACUGUAUCAGAAGAUAAAUGAGAAGAUGGUUUGAUAGAUACUUAUGAUUUUUGUGUGAGCUUUUUGGUUUCUUAUGUAGUUGUGUUGUUGACAAUUUUUGUUGUCCUCUACAUAAAUCCAUAUUGGCGAAGAGCUUGGUUUUCUCUAGUUGGGAAAUGCAUUACCACCUGUCACUACUCAAAUGUGGGCAAUUCUUACUUAUCACAUUUUCAAGCGAUGUGUUUAGCUACUCAAAUUGCGAUUUGAUUUCCACACCUAAAUGUUUAAUUAUGCUAAGUUGAGCGAUAAUGAAUAUUUUGUUGAUUUUUGCAUUUUGAAUAAAAGCUCUUUUACCUUAUGGUUUUAUCAUUUUCAACCAACUAUUUCUUUUUUCUUCUAUGAAAUUUAAUGUAAAAUCAUAAUCCAUUAUUAUGUAUAUGUAAUAUCUCUUUAAAUUAAAUUAAAUUAAAUUAACUGCCAAGCGUUCACUAGUGCAUACUAAAAAGGAAAUCUAAUGUAAAAUUAAAUAACAUACUAGAAAAUUGAAUCUAAAACUGGAAUAUUUUAAAACCUCACAAAUAAUGCAAUUCUUUAUUCCUCUUUUCCUCUCAAGUUAUUUUGUAUCAUGUUAUAUUUUACAUAAUUAUUCGUAUCAUUGAAUUUUAAAAAAAAUUUAAUAUUUUGAUAUCAUGUUCAUAUUAUGCUUUAAUUCACAAUAUAUUUUGUAUAAUAUGUUAUAACAAUUCAAUUUAAAAAACAAGCAAUUAUCUUAUUUUUGCAUACCGUAAUAUACAUUUACAUGUUAAUAAUUCUUUGUACAUAAAUUUUGACAUGUUCGUAUAUUCGAGUCAUUAUAAUUUUAUUAUUUGUAAUAUGACAUGUUUUACUUACCCUUAAUAUUGUGUCAUGAUAAUUAUAACUCGAUUGGCAGUGUACCAAAUAUUUUUCUAAUAAAAAAUAGUAUUUUAUUCUAUUUACCAAAUCUUUAUCAACUUUAUAUUCUCACCAACAAAACAUACAUUCAAAGUUCAAAUAAGUUCCACACCCAUUUAUGCUCAUCAUCAGAAAGCUGAAAUAUUCCACUCUAAUUAACAUUAUGAUUCUGUAAACAACAAAAAAGUGUGAUCUUUUUUUAAAGCUCUUUUUUUUCUUUAAUGAAAUGGGAUUGGUAAAAAAUCCGCACAUGUGUCGUGUGUGAAGAAGGUCAGGUUGUCUAUUCAUUCUCUAAUAAGUAGCUAAUUAUAGUUGAUCCUACAAAAUCAAAAUUAAUUCAGGUAUCUAUAUAUUCUGAAGACUGGACAGACCUUAGAAGCUCCUUCAAAUUUGCAAGAACAUGUCGUGGUCCUAAACUCUUUACACCGAUGAAAUUCAAAAGUUGCUCUAUAUCCUGCAAUCACAGUAAAGAUUAUGCAAGCUUUUCAGAACGAAUAACAUAACAAGCAAAAGGCAAUCAAAAUACUGUGAUCUCGAUAAUGUUCUUUGCCGAAAAGGAACAUAAACAUAACCUGAAAACAUCAGUGAAGGCUCAUCAGAUUUGCUUAGCAACCUUACAUACACAUGUAAAAAGCUUUGCUUUUGGAUGUAAGGUGUGACUAUCAUCACAGUCUUUCCUAAUUAGCUGAUAACCCUAUAUCUAACAUUAAUCAUGGCUAAGCAAAUUAACAUACAUAAUGUAAAGGAAUUUGACUAUAAGAUCCAACAUAAAACUUAAUAAAAGAUAAUCAACAUAGAAAGUUAAAAGGCAAUGCAAACUUAUUACAAUGAUGCAAGUGGAUCAAAAGAAAGCACUCUAUAAGGAAUUUGCAUUUAAGGCAUUGUAAACAGAAAAAAAAAAUAAAACUUUUUGGAAAGUAUUUUCAAAGAGGAGACAAACAGGGUAGAAAAAAUGUUUGGUCCUUCCUUUUUCUAUUUCUACUGUGGUGAAAAAGCCUUUUUGGGUUAAAAGUGUUUUUACACUGCAGAAGUGUUUUUCCACUGCAGAAGUGACGAAGAACACAUAGCUUUUGUAGUCAAAAACCUACUGCUUUUGGCUUUUGCAUUUCGAAGUGAAAAUUAUAAAAAUACUCUUAGAUUAAUUUAUAUUUUAUAUAUUAUUAUAUUAAUUGUUUAAAUCUUAUUUAUUAUUAUAUUUAAUUUUUUUCAAAAUAUUUUAUAUAUCAUCAAUUUUAUAAAUAAUUUAAAUUAAUUACUUAAAAGGUAUUUAAAAGUUAUAUUUCAUGUAUCAUUAUAUUAAAUUAUUUAAAUAUCAUAUAACUUGACUAAUUUUUUUCUUUCUACCAUCAUGUCUAAAAAAGACAUUUUAACUUUCAACUGCAAUUUUUGGCAGCAAUGAACAACACUAAAAACUAACAAACACACUUUUCCGCACCACAUUUCAACAACACUUUUUUCUAAACGCACUUUUGAACUAGUCCUUAGUCUAUCAUGCAUCAACUCUUCAUUUUUCUUUAACUACCCAUGUCCGACUUCGAACAUGGAUAUGGAGAUAUGACCAAGUCACAGUGACAUAGUUUUUAGUUAUGGGGAAUGGGAUUCGAGUGCUGGACCUCCUUUUAGAUGCAUGGUGGGACUUCAUCACAUUUUUCAAAUUUGUUGAUAAUCCUUCACCUAAUCUGCCGGUGAAGUUUAUAGAUAGUCUUAAGUGUCUAUCACAAGAACCUAGAUAUUGUAAAUCCAAUAUCUUCCAAACAAUUCAACCAUGAUAUUAAUGAUGAUGGAAGCAAGAUUAUCCACUAUCAAUGACAUAAAAUGAGCUGUAAAUGCUGACGAACAAACAUGCACUGUUUUUCCAACCUGUGGAUUGAAGAGCAUUGACAAGCUAACUUUGCAGACCAUUUGAAUCCAAUACUAUACAUAAAAAUGCCAAAGGAGAAUAAUUCAUCUUGGAAAAAGAAUUACUAAUAUGCAAAAGCUUACCUUGUUUAACAAGAAAACAGCAUAUGCUGCUCUUGUCGUGUCUUGACCUUCUAAAAACAGCGGAAAUUCUGCCAGCUUUACAUUUGCUGAAAGUGUUGUAUCCAAUGACAAAUCAGAAGAUGCAGGGUCUAUUGAAGACGCAUGGUCAUUAAUAUAUGAGCGAGAACCACCCAAGCGCAGAGGAUAACGCAAGGGAACUUGUAAAUAGGAUGCAAUUAGUGAAACAGCCUGCAAAUGAUGAAAUAACAGGAAACAAGAAACAAUAAUAGGUAUGAUUAAAAUUAUAGCCUCAGCAUGAGAAACAAACAAUCAAGAUGCAACCCACUAUACCAUAUUACCAUCCUAGCAAUUAAAAAUUACUACAGCAUCUUCAAGCAACAAGGGAUUGUAGGUGGUAGGUCAAAAAACUUGAUAUCCACAGCUUGAUAUUAUCAGAAAAAACAAAUUCAGUAAUAAAUGAUAACUUCACAGAAGAAAUAGAACGCACAUGUGCAACAUAUCCCAAGGCAGUUGCAGAUCUCUGAACCUCCUUUUUGUCAGUGAAAAAACUCAUCUUUGUAAAAGGAAGCAAGGUGAGAUUCAGACCUAAAAUUGUCAACGAUCCUUGAUUGACGGGCUUUGAUGCAGAAGGAUUCCCUAUUGAAGACAGGAACAAAGGAACUUCAUAUCAGUACAUCACCAGACACCACCUCUUUGUGAAAGUCAAAAGAAAAUUCAAAAAAAUAUCAUCAUGAAAGUAAGAGAUAUGUAAAAAGCUCAUAAUAUUCAAGAGCAAAAAAAAAUUGUUUUGAUAUGAGGAGAAUUGAAUAGUAGAUUGCUAAAAGAGGAAUAACUGAAUACAACCAUUAUAACCAAAAGAAGAGUCAAGUGAUAGGUAAUGGUACUCCCUAAGCUGUUUAGGAAUCAUAAAAGACUUGUCCAGUCGACAAAAAUAACUCAUUUUAUUCUCCCCUAGUAAAACAUCAUAUUGGACCAACCAUAUUUGAUAUCAAAGGAUAUGCAUAUCCAGGCAUGCCAUUUAUAGAUAUUCCCAGUGUUACAAGAAGGAAUUGUUCAAGAGAAAGAAGCUGCUAUUGUUGGUAAAGUUUUCCUCAAACCAUUUUGAACAUCCAAAAUCUCAAGAACAAAAAAGAAAACGUAGGAGGAAAUAUAACAAGCAUCACAACGGGUUCUCGAUGAUAUAAGUGAGAGGAUAAAUGUUAAUUAAGAUUAUAAAAAUAAACCACAAACUAAACAGGAAAGACAUGGAUUUCAAAACGAGGAGACUGGCUGCUAAUUAAAACCAUAUGCGGCGUUGUCUAGGGCGCAAGGCACAUUCUAGGUGCUAACCUUUAUAUUGCCUCAAGCACAAGGCACAAAAGGAAGCGCUAGCCUGAGUGCAGUAAAGCGCAAUACGUAUAUGUGAGAGUUUUUGCAAGUCUGUGUGUCUAUAACAUAAAAGUUUUAAGAUAUAUGGUAAACUCUAAAGUGUGGUCUGGUUUAUCCACAAAACUUGCAAAAUUUUUAUAGGUGAAUACUUAAAUAUUGAGAAUUAUAGAGUUUGAUAUUAUCCCUUUCUUAUUAGUAAAGGUGUAUCAAAUGAAAACAGUAGAAAAUAAAAUAAAAUAUUGAGAAAUUCAACAAGGCAGGCUUUUUCUAAUGCCCAUUGCCUUACAAAAAAAGUGUGCCUAGGUGCACCAGGCAUACGCUUGAUCAAAUGGACCUCACCUGGAAGGGUCCAAGGCGUUUUGUUGUAUAAAACUAAGGCGUAGGCACGCCUAGGCGCAUGCCUUGACAACACUGACCAUAUGUUGGCUUUAUUGCAAAGCAUUAGCAAUCCAAAACUACUAGCACAUUACCUAAUCUACUACUGCUAGAAUAGGACUCAAGUUCUUGCUCCUGUGCAGGUCCAACCAAGAUCUUUACAGGAUACAAUAAUGAAACUUGUGAUAUCAUAUAUUGUUGCCUUGCUCGAAGCUUCCUUUGCACAUUUUUAAGUUUAACACAACCCCUUUCUUCAGUGAGUAAUCUAUUUGCUUCCUGUGAUAAAAACAACAUAUAAUCAAUCAUGCCACGCAUGCAAGACUACCAACCAACUAUCUAAUAAAAGAGACAAAGAAGUAGGAGAGCAAGAAGGGGAUAACCCUUGACUAUGCAAAGGAAUUCAUAGAAUGAGAAUCAUCUCAUCUAAGCCCCUCAACCACCUUCACAGGGGGUGGAGGUGCAAAGAGAGAGGUCUUAUUGAUCCGAGAGGAGAAUAUAUAACAUCUAAAGCUGAAUAAGAAGAAACCUUCAAAUAUAUCAUAAAUUCAGAAUUCAUGAUAAUAUAAAAAUGAAAUUCCAAAGCUAAUUUAAGCUAGAAUAAAAAUGCUUCACCUGUAAUCGCUUCCUUGCUACAGAAAGAGAGGUACCAGCAACCAACAAUGAUCUUACUUCAGUACUCAGCAUUUCCUCCUGUUUUUUAGCAUCCUCUGUUGCAACUUUGCAACGAGUUGACAUGUUUGCCAUAACUACUUUCCUUGCCUCUAGUCUCUCACGCAUUUCCUCAAGCUCGUUCAGUUUAUUCAAAGACUCAUUUUUUACCUGCACAGCAUGUUCCCACCCAUUAAUCAGUGGGCCAAUUAAUUAGGUCACAGAAGACAAAACUAAAUUAUCACUCACCAGGUCCCCUUGAAGUGUCAUAUGGCUUUAACAAUUCAACGUGCAAUAUCUAGUAAAAGUGAAAUAAACAUAGAAGAAUGCAAAUGCAAUUCUUAAACGCCUUUAAAUGGACAACAUGAAACAGUUUAAGAGCCCUAUAAAACAGAAAAGUGGAAAAAAAAUCUGAAAAGGAAAAAAAAUGAAUUGAAACAAUAAAUCCAUCUGGUACAAACAGCAACAAAUCUCGAAAUAAGCCUUGGCUUUAGCCCAUUAAAGCCCGGGCAUCCGGCCGAAUAAACAGUGACUGCCAUGUCAACUUUUUGAGACGGUAGAAAAGAGCUCAAAAAUCUCAAUUUCCAAAAUUAAGGACAUAAGAAGGAAAACAAUGUACUUAUUCUUACAGUAGAAGAGCAAAAUGAAACUAAAUGAAGGAUAAGGGAACUGAUGCGAAUUGACAUUGUUAUUUUUGGGACUAAAAAGAAUACGCAGAUUGAAUAUUUAAGAUUUUGUAAGGGAAAAGUUCCAUUCACCAACACAAUUAUCAUCGCCCUUUAUCCCAGUAAAGCUUAAUUGACAAUUUUUCUGUCUCGUGUUCUUGCUAAAGCAUUUGAGCAACCCAACAGAAAUCAUUAUAUGUCAAACUGAAAUGAUUGGCUUUAUCAAUUUCACAACCUAUACUGCCCAACCUAGUAAGUAAUUUAGGUGCAGACACCAGAAAUCUAUUUUCUUUGCACUCUACAACCAAAUAGCCUACCACUUAUCAAUCAAACACAGCUGAAAACUUCAGUGAGGAAACAUUAUGUAAACUGAAAAAACUAUAACUUCAACUUGAUUCAUAGCUCGGUAAGUUCAGGGAACUUGGACUUCUACCACCAUGAUCCAGUUCGAUGUGAAACAGUGAUCCAUAUCACGCAUAUCAGUUCCCGCAACAAGAGGUAAAACAGCAAAUUAGGUAAACAAUGAUCCAACUAUAUUUCAGAAUAGCAACAUUGAGCAUGAAAGCUAAAAUUAUAGCAUAUUAUGGGUCCUUGCUCCCUACAACUACAUAUAAAAUUACUAAACAAUAUUACUACAUUAAGGAUCCAGAAAAACUUGGUUUCAAUUGUUGAUCACUUGAUCCAACUAUUUUAGAAAGUUUAUUCUUCUUUUUCCUUUCCCUUAUUUUCUAAAUCAGGAAAAACAGUAGCAUAUAAACUGGAUUACUACUCCAAUUAAGUUUCUAAAAUUUCAGCAAUAUCCCUUUAACCUUUUCACUCAAGUCACUACCCCCCCCCCCCAAUUAACAAAUAUAUUCCCAGUUUCCCUUUCACUUCAAACCCCCCCCCUUUUUUUUUUCUCUACCCAAAUUCAGCUUACGUUCAAAAACCCAAAAUUGGUUUGCUAAAAAAACAUAAUUUUCAAACCCAAAGGUAACCUAAUUUUAAUCAGAAAAAAAAAAGAAGCAUUACCUGAAUUAGUGAAUGGAGUUUCUCUUGAAGACUUUAUUUUAAAAUUAUCUUAUACUAUUUGCUUUAAAUCGAUUUUUAUUAGUUAUUUGAAACUCGUUUUCAUGUACUAUUUAUUUUUUUAUCACUUAUUUAAAUUGUUUUACAUAUCUAUUUUUUAAACCCUAUUUUAUUAUAUUUUACUUAUUUUAACUUUUUUACAUAUUUCAUUAUAAAUAUUAUUAAUUAUCUAUAUUGAGUUUUUCAUUUAUGUAUUACUUAUUUAGAUAAAUAUAUACUAUUUUGUGUAUUACUUAUUUUGAUUUUCUUCUUAUACAAUAUUACUUUAAAAUUCAUUUAGAUAUUAUUAUUUCACAUAGUAUUUAUUUUUAUCUUCAUUUUUGAUCUAUUUCAAACUCAUAUAUAUUGUUUAUUUUGAAAUUUUAUGCACAUGAUUUAUUGUUUAUAUUGAUGAUUUUAAAUUUCCUUUCUUGUAUUUUUAUUUAUUUAUUUUAAAACUUGUUAUACUUUAUUUGUGUUAAUUUGCUUAGUUUUUCUUUCAAAAUUAACUUAUAAUUCAUUAGCUUUUAAUGUUAGUAUUUGCAUAAUAUGUGAUAUAAGAUUAUUGCUCUCAUGUAUUGCUUAUCUGUAUAUAUUGAUUAUUUGUCAUUCAUUAGUAUAUAUUUUGUUUUACGAAUUAUCACUUCUCGCGUUGUACAUUAUCAUUUCCAUCGCGUUUUAUUUGCUCAAAAAUUAUGUUUAAUAUGGCUUAAGUUUUGAAAUCAUUUUAUCCAAAAGCUUCCAAUAUAGCAUAACACUCGGUGUUUGGGAUUUUUGAAAAGAUCGUACUCUAACUUACGAGGUCUCGAUUUUUUGAUAAUUUCAAAUAUACGAACCUUUUUAAAAAAAAAAACAAGACACAUUUACUUAAAAAUUAUCUCAAGAAUCAAAAAAAGAUCGUGUCCCAACUUACCGGAUAUGAUUUAUUAUCUGAAACCGAUAUGAUCAAGAUUUUUAAAAAUAAAUAAAUUUUGGUGUUUAUUCUCGUUUCGGGAUUUAAGAUAUUGUGUCCUAACUCACGGGAUAUAAUUUUUUUCUCGAUUAACGAGAAAUACACCCUUCUUUAAAUUUUAACAAAAUGGUCAUUUUUUUAAAUUUCUUUUCGAAAUUUUAAUUUUUCGACAUUAAGACAUUAAUUAAUCGAUUAGGUACUAAUUUUGGGCAUGACGGGGUGCUAAUCCUUCCUCGCAUGUAACUGACUCUCGAACCCGUUUUUCUUAAAUUCCAUUGACCAAAAUCAUUGUUUUAAUAAAAUCAAAAUGUUUUAUCAAAACGAUUGAAUUGCAAGGUGAUCCAAUCACACAUAAAAAAAAUGUCGGUAGCGACUCCCUUUUUUUCAUUUUCAAAAUAAAAGUCAACACUAUUUUUGUUUUCAAAAAGUGGUUUCGACAAAAUUGUUUAAAUCUUACUUAUUAUUAUAUUUAAUUGUUUUUCAAAAUAUUUUAUAUAUCAUCAAUUUUACAAAUAAUUUAUAUUAAUUACUUAAAAGGUAUUUAAAAGUUAUAUUUCAUGUAUCAUUAUAUUAAAUUAUUUAAAUAUCAUAUAACUUGACUAAUUUUUUAAUUUCUACUAUCAUGUUUAAAAAGAACAUUUUAACUUUCAACUGCGAUUUUUAGUAGCAAUGAACAACACUAAAAACUAACAAACACACUUUUCAGCACCCCUUUUCAACAACACUUUUUUCUUAAAGUACUUUUGAACUAGUCCUUAGUCUAUCAUGCAUCGACUCUUCAUUUUUCUUUAACUACCCAUGUCCGACUUCAAACAUGGAUAUGGAGAUAUGACCAAGUCAGAGUGACAUAGUUUUUAGUUAUGGGGAAAAGGAUUCGAGUGUUGGACCUCCUUUUAGAUGCAUAGUGGGACUUUCAUCACAUUUUUCAAAUUUGUUGAUAAUCCUUCAUCUAAUCUGCCGGUGAAGUUUAUAGAUGGUCCUAAGUGUCUAUCACAAGAACCUAGAUAUUGUAAAUCCAAUAUCUUCCAAACAAUUCAACCAUGAUAUUAUUAAUAAUGAUGAAAGCAAGAUUAUCCACUAUCAAUGACAUAAAAUGAGCUGUAAAUGCUGACGAACAAACAUGCACUGUUUUUCCAACCUGUGGAUUGAAGAGCAUUGACAAGCUAACUUUGCAGACCAUUUGAAUCCAAUAAUAUACAUAAAAAUGCCAAAGGAGAAUAAUUCAUCUUGGAAAAAGAAUUACUAAUAUGCAAAAGCUUACCUUGUUUAACAAGAACACAGCAUAUACUGCUCUUGUCGUGUCUUGACCUUCUAAAAACAGCGGAAAUUCUGCCGGCUUUACAUUUGCUGAAACUGUUGUAUCCAAUGACAAAUCAGAAGAUGCAGGGUCUAUUGAAGCUGCAUGGUCAUUAAUAUAUGAGCGAGAACCACCCAAGCGCAGAAGAUAGCGCAAGGGAACUUGUAAAUAGGAUGCAAUUAGUGAAACAGCCUGCAAAUGAUGAAAUAGCAGGACAUUAGAAACAAUAAUAGGUAUGAUAAAAUUAUAGCCUAAGCAUGAGAAACAAACAAUCAAGAUGCAGCCCACUAUACCAUAUUACCAUCCUAGCAAUACCUGCAAAACUUUCAUCAAAACGGUAAUAACACUUUUGGACAAUGUGUCCUAUUUUACCACACAACUGGCAUUGGGGCCGAUUGUUUGAAAAACCACCCUCACGGCCUCAUCCUCGAUGGAAACCUCUAUUGCAUUGAAAACCACCUCUAUGUGCCUGUUUGUUCCCUUGAUAGCCACUGUUAUAAUCAUAACACUUGGUCCGAUCACCCUCAUCACAAUCUUGUUUACUAGCUAUGUUAGCUUGUUCGAGAACACUAUUCAAGAACUCAAGUUCUCGAGCUUCACAAUCAAGCAGCAUCUCAAUCAACAGACCAAGCGACACAGCAGUAGCUGAAGCUACUACCCGUACUGAUUCACACUCAACUGGCAACCUUGCAAGAAUGAUGCUAACCAUUUCUUGAUUUGAAAUCAAACAACUCGUUGCAACCAACAUAUCACACAUGGACUUGAUCUUAGACAAAUAUUCUUUAACAAACAGAUGACCCUUUUUCUGUGAAUACAACACAUGAUGCAUACUGGACAAUUUUACCGUCGACUUAGUCGCAAGCCUUUUUUUCAAUAGUUUCCCAAAUAUAAUAACUAGUACGAGCACUAGUAAGAUAGGCUAGAAUUUCAUCACUAUCAGUUGAAAGUAACCAAGAAGCCAAUAGCUUAUCUUGUUGCACAUGUAAAACAGAAUCAGAAUCUUCUACUAAUCUCCCAUAUUUAUCCACUACAAACUGUGCUAGUACACUAAUAGCACCCAAAACAAACUCAUGCAGACCGUAUCAUUCAAGGAUCAACAUAAUUUGGAGCUUCCAUAAAACAAAAUUAUACUCACCAAGCUUUAUUGUAUCGUGCUUAGGAAAUUGUUGAAGACAUCUACAACUGUUGAGGUGGGUUUUCUUUAAACAUACUCAUUCCAACAAAAAAAAAAUCUACGUUAGUAUGAUUAAUUAGAAAGUGAUUAAUUCAUUAUUUAGUUAGAAGUGAUGGCCUUAAGAAAAAAAAUGACAUUAUUUUAUUUGGCAUUGUUAAAAGUGUUAGUUACUGAAAUAAUUAAUGAGAUUAUAAAAGUGAAAGAAUCAAAUUAUGUCAAAAGUAAAGUAGAGGGUUUUAAUCCUAAAUUUGGGUAUAAUAAAGGGACUAACACCAAAUAAUUAUAAAAUUUUCAAAUAUUUUAAAAUUAAUUUUAAAUAUUAAUUAAAUACAAAUUAUAAAAAAAUAAAAUAAAAAUCCCCAGCGCAGUGAGGGACAUAUUCGAUAUCAAUAAUUAUAAAAUCUGUAGUUGUAAUAUUUAAUUGAUAUAAUAUAUAAAAUUUGAGGGUUAAAUUUGUUAUUAUACAAUUUUUUUAACUGCCGUGUCACUUUGCAAUUUUUUAUUUUAAGGAGUCAUCAAAAUAACUAAACUAUGUAAUGUGAGUGCUUAAAUUACAAAAUUUUUACUUUAAUGUGAGUGCUUAAAUUACAAAAUUUUUACUUUAAGUGUUUAAAUUUUUAAAAAAAAUUAUAAUUAAAUAACAAUCUAUAUGUAGUUUGCCCAAAAAUUUUAUAACCCAAACUACACAAUUUUAUGGCCAUCUCCCACUUUUGAUAUCUCUUUGGCCAUUAGUUAAGAUGGGAGGGGAAUGACUUAUUCAAGAUUAGUGUCAACAUUAGAUUUAAAACCUACGGAAGUCAUGUUUCAAUUUUUUUAUAUAAUAAUAUAACAUUUAAAAUUAUAUUAUAUCUAUAAAAGAACUCAUUGGAUUAGGGUUUUUUUUUUUAAUUAACUUUCCAUUUGUUAUUAGAAAACAAAACUAAAAAUGCAUCAAACAGGGCUCUGAUAAAAAAUUAAAAAAAAACCAAAAUGUUUAGGUUUGGUAUCGUUUUACUUUUACUUUAAAAUCAGUCUAAUCUGUAUCAUGCUCACACCAAACAUAUGAAGAAAAAAAAAAGUGAAAUAGUAAGGAUAUUAUUAAUUUCAUUCCAAGACAAAUUUUAGCAUACCCAAUUAGGUCCUUGGGUUAAUCUUAUGUUUUUUGUUUAGGCAUUCAGCAUUCUUGGCGUUUAGUUUAGUUAGAAUUUUAAAUUAUGAUAGAUCUGAAACUUUGGUAUUUUUGUGCAAAACUCAACCUCAAAGCUUUAUUUGUUGUCUAAAUUAUUUUAUUGAAGCCUAGGAAUUGUUGUUAUUGUUUCGGCUAAUUGACCUUAAAGCAUCAAAUGCCUUUUUUUGGAUGGUCAUAUUCCUUCCAAGGGCUGAAUUACUAAAAGCCCAUGAAGUAUCCUUCUUUUUCUUAAGUGAGCCUCUGUUUCAAUGCCGCCAAAAUUUUCUUUAUCCACAUGGAAGCUGACCUGCCAUGAUGAUGUGGUAAAAAAAUGAACAAUUUGUAUUUUUUGAAAAAUAUAACACUUAAGAACUUUCUUUCUUCUUGCCUCCCAAUUCUCACCACCAAUUCCUUAGCCCAAAUCAGUUUUGGCCUCCGACAUUGAUCAUAACAAAAGUAAACUUUCUAUUAGAAAUAAUUUCUUUUAUGUACAAAUUAAAGGGUAAGAUAUUGUUUGGGUACAAAAAAAGCAUAUGAGCUUACUUUAGAAAAGUGACAACGUUGGGCUCUUUUAGUAUUCUAUCCUCCCACCAACUUUGUCCAAUGUUUUUUGCCUUAUCACCAGACAGUAAAAGGGCCUUUGACCUUUUCAGGCUAAGCGCUGCCUGGUGCAUGUAGGGGGAAAAGGCCUUCUAAUUGAAGUUCUCUUUAAUAUCUCUUUAAUUGUUUCUUAAUUGUAACAAAGGGAUAAUAUCGAACUCUCUAUUUCUCAAUAUUUGAGUAUUCAACACCAGGCAUGGGAUCAUAUGGAAAUAUGCAUAUGGUUGACAAAAGAAAGAAAAUUUGGAAAUGUUUAUUUAAGUAGUAACUGCUGGUUUUCUUGGAUGCUUUCUUGUUAAUGACUACUGUUUGGGCAUGUUUAUUUAAGAAUUGCCCCCAAGUAGUUUCUUGAAUCAUCUAAAAUUGGAAAAAAUAGUCUUAUGGUAACUCAUUAAAGUAUUUGAAAGUAUGCACAAGCUAAUAACAUUUUAGAAAUUAAAAUUGAAGAUCGGUUUUUAGGGUAUCAUGUCCAUAUUAAGCAUCAUCUUUCCAGAUUACUGUUCUCUCUCUCUCUCCCUCUCUGUGUGAUAUAUUUCUCAAGUGAAAGGUAACCUUCUUCACUUGAUUUUGACUUAAUUUUGCAGUCACCACGAUUGUAUAAUGUGUACAAGCAAAUGGGAAUUGUAAAAUCUUUUCAGAAUAUUCUGGACAAUGUUUUCAUUCCACUAUUUGAAGUUACAGUUGAUCCGAAUUCUCAUCCUCAACUACACGUGUUCCUAAAAAUGGUGAGUUCUAUGUUCAUCGGAGAACAUACUGUGCUAUAAUAAGAGAUUUCGGAAAAUAUAGUUAAAAAAUGCUUCUUUAUUGGAAUGACCUGCAUUAUAGCAAGCUGAAUAAAUGAUGCCUUAACUUUAUUCAUUGUGUUCUCAUAAUUCUUUAAAACCAUUCGAAAAUUCUAUUGAGCCACAUUAUAUGGUUAAUUUUUGGGUCUGUACUGCAUACUGAACAUGUGUACAUCCUUGCGAUUUUAGAUGGAUGGAGUUGGACAGCAAAGCAAUUGAAAAAAACCCAAUUUAUGGUUUCUAAAUGUUAGAUCAUUUAUGGUUUCUAGUUUCAAUUUAAAAAAAAAAAAUCCAAAUCAGCCAACUAAUGAAAUUUUCAACGAUGUUAGUUAUUUUAACUAAUCCAUAACAUGUUUGCUUCUUCUUCUUUUUUUUAGCCUAGCAGCAAUGUUAGCCUCUGGACUAGUUACCGCCCUCCUUUUUCCCCUCCCUAUUAACCCUUUUUAUUUUUCUUCUCAUUCACUCCAUGAGUCUUCGUUCUUUUCAGUUUACAGAUUUAUUUUGUGAGUAUUUUUGUUGUCUUUACAAGUUGUAAUGGACAGUUGACAAUGGCUAUCAUCAUUGAAACACCACCGACCACCAACACUUUCUUUUAGAAAGUGGGUACCUCUUCGUUGACUACUUAAUUUGUUUAUAUUUUGAGAGUUUCAAAAUAAUAAAUGAUUUCAUGACUCGGUUUAGACUCAUGUUUUUUUUCCAUUGUUCAAUAAGUUUUUACUUUUAAAAGUUUUUUUCUACUCUUAUAGUAAGCUUUUUAGUCUUGCUUUUGCGAGUAAUUUUAGGGUUGGUUUUGUCGCCAUCCCCUCUAGUUUGGUGGAUGCUCAGUUCUUUUGCUGAUUUAUGCCCGCCGCUUUGGACCAUCCGGGGUUGAUUUUCUUACUAUAUUAAGUGCUUGUAAUCACUUCUGAUAUGUUGUGCUUGAGUUGUGAUAGAGCUGAUUUCAACAUGCCAUAAUGUUCUAUUAAUGUUGAAGCUAAAGCUUUUGUUAUAUUGAUGGAGCUUGUCCUUUAGCGAGUACAACAAGUGUUUGUUAUUUCCUCCCCCCCCCCGAAUUGUAUGGUAUUAUUCAUUGAAUAAAUUAAUGAAGUUGUCUUAAAAAAAACUAAUCCAUAACAUUAACAUUAAUAAGAGAACAAAAUAUAUCAAAUUAAAAAAGAAAAACUGAAUCUUUAAUUCAAUUGAGAAAUUAUAGGGAUUAAAACUAUAAAUUGAUCUAUAAUAAUUUCUCAGGCAUUAAUUGUAAGAUUAAUUCCAUAACCUAAAUUAUUGUAGGGGCUAUAUAAGCUCAAGGUUGACGCAAAAGUCAAUAGUCAGCGUCUGAAAGUUAAUGCAAUUAAUUAUGUCAUUGUUGAUAUAUUUAACGCAAAUAUAUUAUCAUAUGUGUAAUGUCAUACCAUCUUAUUAUUUCCAUAUGUUACUAAAAAUCUAGUUAACGGACUAAGGAUUGUCAUUUGUAUCAAGACUGAAAUUUUAAAUUUUGAAAAAUAUAGGUACUUAGAAUAAUCCAAUUAGAGAGUAUGGACUAAAUCAACAAUUAUACGCAUAAUAUAGGACUAGUAAUUGGUUUUAAUUAAAUUGAUUUAACUCUAUUGUUUGGAUCACAACUAAAAUUUUAAAAUUCAAAAUGUAUAGGGAUUAAAAUUGAUCAAAUUGAAGUAAAUAGACUAAAUUUACAACUUUCACAAAGAACAGUGACCAACAGCAGAAUUUAACCAAAUAAGCUCACCAAAGUCAAUAGUCAAUCUUUGAAAAGUAAUGCAAUUAAUUAUGUCAUUGUAGGAACGCUUUCCUGACAUAAAAUUCCACCAACUAAGCCUUUUGCGUAAAUAUUAGCUAUGAAAAUUCAACCAUUGAUAUUAAAUUCAAGACCCCACAAAUGACAGACAUAUAUGUUGGAAAAAUCUUUGUGUGAACAUUUCUUUCGGUCAUACUCAUGUCGUAUAAGUUAGAGGAGCACAAGUCUAGAUUCAUCCAAUUUUUGAGGAAUUAAUUAAUUAUAUAUUAGUUUAAAAUUAUAGUGAAUUAGUGAGACGCCAUAGGUCUUGCUUGCAUAUAAAUAAGAAGCUUAGGCUUCUUCAGAUUAUUUACAUAUAAAAGUUUAAAAAGUAACAUAUAGCUAAGAGAGAAGAGGAAAACAGAAAGAUGAUGAUGAUAAUGAUGGAGUGGAAAUGGUUAUGGUUUAUAAGGAUGGCAGUAAUGUUGUUGGUGUUAGAAGGGUGCAGGUGGUGUACUGCUGAUGCUUGUUUGGAGCAUGAGUCGCCUUCUUGCAUCUCAAACCUUUCUUCAAUUAUGAUAAUCAAUUGAAAAGUUGGAUUGAGGUGAAGGGUUCAGAUUGUUGUAAAUGGAAAAGAGUUGAGUGCAACACCAUCACUAGGAGAGUCAUACAACUCUCCCUUAAUCAUACAUCAUCCAAUAUAUAAAUGAAUUAAUGAAUUUACCUUUCAAAAGAGAAAAAAAGAAUUCAUAAAUUUUGAAAUACAAAAUGAACGUGUUUUGAUAUUUUUAGGGCAAUGGUUUAGUGGUUCAAAAUUUUGAUUUAAUAUGGUGAAUUUAAUUAUAAUUUUUUAUAUAUUAGAUAGUAGAAUAUAUUUUACCAUUUAUAAUUAAGUACAAUUAAGUUUAGGUUAAAAUAUUUUAUUAAAUUUUUGUACUUUUCACAAAUUUUAAAUUUAAUCUGUUUACUUUUAUUCUAGAAUUUAAUCUCUCUGCAUGUAAAGGAGGUUAUUAUGGCAAGGGGAAUUACCAUGGCAGAGGUAGCCGAGGCUGACGAAGAGAUGCUGGAUAUGCUGAAGAAAGAUAGAUGGCUGAGAAACAGAAAAACUUUAGGAACAAUAUUCAGUGUUAGAAGUAUGGGGAUGUGAAGGCAGAUUGUUGGAAAAGGGGAAACAAGCAAAUUUUGCGGAAGAUGAUGAAGAGAUUUAAAUUAUUUAUGAGCUGUCUAGAUGACACUAUAGCUUCAACUAACAUUUGGUUUCAAGGGCGUAUAUCUCAUGAUGAAGAGAUCGUCUCUCUUCUUUUUUCUCAUAACAUAUUACACGCCAUGAUAAUAAAUAUUGAUAUGCCUAUAAAUUUGAGUUUCUAUUAUUUGUAGUCAUGAUUUGGUUCACUCCAUAAGUUACAUAAAUUUAUUAUAAUAAUUCAAUUAAUUUUAGAUUAAUUUUACAUUUUUGCCCGAACUUUAGUUUUUAAUAAUUCAAUCAUCCCACCAUUAUAUUCAAUUAAAAGUGUAAUACGAUUUUGCGUCAUCCAACCAUUAUUCUUAGUGUAAUUUUUGGUAGUGAGCAUAGAAGGACAGCGAGAACAAAGAAAGAAUGUAUCCAAUAACCCACUCCCCUUAUAGUCAAUGCUUAAAAUGAAUAAGAAAAUAGAAAACAAACGUGGCAAUGCCAGCUAAUUUGUUAUUACUAUUCACCGUAUAACUAAGGACAUUACGCACCGUUUUAAUUAAAACAAACUCACCGUUUAAGACCGUUACUUCUAUGCAUCGUUUUAAUCAUAUGCGUCAGUUCGAACAAAUAGGUGAACAUGAAAGCUUUUCGCAAAGUUUAGAUGUGUGCUUAAAACUCAAACUUUGUGUUCUGUAAAAAUAUUGAUUUUGUUGUAAUUGUAGGUUGAACUUUGUGAGUCCAAUUACUUUCUUUGGCAUCGGAUAUUUCGUGGAACUUUCGUAUGAGAUAUUUACUUCAUAAAUAGAAGAUUACAAAAUUUGGAUAUUAAUAUAUUUUUCAUGAUUUAAUUUUCUUUUCCUUUUUUGGGCUAAAAUAAUUAAUAACGAAAACACGUCUUUUGCUAGCACCUAUAAAUGCCUUAAAAAUGUAAAUUAAUAUUCCACAAUAAUUAUUAAGAUGAAAAGAAUUUUAUAAUCUAAACUUACGAUUUCAUGUGAAUUUAAUGUUUAGUUAUAGUUUUAAUUACAAAGUUAAAUUGGUAUCUUUGUUAUUGCAAUAAUUAAAAAAAGAUGAGUCCAAAUGACGUUGAUUUUCUGUUUUUUAAAAGUGAAUGCAAGAUGGGACGGCUGGAAUUUUUUUUAUUAAACAGUAAGUAUGAAACAGUUAUGGUAAUUGCUUGCUCCAUCUCACUCCACUCCACUAUAUAAAAUUAUCAUUUCAUUCUUUUAUAUAUAGAAAAAAAUUAAAUAUUUUAUGAAAAUAAUCAUGUUUAAAUUUCCAAGAAUAAAAGCAAACUGAAGACUUAAAAUUUCCAUUAAUAAAACCAAAAUCAAAGAAGUAAAUUUCCCAUGAAUAAAACAAAAAAUGAAGAUCUAAAUUUUCCAUUAAUAAAGCCAAGUCAAGACUAAGUUUGUAUAAGUGUAAGAAGGGUAUAAAUGAAACUCACAAGAAAGCCACAUGAAGAAUUUUAUAACCCCAAACUACACGAUUUUAUGUCCACCUCUCACUUUUCAUAUUUUUUUGGCCAUUCGUUUUUCAAGAUUAACAUCAGCAUUCUUGUGGUCCGUUCAUCCUUUUCUAAUGAAUUUCCACCAAGAGUUUUAUUUUUCAAAAUGUUAAAUUAACUCAUGAUAUUAAUUAAAUCAAGAAAUUUUAUAAUAAUAGAGAUGAAAAAACUAAAUUUUCAAAAUCAAAACCUAAAAUGUGCAAGAAUAAAAGCAAACUGAAGACUUAAAAUCUCCAUUAAAAAAAUCAAAAUCAAAGAAGUAAAAUUUCCAUGAAUAAAACGAAAAAUGAAGACCUAAAAUUUCCAUUAAUAAAUCCAAGUCAAGACUAAGUUUGUAUAAGCGUAAGAAGGGUAUAAAUGAAACUCACAAGAAAGCCACAUUAAGAAUUUUAUAACCCCAACUACACGAUUUUAUGUCCACCUCUCACUUUUCAGUUUUUUUGGUCAUUAGUUAUUCUAAGAUUUAACAUCAACAUUUGAUUUCAAAUCAACGUUAAACCAUGUUUAAACUCUUUUUCUUAUAUAAUAAUUAUAUUAUAUUUAAAAUUGAAAAAACUAACCAGCCAAAUAUAUAUUAAUUAAUUAAUAGAAUUUUUUUUGCUCAUCGAUUAAAAUAAAUCAAGAAAGACGUUGGAACCACCAACCUCUCUUUAAGAACAACAGGAAUACAAGAACCUAUGCACAACAAGUACUAAAAUGUAUUAAGUAAAUUCAUCACCAGGCCUUAAAAAAAGAAGAUCUCGAUAUACCUGCUUUUGCCAAAGCAUCUGCCAUACCAUUACUUUGCCAGUGAAUAAUUCUGAACUGAAACUUAGCCAAUUGAGUGAUAUUAAUUAUAGAAAUGGUUCUUCUUGCAACCAUAGAUGAAACACCACUGAGACUAACAAACUUGGAGAAACUUGAUUAAAUCAAACUUAUGCAAAUUUCUUGAAUAUUUAAGUUAAGAGUUAACGUCAAAGUCAAGAGUUGAUAAGGAUUUUGUGGUCCAUUCAUAUCUUUAUUACAAUAUAUAUAUAUUCAAGAAAUUUGCAGCAAGUUGGAGUUUUGCAAUAAGGAAUUUCCACCAAGAGUUUUGGAAUAAGGAAUUUCCUCCAAGAAUUUUGCAGGAAUCAUAUCUCUAACAAAAGAAAGACCUUCAUUUGACUAAAUUUUUUAGUAUUUAUUUUAACUUCCAUUUUAUUAAAAAAAAACAGAGGUAAAAAAUAUGCCGAACAGGGUCUUUAGGUUACUUUUCUUAGAACUAUAUUAUGUUAUAGUACCGUAUAAGUUAGAGGAGCACAAGUUUAGAUUCAUCCAAUUUUUGAGGAAUUAAUUAAAUAUAUAUUAUUUUAAUAUUAUAGUAUACAGAGGCAAUGUUAGAAAAAAAUUUUGUGGAGUCGAAAUUAAAUUAUAGUUUUAAAAGCAUAUAUCUUUAUAAUUUUUAAAGAAUUAAAUCAAAUUUUUAUCAAUUUUAGGGGGUCAAUGUGCAAUUUUAUCUUUACUAAUUUAAAAUUUUAAAACAUUUAAAGGACCUAAAUAGGAAUUUUUCUAUUUUAGAGGCGUCUGAGACGCCUGUCUAGCUAUGCCCCUGAUAGUGAAUUAGUGGGAUGCCAUAGGUCCUGCUUGUAUAUAAAUAAGAAGGUUAGGCUUCUUCAGAUUAUAUACAUAUAGAAGUUAAAAAUUAACAGACAACUGAGAGAGAAGAGAAAACAGAAAGAUGAUGAUGAUGAUGAUGAUGAUGGAGUGGAAAUGGUUAUGGUUUAUUAGGAUGGCAGUAAUGUUGUUGGUGUUCGAAGGAUGCAGGUGGUGUACUAUUGAUGCUUGUUUGGAGCACGAGAGGAUUGCUCUCUUGCAUCUCAAACCUUUCUUCAAUUCUCGUGAUGAAUUGAAAAGUUGGGUUGAGGUGAAGGGUUCAGAUUGCUGUAAAUGGGAAAGAGUUGAGUGCAACACCACCACUAGGAGACUCAUACAACUUUCCCUUAAUUAUACACAAUGGGAAUUCAACGUGGAAUAUUGGUAUCUCAAUGCCUCUAUGUUUCUUCCCUUCGAGGAAUUGAGGAGUCUUUAUUUGUCAGAUAAUGCCAUAGCUGGUUGCAUUGAAAAUGAAGGUCGUGCCUUUAAUUUUCCCUCAGUUACAUCUUUUAUUAUUACACUAUUCUCACCCUUGUUAAUUUGCAAUUACUUAUAAUUUAUUUUAUUUUAUUGAAGAAAGGUCACUAAAUGUUUGUGUAUAUAUUUAAAAGAACACUCUUACAGGUUUUGGAAAGCUAUCAUCCACAUUGAGUAAUUUGGAGAUUCUUGACUUAAGUUACAAUUACUUGAAUGAUAGCAUUUUGUUAUCUUUGAGUGAGCUUUCAUCUCUCCGAUAUUUGGAUCUAUCAUACAACCGAUUUGAAAGAUCAAGUCAUCCAAGAGGUAAAUUAAGUUUAGUCUGGUGUUAGUUUUUAUUUGUAUUGGGGAGUUUGACAGUGGUUUUCCAUUGUUUUAUUCCCUCUAACUUAGUUUUUGCUUUUAUGGUUGAGAGGAAAAAGAAACAAACAAGUACUUACUCAAAUUAACUAAACAAUGGAUUAUUUUUUUUAUGUUUUGCAGUAACUAAUUCUAUGGUAUAUAAAUCAGGUUUUCAGUGGCUUUCAAGGCUCACUAAAUUGGAAACUCUUCAUCUAAGUGGGAAUUCUUUGAAGAAUAGCAUUUUUUUACAGAUGAGAAAUCUUUCAUCUUUGAAGACUUUAAGUUUGGGUGACAAUCAGUUGGGAGGAAAACUGCUUCAUAUUCAAGGUAGACUGAUUUUACACUUUUCUUGUUAACUUUAAAAUAAAUUCAGUAUGUGAUUUGAUUUUAUCAUAUCAUGAAUAUAACUGAUCAAUAUUUGAGAUUGAAUUUCAGAAUUGAAUCAUUUGGCAAACUUGAAGUACUUGGAUUUAAGUAGGAACAGAAUUGAAAGCAUCUCAAACAAAGGUAUAAGUAAUAAUUUGUGCAUGACUUUCCUGACAGACUUCAAAUGUAUUUUCUUUGUUUUUUUCCUUUUCAUAUGGUUGAGAGGAAAAAAGAUCCUUAUAAUCUUAAAGAGUUGAUAUUGAGAGUUGGUCAUGAGAGAAUGGGUCCUUAAAAUCCUUAAGACCAGGGAGUUUGUGUCCACAGUUGAGUAUUCCAUUUGAAAACUGAAAAUUAAAUAUUCUAUUGCUUUAUUUCUUUUAAAAGAAAGAUUGAGUUUGGAUCUCCGACUGCUUUAUUUUUUUCAAAGAAAGAAAUAUGUUUAUACUUUUGCGCAGAAGAUAUGAAGAAGUCUUAUUUUGUUCUCGCUUUUGUGCAAGUGAAACUUAGUUAUCUCAAAUAUAUAUAUAUAUAUAUAUAUUGUAGUUAUCAGUUCACUACACAAUAGCAUGUAAACCAGUUCCCCCUUUUCAAAUUUAUGAGUGGGAGUUGUCCAUGAUUUUCUUUGUGAUUUUCUUUUCACGUUUUAGGAUUUUCAUCUUCACUUCAAGUUUUAGAUUUACUUUUUUUCAUUUUUAUUUCAUUAACUUAAAAAAGGAAUGCUGGAUCAUAUUCAAGGUAGAUUGAUUUUACAUGUUUCUUUUUAACUUAAAAAAUCAAUAUAUGUUCAAGUUUAAGUGACAACAACAUUGAAAGCAUCUCAAACCAAGGUAUAAGUAUUUGUGCGUAGUAACUUUCUUGACUGACUAUUAUUCCAAAAGGCAAUGACAGACUUCAAAUGUAUUUUCUUUAGUGAAUUUUUAUUGCAAAAAUGGAGUAUUAUUAUUUAUUUAAGUUUUGUAGUAACUAAUUAUAUAAUAUAUAAAUGAGGUUUUCAAUGGCUCAUUAAAUUGGAAAUUAUUGAUAUAAGUUGGAAUUAUUUGAAGAAUAGCAUUCUUUAAAAUAAAUUCAUGUUGAAGGAAAAGUUGUUGCAAUAAGUCAUUUGAUUUUAUCAUAUCAUGAAUAUAUAUAACUAAUCAAUAUUUGGGAUUGAAUUUCAAAAUUGAGUAAUUUAAGUAGGAAGGUAUCUCAAACAAAGUAUUUAUAUAUUGAAUCAAUUCAUCGGAAAGCUUGUAAAUUGGCUCUUCCUUCUCAAACAAACAUUUUUCCUAACUAUUUAUAUAUUGAAUGAUGUUAACUAUACUAAUUACUUUCUUCCAAUGAUAGAUGGAACACAAUUGAGGCUAACAAACUUAGAGGAACUUGAUUUGAGUGGUAAUCUCUUUCGGAACAACACAAUUUCCUUUCCUCAAGGGCUUUCAAGCCUAAAGUCUUUGACUUUGUACAACAACCAUUUGCAAGGCUCAUUAGAUACUAAAGGUACUAAAGCUAUAACUUUGUUUUUCUUGAUAAUUCUUUCUAGAACCUUUUAAAAUUAAUUGUUUCAAUUUUGAACAUUCACAUUUCACGUUUGAGGAUUUUCAUCUUCACUUCAAGUUUUAGAUUUACUUUUUUUUUCAUUUUUAUUUCAUUAAAAUAUUAAGUAGAAAUUAAAAUUAUUAACAUAAUGAUUUUUUGAAUUGGACGUGGAUAUGUAUAGGAUUGAGCAAUUUAACAAAUUUGAAGAAACUCGAUUUAAGUGUGAAUCAGAUUGAAAGCUUUCAAUCCUUUAAAGGUAUGCAUUUAUAUUUAACCAAUUACCUAAAUUCUUACAUAUAAUUAAAUUUUAUGCCAAUUCAUUUCAGUGAUGAAAUUAUAUAAAUCUUUUGUAGAUGGUGGUAGAAAAUUGGAGUUGACCCACUUGGAAGAGCUUUAUUUAGAUUACAAUCAGUUCAAUACUAGUGUAUUUGCAUCCCUUAACAAGCUUUCAAAUUUGAAAUCUUUGAGCAUAUGGGACAAUGGAUUGAAAGGAUCAAUAGAUAUGAAAGGUAAAUAUAUUAGUUUUUUUAACUAGAAUAUAAUCAUGUUUGAAGAGAAUAUAAUGAAGUUGAUUUGUUGUUUUUGUUUUCCUAGAUUUGGAAGCAUUUAUCAACUUAAGGGAACUAGAUAUGAACUAUAAUGAAUUGAAAGAUUUGGUGAUCCACCAAGGUAUCAUUUAAUUAAACUUCCUUUUUUUUUUAAUUUAGAAAUUUAGUUUUGAUCUCAUAUAUUAUAAUAACGGUUAUUGUCAUAAAUAUUAAUAAAGUUAUAUCAUAUCAUACUUGAAAGUAAAAGUUUGGUGAAACAUUUUCUAAAUCAUCCAUUAUAAUGUGUUUGGACUUUGGUUUGAAACUAAAAUUCUUUAAAAUUUUCAUCAUUUUAAAAUAUUAAUGUUUAUAAUUAUUUUGUUUGUAUAAAUAUAUUUUUUAAAAUAAUUUAUUGAAUUUUUAUGAGAUAAAAAAUAAUUAUAACAAUAAAAAAUGAUAUUAUAAAUAAAUAAAAACAUAUAUUUAUGAGAAAAUAUGUAAUAUAACUAUAUUUUAAUUUCAUAUAUUUUUAAUAGUAUAAAACAUAAAAAUACAUAUUAGCGUUAAAUAAAUGGCAUUUUUUGGCAAAAAUAAAUAAAUGUCAAUUUUGAAUAAUUUAAAAAAAAUCUUUAAUUUUGUGAAAUUUAAACAUACAUUGAGAGGUGCUUAAACUUCCAUUGCAAUCUUUUUAUAAAUUUCAAAGUGCAUAUGUUUUUAACUUUUUGGUUUAAAAAAAUAUGAUAGGUCUACGUACUCUUUACUAAUUUGUAAUUUAAUUCUUAUACUUUUAUUUUCAAGAAUUUAAUCCCUGUUUUUUUAUAAAAAAAUCAAAAUCCUAGUUCAAUUGUUAAAAUUGUUAAAAUUUUAAAAUAGUUUGUUGGUGUGACAUUUUGAAAUAAAAAAAAACUUAGUAGUAAUGUAACUAAAAAAUGACGUAAUGAACAUGGAUUUAAUAAAAUAAUUUUAACAAUAUUAAUAAAAUAAUUUUGAAUUUUGAAUUUUAACUUAACUCUAUUUUUGGGCCAAGAUUUAAUGCUUUAAAAUUUUCAUUUAAUCCGCUGAGUUUACUUAUAAUUCUUUUGAGUUUUAUUUAUUGGUGAGUAAAAUACCUAUUUGAUUUUUUUAUAUACUAUUGGCAUCUUUAAAGGUAAUAUAAUAAUUUUAGUGUAGACGUGUUUUAUUUUAUAAAUAUUAUUUAUAGUGUAGACAUGUGAAUUUUGAAUAAUUUAAAAAUAUCUUCAAUUUUAUGAAAUUUAAACAUACAUUUAGUGUAGACAUGUUUUAUUUUAUAAAUAUUAUUUAUAGUGUUGUUGAUUGGAGUUUGAAAAUUAUACAACUUAGCUAUAUCAGUUAAUUACUUAUAUUAAAAAAUAAUAUAAGAAAAUACUAAAAAGAAAAAAAAUAGUAUAAUUAAUAAAAUGGAUGAAGAGUUAUAUUAAAGUUUCAACAUCUUCUCUCUAUCAAAAUUUAUCUCGGAUAAAUCAUGAAUAAUCUAACUCAUAAAAAAAUAUAUAUAUAUUUAUAUACUUCAUUUCAUUCACAGAAAAUAAAGCAUUCCACUUAAUAGAGGCUUUCUAUAAUGCCGUUAUCUAAUACCUCUUGACAUUGCUUAGAUUCAAAUGUGUCGAGCAGUUUGGAGGAAAUAUAUCUUGACUAUUCUACUCUCAACACCAACAUUUUGCAAAGCAUUGGAGUAUUCGCUUCUCUUAAAAUAUUGUCUUUAUCUAAUUGUGGACUUAUUGGUCCCUUACCUAAUCAAGGUAAACAAUUUUAUGGCUCAAUUUGAUUUCUUUAUGAACUUUCUGUAAUAUAUUAUCUCCUAUUCUGUUUUAUAAAGCAAAAUUUAAUUGAAACUUCUUCCAUGAAUUUAUUUAUAAAAUUUUCAGGAUGGUGUGAUCUAAGGAACCUUGAAGUGUUGGAUGUGAGUAGAAAUGCACUUGAGGGGAUGCUUCCUCAUUGUUUUAGUAACUUGACAUCUCUUCGUGAGUUAGAUAUUUCAAGAAACCAUUUUCAAAUUCCGCUGUCAUUUGCACCAUUUGCAAACCUUUCAAACCUCAAAGCCCUUUUGAUUAAUGAAAACAAGAUGGUAAUGGAACCUUCCUUUUAUACCUCAAUCCCAAAGUUCCAAUUGGAAGUCAUCAGUUUGUCAAAGUGCAUAACAUCUCAACAACUCAGUCUUAAACUUUGUACCUUCCUUUACUACCAAUAUGACUUGAGAUAUGUGGAUCUUUCGCAUAACAAUCUCAGUGGAACUGUACCAACUUGGUUGCUAGAAAACAACACAAAGUUAGAAGAUCUCAUCUUGAAGGGUAAUUCAUUUACAGGUCCUCUCUCACUUUCGUCGGCUCUUAUUUCUAAUGUAUCUACAAUUGACAUAUCUGAAAACAAAUUACAAGGUCAAAUUCCAACUGGUAUAUGUUCAACUUUUCCACAUUUGAGGCAGUUAUUCUUAUCCAAGAAUGCUUUUGAAGGUAAUAUCCCACUUUGUUUAAGUGGCAUGAAGGACUUAUCAUUUUUAGAUCUAUCAGACAAUCAUUUGUAUGGAAAAGUACCAGAAGAGUUGAUCACGAAAGGCUUACUAAUCAUUUUGAGACUAUCAAAUAACAACCUCAGUGGAAAUGUAGUUCCUGUGAUUCUCAGCGCAAAUGGGGUGCAGCAUUUAUAUUUGGAUGGAAAUAAUUUUUCAGGAGAGAUGACAAAUGUUGAUGUGUCUACUUUUGAGUUUCCAAAUUCACUAAGCGAAAUUGAUCUCAGUAACAACACUUUGCAUGGAAAGCUCCCAAGAUGGAUAGGGAAUGCAUCAUUUUUGGGGAGAUUAGAUUUGUCCAACAAUGGUUUUGAAGGUUCUAUUCCAAUGGAAUUUUGCAAGUUGAAUAGGUUGGAAUUUUUGGAUCUUUCUCAAAAUAAUUUAUCUGGCUCUAUACCGUCAUGUUUUAAUCCACCAUACAUACAGCAUGUCCACCUCCACGGGAAUAGACUGAGAGGCCCACUAUCACUUGCUUUUUAUAAUAGCUCUUCAAUAGUGACUUUAGAUCUUGGAGGAAACAAUUUGACGGGUAGUAUUCCAAAAUGGAUUUACACGCUUUCUUCUUUGAGUUUUUUUCUCUUGAAAGAUAAUCAUUUUCAUGGUAAAGUUCCUAUUGAGUUAUGCAAGUUGCAUUCUUUAAGCAUCAUAGAUCUUUCUCAAAAUAUGUUUUCUGGUCCUAUACCUUCUUGUUUGGGAAAUUUAUCUCUUCCAAUGCAAAGGAAGAAGAUUCUAGAACCUGGUUUCUAUGGGCCACCUAUAGAAGAGGAUGAAACAACACGCAGUACGAAACUAAAUUUGGGAAUGUAUUCUUACUAUCCUAAUAGCUACUUCGAAGAAGUAAUAGAGUUCACAACAAAGAGUGGGUUCUAUUCAUACAAGGGCUACAUCCUUUCAUAUAUGAAUGGGAUUGAUUUAUCUUGCAACAACUUAACUGGUCAUAUCCCACCAGAAUUAGGGAACUUGAGUGAAAUCCAUUCUUUAAACCUUUCACACAAUAAGUUGACCGGAGUUAUACCCUCGUCACUCUCAAAACUACAUCAAAUUGAGAGUUUGGACCUUUCUUACAACAACUUAAGUGGUGAAAUCCCCAAUCAAUUGGUAGAGUUAAACUCUUUGGAGGUUUUCAGCGUGGCAUUUAACAACUUGUCAGGUAGUAUUCCCGAACCAAAAGCUCAAUUUGGGACCUUUAUUGAAAAUAGUUAUCAGGGAAAUCCGUUUCUUUGUGGAGUUAUAUUGCAUAAAAGUUGUUCCAAAACCGAUUCACCAUCAACGAUAUCAAUUGUAUCAGAAGAUAAAGGAGAAGAUGGUUUGAUAGAUACUUAUGAUUUUUGUGUGAGCUUUUUGGUUUCUUAUGUAGUUGUGUUGUUGACAAUUUUUGUUGUCCUCUACAUAAAUCCAUACUGGCGAAGAGCUUGGUUUUCUCUUGUUGGGAAAUGCAUUACCACCUGUCGCUACUCAAAUGUGGGCAAUUUUCUUACUUAUCACAUUUUCAAGCGAUGUGUUUAGCUACUCAAAUUGUGAUUUGAUUUCCACACCUAAAUGUUUAAUUAUGCUAAGUUGAGCGAUAAUGAAUAUUUUGUUGAUUUUUGCAUUUUGAAUAAAAGCUCUUUUAUCUUAUGGUUUUAUCAUUUUCAACCAUCUAUUUCUUUUUUCUUCUAUGAAAUUUAAUAUAAAAUCAUAAUCCAUUAUUAUGUAUAUGCAAUAUCUCUUUAAAUUAAAUUAAAUUAAAUUAACUGCCAAGCGUUCACUAGUGCAUACUAAAAAGGAAAUCUAAUGUAAAAUUAAAUCAAACAUACUACAGAAUUGAAUCUAAAACUGGAAUAUUUUAAAACCUCACAAACAAUGCAAUUCUUUAUUCCUCUUUUCCUCUCAAGUUAUUUUGUAUCAUGUUAUAUUUUACAUAAUUAAUCGUAUCAUCAAAUUUUAAAAAAAUUUUAAUAUUUUGAUAUCAUGUUCAUAUUAUGCUUUAAUUCACAAUGUAUUUUGUAUAAUAUGUUAUAACAAUUCAAUUUAAAAAACAAACAAUUAUCUUAUUUUUGCAUACCGUAAUAUACAUUUACAUGUUAAUAAUUCUUUGUACAUAAAUUUUGACAUGUUCGUAUAUUCGAGUCAUUAUAAUUUUAUUAUUUGUAAUAUGACAUGUUUUACUUACCCUUAAUAUUGUGUCAUGAUAAUUAUAACUCGAUUGGCAGUGUACCAAAUAUUUUUCUAAUAAAAAAUAGUAUUUUAUUCUAUUUACCAAAUCUUUAUCAACUUUAUUUUCUCACCAACAAAACAUACAUUCAAAGUUCAAAUAAGUUCCACACCCAUUUUUUUACUGCAAUACUCAAGAAUAUGCUCAUCAUCAGAAAUCUGAAAUAUUCCACUCUAAUUAACAUUAUGAUUCUGUAAACAACAAAAAAGUGUGAUACUUUUUUAAAGCUCUUUUUUUUUCUUUAAUGAAAUGGGAUUGGUAAAAAAUCCGCACAUGUGUCGUGUGUGAAGGUGGUCAGGUUGUCUAUUCAUACUGUAAUAAGUAGCUAAUUAUAGUUGAUCCUACAAAAUCAAAAUUAAUUCAGGUAUCUAUAUAUUCUGAAGACUGGACAGACCUUAGAAGCUCCUUCAAAUUUGCAAGAACAUGUCGUGGUCCUAAACUCUUUACACCGAUGAAAUUCAAAAGUUGCUCUAUAUCCUGCAAUCACAGUAAAGAUUAUGCAAGCUUUUCAGAACGAAUAACAUAACAAGCAAAAGGCAAUCAAAAUACUGUGAUCUCGAUAAUGUUCUUUGCCGAAAAGGAACAUAAACAUAACCUGAAAACAUCAGUGAAGGCUCAUCAGAUUUGCUUAGCAACCUUACAUACACAUGUAAAAAGCUUUGCUUUUGGAUGUAUGGUGUGACUAUCAUCACAGUCUUUCCUAAUUAGCUGAUAACCCUAUAUCUAACAUUUAUCAGGGCUAAGCAAAUUAACAUACAUAAUGUAAAGGAAUUUGACCAUAAGAUCCAACAGAAAACUUAAUAAAAGAUAAUCAACAUAGAAAGUUAAAAGGCAAUGCAAACUUAUUACAAUGAUGCAAGUGGAUCAAAAGAAAGCACUCUAUAAGGAAUUUGUAUUUAAGGCAUUGUAAACAGAAAAAAAAUAAUAAAACUUUUCGGAAAGUAUUUUCAAAGAGGAGACAAAAACAGGGUAGAAAAAAUGUUUGGUCCUUCCUUUUUCUAUUUCUACUGUGGUGAAAAAGCCUUUUUGGGUUAAAAGUGUUUUUACACUGCAGAAGUGUUUUUCCACUGCAGAAGUGAUGAAGAACACAUAGCUUUGUAGUCAAAAACCUACUGCUUUUGGCUUUUGCAUUUCGAAGUGAAAAUUAUAAAAAUACUCUUAGAUUAAUUUAUAUUUUAUAUAUUAUUAUAUUAAAUUGUUAAAUCUUAUUUAUUAUUAUAUUUAAUUUUUUUCAAAAUAUUUUAUACAUCAUCAAUUUUACAAAUAAUUUAUAUUAAUUACUUUUAAAAGUUAUAUUUCAUGUAUCAUUAUAUUAAAUUAUUUAAAUAUCAUAUAACAUCACUAAUUUUCUACUUUCUACCAUCAUGUCUAAAAUAGACAUUUUAACUUUCAACCGCAAUUUUUGGCAGCAAUGAACAACACUAAAAACUAACAAACACACUUUUCCGCACCACAUUUCAAAAACACUUUUUUCUAAACGCACUUUUGAACUAGUCCUUAGUCUAUCAUGCAUCAACUCUUCAUUUUUCUUUAACUACCCAUGUCCGACUUCGAACAUGGAUAUGGAGAUAUGACCAAGUCACAGUGACAUAGUUUUUAGUUAUGGGGAAUGGGAUUCGAGUGCUGGACCUCCUUCUAGAUGCAUGGUGGGACUUCAUCACAUUUUUCAAAUUUGUUGAUAAUCCUUCACCUAAUCUGCCGGUGAAGUUUAUAGAUAGUUGUUGACACCAUUUUUUUGAUGAAAACGGGAUCGACUUGGAUUUUGAAAAAAGAAUGAAAACGGGAGUCGCCACCAAUCCUUUUUGACGAGGUGUGAUCGGGUCACCUCAAAAUGUGGUUGUUUUUAAUAAAUGAUUUAAUUUUAUUAAAACAACGAUUUUGGUCUACGAAAUUCAGAAAAAUGAGUUCGGGAGUCGGUUACACACGAGGAAGGAUUAGCACCCUCGAUACGCCCAAAAUUGGUACCUAGUUGAUUAAUUAGUGUCUUAGUGUCGAAAAUUGAAAAUUUGAAGAGUUUUAAAAAUACGAUCCUUAAAAGAAAUUCUGAUAACGUGAAUUGAAAUAUAAGAUUCUCUUGUUCCGAAGGAAUAUCACAUCCAGCACGUUAGGACACGAUACUCUAAACCAUCGAAACCAAGAUCAUCUUAUAGUUUAAUGAAACCACACUUUGAAGCUUUAAGAGGAUAUUUGGCUAUUUAGUCGAACGAGAAAUCGAAACCCAGCACGUUAGGGCACGUUUUCUCGAUUUUCCAAACGCGAAAUAUCGCCUUAUUUAGAAAAAUUUUCCUUUUGAUGUUUGGUGUUAAUGCUUGACAAAACAAUAACGAAUACGACAAGGUGAGCAAAGUAAAGUGAGUAACAACAAUACAAUAGGCAAAAUGAAAUGACGAGGCGAUUACAUAAACAAAGCAUACAAAUAAAUAAAUAGAACUAACAUUUAAAAAAAAGCAUAAGUGUACACGAAUAAAUAAACAAACACCAAAUAACAAUGAUGACAAUAAAUACAAUUAUGUAAAAAUGUAUAUACAUGUAUAAUUUUAAGCCAUGAAAUAAGAAACGCAUAUAAAUUAUAGAAUAUGAAAACAUAGAUAAAUAUAUACAUAUGUGUAAAAAAUAAUAUUAUAAAAAGGGUACGUAUAUAUGUAUAAAAAAAUAAAUGUAUUAACAAUGAAUAUAAUAAGGGUAAGAAAACAAGUAUAUACACAAUAUAUAUGUAACGUGGUACUAAGGAUAUAUAUAUACAAUACAGUAUUUAAAAUAAUAUUUACGUAAUAUAAAAUAUAAUAUUAAAAGGUAUAUGUACAUACGUAAUAUAUAAAUACAUAUAUAAUAUAAUGUUAAAAUAUUUACAUAAUACUAAAAUAUUUAGGUAAUAUAUGCGUAUAUUGAAAACUAGUAAUAAUAUUAUCGAGGUAUAUACAAAUAUAUCAAGUAUAUACACGUAUUAUAAAUAUAUAAAUAUAUGACAAAGCAUAAACUAAUAAAAAUAAUAAGAAUAAUAAUAAUGAUAACAUUGGAAUAUAAAAGAAACAAACAUAACAUUAAUAAAAUAUUAAAAUAAAGUGAAAUAAAAAUAUUAAAUAUGAGAAUAUAUAUAGGUAUACACGUACAUAAUAAAAAUAUAUACUAAUACAUAAUAAUAAUAAUGGUAAUACUAAUAAUACUAAUAAUAUAAAAAUAACAAGGAUAUUUAAUAAAGAUAUAAAAAUCAACAAAAAAGGACUAAAAUUGAAUUGAAAGCAAAGUUGUGGGGCCAAUUUGAAAUGAAAACAAAGAAAAAGGACUUAAUUGUAACACGCAUGCAACUUGGAGGGUCAAAAGCGCAAUAAACCCAAGUAUUAAAAACGCUGCGCAGCGUGGGGGACCAGAAUGAAUUCGGGGCAACACCAUGGAGCCAAAUUAAAAAUAAAAAAACCUUGAUUGUAAACUCCCAGAAAGGCGGAAGGGCUAAAAGUGCAAUUAGCCCUUCCAAAGAAAAAAACACGCGGAUCUUCCUUGGUGCAGGUCGGGUCGACCCGACCCGUGUUCAAAACGACGUCGUUUCAUUUAUUUAAACCGGGGGUCCAAAACGGUGCGUUUUGACCCCCUAUAAAAGUCAAAAAAACUUCAAAAAAAAAUCAUUUGUAACGCUGAGGGAAAAAAAAGAAAAGGGAGAGAGGAGAGGGGAGCCCGGAGCGAUUUCCGGCCAAGGGAGGGGUCACCGGACGGCCACCGGAGGCUCGCCGGCGUCAGCGCCGGCCACCGCACGCGGUGGCCGGAAAGGUAAAAUUUUUUAUAUUUUUUUUAUAUUUUUUUUGUUAUUUAUUCUUGGUCUUAGAAUGUAUAGAUUUUAGGUUUAUAUUAAUAAAAAAGGUAUAGAUAUGUAUAUAGAAAUCGAAAGAAAAUGGAUGAAAACAAAAAGGUAACCUUUUCCGUUUGCCUUUCCUUUUUCCCGAAUGCUUGCUAUCUCAGUACUGAGAUCUAUGUAUUUUUUUUAAAAUUUUAGCUUCUGUUUUUUUGUAUUAAAAUGCCAAAAAACAAACAAAAAGAAGAAAGAAAAAAAACCCCCUGAUACAAUUUUUGAUUCGGGUUUUUAUAACCCAUUUUCAUCUAAUUUCCUAUUGUUUCUGUUUUGUCUCUUUGCAUGGGAUGGGCACGAUGGAGGUGACAGAGGCAUGGUGGUACAGAGGAGCAGGUGGCCGACAUGGUGGCAUGGAGAGCUGGGCGUGGCAGACAAGGAGGCCACGCGAGGCAUGCGGCGCUAGGGUUUGGGGGGCAUCUUUCUUCCGAAAAUGUUAAUGUUGUCUGGGCUGGGUUUUUAAUUUUUGUUUCGGGCCAUGGGCUACAUUGGGCUUGUUAUUUUCCUUUGUAAUUGGACUGUUGUUUAUCUUGUUUUAAUAUUCGGGCCUGGGCAUAAAAUUGGGCCUUACAGCUGCCCCUCUUUGCUUGUUAUCGUGUAACGAGAACAGAGCAAAGACUAAAAAAGGCCAAUUUGGCCCGGGCUCACCGAGUUUUGACUUCUUUUGGUGCUUCCUUUCUUCAAGCCUCAUUCUAGUCCACUGCGUCUUAUGAUUCUUCGAUCUGCUCUACUGCAACUUCAGAUACGCCUUAUAGCUUCAAUCUACUCUGCUACGACUCCAUGGGGAUGAGAUUUGUGUUUUUAGUCUGCUUCACUACUACUUAGGGAGAUAAGACUGUGGUUUCGUCUGCUCCGCUACUGCUUAGGGAGAUAAGACUGUAAUCUCCGAUCUAUUCCACUGUCAAAUACAGGGAGAUAGAGUUAUCAGCUUCAAUGUACUCCACUGUAGUCACAGGGAGGUAAAAUCUGCCAUCUUUGAUCUUCAAUCUAUUCCACUGCCAAAUACAGGGAGAUAGAGUUAUCGGCUUCAAUGUACUCCACUGUAGUCAGGGAGGUAAAAUCUGCCAUCUUCGAUCUGUUUCGCUGCCAAAUACAGGAAGGCAAGAUCUGCAAUCUUCGAUCUACUUCACGCCAAUACAUGAAGAUAAGAUCUGCUUUCUUCGAUCUACUUUGCCACCAGUAUGGGAAGACAAGAUCUGCAUCGUCGAUCCACUUCCUACCAAUAUAGGAAGACAGGACCUGCUAUCUUCGAUCUACUUCACGCCAAUACAUGAAGACAAGAUCUGCUUUCUGCGAUCUACUUCGCCACCAAUAUGGGAAGACAAGAUCUGUAUCUUCGAUCCACUUUCUACCAAUAUAGGAAGAUAGGAUCUGCUACCUUCGAUCUACUUCACGCCAAUACAUGAAGACAAGAUCUGCUUUCUGCGAUCUACUUCGCCACCAAUAUAGGAAGACAAGAUCUGCAUCUUCGAUCCACUUCCUACCAAUAUAGGAAGAUAGGAUCUGUUAUCUUUGAUUUACUUCACGCCUAUACAUGAAGACAAGAUCUGCUCUCUGCGAUCUACUUCGCCACCAAUAUGGGAAGACAAGAUCUGCAUCUUUGAUCCACUUCCUACCAAUAUAGGAAGAUAGGACCUAUUUACGCCUAGUGUUUAGGAUGACAUGAUCAGAAUGAAUCAAAUGCUCCUAACUAGAUGCGUAUGUAUUAUAUUUGUAGAAUGUCAUGAGAAUGAUCCAUUUUUAAUGCUUAGGUUGUCAUUCUUCAUUGUUCAUCAAGGUUCUAUCACUGAUGCCUUCUUGUUCAGCCAGUACCUUUGACAGAAAACCUAAAGAAAUAGACGCUAUUUAGACUAUCAUUUCUCAAAUGUUUCCAACCCUUAGGUUUGGUUAGUUCUAAACAAUAGUCCUGUUUCAGGUCAUCGUAUUAUUUAGAAACUUUCAGAGUAAUAUGCAGAACUCCUUCUGCAUGUGUAUUGUCAGUCCAUUAAUCGUUAUUUCAAUGAAAAAUGCUUGAAAAAGAUUAUCAAAAUGGACAAAAUGGAAUUUUGUUGAGAGCAAAGCUCUAAACAAACAAAUCAAGAUAGCAAAUUUGCUGAGAUACGAGAUGAAUAAGAUGAAAAAGAUUAUCACAACGGAUAAGAUGAAAAUUUGCUGAGAGCAAAGCUCUGAAUGAACAAAUUAAUCAAGAUAGCAAAUGUUGCUAGAAUACAAAACGAGAAUAAAUUAAUCAAGAUGAUGUAUUUUGUCAAAAAUACAGAAAAUGAAUAAAAUGGAAAUAAGUGCCCCAGAUAUCGUAGCAUGAGCUUCUCUGCCCCAAACUUCUUAAGGACCCUUUUGAACUUGAUAUGUGUUUAGAAGUCCUAGAAGGCUUUGUUGAUGCCCCAUCUUUGAUCGAAAACUACUUUAUGCCUCAUCCUUGAUCGAAAAUUUGAAUUGCCCGUUCCUGGGUUUUCAAUUCAAAACCCCUUUGGUCUCAAGGUGCCCUUUGCGGGUUUUCGCCUUGGCCUCUCCUCUUUUUUUUUUUUAGGCAAAGUACCUCUUCACUGAAUCCGAAUUCACAGGAUUGGGCAAGCUUUUGCCAUCCAUCCUAGUUAAAAUUAAUGCCCCUCCUGAAAAGGCCUUUUUUACUACAUAAGGUCCCUCCCAGUUUGACAUCCACUUUCCUCUGAAGUCUUUUUGUAUGGGAAGGAUCUUCUUCAGUACCAAGUCCCCUUCAUGGAAGUUUCUAGGACGAACUUUCUUAUUGUAAGCUCGCAUCAUUCGUUUCUGGUAUAUUUGACCAUGACGGAUAGCUCUUAACCUCCUUUCCUCAAUCAAGUUCAGCUGAUCAUAUCGGGAUUAGACCCAUUCUGCUUCGUCUAACUUUAGUUCUGAAAAAACUCAGAGGGAGGGAAUUUCAACCUCAAUUGGUAGCACUGCCUCCAUUCCAUAAACCAAAGAGAAUGGUGUUGCCCCGGUAGAAGUCUUGACGGACGUUCGAUAAGCAUAGAGGGCGAAUGGCAACUUCUCGUGCCAAUCUCUAUAGGUCUCAGUCAUUUUCCCCACAAUCAUUUUGAUAUUUUUAUUGGCUGCCUCCACCGCACCAUUCAUCUUUGGACGGUAUGGCGAUGAGUUGUGGUGCUUGAUAUUGAAUUGACUACAAACUUCUGCUAUCGUGCUAUUAUUCAAAUUUAAUGCGUUGUCAGAUAUAAUCCUUUCGGGCAUUCCAUACCGACAUAUGAUUUCCUUCUUUAAAAACUUGCUGACAGCUGCCUUUGUGACGUUGGUGUAAGAAGUAGCCCCUACCCACUUAGUAAAGUAGUCAAUCACUACAAAAAUGAAACGAUGUUCGUUUGAAGCCUUUGGCGAUAUCGGCCCAAUGACGUCCAUGCCCCACAUGGAGAAAGGCCAUGGGGAAGUCAUGACGUGAAGAGGUGAUAGAGGCAUAUGGAUUUUGUCUCCGUAAAUCUGGCAUUUAUGGCACUUCUUAGCAUAUUUGAUGCAGUCUCCUUCCAUGGUAGACCAAUAAUAUCCAAAUCUCAUGAUUUGUCUGGCCAUUGUGAAACCGUUAGCGUGUGUUCCACAAAUACCAUCAUGGACUUCUUCCAAGAUCUGUUUGGCCUCCAUAGCGUCCACACAUCUUAACAGCACCUGAUCUUUUCCUCUUUUGUACAGGAUCUCUCCAUCUAAGACGUAAUCACUGGCCAGCCUCCUCAACAUUCUCUUGUCAUUCUCAGUUGCUUGGUUUGGGUAUUCACGAUUUUUUACGUAUCGCAAUAUAUCCUGAUACCAAGGGUUUUCGUCCUUUUCUUCUUCUUCGUCAAUGUUACAACAGUGGGCUGGAGCAUCAUAAAUGCUCAUUUGGAUAGGCUUCACAUCCUCUGGUCUAUUUACUUUGAUAAUGGAAGCCAAUGUAGCUAAAGCGUCGGCCAUCUGAUUCUCGUCUCGUGGAAGAUAACAAAAAGUGAUGUCGUCAAACUCCUCAAUCAAUUCUAGGACUAUCCUUCGGUAACUAAUCAACUUAGGUUCUCUUGUUUCCCAUUCGCCUUUGAGCUGAUAAAUUACCAAUGCCGAAUCCCCAUAUACCUCAAGUACCUUGAUUUUGCGUUCUAUAGCCGCGCGGAUUCCCAUGAUACAUGCUUCAUAUUCCGUCAUGUUAUUUGUGCAAUCAAAAUCUAGUUUACUGGUGAAAGGAUAAUGAUCACCGUUUGGAGAUACCAAGACUGCCCCAAUCCCGUUGCCCAUGGCAUUUGAGGCUCCGUCAAAAUUUAAUUUCCAAGUAUUGCCUUCUUGUGUGCUUGCUUCAGUAGUUGCCACAUACAUCAGAUCCUCAUUUGGAAAAUCAAAGUUCAAAGGCUCAUAAUCGUCCAGGGCUCUACUUGCUAGAAAAUCUGCUAUCGCGCUCCCUUUUACAGCCUUUCGAUUCACAUAGGUUAUGUCAAAUUCAGAUAGUAGAAUUUACCAUCGGGCCAUCCUUCCGUUUAGAGCAGUUGACUCCAUCAUGUAUUUCAGAGGGUCUACCUUUGAGAUUAACCAAGUCGUAUGGUACAACAUGUAUUGUCUCAAUCUUCGAGUAGUCCAAACCAAUGCGCAACAUAAUUUUUCAAUUGGCGAAUACCUCGUUUCGCAUUCAGUGAACUUUUUACUGAGAUAAUAGAUCGCUCUUUCCUUUCGUCCUGACUCAUCAUGUUGGCCGAGCACGCACCCCAUGGAAUUCUCAAAUACUGCCAAGUAUAGUAUCAAUGGUUUGUCAGGGCAAGGUGGUAUCAGUACUGGGGCGUUGGACAAGUAAUGUUUAACUCUUUCGAAAGUUUUCUGGCACUCUUCAUCCCAUACACCUGGAUUGUGUUUCCUAAGAAGACGGAAUAUGGGGUCACAUUUCUCGGUUAAUUGUGAAAUGAAUCGAGCGAUGUAAUUUAGUCUUCCUAGGAAACCCCGAACUUCUUUUUGAGUACUUGGCGGAGGUAAUUCUUAUAUGGCCUUAACUUUGUCUGGGUCAAUUUCAAUUCCCUUUUCGCUGACUAAAAAUCCUAGCAAUUUUCCUGAUCUAGCCCCGAAAGUACACUUGGCUGGGUUAAGUUUUAGCUGGAACUUCCUUAACCUCAGAAACAGUUUUCUCAGAACUUGCACGUGUUCCCUUUCUGUUCUGGAUUUUGCGAUCAUGUCAUCAACAUAAACUUCUAUCUCUUUAUGCAUCAUAUCAUGGAAUAAUGCUACCAUGGCUCUCUGAUACGUUGCUCCCGCAUUUUUCAAUCCAAAAGGCAUCACUUUAUAACAAAACGUCCCCCACAUCGUUAUGAAUGUGGUCUUCUCCCUGUCUUCAGAAAGCAUCUUAAUUUGGUUGUACCCGGAGAAACCAUCCAUGAAAGAGAGCAGUGAGUAUCCGGCCGUGUUGUCUACCAAGGUAUCGAUAUGAGGAAGUGGGAAAUUAUCUUUUGGGCUGGCUUUGUUCAAGUCUCUGUAGUCCACACACAUUCGCACCUUCCCAUCUUUCUUAGGAACAGGGACUAUAUUGGCUACCCAUUCUGAGUACUUGACCACCUGUAAGAAACCAGCAUCAAAUUGCUUCUUAACUUCUUACUUUAUUUUUAGCAAGACAUCAGGCCUCAUCCUUCGGAGCUUUUGUUGGACUGGUUUGCAUUCUUCCUUUAUAGGCAAUCGGUGUACCACGAUAUCAGUACUUAACCCUGGCAUAUCUUGGUAGGACCACGCGAAGACAUCUUUAAACUCUUGAAGCAACUCAACAAGGUCUUGCCUUGUUUCCUUGGCAAUGCAAGCGCCAAUUUUUACCUCUCUGCUCUCUUCUAAGGUCACAACUUCUACUGAUUCCUUAUAGGGUAUAAUUUGUUUUUCUUCUUCUUUCAUCAUUCUUAACAAAUUCGGAGAUAAAACGCUGUCUUGGUCACCUUUAAAAUCUUGAGGAUCAUCUAUACUCAUGUCUUGCUCAAAUAGAGACUCUGAAUUAGUAACAGAGUCGCUCAUCUCGUUGAUAUUUGAAGACCUGUUAUUGGAACAAAUGGAGGCCCAAAUAAAAGGAUCUAAGAAUACUUGUAUGCAUAUUAUGAUUAUAAAGGGAAUGAAAAGAAUGAAAGAAUACUUGCUCAAGAUGAAACUGAAUGAUAAGUUUUCACUGAAAUUAGAUUUUGAACAUGUGCAUUUUACAAAAGAUUCUUAUCACCCCCAGGCUUAGGGCAACAAGUGUUCUGAAUAUUACUCUGAAUUAGUUCUAAAUGUUACAGGGAUCUCUUCUGCAGUCCAGUUAUUCGGAACACUUCCAGGUUCGUAAGGACGAAUGCCCGAUAAAUUCCUUUCCACCCUUUCUUCCGCGGAUAUGGCAUUGAUGUCCAACCUCUCAAUCCUUCCUUCUGUAACCUCAUCCUUCUCUUCAGGGUGGACAAUUCCCCCUGAAACAAAAGUCUUAGAUAUAUGAGGAAAGGUUAUCGGUCCCCACUUGGCUUCUAUCCCGCCCAAAUGUGCUCUUCUCCUUUCUUGUCUUUUCUCCAUCUCCUUCCUCCUUUCCCUCGCAAUAGGCUUAUAUCCCAAACCAUAACGGUCCUGUUUGUUAACUAGGAUCGGUACUCCGACCCUUCCCUGGAGGUAUUUUCCAAAUCCUCUUCCAGGCAAUGCUCCCUUUCCCACCGUUAAGUUCAUUGACGUAGCUUUGGAUAUCUUAGGCUCUGGGAUUUUGCUCAUCUCAAUGACAAAUAUGGCAUUUACGAAUUCCAAUGAUCGGAAUGAACAUUCUAUCGCUUCACUAUCAGCCUCUAUGUAUGGCAUAUCAUCGGUGACUGAUGCAAUGAUGUCUUCUUCUGCACCUAUAGUCACCAAUCUACCCUCUACCACCAAUUUUAACUUUUGGUGAAGUGACGAUGGUACAGCCCCUGCAGAAUGGAUCCAAGGCCUCCCUAAUAGGCAAUUGUAAGAUGGUUUAAUAUCCAUUACCAAAAAGUCUACCUCGUAUGUAUUUGGACCAAUCAAUAGAGGUAUCUCGAUUCUUCCCAUCACUUUUCUCUCAGUGCCAUCAAAUGCUCUCACUAUAUUUUGGCAUAAUUUCAUGUGAGAACUAUCCACAGGUAGCCUGUUUAAUGUGGACAGGGGUAAAACAUUCAGGGCCGAUCCAUUGUCAACGAGUACCGCCGGUAGUAUACACCCCUUGCAACGGGCAGUGAUGUGCAAGGCCUUGGUAGAUCCCAUACCGCCUGGCGAGAUCUCAUCAUCGUUGAAGAAGAUGAAGUUAUCGGCAUUUAUAUUGUUAACCAGGCAAUCCAAUUUGUCCACUGAGAUAUCUUUAGCGACAUAAGUUUCAUUUAGCACUUUUACUAACGUAUUACGAUGUAUCUCUGAACUUAGAAGUAACUCGAGCACUGAGAUGCGAGCCGGUUACUUAUGCAGUUGUUCCACCACGCUAUACUCGCUAUGCUUCAAGAAUUUUAAGAAUUCUCUAGCCUCAUUUUCAGUCACCGGUGUAUUAAUAUGCGGUUCAAUUCCGGUCUUCGUUUUAUCUUGUUCAACCGCCAAGGCUUUUCCUUUUAUAGGCCCCCUUUUUGUAUUUCCCGGGUCGCAACGUUUUCCACUACGCGUAUAAAAGCCUGUGUCAUUACCCUCUUCUGAAGCAUUUAUCGGGUUCUCCUCUCCCGUGAUCAUCACAUUGCAGUCAUAAUUCUAAGGAACCUUUUUACUAUCCUUGUAAGGAAAGGCUACAGGUUUUUGGAUUAUGACCCUUGGCGCCAGUUGUAUUCCAGAUCCUGUGCUUGUUGGCCUUGAAAUAAUCACCACCGGGUGAUUUUGGGCCUUUCUCGUAGGCCCCUCCUCUGAGGCAUAAACUUCUCCUUUCUCAAGUCCUUUGAUCUCUUCAUAAAAUUCUAACUCUUUGUUGUUCAUCAGAUUUUGUAACAUGGCCUUGAAAUCAGUGCAAUUUUGAAUGUCAUGGUCUUCUUCAGCAUGAAACUCGCAGUACGUCUUCGUUCCUUCGGGCCUUUCUUUUGAAUCUUGUUUGAUGAGACCUCCUUCUAUCAUUUGUCUCCAAACCCAACUCAAUGGGGUUUUUAUCUCUGCAAUGUCGGUUUUGAUUCUCUUUCUCCCACCUUCGAUUAUUGCGUUUACCCCUUUAUCAGCAUGAUCGGGUAACGGAUUCGCUGCUACAUUUGGUCCUAAUGGGUUGUCAAACUUCACAAUCCCCAUCUUAAUGAACCUUUCCACCGCCUUUUUAAACCCAGUGCAGUUCUCAAUUGAGUGCCCCGGUAUCCCUGCAUGGUAUUCACAUUGGGCAUUCGCGUCAUACCAUUUGGGAUACGGAGGUUGCAUGGGCUCUAGAUAAAAUGGAGAUACUAUGUGUGCAUCAAAUAACUUCUGAUACAGUUCCCCGUAUGUUAUUGGAAUGGGCGUGAAUUAAAGUCUCUCUGUGUUAGUCCUUGUGUUAGGCCUCGUGUUGGGUUCCUGCCUUGAGGGGGCUUGGUGACUAGUGGUUAUCAUUUUUGGAGGGCCAACAGUAAUCAGUUUUGAAUGGCUCUUGCUAUAUGUGCAUACGUUGUUUACUUCGCCCUCUUUUUUUCUUCGGGCUGGUCUUUUGAAGUUUUCCCCAGUGUCAAUUUUACCGCUCCUUACCGCGUUCUCAAUCAUUUCACCAGACAUUACCAUAUCCGAGAAACUCUUGGUAGCACUCCCCAACAUGUGGUUGAUGAACAGGGCUUUCAAAGUGUUGAUAAACAACAUGGUGACCUCUUUUUCCAAAAGGGGUGGCUGGACUUGUGUUGCCACUUCUCUCCAUCGUUGGGCGUAUUGCCUGAAAUUCUCGCUAGGCUUUUUUUCCAUGUUUUGUAACGUAAUUCGAUCGGGUGUUAUAUCCAUUACAUGACUGUAUUGCUUCAUAAAAGCUUGCGCCAAGUCUCUCCAUGAACUAACUUUAGCACGACUCAGUUGGUUGUACCAUUUGGCUGCAGAUCCGAUCAAACUGUCCUGGAAGCAGUGGAUUAACAGCUGAUCAUUGUUGACGUAUCCUGUCAUUCUUCGACAGAACAUAGUUAUAUGAGCUUCAGGACAACUAGUCCCAUUAUAUUUUUCGAAUUCUGACAUUUUGAACUUAGGUGGGAGUACUAAACCAGGGACCAAACUCAGAUCAUUGACGUCAACCCCGCGAUGACAGUCGAUGUUCUCCAUGGCUCUAAAUUUUUCCUCUAACCAUCUACAUCGGUCCUCCAGUUGUUUUGGCAGGUUCAUUCUUGUUUUUUCUGUUUCUGCCACGUCAUCGAGGUCCGGGACCACCAGAUUAGUGGGAUUAUCCCCGGGAUUAAAACCCGAGCCCAUUUGAAAAUGCACUGGUACCGAGGUACCAGCCAGAUAUUGAGGUCCUAUGGUAACUGGUACCCUCUGUGGGUACACCUCUGGUUGUGCUUGGAUGUUAGUUGGGGUGAAACCUGGAGGAUAAACAGGGUCAUCGUGAUCCUCCCCAGCAUCAAUUACGGGGUCUUUUCCUUUGUUAUUCCCUCCAGCCAAUAACUGCUUUAAUUGGUUCAUCACGGUGUUCUGGGAUUCUAACAUGUCCUGCUGGAUUUUUUCCAGUCGUUCAUGCAUCUGAUCUUGCAUCUCUCGUUGCAACUGUUCCAAUCUUUCCAACCUUUGAUCCAUUGCUUUUGUUUGGCGACGAGUACCGUAGUGAUAUUUGAUUAGAUUUUUGUUGGUUUCCAGGGUAACUGUCAUAAUUUAAUUUUAUUAGGGUCAUUUUAUGAGAUGUAAUGCAAAUGUAUGAGAUGAAUGCAAAAAAAAGAGGCAUUGAUUCGAAUUCAAUUUCAUUAGAAAACUCAACUAGAAAGCAAAUUUCUUUACAUAAAAUAAAUUACAUAUACGGCUUCGCCUUUAUACCCAAAGCCUUAACCUUCCUAAGAAGCCAACUAAAUCUCGACCUCGGCUUGAUUCUGACUCAUAUUUUAAACUCAAUACAUCGGCCUGAAUUGCUAAUGUUUGCAGAUGAUCAGCCACUUCCCGCACUUGAGUCACAGCUUCGCCCAUAACGUAAUCUCUAUCUCUAAUCUGACUUUGAGAAUGAUGGAAUUGCUCUUGCCAUUGAUCAUUACUCCUCUCAAGAAGCUCCAUUCGUAGCUCAGAAUUGUGUAAUGCGUCCUCAAGCUCCUCUACCUUUCCUUUCAGUUCUUCGAUCUUAUUUAAGCUUGCUCUUAAUUCGAUCAUGGAGUUGCGACUACGGUACGAGUGAAGUGACUUUUCUAGCUCUGCCACCUUGGCCUUUAAUCCUGCCUUCUCAUUUCGGCACUCUAACAAACUCCUUUCCAAAGCGUUUUCUCGAGCUCAAGCAUCUUGAAAUUUCUUUUCCCACUGAUCGGCCCUAUUCUUUUCCUCAUUGAUCUCUUGUCGCCAUUGCUCUGACGUUUUACCCAGACCGACAGUUCUCAUUGACAAUCGCAGCUUCUUGUAAUCUAUUUUUAGACUAUCCAAAUCCUCUUCAGCCUUGUUCUUUCCCUUCUUUAAUUUCUCGGCUUCUAGCUUGUGGAUAUCGAUGUCUAAUCCCAAAUGCACUCUUUCUUCUUCUAGCUGUUCUAUCCUCUUUCCCAACUCAGAAUUUCUUUUCUCAAAGUCUCGUUUGAUGAUCUCUAAUUCUGACGGAACUACUUGUAGAUGCUCCUCUAUAGACUGAACGCAAUCUUCCCUCGGCUUAGGGAUGUUGUCAUUGACUCUUUUACUCCACCACCCAUAAUAUUCUGAAGUUGUCAUCGCUCCUACGGUAAAUCUUUUCAUUCGGUGAACCUGUUUCCAAGCGUUAGAUAUUUCUCGAGUUUUUCUCUUGUAGUUUUCAUCCUUAUAAGAAAACUCACAUUGAGCCAGCCCUUGUGUUGCUGGUAUGAACUGUCUCGAUCUAUAUUGUCUUAAUACGAGUAAAGGGGCAUAACCGACAGCUCCCCAAAUUUCGAGUAAAGGGACCCAGUCGAAAUCCCCACAUCGAUACAGGAUCUCGUCGGGUACCAUCCAAGGAGCUUUCCAUUCAACGUCAUCCUCCUGAAGAUUUUGGAGAAUCGUCAUCCACUUCUCUUCCGUGAUGUCGUCUCGUCUUGGUGUAGCAACUUGUUCCUUCAAUGGGGAAUAGUCUUCUGAGAAGACUCGAUAGGAGACAUUUUCCACCUUCCAAAAGUGACUAUGGAACCACACUAAUAGUAGCUGUGCGCAUCCGAUGAACCUUCCCUCCCCUGCUCUUCGACAUGCACUUAGAAAUCUGAAGGUUUCUGCUAAGAUUGCCGGGAUGGGCGUGACUCCUUUACUAAGCCGAUCGAACAAAUCAGAGACGGCCUCAUCUACGUGCCCUAAAGCUCUAGGGAAAAUUACCAAUCCAUAGAUACCUAGAGCGAAGACAUCCACUCUUUUCUUCACAUCAGGGUGUGCUAAUACUAAAUCUCGCAAGCUUUUCCAAGGAACGCAUUUACUGUCUCCUUUCUGUUGGAUUCGGGCAGCGACCCACUGUUCGCUCAUCCCUGUAAUGCUCAUCAAUUUUUUUAAUAAUGUCGGGACACUAGCAGCUCUAGAAUAGGCCUUGUCAAUUUGAAUCUUUGGACACCGAAGCAAGGUCGUAUAUUCUUCCAUGGUGGGCACCAAGUCCACUUUUCCAAAAGUGAAACAACUGUAAGCAGGAUUCUAAAACUGGGCUAGGGCUCGGAAUAAAUGCUUGUCCACUUUGACACCAAGUAGGUAAGGCAAGUCCCCGUAGUCACAGUAAAACAUCUGCUUGGUCCCAUCGUCCCAUUGAUCCCAUAUUUCCUUCAUUUCUCGAAGAUCAUUUUGGAUUACGCUGAUACGGGUGAAGUCCCAUAACUCUGAUACGUACCCUUCUGCAAGACUAUCGCCUUUCUCUCUCCACAUCGUCUCAGCCCACACUCGUACAGCUGCAUUGUCUUCUACUUUAUCAAGAAACCUCUUUUCCAUGAUAAGCUUUCUAUCUAUACUGAACGUGAAUCGACACCUUUUGAAAUGAAAAUGCCAUGCAAUCAUAAACAAAGCAAAUCAGAGCUAGGAUUUAAAGUAAACAAUAAUAAAUAAAGCAUCUAUUCGGUAAGCGCUAGGGUUUGGAAUAGCUCUAUCUCGGUGGGUUCUUACGGCUCGCUAUAUGUGGUUUAGUUCUAAAGUAAGGGUACCUGAACCAGCAGAUUCCUCGAUCCUCACCCAUUAUAGGCUCAUGGACCGAGUUCAGUUCAGGGGAAUACAUUUCCCUAUGGCCAUGCGGAGAUGAAAAUCUCACGAAGACAUAGGUACGGAUGUAUCCCGGAAGCGAUUCACUAUCCCAUGCGGAGGUGAAAACCUCACGAAGGCGUAGUUUCUCACUCCCACUUAAAAAGGUAUGACCAGCGAUCAUGCAAUUCAAUGUGCAGAGGUAUAAAAUAAAAUACAGAACACGAUAAAAAAUAUAACUCAAAACAAAAGAGAUGCAAUGAAAGGAUCGUAAAUUUAAAUCAAAUUUUCCACUUUCAACAAAAAGACAAGAAAUAAUCAACACGUGGCUUGACUCUCUUUCGUUCCCCAGUGGAGUCGCCAAGCUGUUGACACCAUUUUUUUGAUGAAAACGGGGUCGACUUGGAUUUUGAAAAAAGAAUGAAAACGGGAGUCGCCACCAAUCCUUUUUGACGAGGUGUGAUCGGGUCACCUCAAAAUGUGGUUGUUUUUAAUAAAUGAUUUAAUUUUAUUAAAACAACGAUUUUGGUCUACGAAAUUCAGAAAAAUGAGUUCGGGAGUCGGUUACGCACGAGGAAGGAUUAGCACCCUCGAUACGCCCAAAAUUGGUACCUAGUUGAUUAAUUAGUGUCUUAGUGUCGAAAAUUGAAAAUUUGAAGAGUUUUAAAAAUACGAUCCUUAAAAGAAAUUCUGAUAACGUGAAUUGAAAUAUAAGAUUCUCUUGUUCCGAAGGAAUAUCACAUCCAGCACGUUAGGACACGAUACUCUAAACCAUCGAAACCAAGAUCAUCUUAUAGUUUAAUGAAACCACACUUUGAAGCUUUAAGAGGAUAUUUGGCUAUUUAGUCGAACGAGAAAUCGAAACCCAGCACGUUAGGGCACGUUUUCUCGAUUUUCCAAACGCGAAAUAUCGCCUUAUUUAGAAAAAUUUUCCUUUUGAUGUUUGGUGUUAAUGCUUGACAAAACAAUAACGAAUACGACAAGGUGAGCAAAGUAAAGUGAGUAACAACAAUACAAUAGGCAAAAUGAAAUGACGAGGCGAUUACAUAAACAAAGCAUACAAAUAAAUAAAUAGAACUAACAUUUAAAAAAAAGCAUAAGUGUACACGAAUAAAUAAACAAACACCAAAUAACAAUGAUGACAAUAAAUACAAUUAUGUAAAAAUGUAUAUACAUGUAUAAUUUUAAGCCAUGAAAUAAGAAACGCAUAUAAAUUAUAGAAUAUGAAAACAUAGAUAAAUAUAUACAUAUGUGUAAAAAAUAAUAUUAUAAAAAGGGUACGUAUAUAUGUAUAAAAAAUAAAUGUAUUAACAAUGAAUAUAAUAAGGGUAAGAAAACAAGUAUAUACACAAUAUAUAUGUAACGUAGGUACUAAGGAUAUAUAUAUACAAUACAGUAUUUAAAAUAAUAUUUACGUAAUAUAAAAUAUAAUAUUAAAAGGUAUAUGUACAUACGUAAUAUAUAAAUACAUAUAUAAUAUAAUGUUAAAAUAUUUACAUAAUACUAAAAUAUUUAGGUAAUAUAUGCGUAUAUUGAAAACUAGUAAUAAUAUUACCGAGGUAUAUACAAAUAUAUCAAGUAUAUACACGUAUUAUAAAUAUAUAAAUAUAUGACAAAGCAUAAACUAAUAAAAAUAAUAAGAAUAAUAAUAAUGAUAACAUUGGAAUAUAAAAGAAACAAACAUAACAUUAAUAAAAUAUUAAAAUAAAGUGAAAUAAAAAUAUUAAAUAUGAGAAUAUAUAUAGGUAUACACGUACAUAAUAAAAAUAUAUACUAAUACAUAAUAAUAAUAAUGGUAAUACUAAUAAUACUAAUAAUAUAAAAAUAACAAGGAUAUUUAAUAAAGAUAUAAAAAUCAACAAAAAAGGACUAAAAUUGAAUUGAAAGCAAAGUUGUGGGGCCAAUUUGAAAUGAAAACAAAGAAAAAGGACUUAAUUGUAACACGCAUGCAACUUGGAGGGUCAAAAGUGCAAUAAACCCAAGUAUUAAAAACGCUGCGCAGCGUGGGGGACCAGAAUGAAUUCGGGGCAACACCAUGGAGCCAAAUUAAAAAUAAAAAAACCUUGAUUGUAAACUCCCAGAAAGGCGGAAGGGCUAAAAGUGCAAUUAGCCCUUCCAAAGAAAAAAACACGCGGAUCUUCCUUGGUGCAGGUCGGGUCGACCCGACCCGUGUUCAAAACGACGUCGUUUCAUUUAUUUAAACCGGGGGUCCAAAACGGUGCGUUUUGACCCCCUAUAAAAGUCAAAAAAACUUCAAAAAAAAAUCAUUUGUAACGCUGAGGGAAAAAAAAGAAAAGGGAGAGAGGAGAGGGGAGCCCGGAGCGAUUUCCGGCCAAGGGAGGGGUCACCGGACGGCCACCGGAGGCUCGCCGGCGUCAGCGCCGGCCACCGCACGCCGUGGCCGGAAAGGUAAAAUUUUUUAUAUUUUUUUUAUAUUUUUUUGUUAUUUAUUCUUGGUCUUAGAAUGUAUAGAUUUUAGGUUUAUAUUAAUAAAAAAGGUAUAGAUAUGUAUAUAGAAAUCGAAAGAAAAUGGAUGAAAACAAAAAGGUAACCUUUUCCGUUUGCCUUUUCUUUUUCCCGAAUGCUUGCUAUCUCAGUACUGAGAUCUAUGUAUUUUUUUUAAAAUUCUAGCUUCUGUUUUUUUGUAUUAAAAUGCCAAAAAACAAACAAAAAGAAGAAAGAAAAAAAACCCCUGACACAAUUUUUUAUUCGGGUUUUUAUAACCCAUUUUCAUCUAAUUUCCUAUUGUUUCUGUUUUGUCUCUUUGCAUGGGAUGGGCACGAUGGAGGUGACAGAGGCAUGGUGGUACAGAGGAGCAGGUGGCCGACAUGGUGGCAUGGAGAGCUGGGCGUGGCAGACGAGGAGGCCACGCGAGGCAUGCAGCGCUAGGGCUUGGGGGGCAUCUUUCUGCCGAAAAUGUUAAUGUUGUCUGGGCUGGGUUUUUGAUUUUUGUUUCGGGCCAUGGGCUACAUUGGGCUUGUUAUUUUCCUUUGUAAUUGGACUGUUGUUUAUCUUGUUUUAAUAUUCGGGCCUGGGCAUAAAAUUGGGCCUUACAAUAGUCUUAAGUGUCUAUCACAAGAACCUAGAUAUUGUAAAUCCAAUAUCUUCCAAACAAUUCAACCAUGAUAUUAAUGAUGAUGGAAGCAAGAUUAUCCACUAUCAAUGACAUAAAAUGAGCUGUAAAUGCUGACGAACAAACAUGCACUGUUUUUCCAACCUGUGGAUUGAAGAGCAUUGACAAGCUAACUUUGCAGACCAUUUGAAUCCAAUACUAUACAUAAAAAUGCCAAAGGAGAAUAAUUCAUCUUGGAAAAAGAAUUACUAAUAUGCAAAAGCUUACCUUGUUUAACAAGAACACAGCAUAUGCUGCUCUUGUCGUGUCUUGACCUUCUAAAAACAGCGGAAAUUCUGCCAGCUUUACAUUUGCUGAAAGUGUUGUAUCCAAUGACAAAUCAGAAGAUGCAGGGUCUAUUGAAGACGCAUGGUCAUUAAUAUAUGAGCGAGAACCACCCAAGCGCAGAGGAUAACGCAAGGGAACUUGUAAAUAGGAUGCAAUUAGUGAAACAGCCUGCAAAUGAUGAAAUAACAGGAAACAAGAAACAAUAAUAGGUAUGAUUAAAAUUAUAGCCUCAGCAUGAGAAACAAGCAAUCAAGAUGCAGCCCACUAUACCAUAUUACCAUCCUAGCAAUUAAAAAUUACUACAGCAUCUUCAAGCAACAAGGGAUUGUAGGUGGUAGGUCAAAAAACUUGAUAUCCACAGCUUGAUAUUAUCAGAAAAAACAAAUUCAGUAAUAAAUGAUAACUUCACAGAAGAAAUAGAACGCACAUGUGCAACAUAUCCCAAGGCAGUUGCAGAUCUCUGAACCUCCUUUUUGUCAGUGAAAAAACUCAUCUUUGUAAAAGGAAGCAAGGUGAGAUUCAGACCUAAAAUUGUCAACGAUCCUUGAUUGACGGGCUUUGAUGCAGAAGGAUUCCCUAGUGAAGACAGGAACAAAGGAACUUCAUAUCAAUACAUCACCAGACACCACCUCUUUGUGAAAGUCAAAACAAAAUUCAAAAAAAUAUAAUCAUGAAAGUAAGAGAUAUGUAAAAAGUUCAUAAUAUUCAAGAGCAAAAAAAAAUUGUUUUGAUAUGAGGAGAAUUGAAUAGUAGAUUGCUAAAAGAGGAAUAACUGAAUACAGCCAUCAUAACCAAAAGAAGAGUCAAGUGAUAGGUAAUGGUACUCCCUAAGCUGUUUAGGAAUCAUAAAAGACUUGUCCAGUUGACAAAAAUAACUCAUUUUAUUCUCCCCUAGUAAAACAUCAUAUUGGACCAACCAUAUUUGAUAUCAAAGGAUAUGGAUAUCCAGGCAUGCCAUUUAUAGAUAUUCCCAGUGUUGCAAGAAGGAAUUGUUCAAGAGAAAGAAGCUGCUAUUGUUGGUAAAGUUUUCCUCAAACCAUUUUGAACAUCCAAAAUCUCAAGAACAAAAAAGAAAACGUAGGAGGAAAUAUAACAAGCAUCACAACGGGUUCUCGAUGAUAUAAGUGAGAGGAUAAAUGUUAAUUAAGAUUAUAAAAAUAAACCACAAACUAAACAGGAAAGACAUGGAUUUCAAAACGAGGAGACUGGCUGCUAAUUAAAACCAUAUGCGGUGUUGUCUAGGGCGCAAGGCGCAUUCUAGGUGCUAACCUUUAUAUUGCCUCAAGCACAAGGCACAAAAGGAAGCGCUAGCCUGAGUGCAGUAAAGCGCAAUACAUAUAUGUGAGAGUUUUUGCAAGUCUGUGUGUCUACAACAUAAAAGUUUUAAGAUAUAUAGUAAACUCUAAAGUGUGGUCUGGUUUAUCCACAAAACUUGCAAAAUUUUUAUAGGUGAAUGCUCAAAUAUUGAGAAUUAUAGAGUUUGAUAUUAUCCCUUUCUUAUUAGUAAAGGUGUAUCAAAUGAAAACAGUAAAAAAUAAAAUAAAAUAUUGAGAAAUUCAACAAGGCAGGCUUUUUCUAAUGCCCAUUGCCUUACAAAAAAAGUGUGCCUAGGUGCACCAGGCAUACGCUUGAUCAAAUGGACCUCACCUGGAAGGGUCCAAGGCGUUUGGUUGUAUAAAACUAAGGCGUAGGCAUGCCUAGGCGCAUGCCUUGACGACACUGACCAUAUGUUGGCUUUAUUGCAAAGCAUUAGCAAUCCAAAACUACUAGCACAUUACCUAAUCUACUACUGCUAGAAUAGGACUCAAGUUCUUGCUCCUGUGCAGGUCCAACCAAGAUCUUUACAGGAUACAAUAAUGAAACUUGUGAUAUCAUAUAUUGUUGCCUUGCUCGAAGCUUCCUUUGCACAUUUUUAAGUUUAACACAACCCCUUUCUUCAGUGAGUAAUCUAUUUGCUUCCUGUGAUAAAAACAACAUAUAAUCAAUCAUGCCACGCAUGCAAGACUACCAACCAACUAUCUAACAAAAGAUACAAAGAAGUAGGAGAGCAAGAAGGGGAUAACCCUUGACUAUGCAAAGGAAUUCAUAGAAUGAGAAUCAUCUCAUCUAAGCCCCUCAACCACCUUCACAGGGGGUGGAGGUGCAAAGAGAGAGGUCUUAUUGAUCCGAGAGGAGAAUAUAUAACAUCUAAAGCUGAAUAAGAAGAAACCUUGAAAUAUAUCAUAAAUUCAGAAUUCAUGAUAAUAUAAAAAUGAAAUUCCAAAGCUAAUUUAAGCUAGAAUAAAAAUGCUUCACCUGUAAUCACUUCCUUGCUACAGAAAGAGAGGUACCAGCAACCAACAAUGAUCUUACUUCAGUACUAAGCAUUUCCUCCUGUUUUUUAGCAUCCUCUGUUGCAACUUUGCAAUGAGUUGACAUGUUUGCCAUAACUACUUUCCUUGCCUCGAGUCUCUCACGCAUUUCCUCAAGCUCGUUCAGUUUAUUCAAAGACUCAUUUUUUACCUGCACAGCAUGUUCCCACCCAUUAAUCAGUGGGCCAAUUAAUUAGGUCACAGAAGACAAAACUAAAUUAUCACUCACCAGGUCCCCUUGAAGUGUCAUAUGGCUUUAACAAUUCAACGUGCAAUAUCUAGUAAAAGUAAAAUAAACAUAGAAGAAUGCAAAUGCAAUUCUUAAACGCCUUUAAAUGGACAACAUGAAACACUUUAAGAGCCCUAUAAAACAGAAAACUGGAAAAAAAAUCUGAAAAGGAAAAAAAAAUGAAUUGAAACAAUAAAUCCAUCUGGUACAAACAGCAACAAAUCUCGAAAUAAGCUUUGGCUUUAGCCCAUUAAAGCCCGGGCAUCCGGCCAAAUAAACAGUGACUGCCAUGUCAACUUUUUGAGACGGUAGAAAAGAGCUCAAAAAUCUCAAUUUCCAAAAAUAAGGACAUAAGAAGGAAAACAAUUUACUUAUUCUUACAGUAGAAGAGCAAAAUGAAACUAAAUGAAGGAUAAGGGAACUGAUGCGAAUUGACAUUGUUAUUUUUGGGACUAAAAAGAAUACGCAGAUUGAAUAUUUAAGAUUUUGUAAGGGAAAAGUUCCAUUCACCGACACAAUUAUCAUCGCCCUUUAUCCCAGUAAAGCUUAAUUGACAAUUUUUCUGUCUCGUGUUCUUGCUAAAGCAUUUGAGCAACCCAACAGAAAUCAUUAUAUUUCAAACUGAAAUGAUUGGCUUUAACAAUUUCACAACCUAUACCGCCCAACCUAGUAAGUAAUUUAGGUGCAGACACCAGAAAUCUAUUUUCUUUGCACUCUACAACUAAAUAGCAUACCACUUAUCAAUCAAACACAGCUGAAAACUUCAGUGAGGGAACAUUAUGUAAAAUGAAAAAACUAUAACUUCAACUUGAUUCAUAGCUCGGCAAGUUCAGGGAAUUGGGACUUCUACCACGAUGAUCCAGUUCAAUGUGAAACAGUGAUCCAUAUCAUGCAUAUCGGUUCCCGGAACAAGAGGUAAAACCAGCAAAUUAGGUAAACAAUAAUCCUACUAUAUUUCAGAAUAGCAACAUUGAGCAUGAAAGCUAAAAUUAUAGCAUAUUACGGGUCCUUGCUCUCUACAACUACAUAUAAAAUUAGUAAACAAUAUUACUACAUUAAGGAUCCAGAAAAACUUUGUUUCAAUUGUUGAUCACUUGAUCCAACUAUUUUAGAAAGUUUAUUCUUCUUUUUCCUUUCCCUUAUUUUCUAAAUCAGGAAAAACAGUAGCAUAUAAAUUGGAUUACUACUCCAAGUUUCUGAAAUUUCAACAAUAUCCCUUUUACCUUUUCACUCAAGUCAUUACCCCCCAAUUAACAAAUAUAUUCCCAGUUUCCCUUUCCCUUCAAACACCCCUUUUUUUUUCCUCUACCCAAAUUCAGCUUAUGUUCAAAAACCCAAAAUUGGUUUGCUAAAAUAACAUAAUUUUCAAACACAAAGAUAACCUAAUUUUAAUCAGAAAAAAAAAGCAUUACCUGAAUUAGUGACUGGAGUUUCUCUUGAAGACUUUGUUUCUUCUCAUUAGCUUCCUUAAGGGCAGAAGUUAAACUCCACAAUCUAGCUAGCUCGUUGUCGAAAUCUUCCCAUUCAAUUAGUUGCACAUUUUCAUGUGCAGCAUUGAUUUUCUUCGGGUCGGUAAUUAGGGUUUUGACUCGGGCUUGUUCUCGAUUUUCCAUGAAAUAAUUGAAGAGGAAAGCUUUCGAUUCUGUAAGUUUAAAAAGGGAUCAUAGAUCGACCUCAUGGUACUGGAUCUCGCCCGGUUAGAGUGUUCUUUUUCACGCCGAUCGAAUCAUUUUCUCGGGAAACUUUGCUAGCUAGGGGUAAUUUUCUCGGGAAAAUGGAGGGAAAAACAGAUUCGGGAGUUUUUAUUUGGGGGAGUCUAAGGUAUAACGGAGAAUGACAGGUGGCGGUUAACGGAGGAAUCUCACGAUUCAUGUCAUUUUCACUUUUUCGAUUUAGAAAUUGCUUAAAUACUUUUAAAAAUAGAUAAUAAGAUAAACUUUCUUUUUGAAUAAGAUAAAACUUUCAUUGAAAAUAAAUAAAUAAAUUAAAAAAUAUUUGAUGAUUUUUAAGUUGGUAAUUUUUUUUUAUAAAAAUUUGGUAACUUCUUUGAAAGUUGAUAUAAAAUGUAUCACGACCCGACUUGAGAUUUAAUUUGUCCUCGUCAGAAGUCCGACCCAAACAAGGGAAUAUGACUUGCCACUCACCAAUUUUUUAACCUUCCAACUUGCCAGCUUUAUGGAGUAACUCGGCACCUUGCGACACUACCUAACAUACCGUGAGAUUUAAGUACAAAUAUCUCUAAGGGUAUGUGUCAAGCUUAAGAGAAAUAACAUAUUAUUAUACAUAUUAUUUAGUUACCCCUAACAUGUCACGUCAAAAAAUCAUACUAUAAAAAAUAGUCCUCACAAGAUAGGAUAGAAAAAAAAAGUCAUCAACAAAAGUAAUUAAGUAACCUUUUUAUAAAACAAAAAGAUUUAUUUUAUUUUGAAAUAAAUUAAUUCUCUAACUUAUAUAAGAAAUUAAGUAAAAUCUUUUUAAAUAAUAAGACAUAAUUUCUCGAAAAAAAAUAAUCAAAUGAGAGCUAAUCAAAAUAAUUUAUUUUUUUAGGCCAAACAAUUUUACUUCAACUAUUUAUAAACACUUUUUAAUCAAUUUUAUUUUAACUCCCAUUAUAAAUUUUAUAAAAAGGAUAAUAUAUUAAAAAUACCCUUAAAUUAUUAGAUUUUGUAUAAAUAAACUCUUAUUUUUUUUAGUUAAAUAAACUCCUAAAUUAUUAAUUUAGUCAUGAAAAUGUUGAUAUAAAAGUAUGAGAAUAAUUUAUUAAAUAAAAAAUUAAUUAUUUUAAAAUAUUUAAAAUAUUUAUAUACAUAAUAAACUUAAUUAAAUUCUCUAGAAAAAAAAUUUAUAUUCUUUUAAAUUUUAUGUUGAUAUAUUAUUUCUAUUUGUCUAAUAAAGUGCAUAACGAGGCAAUAACUAUUUUUUAUGUAUAAAUUAAACAAUACUACAACUUCCGAAGUUAAUAAGAUUAUAUCUAUACUCACCAUCACAAUUAGAGACAGGGGUGAGUAUUCGAUCGAAUUGAGUUAAAAAAUUUUGAAUUAGUCGAGUUAACAAAUCUUAUUUUAGCAAUCGAAAUCAAUUUAAAUUUUUUUAAAUCAAAUCGAAUCGAGUCAAAAAAUUUCAAGUCGAAUUAACGAAUCCUAUUAUUUAUACUCAAUAUUGCGUUUAUAUGGGCUGAUUAUUUAACUGGUAGACGAAGUACAAGAUUAUUUAACUAUAUAAACAAUAUAAUGGUUUUGCAUUGUAACUUAAUAGGUAAACAUUUAUCAAAACGAAAUAAUUUUACCUUUUAAGUUAAUGGUUUUGACUUUUAACUUUUAACUUUAAAAAAUAUAAACAUUUAUCAAUACGACGUAAAUUUACAUUUUCGUAUUCGGAUUUUCGAAUAACUCGAAACGUGUAAUUCAUAUUCGAGUUAAACUAAAAAUUUUAAUUUUUUUAUUUGAGUUAAUCUGAAUAACUUGAUUAAAUCGAAUAACUCGAAUUGUUUAAUUUGAAAUUUGAUUUUUUUAUCGAAUUUUUCAAAUCAAAUCAAAAUUUACUCACCCUUAAUUAGUCAUCAUAACUAAAUUAAAGUUGCCCCAUUAUGCAAUUGCAAGUCUUCAAAGCCUAAAAGUUGUAACAAUUCAAAAUUUCAAUGGAAAUUAAAAUUAAUAUUUUUAUCAUAUAUUAGUCAAAGUUUAUUGCAUCAACAAUAAGUUAAGAUAAAAACCUCAAAUUUUAAAAUAUUUUUACCUCAAUAUAAAAUUUAAGAGCUUUCAUGUAUAAAAACUAAAGGUUAGAGCUUUCAUGUUUAAGGGCUUAUUUAUACUUCAUCUUUAUAAAAAAACACUUAAAUAGUAGUUUAAAUUAUAUAGUUAAUCACUCAAUUUUAGUAAAUUUUCAUUUUAGUCACUCGUUGUUAAUUUGGCUAAUGUAAAUAUUACAUUACACUGAUUUUAGUCACCUAAUUUUCAUAAGAUAGAAUUAAUUUUAUUUUUCGGUAAAAAAGAAAAGAAAAACUCAAAAUUUUACAAGCAAGUACCUAGGUUUUUAUAGAAAAAACUUGGAGUUUUAUAUGAAAAACCUACGUUUUUAUUGGAAUAGUCAUAUUAUCUUUUUUUAUUUCAUUUAUUUUUUUCAUUUAUAAAAUUAAUUUUAGCUUUUUCAAUGAAAAGAAAACCUAAUUUUUUACUAAGAAAAUCAUUUUAUCUUUUUAAUUUCUUUUACUUUCAUAUUUAGAAUUAAUUUUAAUUUUUUUUCCAAUAACAAUGAAAAAAAACUUGGAUUUUUACAAUGAGUUUGUUGGGUUUCCACGAGAAUUGCUUGAGUUUUAUGAAUAACUCAAUUCCUUAAAAAAUUCUAAAAAAAAUUAGAAAAAUAAGAUUAAUUAAAAAAAAUGGAGCAAAAUGAAAAUUUACUAAAAUUAGAUGGCUAAAAUGAAUAUACAAUUGCAUUUUCGUUAGCCAAAUUAACAUGUGAUCAAAAUGAAAUAUUAUUAAAAUUGAGUGAUUAAAAUGAAAAAACUAUUUGAUUUAUUUACACCCUGAUUUUAUGAGCAAAUUCCCCAGCACAAAGCCUAUUUUGACAAUAACAGUUCAAAUGAAAAGUCUUCGCUUACUCUUUGAACGAAACUCUUCUCCCGCUAAAACCACCUCUUCUUCCUCCAAAUUCAAACGCCCAAAGCUUUCUUCCAUCUCUAAUGGCUCUGAUUCAUCACAAUCAUCAUCAUCUCAAGAUCCCCUUAAAACCCAUUUCUCCUCUCUCAUCAAAUCCUCCGAAACCACCCUACAACUCCGGCAAAUCCACGCUCAAAUCCUGCGCCGCCACCUCUCUUCCAGUGCCAAUCUCACCACCCUCUUAAUCUCCGUUUCUUCUUCCUUCAAAUCCAUACCUUACGCGCUCUCUAUUUUCAACUAUUCUCACCACAAAAGCUUAUUCCUUUUCAAUGCUUUGAUUCGUGGCUUGACGGAGAAUUCCCAUUUCCAAUCCUCAGUUUCACAUUUUCUUCUCAUGUUGAGACAUAGAGUUCGCCCUGAUUAACUUACAUACCCUUUCGUGCUCAAGUCUAUUGCGGGAUUGGGUCUUCAUUUCCUUGGUCUGAUCCUUCAUGGGAGAAUCAUAAAAUCUGGGGUUGAGUUCGAUUCGUUCGUUCGGGUUUCGUUAGUGGAAAUGUAUGUGAAGCUCGAGGAAAUGGGUUUUGCGUUGCAAGUGUUUGAUGAAAGUCCUGAGAGAAACAAGAGUGAGAGUAUAUUGUUGUGGAAUGUGUUGAUUAAUGGGUGUUGUAAAGUGGGGGAUUUGGAGAAAGCUAUGGAGUUUUUCGAGGCUAUGCCUGAAAGGAAUAUUGGGUCUUGGAAUAGUUUUAUAAAUGGGCUAAUGAAAAAUGGGGAUUUGAACAAAGCAAUGCAGCUUUUUGAUGAAAUGAAGGAGAAGGAUGUGGUUUCUUGGACUACAAUUGUUAAUGGGCUUUCACAGAAUGGAGAUCAUCAGAAGGCGUUAUCCAUGUUCUUUAAGAUGUUGGAGGUCGGUUUAAGGUCGAAUGAUCUUACUCUUGUUUCAGCUCUUUUCGCUUGCGCUAAAAUUGGUGCACUUGAAGUUGGAGUCCAUAUCCAUAACUAUUUUGUGGAAAAUGGGCUUCGGUUGAAUAAAGCAACUGCUGCUGCUUUGGUUGAUAUGUAUGCAAAGUGUGGGAAUAUCCUAUCUGCUAGUAAGGUUUUUGAAGUAACUGUUGCGCGGAAGCGUGUGAAAGAGUAAAAUUAUUGUACUGAAAAAUCACACUAAGUUCAAUUCCCAGGAAAGAGAGGUGGAUCACGAGGAUCGCUUACAUACCAGAUCUUUCCUAGCCAGAAUAUCCCUCUAUCGUAAUUUAAUAGCACAAUAAAUCACUACAAUGACACUUGCAAAAUAUGCAGAACAAAAAAUAAAGAACACUAGAAUUUUAACGAGGUUCAGCAAAUUUUGCCUACGUCCUCGGGCACUACCAAAUAUAUUUCACUCCAAAAAAUACAAGUGAAAGUUUACAAAUAGGGAGAGAGAACAAUUGCCUUAAGUAGAGAUUGGCAAGUGUGGGAUGAAGAAAGUAAGAAAUGGUUAGGCCUAUUUAUAGUUGAGGUUCAAGGAUCAACUUGCAAUGUCCCUAUACAAUUAGGGACCAAAAUUGCAAUUAUCUCAUGCCAACUUUUAACCCAACUUGCCAACCAAUUUUACUUUCUACUUUCGGUGACCACCCUUUUUGACUUUUCAAACAAUGGGUGGGUUCCAAUAAUCUCCACCUUGAAGAUUUGAUUAGGCUAAUCUUAUCUUCACACAAUUCUUUCUGCCUUUGACAACAAUACUUGAUAGUGCCUUCUUCAACUGUUAAACUUGCAGGAUAUUAAUCAAGUUCAAACAAUGUUCGAACUUGGUUGAUGUUACCACCUUGCUCAUCAUAUCUGCGGGAUUAUCUGCAGUCUUGAUCUUCUGAAGACAAAUUUUCCCCUCUUCAAUAAUUUCCCGCACAAAAUGGAAUCGUACGUCGAUAUGUUUUGUACGUGCAUGAUAGACUUGAUUCUUUGCUAAAUGAAUAGCACUUUGACUAUCACGAUACACGUUAAUAUGCUCCUGAACCAACCCCAAGGUUUUAGCCAUACCUUGUAACCAAAUAGCCUCCUUUACAGCCUCUGUUACAGCCAUGUACUCGGCUUCUGUGGUUGACAAUGCAACUGUAGACUGUAGUGUAGACUUCCAACUUAUUGGUCAUCCAGCAAGUGUAAACACAUAACCAGUGGUUGAUCUUCGAUUGUCCAAAUCACCGGCAUAGUCAGAAUCAACGUACCCAAUAACACCUUUACCAAGUGUAUUAUCCUGCUUGAACAGUAAUCCAACAUCCACGGUCUUCUGAAUAUACCGUAGAAUCCAUUUCACAGCUUGCCAAUGUCCUUUUCCAGGAUUAUGCAUAUACCUGCUCACUAUACUAACUGCCUGUGAAAUGUCAGGUCUUGUACACACCAUUGCAUACAUCAAGCUACCCACUGCAUUAGAAUACGGAACUUGCAACAUGUAUUCUCGUUCCGUAUUCGUCGAAGGAGAUAGUUGUGUAAAAAGCUUGAAAUGAGAAGCCAACGGGGUACUUACAGGUUUUGUCUGCUCGUUCAUGCCAAACUGCUGUAGUACCUUUUUCAAAUACUGCUUCUGAGACAAGCUAACUCUAUCAUGAGCUCUAUCUCUCCAUAUUUCCAUGCCGAGAAUCCUUUUAGCUUCUCCUAGAUCUUUCAUCUCAAACUCGAGAUUGAGUUGAGUCUUCAAUCUUUCAAUUUCAACUUUGCUCUUAGAUGCUAUUAGCAUAUCAUCAACAUAUAAGAGCAAGUAUAUGAAAGUUCCUUCUUGUAGCUUCUGAAAAUACACGCAAUGAUCAAAUUUACUUCUUGUGUACCUUUACCCUUUCAUAAACUGAUCAAAUCGCUUGUACCACUGCCUCGGAGAUUGCUUCAAUCCAUAAAGCGACUUUGUCAGUUUGCAAACCCAAUUUUCUUUUCCAGCAACCUUGAAUCCAUCUGGCUGAGUCAUAUAGAUUUCCUCUUCCAAAUCACCGUGUAAAAACGCGGUCUUCACAUCAAGCUGAACUAGUUCAAGAUCAUAUUGCGCAACCAAGGCUAGCAAAAUCUGAAUAGACGAAUGCUUCACAACUGGAGAAAACACUUCAUUGUAGUCUAUUCCUUCUUUCUGAGCGUAACCCUUUGUUACUAAUCUAGCCUUGUAUCGAAUUUCAUUUUUAUCAGGAAAUCCUUCCUUCUUUGCAUAUACCCAUUUGCAUCCAAUUGCCUUCUUUCCCUUGGGUAGUGUCACCAACUCCCAGGUCUUAUUUUUCUGAAGAGACUGCAUUUCUUCAUUCAUUGCUUGCUUCCACUUUACACCAUCAGGGUUACUUAUUACUUCUGUGUAAGUAGAAGGAACAUCAUCAUCUGUAUUUGGAAAUGCAUAGGCCACUAUAUCAUCAAAGCGAGCAGGCUUACGAAUCUCUCUUCUUGGCCUUCUAUAUGCAAUUGAAUCUUGUUGCUGUAGAGAUUCUUGGGUAGGAACCUCUUCAUCAUUUGUCCCUUCAAUAUUAGCUGGAUCAUCGUUAACCUUUUCAAGCUCCACAUGCUGCAAAGUACUAACGGUUUUGUCAUCCUUUUGUGAAUCCUUGUACUUCAACAUGGUUGAUUCAUCAAAAGUCACAUCUCUACUGAAAACAAUCUUCAUUGUAUCAGAACACCAGAGACGAUAUCCUUUUACUCCAUCAGUUAUACCCAAGAAUAAUGCUUUCUUUGCUCUUGGGUCUAACUUAGAUUCUUUUACAUGAUAAUAUGCAGUGGAACCAAAUACAUGCAAAGAAUCAUAAUCAGUAGCAGAUUUACCAGUCCACAUCUCUAUAGGAGUUUUUCCAUUUAUUGCAGCUGAUGGCAAACGGUUAAUUAGAUGGCACGCAUAUGUAACUGCCUCAGCCCAAAAUUCUUUGCCCAAUCCAGCAUUGGACAACAUACAUCGAACUUUCUCCAGUAUAGUUCGAUUCAUUCGUUCUGCCACCCCAUUUUGCUGUGGUGUAUCCCGAACAGUGAAGUGUCGCACAAUGCCCUCAUCUUGGCAUACUUGUAGAAAUGGAUCGUUUUUGUACUCAGUACCAUUAUCUGAUCGAAGUCGUUUGACCUUUCGACCAGUCUGAGUCUCCACCAUCUUCUUCCAUUUCAGAAAUGCAUCCAAAACUUCACUUUUUCUUUUCAUUAGAUACACCCAUACUUUUCUUGAAUAAUCAUCAACAAAAGUAACAAAAUAGUGCAUACCUCCCAAAGAAGCUACUUUGGUAGGUCCCCACACAUCACUGUGAACGUAGUCCAGAAUUCCUUUCGUAUUGUGAAUUGCUGGACCAAAUUUUACCCUCUUCUGCUUGCCCAGAACACAAUGUUCACAGAAUUCCAUUUUGCAAGAAUUUGCACUUUUCAAUAAGCCUUGCUUCACCAAUGUCUGCAAAGCUUUUUCACCAGCAUGUCCCAAUCGCAUAUGCCAUAAUCUGGUAGCCUCUGAAUCUACAUCUUUUGUAGAAACUGUUGAUGUUGAUCCAAUAACUGUACUUCCAUUUAAAAAAUACAAGUUAUUUCUUCUUGUGCCUUUCAUCACCGUCAGUUGCCCAGCUACUACUUUUAGUAAUCCAUCUCUCAAAGUGAUUGUGAGCCCUUUAGAUUCUAGGGCACCUAAUAAGAUGAGAUUUUUCUUCAGGCUAGGUACGUAGCAAACAUCUGUCAAGACUUGGAUUGAGCCGUCGUGAUUCUUCAAUUGGACUGUACCCACUCCCAUUGUCUUACAAGCACUAUCAUUGCCCAUAAGAACAAUUCCACCUUCUAGCUCUUUAAGACUAGAAAACCAGUCCUUAUUAGGACACAUAUGGUAAGUACAUCCUGAAUCCAAAAUCCACUCAUCCGUUUGACAUGCCAUUGCCAUGCCAACCAAGCUAAAGUCUGACUCCUCAUCAUGCUCCGCUACACAUGCAUUAGAAAUAGCCUUGCCCUUUUGUAGCUUAGGACAAUUCUUUUUCCAAUGCCCUUUUUCACGGCAAAAGGCACAUUUAUCUUUGGCGGGUCUCCCUUUGGACUUUCCUCUUCUACCAGAUUUGCUGCUGUGUGAACGACCUCUUACUGUUAAGACUUCUGCGGUUGUAUCUCUGUGAUCUCUUUUAUCUUUCUUUCGAGUCUCAGAUCUAUACAACGCACUACAGACUGCAUCAAAUGUGAUCGUGUCCUUCCCAUGAAGCAAUGUGGUGGUAAGAUGAUCAUAUUCAUCAGGAAGGGAAUUCAACAACAAUAAUGCAUUGUCUUCAUCUUCAAAUUUCUCAUCCAAAUUUAGCAAGUCUGCUAAAAUUUUAUUGAAUGAGUUCACAUGGUCAUUCAUCGACAUACCGGGUGCAUACGUGAAUCGAUAAAGUUUCUUUUUCAUAUAAAGCCUAUUUUCAAGACUUUUCGUUAGAAACUUUUCUUCCAGUGUAUCCCAUAACUUCUUCGCUGAUGUCUCCCUCAUGACAGAGUACUUCUGCUCUUUGGCCAAACAUAGGCGGAUUGUACCACACGCCUGUCUAUUGAUUUUGGCCCACUCCAUGUCAUCCAUCUUGUCAGGUUUUUCUUCAAAUGCUAUAUCUAGCUCUUGCUGACAUAAGACAUCCAGGAUCUCACAUUGCCACAUACCAAAAUUAUUGGUACCGUCAAAUUUCUCUACUUCAAAUUUUGCAUUUGUCACAGUAGUCCUUGCUGAUGACGAUGCUGCUGCCAUUUUUCUCCUCAAUCCCAACUACUGUAUACGUGAACAGUACUGUAUACGUGAAUAGUACCGUAUACGUGAAUAGUGCCGUAUACGUGAAUAGUACUGUAUAUGUAAAUAGUACCGUAUACGUGAAUAGUGCCGUAUACGUGAAUAGUACUGUAAACGGUCGUAUUCCCCAAGUACGAACCUGGCUCUGAUACCAAUUGUUGCGCGGAAGCGUGUGAAAGAGUAAAAUUAUUGUACUAAAAAAUCACACUAAGUUCAAUUCCCAAGAAAGAGAGGUGGAUCACGAGGAUCGCUUACAUACCAGAUCUUUCCUAGCCAGAAUAUCCCUAUAUCGUAAUUUAAUAGCACAAUAAAUCACUACAAUGACACUUGCAAAAUAUGCAGAACAAAAAAUAAAGAACACUAGAAUUUUAACGAGGUUCAGCAAAUUUUGCCUACGUCCUCGGGCACUACCAAAUAUAUUUCACUCCAAAAAAUACAAGUGAAAGUUUACAAAUAGGGAGAGAGAACAAUUGCCUUAAGUAGAGAAUGGCAAGUGUGGGAUGAAGAAAGUAAGAAAUGGUUAGGCCUAUUUAUAGUUGAGGUUCAAGGAUCAACUUGCAAUGUCCCUAUACAAUUAGGGACCAAAAUUGCAAUUAUCCCAUGCCAACUUUUAACCCAACUUGCCAACCAAUUUUACUUUCUACUUUCGGUGCCCACCCUUUUUGACUUUUCAAACAAUGAGUGGGUUCCAAUAGUAACAAAAGAGAAGGACAUUCGUACCUGGAGUGUCAUGAUAUGGGGUUGGGCAACCCAUGGGUUUUAUGGACAAGCUAUCCGAUGCUUCAAAAAGAUGAUGUUUUCAGGUGUGGACUUAGUAGUUUUCAUUGAGCUCAACCCUUUAUUCUAAUCUUUCUGAAUAAACUCAAGUUUGUCGUAUUUGCAGGAAUAAAACCCGAUGCGGUGGUCUUUCUUACCCUCCUGACUGCAUGCUCACAUUCUGGACAAGUAGAUCUUGGGCUUAACUUCUUUGAUAGCAUGAGGUUUGAUUACUCCAUUGAGCCAACCAUGAAGCAUUAUACGUUGGUCGUUGAUUUGUUAGGCAGGGCAGGCCGACUGGAUGAAGCAAUGAAGUUCAUACAAAGGAUGCCUAUAAGUCCUGAUUUUGUGGCAUGGGGAGCACUUUUUGUGCUUGCAGAGCUCACAAAAAUAUUAAAAUGGCAGAACUAGUGUCAGAAAAGCUCCUUCAGCUUGAACCUAAACAUCCUGGGAGCUAUGUUUUCUUGUCAAAUGUUUAUGCAGCAGUUGGUAGAUGGGAAGAUGUGGAGAGGGUAAGAAUGUUGAUGCAGAAUCAAGCUGUUGGCAAAGAUCCGGAGUGGAGUUAUAUUGAAGUCAAUGGACAAGUGCAUAGUUUUGUAGCUGGUGAUCAUGAUCAUAAGCGUGCAAGAGAAAUAUACUUGAAAUUAGAGGAAAUAGUGUCUGGUGCAAGAGAGCAAGGAUAUAUGCCUGAAACUGGGUGGGUUCUUCAUAAUAUUGAGGAAGAAGAGAAGGAAGAUGCAUUAGGAAGUCACAGUGAGAAAUUGGCGCUUGCCUUUGCCUUAAUGAACACUCCUCCGGGGACAACUAUUAGGAUAGUGAAGAACUUAAGAGUAUGUGGAGAUUGCCAUUCUUUGAUGAAAUGUGCUAGUAAGAUGAGCCAAAGAGAAAUCAUAUUGAGAGAUAUAAAGAGAUUCCACCAUUUCAAGUAUGGGGUCUGCUCAUGUGGAGAUUAUUGGUAAAAUGGUAAGUAACAGCAACAUUAAUUUGCUUUGCUGUUAAUAGCACAUGAUUAGUGCUUCUACUUGGUUUAUUUAGAAUAAUGCUUUUAGUUAAAACAUGGAUGUAGCUACAGCAACACAAGUUUUUUUGUUUGAUAAUUGGUAGCAAGUACAUUAAAUUUCUCCAAUGGACCUUUCUGCACAUAUAUAUUAAACUUGAAACUCAUUAGUUAAGUUUGUACUUUAUUUAGGUAUCUAAUUAACGUUGUUAGAUUUUUUCAAUUUCAACUUAUCAUCUUGUGCCACUUCUUUCUCUUCCCUUUAGUGAAAUUUAGCACUUUAAAAGAUGGGUUGCAUUUUGCUCCCUCUGUCAAAAAAAAUGGACAGAUUAAGCUAUACACGUUAGAUCAAAGAGCAAAUAGGUCUUUUUGUUUAAAAAUCCAUCAAUUUUUGUUGUUAAAAAUCAAUCCAUUUACAUCAACAUAAAAUAUAUAACUGUUUGGGUAUCUCAUCAUCCAUGUUAGUUUUUAGCAAUACAAAUGGAUAGAAUUUUUAACAAAAAAAACCAGUUUAUUGUUUGAUCUAACAUACAAUGACUAAUUUGUCAAUUUUUUAAGUAAAUAAAGCAUAAUGCUAAUUGACUCUUAGUAUAAUAUCUCUAUGGUACUUUUAUCAAUACUAUCUCUAUUUAUGAAAUUAAAAAUACUUAAAUAAUUAGAUUUAUUGUAUAUUGUGAUAAAAAAUUAUGUAAGAAAUGCAUUUAUUAAAAAUCCAUAUAAAAUCUAAAUGAUGAUUGUAAAGUUAAAUGUUCUGGUGCAAGAGAGCAAGGAUAUAUGCCUGAAACUGGGUGGGUUCUUCAUAAUAUUGAGGAAGAAGAGAAGGAAGAUGCAUUAGGAAGUCACAGUGAGAAAUUGGCGCUUGCCUUUGCCUUAAUGAACACUUCUCCGGGGACAACUAUCAGGAUAGUGAAGAACUUAAGAGUAUGUGGAGAUUGCCAUUCUUUGAUGAAAUGUGCUAGUAAGAUGAGCCAAAGGGAGAUCAUAUUGAGAGAUAUAAAGAGAUUCCACCAUUUUAGGUAUGGGGUCUGCUCAUGUGGAGAUUAUUGGUAAAAUGGUAAGUAACAACAACAUUAAUUUGCUUUGCUGUUAAUAACACAUGAUUAGUGUUUCUACUUGGUUUAUUUAGAAUAAUGCUUUUAGUUAAAACAUGGAUGUAGCUACAGCAACACAAGUUUUUUUGUUUGAAAAUUGGUAGCAAGUACAUUAAAUUUCUCCAAUGGACCUUUCUGCACAAAUGAUAUAUGUCCCCAUAAAGAACUUGGUGCUCACGGUAUUGCAUGACAGGUAGCCAUAGGUUAUUCGCUCUCUUGAUUGGUAUCUUACAUUCCUCAAGGUCCAAAAGUUGUUCCUUCUUUUUGUCUGAAGUCCAAACCUAAGAAAAGCAUUGAUGGGCCUUUAAAACUUUGCUCAUUUCACUACAUGAACUAUUGGAUGUUUUGUGUUCAAAUUAGUUUAUGCCAGUAGUGAAAGUACAUCUCUUUCUCCUUAUCCAGUUAUUCUUUUCAGUUGUCAUCAUCUUUCUGUGUCUUGCCUUCUGAAGUGUUUAGAUGACUGCAUUUCUCAAUAUAAUUUUCAUUUGACCUAAAUAGUUGAAAUUAAAGUCCCUUAUCAUGCCAUUCAUUACUUUGCUUCUAUAUGGUAGUUAUUCUUCAAUGUCCAUGAAUUGACAUAUAUCACUGGAAGCAUAAUCUUACUUCUAAGCAUGGGAUUGACCUUCUUUAAUGCAGGUUCUUCUGUAAGACUCAAACCAUAGAUGGGCAAGGCUUGAGAAAAUAAAGUUGUAAGUGUUGAACCAGGAAGGACGAUGUUGGCCAUGUUAUAAACAUUCCUCCAGAAUGACUAAACAUCGAGGAAAAGGUUCAACCAUGAGUGGUCCACUGAAACGUGCUUGGUCGAACACGUGCCAAUUAUCAGCUACGUAUCAAAUCCCACAAUUAUAAAUGUAGAUUGGGUUCCAUGCUCUGGUUAAUCCAUUAGAUGACACGGUCCAUUGAAAAGGUACUAAAUUACUGAUGUUUGGUCCAUAUAUGAAUCUGUUUAUUUAAUGGCCAGCAUUAAUUGUUAAUUCUCUUGUUUGCGGGUGACUUUUCCUCUAGCAUGCCUUAUGGAAAGAAGUGUCAGUGACAACCUUUUAAUCAACAGCAACUUACCCUACUAAUGAGCAUUUGGAGCAUUUCAUAGCUCGUUCAGUUUAUUCAAAGACUCAUUUUUACCUGCACAGCAUGUUCCCGCCCAGUAAUCAGUGGGCCAAUUAAUGAAGGAGAGGAUAGUUUGCUAGACACAUGUUUUUUGUGUGAGCUUUCUGGUCUUUUAUGUAGUUGUGGUGUUGACAAUUUUUGUUGUUCUUUACAUAAAUUCUUAUUGGCUAAGCGCUUGGUUUUCUUUUAUUGGAAAGUGCAUCACAACCUGUCGUUACUCAACAAUGGCCAAUUUUCUUGCAUAUCACAUCUUCAGGCAAUGUGAUUAUGUUGAAAAUUGGCCUACCAUGCUUGCUGUAAUACUUCCGGAUGAAGUACGUGCUAGCAAUUGUUCAUGCUGCAGCACGUAUGCUUGCUGUAACAGCAAGAUUUUUGUUUUAGUUUCACUGUAAUCAGCCUAGUUGGAAAUGAACAAGCUGAUGACAGCUUGAUAUGUUUAGGUGUUGAAUGACUAAUUUAGGUGGCUUGUUUCUGUGUACAAGCAAUGUUUUUAAAGUUAGUAGGCUACUUAGUGGUAGUAGGUAGUAAUAACUGAUGUAGUUGGCUAUAAAUGUAUUGUUUUUUUAUUGAAAAAUUAAGCAUAUCAGUGGUUAAAACAGAUUGCUUCCUUGCUGCACGUUUGUGAGCAAGUAAAUUAUUCUUGCAGCUUGCUUCAUUGUCUUGUUCUGUUCUCUGUUUUCUUCCUCUGCUGUCAAAAAACCCAACAGAUUAGCUAUCGUGAAGAUUUCAACAAAGUCGGUUCGUGUUGAUUCAAGGAAAAAAAGAUAUUACGAUUUGAUUUCCUCACCUAAUUGUUUUACUAUGCGAAGUUGGAUUGUGAGGAAUAUUUUGUUGAUUUCUGCAUUUUGAAUAAAGAGCUCUUAGGUUUGUGUGGCCGACGUUUAUAGUUUUAUCUUUCGAUUUUAUCUUUUUUUUUGUAUGAAAUUUAAAGUUUAAUCAAAACUAAUUGUUAUGUGUAUGUAAUAGCUAUUUGAAUUAAAUUAAAUUGACAAAUCAACGUACACUAGUGCAUACUAAAAAAAAUGUAAUAUAAAAUUAAACCAAAAUUGAAUCUAAAACUUAAAUAUUUUAAAACCUCAAACAUAUGGCAACUCUUCACUCCUCUUUCCCUCUGAAGUUAUUUUAAUUUAAAAUAUAUUUUGUAUAAUGUGUUAUAACAAUUCAACUAAACAAAGUGAUUCUCUUUGCAUAACAUAUUAUAUGCUUAUAUAAACUUUUACACAAUUUGUUAUAGAUACAUUUUUAAUAAUUGAAUGAUGACUCCAUUAAAAAUGCAAUAUCAUAAUAAUUCUACAUUUCUUGCAUUAAUAUAAAAUUUUCCUUUUUUUUUCCUCCAAGCCUUGUUUAUUAUCUUUUGUUUUGCCAAAUGGCAGUGCCAGCUUUCAGGCUAGCUAUCGCCCGCCUUUUUCUCCCUCCCAUUAAUCCUUUUUUUCUUUUUUCUUCUCAUUCACUCCACAUGUCUUCUUUCUUUUCAGUUUGUAGAUCUAUUUUAUGAGAAUCUUUAUUUUCUUCACAAGUUGUGAUAGACAGAUGACGACGCCUAUGUUCGUUAAAACUUCAUCGGCCACCAAUAAUUUUUCAGAAUAAUAAAUAAUUUCAUGAGUCGAUUUGGAUUCUUGUUAUCAUAAGUUUUAUAUAUUUUUUAGUUUGUUUUUCAUUGUUUAAUAGGUUUUUAGUUUUAGAAGUUUUUGUCUACUCUUGUAACACGUUUUUUAGUCUUGCUUAUGCAUGUAACCUUAGUUUUACAAGUGAUUUUAGAGAUGGUUUUGUUACCGUCUUCUCUAGUUUGGUGAAUGCUCAAUUCUUUUGUCCAUUUUUGCUCGUCACUUUGGACCAUUCGAGGCUGAUUUUCUUUAUCGCAUUAAGUGCUUGCGAUCACUCCAAAUAUAUCGUGCUUAAGUUGUGAUAAAGCCUGUACAAGCCCAAUUUUUAUGCCCGGGCCCAAUUGACCCAACAAAACCGAACGGCCCAACAGACUAAGGCCCAAACCCAACAAAGACUAGGGUUUCAGAACCCUAGCCCCUCCAUCAGCGCCGCAUGCUAGGGUCUCUGACUUCUGCCCCGUCGGCGCAAACGGCGCACCUACCCCGUCCGUGUCACGUCUCCUCCAUCGCCCUACACCUGCAAACAAUAAAGAGAGAAGCAGACAACACAAAACAGGGGAAAGAUUGAAUCUUUUUUUUUUGUUCUUUCGGUUAUAAAGCCGAACGUAUCAAAUAAGAAAAAGGGGGGAUUUUUUGCAAAAAAAGAAAAUCACAUCAGAAAUAAGAAAAGGAACAAAGGUUGCUGUGUUCUUCAUUUUAUUCUUUUUUGAUUCGUUUACUUUCAUUUAUUUUUAAACAAAUCCGUUAAAAAAUAUAUCAAUAAAAAGGAAAAGAAAAAAAGGAGCGCACCUGAAUCGCUCUCUGGCUCCGUCGACGGAGGUUCUCUCGCCGUUGUCGGCCCGGAUCUGAAGGAGGGAUUCAGAGCCCUUGUCUCGGCGCUCGUAGGGGUUCAAGGACCCGAUUUUCAAAUCGCCCGAAGGCCAGGCUUUUUAAAAACCCUUUGUUGCGCUUCGUUGGCCGCCGUUUCGGUGGCGGUGCGACGGACAGACGGACGAUGGUGAAAAGCCAAUCGUCGGAGGGCAUGAAGAGAGAGUGGGGGAAAGAGUUCUGAAUUUUUUUUUUUAAAAGAGGGAUGAAAUGAUUUUUUUAGGGGUUUUGAUUUAUAUAAGGAUCCAAAACGGCGCCGUUUUGGAAGGGUCAGAAAGCCCCUAAAACGACGCCGUUUUUGCAUAAGACCCGAGACCCAACCCGUCUGCCUUAGGGGAUCCGCGUGUUUUUUACGGAAGGGCUAAUUUCACGUUUAAUCCUUCCGCUUUUUAAUUAUUUUAAAAUUAGGUUCUUUUGAUCUUUUUAAUUUUACCCGGAAAUUGUUUUCGUUUUCAAUUUGAUCCUUACCCAAACUACGUCGUUUUAAAGAAAGGGCCAUUUCUUUGUUGGUCCCUCCAUGUUUUAUGCUUGUUUAGAGCAGUCCUUCCCUUUUCGUUUAUUUGCGUUUUGAACCCCCCGAAUUUUGUUUUAAUGUUUAAUCUAAUCCUUCUGCUAUUUUGUUUAUUUUCUUAACAAAUUUAUUAUUAUUAUUAUUAUUACAUAUUCAUUUAUAACAUCUAAUUUUAGAUUUAAUCAUAUAUAUAAAUAUACGUCCAUGAUAUAUACCUACUUUUUAUAUAUACUUUAUAAUUUAUAUAUACAUAUACACAUUUUAAUUUAUGUACAUAUCUACACAUAUUUUUCAUACUUUACUCAUAUAUAUAUACAUGUACUUAUACAUAUUCUUUAUAUCUUAAAAUCCAUAUUUUUCUUAUGUAUAUAUUUUAUAUUUUAUAUUUUAUAUAUAUGUGUUUAUAUAUUCUACGAUAUAUAUUUAUAUGCAUAAUAAAUACAUAUCUAUAUACGUUUCGAUUUUUAUAAACACAUAUAUAUGUAUGCAUACCUUUAUAUUUCUUAUAUUAAAUACAUAUAUAUAUAUUUAUAUAUCCCUUUAUACUUCUAAAAUCAUAUAUUUUGUAUAUAUUCUUUAUAUUUUAUGAUUCCUAUAUGUACCCACAUAUAUACUUUUUGUAUUGUAUGAUUGUUAUUUACGUAUAUGUACGUACAUACAUACUUACACCUAUUUUCAUGUAUAAUAGCCUUAUAAUAUGUGUACAUACAUGUAUUUUUCAUAUUUCCAUAUACAUACACAUAUAUCUUUUUAUUUUAUAUAAUCUUACUCAUUUUAUUUAUUUAUUUAUUUACAUGUCUAUUAUUAUUAUGCUCUAGUUUUUAUUUAUUUAUUUAUUAUUUGUUAUUGUGCUUGCUUGAUCCUUUUAUAUAUUAAUCUUAUUUUUUAUUUUUAUUUUGAUCAUGUCAUUUUACUUACAUUAUCAUCAUCAUUCCGUUACACUCAUUUUUUUGUUUAGAUUUCAAAAAAAAAAAGAAGAAAUUUUAAAAAUAAGUAACACUCGGUAUUUUGGAUCUUCGAGAGAAUCGAGUCCUAACGUAUUGGGUUCCGACUUUCUUCGUUGAAUUUAAAUAAUCGAGAUUACUCUUUUAAAAAUGAUAAAAAAGCUCGUUAUCGAGAAUUCAAUACGUUGUGUCCCAACGGAUUGGACGUAACACGGUGUUUUCUCGAGACGAGGAUUUUUCGAAAUAAACGUAAUAUUCAAUGUUUAAUCUUUUGAGAAAUUGUGCCCUAACGUAUUGGGUUGUGAUUUCUUCAUUUGAUUUAAACAAUUGAAUAUCCUUUUAAACUUUAUUACAUGGAUCUUUUCAAACUCAAGUUUUAAACAACCUCGGGAAUUAAAAGAGGAUCGUGUCCUAACUUACUGGUCGUAAUCCCUUUUUUAAUUCGAGAUCGUUAAAUAUCUUUUAAAUAAGCUUUUUUCAUUCGCGUAUUGGGAAUUCGACAUAUUGUGUCUUAACUUGCUAGAUAUGAUAUUCUGUCUCGAAUAACGUGAAAUAUGCCCCUUUUCCUGAAAAUUUUCAACGUUUUAAUACAAGGAUCGUAUUUUUAAAAUUCUUCUAAGUUAUCAAUUUUCGACACUAAGACAUUAACUAAUCAACUAGGUACCAAUUUUGGGCGUAUCGAGGGUGCUAAUCCUUCCUCGUGCGUAACCGACUCCCGAACCCGUUUUUCUGAAUUUCGUAGACCAGACUUGUUGUUUUAAUAAAAUUAAAUUGUUUAUUAAAAACAACCACUUUUCGAGGUGAUCCAAUCACCCCUCAUAAAAAAGGAUUGGUGGCGACUCCCGUUUUUUUAUUUUCGUCAAAACCCAAGUCGACCCCGUUUUUCAUCCAAAAAAAUGGUGUCAACAAAGCCAAUUGUCAACAUGUCAUAACGUUCUAUUUAUGCUAAGGCUAAAGCCUUCGUUGGGUUGUUGGAGCUUGUCAUUUACCAUCUACGACGAGUGCUUAUUUUUUUCCCUGAAUUGUAUGAUUCCAUUCAUUGAAUGAAUUAACGAAUUUACCUUUCAAAAGAAAAAAAAUUCAUAAAUUUUGAAAUACAAAAUGAAUGUGUUUUGAUAUUUUUAGGGCAAUGGUUUAGUGGUUUAAAUUUUUUUAUUUAAUAUGGUGAAUUUAAUUAUAAUUUUUUAUUUAUUAGAUAGUAGAAUAUCUCUUACCAUUUAUAAUUAAGUUUAGGUUAAAAUAUUUUAUUAAAUUUUUGGACUUUUCACAAAUUUUAAAUUUAAUCUGUUUACUUUUAUUCAAGAAUUUAAUCUCUCUGCAUAUAAAGGAGGUAAUUAUGGCAAGGGGAAUUACCAUGGCAGAGGUAGCGGAGGCUGAGGAAGAGAUGCUGGAUAUGCUGAAGAAAGAUAGAUGGCUGAGAAACAGAAAAACUUUAGGAACAAUAUUCAGUGUUAGAAGUAUGGGGAUGUGAAGGCAGAUUGUUGGAAAAGGGGAAAACAAGCAAAUUAUGCGGAAGAUGAUGAAGAGAUUUAAGUUAUUUAUGAGCUGUCUAGAUGACACCAUAGCUUCAACUAACAUUUGGCUUCAAGGGCGUAUAUCUCAUGAUGAAGAGAUUGUCUCUCUUCUUUUUUCUCAUAACAUAUUAUACGCCAUGAUAAUAAAUUUUGAUAUGCCUAUAAAUUUGAGUCUCUAUUAUUUGUAAUAUGACAUGUUUUAAUUAUUUUUUAUAUUAUGCCAUGAUUUGGUUCACUCCAUAAGUUAUAUAAAUUUAUUAUAAUAAUUCAAUUAAUUUAAUUUAGAUUAAUUUUACAUUUUUGUCCUAACUUUAGUUUUUAAUAAUUGAAUCAUCCCACCAUUAUAUUCAAUUACAAGUGUAAUACGAUUUUGCGUCAUCCCGCACCAUUAUUCUCAGUGUAAUUUUUGGUAGUGAGCAUUGAAGGGGAGAGAGAGAGAGAACAAAGAAAGAACUUACUGUAAUUUUUGGUGUAUGUAAUCGAUAACCCUCAAUGCUUAAAAUGAAAAAGAAAAUAGAAAACAAAGGUGGCAAAGUUAGUUACAAUGCCAGCUAAUUCGUUAUUGCUAUCCACAUGAAGAAUUUUAUAACCCCAACUACACGAUUUUAUGUCUACCAGCUCUCACUUUUCAUAUUUUUUGGCCAUUAGUUAUUCUAAGAUUUAACAUCACCGUUAAGCCAUGUUUAAACUCUUUUUCUUAUAUAAUAAUUAUAUUAUAUUUAAAAUUGAAAAAACUAACCAACCAAAUAUAUAUUAAUUAAUUAAUAGAAGUUUUUUGGUCAUCGAUUAAAAUAAAUCAAGAAAGACGUUGGAACCACCAACUUCUCUUUAAGAACAACACGAAUACAAGAAUCUAUGCACAACAAGUUCUAAAAUGUAUUAAGUAAAUUCAUCAUCAUGCCUUAAAAAAAGAAGAUCUCGAUAUAUCUGCUUUUGCCAAAGCAUCCGCCAUACCAUUACUUUGCCAGUGAAUAAUUGUGAACUGAAACUUAGCCAAUUGAGUGAUAUUAAUUAUAGAAAUGAUUCUUCUUGCAACCAUAGAUGAAACACCACUGAGACUAACAAACUUGGAGAAACUUGAUUUGAGUUUUAACAUCUUCAGGAACAACACAAUUUCGUUUCUUGAAGGACUUUCAAACUUAAAUUAGUCCUUGGAUAUGCAUAAUAACACUCUGCAAGGCUCAUUAAUAGAUAUUAAAGGUACUGAAGCUAUAACUUUUUUUUCUUGAUAAUUCUUUUUAAAAUAUUUCAUAAUUAAUUGUUCUGAAUUUGUACAUUCACUUCUCACAUUUCUGGGUUUUUUUUGUCCUCAACUAAAUUAAACUUAUGCAAAUUUCUUGAAUAUUUAAGUUAAGAGUUAACGUCAAAGUCAAGAGUUGAUAAGUAUUUUGUGGUCCAUUCAUAUCUUUAUUACAAAAAAAAAAUAUUCAAGAAAUUUGCAGCUAGUUGGAGUUUUGCAAUAAGGAAUUUCCACCAAGAGUUUUGGAGGAAUCAUAUCUCUAACAAAAGAAAGACCUUCAUUUGACUAAAUUUUUUAGUAUUUAUUUUAACUUCCAUUUUUAUUAAAAAAAAGGUAAAAAAAUAUGCCAAACAGGGUCUUUAGGUUACUUUUUUUAGAACUAUAUUAUGUUAUAGUACCAUAUAAGUUAGAGGAGCACAAGUUUAGAUUCAUCCAAUUUUUGAGGAAUUAAUUAAAUAUAUAUUAUUUUAAUAUUAUAGUGUAUAGGGGCAAAGUUAGAAAAAAAUUUUUGUGGAGUCGAAAUUAAAUUAUAGUUUUUACAAUAGUUAAAAAAAAUAAUUUCACUAUUUUAAAAGCAUAUAUGUUGUAAGCACUAAAUUUUUGUCCGACUAGAGUUUGUGUUUAAUUUUCAAAAUUUCAAAAAAAAAUUUUAAAAAUAAAAAUUGCAUUUUGACCCCUAAAUUUUUCCUAAAUUUCAUUUUGACCCUUAAACUUUCAUUAAAUUUCACUUAGACCCCUAAACUUUCAUUAAAUUUCAUUUUAAUCCUAAAUUUUCUAAAAAUUACAUUUAGCCCCAGAAGUUUUGCUGUAUUUGUGAUUUGGUCCUUCAGACACGUUACGUGAUUUGGGGCACCCACUUCCCAGAUUUUCAGGCCACAAUCACCCACUACCUGCAAACAAUGAGAAAGAGGACAAAAUUUGGAGCUUUUAAAAAGAAAAAAAGAGAAGAGGAAGAAAAAAAGGAGAGAAAAAAACAAGCAGAAUUUUUAGAGAAAAAUAAAAAAAGAAGCUCUCAAUCCGGCCGAUUGCCUCCACCGCCACCACGUCCGUUGCGCCACCACCAUUGUCAUCUCACCAUCGAGUCCUAAACGCAAACAAAACAAAAACAAAGAAAAAAGCAAGCAAAAGAGAAAAGGAGAAAGUGCAAAGAAGAAAAAGAAAAAGGAAAAGGGGAGAGAGCAUACCUCCGUGCACGCCAUUGUCGGCCGUCGCACCAGGCGGAGGGACAUCACCGGCGAGACAAAGGAGGUGCUGCUGAUCGGGGAGAAAGAAAGGAAGAAAAAGAAGAAGGAAAGAAGAAAAGGGGAAGAAGAAAGAAAGAAAAAAGAAAAAAAAACUAAAAAAAAUAGCAGGCCAUUUUGGUGGACCAGAUUCAGCCCAACAAGAAGCAGCCCAAACCAGUCCUUUGGCAGCCAAUAGCAACAGCCCAACAGCAAAAAAAAUAAUAAAAGGGGAGGCCCAAAAUUUAAGCCCAUAACUUUGGGCUUUUGGGUAAUUUUUUUUCUUUUUUUCUUUUUAAUCUAUUUUAUUUUAUUUUAUUUAUUUAAAUGGUGUUUUAUUUAAUUUAAAUUAGUAUGCUUUAAAACAGUUUUCAUAAAUAUUAUUAUGUCAUUUAAUUGCAUAUUUUUUUUAAAAAAUAAUAAUAUUUUAAUGCAUAAGGCAACGAACCGAUUUAGCAUCGAGUCAUCGAAUUCAUCGCUAUGUUGGAUGGAUAUCGAUAGCUCGUGUUAAAUUCGGGACACCCUUUUAAAAAUAAAAAUAUUCAAAAAUCCUCGUAUUUUAAUAAAAAUUCUCGUGUUUUAUUAGAAUCCCGAUUAAAUAUUAAAUUGAAUUGAGUUAACAUUAAUUCGAUGGUUUCAUCGCCAUAUCGGGAUGAAUAUCAUCGAUUCGUGUUAAAUACGGUAUUUUUUAAAGAAAAAUUGUGUUUCAAAAAUUUUCAUGUCUUCAAAAUUUCUCGUGUUUCGUAUUUUAUCAAAAAAUUUAUGUUUUCAAAAACAAAUUUUCUGUUUUAAAAAUUUUCGUGUUUCAAAAAGAAGAUUCGUGUUUUCAAAAAUAAAAAUAAAAAAUCUCGUGUUUUAAAUUCUUCGUGUUUUUUAAAAAAAAAUUUUGUGUUUCUAAAAUUCUUGUAUUUUAAAAUUUUCGUGUUUUCAAAAAAGAAAAAGUUGUUGCGCUUUAAAAUUCUCGUGUUCAAUCGGAUCACGACUAAUAUUAAAUUGAACUCGUAUUUUUGAAAAUGAAGACAAUGCGCGUUUAACGAGAUACCAAUUUUGGGCGUUGCGAGGGUGCUAAUACCUUCCUCGCGCGUAACCGACUCCCGGACCCUAAUUUUCUCUGGAUUUUUACGUGGACCUAAAAUUACCUCUUUUUUAGAAAAGUUUAAAAAUAAAUUUUUCUUCUAAAAAGAGAAUUUUAUAGGUGUCCGAUCACACCUAGAAAAAAUAUCGGUGGCGACUCCUUUUUCAAAUAAAAUCGAGAUUCAGUUUUCAAAUUUACAAUAAUUACUUCGACUAGCGCCCGUGCCGAAAUUUUUAGGUCGCUACAGCUGGCGACUCCGCUGGGGAACCUUUUUGAGAGUCGAGUCGAAUUAAACUCGCGUUGUCAAAAUUUUCAAAGUUUCUUGUUCAAAUUAACAUUUAGUCGUGAUCCUUAAAUUUUUUGUUUUCAAAAAAAUCAUGCAUUUGCAUCGUGUUGUAUAUAUUCUAACUUGUUUUAUCAGGUUGUUUUUCAGCUUUAAAUUUUUGCGGUUUUAGUUUUGGUUUAGUUUUUCUAAAUAAAACGUAAAGGUUUACAAGUUUCUCCCCACACACCGUGCACGUGCAUUUAUGUUGCAUAACAUGAGCUCUAUACCCGGGCUCUGUCCCUGUUAAGAGAAAGUAAAUGCUACGCCUUCGUGAGUUAACUCGUUCCUCCGCACAGGCUAGUGAAUACUUUCGGGUUACAUAUGACUUAUGCUUUCGUGAGUUAACUUGUCCCUCCGCAUAGGCAUAAGUAAAUGUAAUCCCUCGAAUUGAUCUCGUAAGCCUAUGAUGGGCCAUGACCGAGGCUCUGUACUAAUCUUAGUAGAUGACAGUGCAGACGAUUCGAGUACCCACCUAGAACCAAAACCGCAUAUAGUGAACCAUACGAGCUAUCCAAUUAGAGUCAUGCCGAACCUCUGUCCGCUUAUAGUCAUCAAAAUAAGUACACGGGGAAAAUGCCUUUUGCCUUUCAUUUACACUGUUUAUGCAAAAUAAUUGGAUUGGGUAGUUUAAUUUGUUUUUCAAAUUAUAUUUGUUGUGUUUACUAACCAAGUUUGUUUGUUUUUACUUUUAUUUUCAUCAUGCAUCAUAGGCAUCAUAUUAGGAAGGUGUUGAUUAAAAGUUGGUUGCCAAAAAACGGGUUUCUGAUGGAAGAGUCAAUUACACAAAUAACCGAGAAGAAUGCCGUGGUUCGGGACUGGUCUCUAAAAAUUCAGAGAGAAAAGAGGGAUAGUCUAGUGGAAGGGUGUGUCACUAAUUUGCCCGAACAUAUAACUGUAAAUGUUCGCCAAAAUAACUUUGAGGAUUUGGUUCAAAUUUGGAAUCAGUGGGAUUCAGACACUAGAGACAUUUUCACUCAGAGGUAUGGAGAUAUAGCUCACCUGAUCAUCAUCCAUGUAGACGAACAGUUGAUUCAAGCCAUGGUUCGGUUCUGGGACCCAGCUUAUCAGUGUUUCACCUUCAAUCAAGAAGACAUGACUCCAACCAUAGAAGAGUAUGCUGCUUUACUCCGCAUCGACAAUGUACAAUUCGGCAAAAUAUAUGUGAAGGAGCCUAAACCGAUGACCUUCAAGAAAAAGUUAGUGAGACUGACAGACAUGACUGAUGCAUGGGCCGAAAAACAGAUAAAGAAGAAGAAUGAAACCAUUUGCAUUCCAUGGUCCUCCCUACGAGAUUUGGCUCUGAACCAUCCCAACAUGCUGAAAAGGGUAAAUCUAUUCGCUUUGGCCAUUUACGGUUUGGUCAUUUUCCCAAAAGUUCUCGGACAUCUCGAAGUUGCAGUAGUUGAUUUCUUCGAAAGGUUAAAACAAGGAAUCAACCCUGUCCCGACCAUCCUAGCCGAGACCUUCAGGUCCCUGAGUAGUUGUCGAAAAAAAGGGGAGGGACGAUUUAUCAGAUGCGCGCAGUUGCUCAAUGUUUGGAUUUUGAGUCACUUCUGGAAGGUAGAGCGCACUCCGUUCCAUAUGUUUUCUAAAACAUUCUCCCCGCUAGAAGCUUACCUCAAUAAAGAAUGGCCGAAGGAAGUCACCGAGCAACAUUGGGUAUCAGUUUUUCAAAAUCUUCGCACCGAGAAUAUAACAUGGAGAGCACCCUGGAUCCGUCCUUCAGUUCUGCUAUACAAAUGUGGAAGCCAAGAUUGGGUACCUCUACUCGGGUUUUGGGGAGGAGUUGGAUAUGCUCCGCUAUUAGUCCAAAGGCAAUUUUCUUCGCGACAAUUCCUCCCCGCAACUGGAGGAUUAGCACAGUUCGAGUUCGCUUUUGCGGGUGAAGGAUAUAUGAAGAGAGUCCGAGACACUGCAAAGUAUUGGAAGGAAAUUCAUUUCAUGGAAUUAGCUUUGUAUGUUGAUACCCUUACCCAAGAUUACGACAUAUGGAGGAAGCAACGGGUAAAUAGUCAGCAAAUCUCAUCAACAAACUACACCAUCCAGAAUCCUUUCUCGGAGAAAACGCCGUCUGAGCUAGAAAUGGCAAGACAAGAAUUCGAACGAGAAAAGGCCAAGAUGUCUCGGGACCUUAGUGCCCUUCAAGAAGAAAACUAUCAACUGAAGAUUGAAGUUCAGGUUGAAAGGUCCAGGACUGAAAAGUACAAAAAGAAGCCGAGAUUGUGAGAAACGACUUAAGGGACCUUCAUUUGGAAAACAAGAAAUUAAGAAACACUAUAAAGAAUAGCGGGUUGGGUAAGUCGACAGCAGAAUGGAAGGAAGAAAUUAGCAAUAUCAAGGGAGGAAUGGAGUUUUGGAAGGGAAAAGUAAAGAAAGAGGAGGAAAAGGCUGCGCGCGCUGUGAUAGAGUUAAGAAGGAAGAACGACGAGUAUGAAAUAGUGACUGCAAAAUUUGCGAAUAGUCAGUCUGAAUAUCAAGAAUUAAAAAGGAAAGCACGAGAUCUAGAAAAUAUGCUGCAAUCUCGUCAACAACAAUUAGAUAACCUCCUGAAGGCUCUAGAGGAAAAGCAUGAUCAGUACGAUAGGGACAUUCAGGCGUAUGAAGGAACUCUCAAAGAAAAAGAAAUGCAACUCGACUUCUUGAUCAAUGAAAUUCGUAAAGCGGCUAUGCAAGUUGUUCAAUUAUCAGAUGAAGCCGAAGUUAUCAGUUGCCAAUUCCCUCCGAGCCAAAGAUCGAGCAUAUCAGAGUUUUUAGAGCAAGUGAAUAAACAAGGCAAUGUGGCUAGGAAAUUUGUGUAACUGUUGGAAAAAUGAGAACUUUGUGUAAUAGACUAUGUUGAUAAAUGAAAUGCCUAAAUAUGGGGCUAUCUUGAAAUCAACACCAAAUUCUUGCAUGUUUACUCAUAACUAACAUUUAUGCAUCAUUUAUUCUUUGGACAUUCAUCCAUUCAUAUACUCAUUCAUUCAUUCAUCACGAGUACAUAUCACCAUAAUCAUCCACCGAAACUAAAGAACCGUAUAAUCCGCAGUUGCAAGAUUUCAAAUCUGGAACCACGCAAUUCCUAUAAAACGCGCCGACAAGCUAGAGUAAUGGAGGAUGAAUUCAAUGAGAGAAUUGAAAGGAUGGAAAGGGCUCAAAAGGAAUUACAAGAGUAACUGGCCAAAUCGCAGCAAGAGACGAGAGACCUAAUGGUGAGAUCUCGAGAGGAAUCACUCGAGCAAAGAGAUCAGAUGGCUAAAAUGAUGGAGAUGAUGACAACUUUGGUCAAAGGAAAAGGACCCAUGCAGAACUCCGAUGUUAUGGAACCUCGGUCAAGAAUUCACCAUGAUCAGGAUCCACUUUAUCCCCCAGGAUUUACUCCACCUCAUGUCCACGCAAUACAACGAGGAUACCCCCAAAGGGAACCUACAGGCCUAGAACAACAUCUUGCUCCGCCCACUAAUUUGGGGCAAGGAAUGUUAGCGUCGAACCUUGGGGCUAGUCCUGCUAAUCCACUAGUUCCAGAUCUGGAUGACCUAGCAGAGGCAGCCAAGUUGAAAUUGGAUAACCAUGACGCAAAAUAUAGGAGUCUAGAGGAAAGACUCAAAGCAAUAGAAGGCACUGAAGUCUUCUCCGCACUAGGUGCCAAGGAACUCAGUUUGGUACCUGAUCUAAUUUUGCCUCCGAAGUUCAAAGUGCCUGAUUUUGAGAAAUAUGAUGGGACAAGGUGCCCAAAAGCACAUCUCAUUAUGUUCUGUCAAAAAAUAACCGGUUAUGUGAACGAGGAUAAGCUACUCAUACAUUGCUUUCAAGAUAGUCUAACAGGGUCAGCUCUUCGGUGGUACAAUCAACUUAGUAGAGAAAAGAUUCGAUCCUGGAAGGACUUGGCGUCAGCAUUUUGCGAACAGUACAAGCAUGUAUCGGAUAUGGUGCCAGACCGUAUGACCUUGCAAAUGAUGGAGAAAAAGCCAUCAGAGACCUUUAGACAGUAUGCGCAGAGAUGGAGAGACGUCUCAGCUCAAGUGGAACCCCCACUAACAAAAACGGAGAUAACCGUUCUCUUUAUCAAUACUUUAAAGGCACCGUUUUAUGACAAAUUAGUGGGAAGUGCCACGAAAGAUUUCGCGGAUAUUGUAAUAUCCGGUGAACUCAUAGAGAACGCCGUCAAGAGCGGUAGAAUGGAAGGAUCAGAAGGCUCAAGAAAAGCAGCACCCUUAAGGAAGAAAGAGCCAGAAGCCCUCAUGGUGGGAACUGGGAGUCGUUACAUUCCCAAUUCAUAUCCUAAUCAACCCCGACCUCGAGAUUAUCCACCCUCGAGUUUCCAUUAUCCCCCUCAAACCCCUUGCUACCAAGCACCACAUCCGUCCUGCCCCGUAUACGCUACGAACAACCAAAGACCCGUCACCACUUUCCCACAAAACACGGUACCCACCCAAAGCCAACCCAGAAACGAACCAAGACCAUCAAGGCAUAAUCCUGAGAGACCGCAAUUUACCCCCAUCCCUGUGUCGUAUGGGGAAUUGUACCCAAAACUUUUAGAAAAAUAGCUAAUUUCUCCCCAUUACAUGGCACCCCUUAAACCUCCAUACCCAAAGUGGUACGAUCCAAACGCUAGUUGUGCAUACCACGCAGGGAACCAAGGGCACUCUACUGAGAACUGUCUCACUUUCAAAAGGAGAGUUCAAGGACUCAUUGAUGCGGGUAUCCUACGAUUCGAUAGUGCUAGUAAAGCCACGGAGAACCCGUUCCCUAACCAUACCGAAGGGAAUGUGAGCACAGUGGGGAAAGAGGAUGAAUGGAAGGUCAGAAGAUGUGUAUCAGAAAUAAGGACGCCUCUGCAGAAAAUCUGGGAGGUAUUGGUUAAGAAAGGAUUGCUCUGUCACUCUGAUAGAAUUUUUGGAGAAGAAGGUCAAAGUUUUUGCAAUUUUCAUGGGAUUGUUGGGCACGACAUUCAGUCGUGCGAGGACUUUAAAAGGUUACUUCAAGACUGGAUGAAUAAUAAAGAGAUCAAGGUCCUUAACAAGAGUGAAGAUGCCAACGAAAGAGAAGUAUGUGUCUCUGAUAGCCAAUCACCAGGUCCCCCUUAUAGUGCUGAUCGACCGUUGGUAAUUUAUUACGACGCGAUGAGAGAGCCCUUGAAACCACAGAUGGUAAUUGAAGUACCAUCUCCUUUCCCGUAUAAGGACAACAAAACAGUACCGUGGAGAUAUGAUGUUAAUAUCGUUACACCGGAAGUUGAAAAGUCCAAAGCCAUAAUUGAAGAUGUUGGGGAGGUAGGUCAUUUUACUCGAAGUGGACGAUGUUAUUCUAAAGAAGUUGAAUCGGUAAAGAAAAGUAGCGACUCGAAGCAAAAAGGAAAAGCAGUGAUGCACAAGGUCGAAGUCGAGCAAGAAAUUCCACCCGUGCAAGAAACUAAAAAGCUUGUGAAUGAGGAAGAAGCUCAAGAAUUCUUGAAAUUUAUUAAGCACAGUGAAUAUAGUGUGGUGGAACAAUUGAGCAAGCAGCCAGCACGAAUCUCAGUUCUAUCUCUACUGUUAAAUUCAGAGCCACACCAGAACGCUUUAUUGAAGGUGUUAAAUCAAGCUUACGUGGCCAACAACAUAUCUGUCGAAAAGCUUGAUAGGUGGGUAAACAAUCUGAAUGCGGACAACUUCAUCUCUUUUAGUGAUGAUGAGAUACCGCUAAAUGGUAGAGGUUCGGUGAAAGCGCUGCAUAUCACGACCCGCUGCAAGGGCUACAUAAUACCGAACGUACUCAUCGAUAAUGGGUCAGCGUUAAAUGUUAUGCCAUUGGCUACACUUUCCAAAAUACCGAUGGAUUUGUCCUACUUAAAGCCCUGUCAUUCCAUGGUAAGGGCAUUCGACGGGACGAAGUGCAAAGUCAUGGGAAAGAUCGAAAUCCCUUUGGAAGUGGGCCCCUACAUCUAUGAGGUCGAAUUUCAAGUUAUGGACAUUACACCCUCUUAUAACUGCCUUUUGGGAAGACCUUGGAUUCAUUCUGCAGCAGCAGUCCCAUCAUCCCUCCAUCAAAAAGUGAAAUUCAUCAUGGAUGGCUGUUUGGUCACAGUCGAGGGCGAAGAAGACAUUAUCGCAUCUAUCUCUGUUGAUGCGCCAUACCUGGAAGUAAGCAAGGACGUAGUGGAAUGUUCCUUUCGAUCCCUUGAAUUCAUCAAUGCCACUUUCGUCGCUGAGGGAAAUAGAAUUUCGAUGUCAAAACUGUCGAGAAAUACCAGAAUGGGUGUCAAGUUGACCGUAGGAAGGGGAGCUUGUGCGAGAAGAGGUUUAGGGAGACAUAUGCAAGGAAUAGUGAGGGCUUUAAAGCCAGUGCACCACAAGGCCUGAUACGGUUUGGGGUUCCAGCCUGACAUGCGCCAAAGAAGAAGACAGUGGAAGAAGGAUCAAGAAAGAAGAAUUGCAAGAACUUUGGGCCGAGAACCAGAAUGGGAACCAAUAGAGUACCCUCCUUUGUCAAAAACAUUUACAUCUGCGGGAAUGAUGUACCCUGGACAAGAGGAUCCACGAAACAUGCUGGGAUUAAUUGAAAAGGAUUUUCAGAAUGUUAGUAUAAAUGUCAUUGACAAAGAAGCUGGUGCAAGUAAAGAUGUCUCGAGGAUACGCCAUUGCCCUCCUGGUUUCAUGUUGAACAAUUGGAUAGCUGAGGAGCUUCUUGUAGUUUAUAAGCCUUCAGAGUAAUGCUAAACAUCAACCUUCUAUUGUGUCCUUAGAUAUAAUAGAGUUCUUUUGUAAGAGUUUGCAUUCGCUCUUUAUCAUUUAAAUGAAUAUCAAUGAAGAUGCAUUUUGUCACGAUUUUUCGCAUUAUCACUAAUUUCAUAAUCAUUUUCUCAUUUCAUAGCCUAUCCUUACAUUUGCCUCAUUGCCAUGACAUAAAAUUUUGUUUGUUGUUUCCAAUACUUGGAUGUCCCCCGAUAGCUUCCUUUUCCAUUCAACUUUCAGGUGCUCAGAUAUUGACGACAUGAAUAAGCCCGUUACGAAUCUUGAAAUUGAUUUUGAGAAGGCUGUUUGCUUAGGAGAAUUUGAAGCCGAAGAAAAUGCUGAAGAUUAUGUCUCGUCUCUUGAAUUGUUAAGAAUGGUGGAACAAGAGGAUAAACAGGUUCUGCCUCAUGAAGAAUCUGUAGAAACAAUAAAUUUGGGCACUGAAGAGAGGAAACAAGAAGUGAAGAUUGGGACUUCUAUUUCAGAAAGUACCAGACGUAGUUUGAUCACUUUACUCCGCGAAUACAAAGAUGUUUUCGCGUGGUCAUACCAGGACAUGCCAGGGCUAGAUGAAGAUUUAGUGGUCCAUAAGCUCCCAUUAAAGCCAGAAUGCAAGCCCAUCCAGCAAAAAUUAAGACGGAUGAGGCCCGAAAUCCUGUUGAAAAUAAAAGAGGAAGUCAAGAAGCAAUUUGACGCUGGCUUCCUACAAGCCUCCAAAUAUCCAGAAUGGGUGGCUAACAUAGUCCCGGUACCAAAGAAAGAUGGAAAAGUACGAAUGUGCGUGGAUUACCGUGACCUGAAUCGAGCAAGCCCAAAAGAUAAUUUUCCCUUGCCACAUAUUGACACGUUGGUGGACAACACAGCAAAACAUUCAUUGUUUUCUUUCAUGGAUGGAUUCUCGGGGUAUAAUCAGAUCAAGAUGGCUCCUGAGGAUAUGGAGAAAACUACCUUCAUAACAAUGUGGGGAACGUUCUGCUACAAGGUGAUGCCAUUCGGGUUAAAGAAUGCUGGGGCAACAUAUCAGAGGGCUAUGGUGACAUUAUUCCAUGACAUGAUGCAUAAGGAAAUAGAGGUCUACGUCGAUGAUAUGAUUGCUAAAUCUCGAGGAGAAGAAGAGCAUGUAAUGAACCUCAAGAAGUUGUUCGAAAGGCUGAGAAAGUUUCAGCUAAAGCUUAAUCCAGCCAAAUGUACAUUCGGGGCUACCUCGGGAAAGUUGCUAGGCUUCAUUGUCAGUGAAAGAGGUAUCGAAGUUGAUCCAGAUAAAAUAAAAGGCAUCCAAGAAUUACCACAUCCGCCACGCAAAAGGAAGUUAGAGGAUUUUUAGGGAGAUUAAAUUACAUCGCCCGAUUUAUCGCUCAACUUACCAACCAAUGCGACCCAAUCUUUCGGCUUCUUCGAAAACAUAGCCCGGGAGAAUGGAACGAGGAAUGCCAAGUGACCUUUGAUAAGAUAAAACAAUAUUUGUCCAGUCCUCCAGUGCUAGUACCGCCAACUCCGGGAAGACCAUUAAUUUUGUAUCUGACAGUGUUCGAAAGUUCAAUGGGUUACGUACUGGGACAACAUGACGAGUCAGGAAAGAAAGAAAAGGCGAUCUACUACCUCAGCAAAAAGUUCACUGAAUAUGAGGCAAAAUAUUCGUCCGUUGAGAAAUAUUGUUGCGCUCUGGUUUGGGUAGCUCGGAGACUCAAACAAUAUAUGUUGUAUCACACGACAUGGCUAAUUUCAAAGCUGGACCCAAUAAAAUACAUGAUGGAAUCGCCGGCACUAUCAGGAAGAAUGGCACGAUGGUAGCUCCUCCUUUCGAAAUAUGACAUUGCCUAUGUAAGUCAGAAGUCAAUAAAAGGGAGCGCAAUAGCUGACUUCUUAACAACUCGAACGACAGAGGAAUAUGAGCCUUUAAGAUUCGAUUUCCCAGACGAAGACUUAAUGUGCAUCACAGAAAUAGAAUCCGAGUCAUCAAAAGAGAAGUCAUGGAAGAUGUUCUUUGAUGGUGCGUCAAAUGCUUUAGGGCAUGGAAUUGGAGCAAUCCUGGUAUCACCAGACGGGAAUCAUUAUCCGUUCACUGCAAGACUGAACUUCUUCUGUACCAAUAAUAUCGCAGAAUAUGAGGCCUGUAUCAUGGGGUUUCGUGCAGCUAUCGAACGAAACAUCGAGAUCUUAGAGGUGUACGGGGACUCAGCCCUAGUGAUUUACCAAAUCCGUGGAGAAUGGGAAGUGAGGGACUCAAAAUUGAUUAAGUACAGCGAUUUAGUGGCUGGAUUGAUCAAGGAAUUCAAAGAAAUAACUUUUCAUUACUUCCCACGAGAAGAGAACCAACUGGCUGAUGCCCUAGCCACUUUGGCUUCAAUGUUCAAAGCAAGUAGAGAAGCAGAAAUAAUGCCCCUCAAAAUGAGCAUAUACGAGGUCCCUGCACACUGUUGUAGCAUUAAGAAAGAAGUAGACGGACGGCCUUGGUUUCAUGAUAUCUUAGAAUAUAUCAAGAAUCAAAGGUAUCCCGAACAAGUAAAUGAGAACGAUAAAAGAACAAUUAGAAGAAUGGCAGCGGGAUUUGUUCUUGAUGGGGAUAUCCUGUAUAAAAGAGGAAAGGAUCAGAUGCUUUUGAGAUGUGUGGAUGAUGUUGAAGCCAGAAAAAUACUUGAAGAGGUCCAUGAGGGAGUUUGCGGAACGCAUGCCAAUGGUUUCAAUAUGGCCAGAAAGAUCAUGAGACUCGGUUAUUAUUGGCUGACAAUGGAAAGUGACUGCAUCAAUUUUGCCAGAAAAUGCCACAAAUGUCAAAUCUACGGCGAUAAAAUUCAUGUAGCCCCUUCACCCCUUCAUGUCAUGACUUCUCCGUGGCCUUUUUCUAUGUGGGGCAUGGAUGUCAUAGGGCCAAUUUCUCCAAAAGCUUCAAAUGGACAUCGAUUCAUUUUUGUGGUUAUCGAUUACUUCACAAAAUGGAUUGAAGCCGCUUCAUUUGCCAAUGUGACGAAGACUGCAGUGUGCAAGUUUUUGAAAAAGGAAAUCAUUUACCGAUAUGGUUUGCCUGAAAGAAUCAUCUCAGAUAAUGCCACGAAUCUGAACAAUAAGAUGAUGAAAGAAGUGUGUGAGCAGUUUCAAAUAAAGCAUCAUAAUUCCUCGCCCUAUCGCCCAAAGAUGAACGGGGCUGUUGAAGCAGCUAACAAGAACAUUAAGAGGAUCAUUGGGAAAAUGACUGAGACAUAUAAAGAUUGGCACGAGAAACUUCCAUUUGCUUUGUUUGCAUAUCGUACAUCUGUGCGAACAUCUACGGGAGCAACUCCUUUCUCUCUAGUCUAUGGAAUGGAAGCUGUGCUACCUAUCGAGGUUGAGAUCCCCUCUCUGUGAGUAUUGAUGGAAUCAAAGUUAGAAGAAGCAGAAUGGGUUCGAGCUCGAUAUGAUCAGUUGAACCUCAUUGAAGAAAAACGUCUAAGGGCAAUUUGUCAUGGGCAAAUGUACCAAAAGAGAAUGAUCGCAGCCCAUGACAAGAAGGUACGACAAAGAGAGUUCCAUGAAGGAGAACUCGUUCUGAGAAAGAUUCUCCCAAUACAAAAAGACCUGCGAGGAAAAUGGGCACCAAAUUGGGAAGGACCAUACGUUGUAAAAAAGGCAUUCUCGGGAGGAGCUUUAAUCCUUACCAAGAUGGAUGGGAAGGAGUUACCGAAUCUGGUGAAUUCGGAUGCGGUGAAGAAAUAUUAUGCUUAAGAUGAAAACCCGAAAAGGGCAUCUUAAAAAAAAAGGGUGAAAACCCGAAAAAGGUGUCUUGAUUAGUACAAAAAGAUUAGGAUGAAAACCCGAGAGGGCGUCCUAAUGAAACAAACCUGGCGGUCAAACGAUAGGUCAAGUAGUGAGACUACAGUAUUUGAAGCACUUCUGAAAGCUCGAAAUUUUCUACGCAAGAAGCCAUGCUCGAAAAGAUAAUUGAUUGAGGAACGUAGAAGAGUUCAUGUGUUGAAUAUCUAGAGCAUUAGUAUCCGUUGAAUACGACCUUUUCUUUCUUUUUGACAUUUUUACUCUCAUUGGUUAACUUUCUUUGUUUGCCACACUUGAAAUAAAGGAAUAUGAGAUAUCCUUUGUGUCCCUACCUGACCAUUUUCAUGCAUCUCAUUAUGUGUUUAUUUAAUGAUAAAUAGUGAAAUGACAUACUCUAAACAAAAGAAAUGUCAAGCAUUACCCGGAUAAGAAUUUGAUAAGUGCAAGAUCUUCAAAGCAAGAACAAAGUUUAACCAAGGGCAAAAGGGUGAUAUCUGAGAAACGUCGAUUACUCGUAAAGCUCGAAGACAGGUAUGAGGCCUGAAGAGAAGGUCGAGAAUCAAAGCAAUGAACGCAGAUCCUCAAAAAUCAUGGCAAAAAUGACAUACGACCAAUAUGCUUAAGGAGCACUGCAUAAUCAUGUAGGCAUAAAGGCAUUUAAGACAAACAUGUGCAUAUCAUGAUGACUUCAUGCAUGGCAUAUACAGGUAAUCCAGUAAAGCAAGAAAUCUUGAAUCGCACAGAAUCAAAGGAAAAGAUACCCGAGUUCUACCAAAGGACUGGUUUUGGUAUUUUGAUGUUUAAUAUUCAUGCUUUCCAAGGAAAAUCAACUCAUAUUGCGAGAAAUGAGUUGAGCCUCAAGACACGUUGAGCUAUUUUUAAUUUUUUUAAAAAUCAACUCAUAUUGCGAGAAGUGAGUUGAGCCUCGGGGCACGCCGAGGUAUUUUUAGUUUAUGUUUUAAAUUGACUCAUAUUGCGAGAGGUGAGUUAAGCCUUUUAAUUUUUGUUUCUCAAAAUUCAACUCAUAUUGCGAGAAAUGAGUUGAGCCUCAAGACACGUUGAGGUAAUUUCAAUUUUUGUUUUCAAAAUUCAACUCAUAUUGCGAGAAAUGAGUUGAGCCUCAAGACACGUUGAGGUAAUUUCAAUUUUUGUUUUCAAAAUUCAACUCAUAUUGCGAGAAAUGAGUUGAGCCUCAAGACACAUUGAGGUAUUUUCAAUUUUUGCUUUUCAAAAUUCAACUCAUAUUGCGAGAAAUGAGUUGAGCCUUAAGACACGUUGAGGUAAUUUCAAUUUUUGUUUUCAAAAUUCAACUCAUAUUGCGAGAAAUGAGUUGAGCCUCAAGACACGUUGAGGUAAUUUCAAUUUUUGUUUUCAAAAUUCAACUCAUAUUCCGAGAAAUGAGUUGAGCCUCAAGACACGUUGAGGUAAUUUCAAUUUUUGUUUUCAAAAUUCAACUCAUAUUGCGAGAAAUGAGUUGAGCCUCAAGACACAUUGAGGUAUUUUCAAUUUUUGCUUUUCAAAAUUCAACUCAUAUUGCGAGAAAUGAGUUGAGCCUCAAGACACGUUAAGGUAAUUUCAAUUUCUGUUUUUAAAAUUCAACUCAUAUUGCGAGAAAUGAGUUGAGCCUCAAGACACGUUGAGGUAAUUUUCAAUUUCUGCUUCUCAAAAUUCAACUCAUAUUGCGAGAAAUGAGUUGAGCCUCAAGACACGUUGAGGUAAUUUCAAUUUUUGUUUUCAAAAUUCAACUCAUAUUGCGAGAAAUGAGUUGAGCCUCAAGACACGUUGAGGUAAUUUCAAUUUUUGUUUUCAAAAUUCAACUCAUAUUGCGAGAAAUGAGUUGAGCCUCAAGACACGUUGAGGUAAUUUCAAUUUUUGUUUUCAAAAUUCAACUCAUAUUGCGAGAAAUGAGUUGAGCCUCAAGACACAUUGAGGUAUUUCCAAUUUUUGCUUUUCAAAAUUCAACUCAUAUUGCGAGAAAUGAGUUGAGCCUCAAGACACGUUGAGGUAAUUUCAAUUUCUGUUUUCAAAAUUCAACUCAUAUUGCGAGAAAUGAGUUGAGCCUCAAGACACGUUGAGGUAUUUUCAAUUUCUGCUUCUCAAAAUUCAAUUCAUAUUGCGAGAAAUGAGUUGAGCUUCAAGACACGCUGAGGUAAUUUCAAUUUCUGUUGUUAAAAAAAAAUCAACUCAUAUUGCGAGAAAUUAGUUGAGCCUCAGGACAUGCUGAGGUAAUUUCAAUUUCUGUUUUCAAAAUUCAACUCAUAUUGCGAGAAAUGAGUUGAGCCUCAAGACACGUUGAGGUAUUUUCAAUUUCUGCUUUUCAAAAUUCAACUCAUAUUGUGAGAAAUGAGUUGAGCCUCAAGACACGUUGAGGUAUUUUCAAUUUCUGUUUUUCAAAAAUCAACUCAUAUUGCGAGAGGUGAGUUGAGACUUUUAAUUUCUAUUUUUCUAAAACCAACUCAUAUUGCGAGAGGUGAGUUGAGCCUUUUUCUGUUUUUCAAAAAUCAACUCAUAUUGCGAGAGGUGAGUUGAGCCUUUUAAUUUCUGAUUUUCAAAAAUCAACUCAUAUUGCGAGAGGUGAGUUGAGCCUUUUAAUUUCUGUUUUUCAAAAAUUAACUCAUAUUGCGAGAGGUGAGUUGAGCCUUUUAAUUUCUAUUUUUCAAAAACCAACUCAUAUUGCGAGAGGUGAGUUGAGCCUUUUUCUAUUUUUCAAAAAUCAACUCAUAUUGCGAGAGGUAAGUUGUGCCUUUUGCAAAUUCUGUUUUCAAAAAUCAACUCAUAUUGCGAGAAGUGAGUUGAGCCUUGGCUCACGUGCUGAGCUAUUUUCAAUUUCUAUUUUUAAUGUCUAGUUUUAANNNNNNNNNNNNNNNNNNNNNNNNNNNNNNNNNNNNNNNNNNNNNNNNNNNNNNNNNNNNNNNNNNNNNNNNNNNNNNNNNNNNNNNNNNNNNNNNNNNNNNNNNNNNNNNNNNNNNNNNNNNNNNNNNNNNNNNNNNNNNNNNNNNNNNNNNNNNNNNNNNNNNNNNNNNNNNNNNNNNNNNNNNNNNNNNNNNNNNNNNNNNNNNNNNNNNNNNNNNNNNNNNNNNNNNNNNNNNNNNNNNNNNNNNNNNNNNNNNNNNNNNNNNNNNNNNNNNNNNNNNNNNNNNNNNNNNNNNNNNNNNNNNNNNNNNNNNNNNNNNNNNNNNNNNNNNNNNNNNNNNNNNNNNNNNNNNNNNNNNNNNNNNNNNNNNNNNNNNNNNNNNNNNNNNNNNNNNNNNNNNNNNNNNNNNNNNNNNNNNNNNNNNNNNNNNNNNNNNNNNNNNNNNNNNNNNNNNNNNNNNNNNNNNNNNNNNNNNNNNNNNNNNNNNNNNNNNNNNNNUAGAUAAUGUGAAUGUAUUUAGAGGUGCUUAUAUAGUAUUCAAAACUAUCAUAUAAAUUCAAUUUUCAACCAUAUAUAAUUGACAUUAUGGGAGUUGGAAAAUGAUAGGGGGCACUAUAGCAAAUGUUAUAGUUGUAUAAAAUUAGGACUUUGUGAUGGAAUAGUUUAGGGCAUAUUGUUUGAAUAUUCCAUAAACAUUAAAAAAAAAACCAAAUUUGUAAUGGAAUAUAAGAUUGGGUUUUCUUUUAUUAUCAAUUUAAAGCCAUGAGAAUCUUUAUUAUUUAAAAAUUAAUGUAAUUGUUAAAUUGAAAUUGCAGGGGAAUUUCAAAUAGGAGAAAAUAUAAAAGAAAUGGAUCCAAAAACAGUGGGAAGUAGUGUUGUAAAAUAUGGGAGGUGGAGAUUUGGAAUGACAAAGAAAGCAAUGGGGCAUUCAUUAGUUUAUAGCCAACUUUAUCCAUUUAAAGGCCUCCAAAAUUAUACCUCUGGAAUUAUUCACCAUGUUCGCCUCACUGGUAUUUCUCACCAUUUCUUCCCUUAUUUAUCUUCUGCAAAUUUGUUUUCUUACCAUUUCUUUCGCAUUAAUACUAACUUUUUUAAUUUACAAUAUGGUAGCCAAUACUGUUUCGGUAUUAGUAAUAUUAGUCGAUACAUAUCACUUUUAAGGGUGAGUUUAAAGGGAUAGGAACAAUUCCGUGUGUUGACUUAAUAGUCAGGGUGUUCACCGUUCUAGGUAUGGUUUGAGUUCAAGUUAAGUUGUGCUAGUCACGUUACUGUUAGGGUUUUGCCCUUCUCUUGUAAUUCAGCAAAAAGAAAUUAAUAUAUGGUGAAAUUGCACUUUAACUCCUCCAAAAAUGAAAAUAUUUAUAUUUAAUUCCUUCAACAAUAAUGAAAUCGUAAGUUAAUGCAAGAUAAAUGACACUUUAACUUAACAAUCUCCGCUCCCCUUAAAAAAAAAAUCCUAACUUCACCCUUAAUCAUCUUGAUUUUAGAUUGGUACCAAGUAGAUUAAAUUUUGUUCUUAUUAAAACAUUGGUGUGUUUCCUUCUGUUUCAGCUAAUACCAACUUAUACCGAUAUGUACCAAACAAUAUUGGUAGGACUGAGAAAGAAAUCAAAAAAUUGAACUAAUUUUUAUUUAUAAUUUUAUUUAUAAUUUAAAAAUAAAAAUAUAUUUAAACAGUGACAAUAACUCAAAUUUUAUAUAAAAACUAUUUAAAAAUAUUAUCAUAUAAGAGUUAUUAAUUUAUUUGAAAAUUAGUUUCUUUUAAAAAUAUUUAUGAAUAUUUUUAAAAAUUUUACAAAAUAAUAUCCAAAAUUCAUAGAAUAAUUUAUCAAGAUAAGUUCAAACACCCAAAAUUAAUAGAUCUUGAACCAAAUAAAUCCAACUAAAAUAAACCCAAAAUUAAUAGACCGAGAAUCAAAUUAUCAUAGAAGAUAUACCAUACACACUAAUACCCAUAAUUACCCAAUAAUUCUUCUCACACUUUGCAGGUUUAAAACCCAACACCUUCUAUUACUAUCAAUGUGGAGACCCUUCAAUCCCAGCAAUGAGCGAUGUUCAUUAUUCACCAUGUUCGCCUCACUGGUAUUUCUCACCAUUUCUUCUCUUAUUUAUCUUCUGCUAAUUUGUUUUCUUACCAUUUCUUUCGCAUUAAUACUAACUUUUUUAAUUUACAAUAUGCUAGUCAAUACUGUUUCGGUAUUAGUAAUAUUAGUCGAUACAUAUCACUUUUAAGGGUGAAUUUAAAGGGAUAGGAAUAAUUUCGUGCGUUGGCUUGAUAGUUAGGGUGUUCACCGUCCUAGGUGUGGUUUGAGUUCAAGUUGUGCUAUUGUAAUUCACCAAAAAGAAGUUAAUAUAUAGUGAAAUUGCACUUUAACUCCUCCAAAAAUGAAAAUAUGUAUAUUUAGUUUUCUUCAACAAUAAUGAAAUCGUAAGUUAAUGCAAGAUAAAGGACACUUUAACUUAACAAGCUACGCUCCCCUUAAAAAAAAUCCUAACUUCACCCUUAACCAUCUUGAUUUUAGAUUGGUACCAAGUAGAUUAAGUUUUGUUCUUAUUAAAACAUCAGUGUGUUUCCUUCUGUUUCAACUAAUACCAAUUUAUACUGAUAUGUACCGAAUAAUAUUGGUAGGACUGAGAAAGAAAUCAAGAAAUUGAACUAAUUUUUAUUUAUAAUUUUAUUUGUAAUUUAAAAAUAAAAAUAUAUUUAAAUAGUGACAAUAACUCAAAUUUUAUAUAAAAAUUAUUUCAAAAUAUUAUCAUAUAAGAGUUAUUAAUUUAUUUGAAAAUUAGUUUCUUUUAAAAAUAUUUAUGAAUAUUUUUAAAAACUUUACAAAAUAAUAUCCAAAAUUCGUAAAAUAAUUUAUCAAGAUAAGUUCAAAAACCCAAAAUUAAUAGAUCUUGAACCAAAUAAAUCCAACUAAAAUAAACCCAAAAUUAAUAGACCGAGAAUCAAAUUAUCAUAGAAGAUAUUUACCAAACACACUAAUACCCAUAAUUACCCAAUAAUUCUUCUCACACUUUGCAGGUUUAAAACCCAACACCUUCUAUUACUAUCAAUGUGGAGACCCUUCAAUCCCAGCAAUGAGCGAUGUUCAUUAUUUCCGAACAAUGCCGGCCUCCGGUCCAAGGAGUUAUCCGGGAAGAAUUGCAAUCAUCGGAGACUUGGGGCUCACGUAUAACACAACUUCAACAAUUGAUCACCUUAUGAGCAAUCACCCGAACCUGGUGCUGUUAAUCGGCGAUGCAAGCUAUGCCAACUUGUAUCUCACCAAUGGCACCGGUGCCGAUUGCUACUCUUGCGCUUUCUCCGACACUCCUAUUCACGAAACGUAUCAGCCUCGUUGGGAUUAUUGGGGAAGGUAAAUUUUAACGAUGUUUCAUGGAUUUAAAUAGCGGUCACAACAUGACAUUACGAUAGUAUUUGUUAUAAAUGUGCAGGUUUAUGCAGCCUUUGGUGUCCAAGGUUCCCUUGAUGAUGAUAGAAGGGAACCAUGAAAAAGAAGAACAGAUUGAGAAGAAGACAUUUGCGGCUUAUAGUGCUCGAUUUGCAUUUCCAUCGGAGGAGAGCGGAUCAUCGUCGACAUUCUAUUAUUCUUUUAAUGCAGGUGGCAUUCAUUUCGUGAUGCUCGGUGGUUACACCGACUAUAACAAAUCAGGGGAUCAAUACCAGUGGUUGAAGAAGGACCUUGCAAAAGUUGAUAGAAAAGUGACUCCAUGGUUGGUUGCAACAUGGCAUCCUCCAUGGUACAGUACAUAUACUGCACAUUAUAGAGAAGCUGAAUGUAUGAGGGUAGAAAUGGAAGAUUUAUUAUACAAAUACGGAGUUGAUAUAGUCUUCAAUGGACAUGUAAGUCGUGCUUUAUAAUGAAUUAAUUCAAUUACAUUCACUCGAAGAGCUGAUGGUCGUGUUCAUUUGGUGAUAAUCAAUAGGUUCAUGCCUACGAGAGGUCGAACCGAGUGUAUAACUACAACUUGGAUCCUUGCGGUCCUGUUCAUAUUACGAUUGGUGAUGGUGGCAACCGAGAGAAAAUGGCAAUUACACAUGCUGAUGAACCCGGAAAUUGCCCCAAACCAUCGACAACUCUGGAUAAAUUUAUGGGUGGGUUCUGUGCAUUUAACUUCACAUCAGGGCCGGCAAGUGGUAAAUUCUGCUGGGAUAGGCAGCCUGAUUAUAGUGCAUAUAGAGAAAGCAGCUUUGGACAUGGAAUCCUUGAGGUAUAUUAUGCAGAUAUUUCAUUAAGAUUAAUUUCUAUGGACCGUAAAAAGGACACAAAGGGUACUUUAAUUAUACAAAAAAAACAUUAACAGCAAGUGUUUUGCAGGUGAAAAAUGAGACUCAUGCACUGUGGACAUGGUACGGUAAUCAAGAUGCUUAUGGGACUACUGGUGAUGUGGUUUAUAUAGUUAGGCAACCUGAUAGAUGCCCUGUUGAACCCGACGUAAUUAAUUAAGAGUAAACUCCAAAGCUUAAUUAAGUUGAUUCAUCUGCAGUCACCAUUAAAAAGUGAUGCCAAGAAAGUUUAGGUUUGAAUCUCGGCAUCUGUCCUCAGACUAUGAUUUCUUUUGUACCAGUAAAUAUCUUUCAAAGCUAUAAAUACAUAUUAAACAUCAAAAUCAGACAGCUGAUAAAUCACAAAGGGAUUAUGUACGUAUGUAUGCAUGCAUGUAUGUUGGCUUCUAAAGAUUGAAAAGUAAAUAAUUAAGGAUUCAAAAGGAACAUUAUUGUGAUAUGAUUUGCAGGUUCGUAAUUUUAAUUAAAUGAAAUAAGUUUGAUGUAACUAUGCAAGUAGUACUUAGAAUCCUAAAAGUUUGAAAUAAAUAUUUGUAACUUUGUUGAAUGUUUUCAUGAGAGUUCCUUUCUCAUGGAGGUCAAUUUCUUUGUUAUAAGAUACGGUCCCAUGGUUUGACAUACUAAGAUUAAAUAGGCUCUUAUGUAGGCUAACACGUAUCCUACUUUAGGGUCAACACGUGUCUCUUGAGUAUGGGUUUGCCUGCAUGGUGGUGUGAACCCAUUAGGUGCGGACUUAUACAGACGAACUAUAUGGUUUGGUUAACUAUAUCCGAAAUAAAAGGGGUCAGAUCGGUCUUAAUCAGAAAACAAAUAAUUUAUGGCGGACACUACAACAAACUUAAUAAUCACAUUUGUUAAUAACAAAUAAUUAAUUUGUUUUGAUAACGUAAUUACAAGACAUAAUUUGAAAAUAAUAUAUGCUUGCUUAGAUACCAUUAUUCUCAGUACUCCAAGUAACAUAAAUAUUGAAAUGAAUUUGUGAGAGAGCUAAGAUGGUUGUAUUCUAAUAGAGAGAUUUCUAUUGCUGGUAAAGAAGACUUUAGCUCCACUAUCGUGCGGCCGUGACAUUAGCUUAAGCUCCUCAUUAAGCUAAUUAAAUGUGAUCUCUAGAUUAACCAACAAUGUCUUCAUAAAGUAGACAACUAAAUGAUCGAUACCACCAGCAUCCUUCCAUAAAUAGCUGCGAAAUAGGGCUUCAACUUCUAACAAAAACGCCUCUUCCUAUCAUUGGGGUCAUGCAUCAAGGUUUAAAAAGUUCCAUAUUGGAUGCAAAAUAAAUGAUAGAACAAGUAAGAGCAGGAUAGACAUUGAGCUUGUGUUGAGUGUACUAUCAAAUGAAGCUCUAGAGAGAAAUGGAGGGCUGAAUCCAGGGUAAUUGAGCCCCGGACCGCCACCUCCGCCAUUGAUCGGUGUGGUUGUCGUAGUUGGCACAUUCGGAUUGUUCCACGACCCUGUUUUUGGCAUAGCUGUCCCUCCGGAUGUGCUGGAAAUUUCAUAACUUAAGCUUUUAAAAUCAAUAAAAUAACAGUGACAAAAACUACAAAUAAUGAUGGAAUCCAAUUUGGUUGGUAAUUUUCAAAAAAUAGGCGAAAGGAGCUAUUAUUAGCUUUUGCUGGAACCCAAUAGAGGUGCUCAUGGGCCGGGCCGGGCCGGGCCCAGAAAAAAUUUCGGCCAGUGUCCUAGACCCUGGCCUGGCCGAGGCUGAAAUAUGAGCCUAAAAUUUUAUCUAGGCCAGGCCUGAAAAAAAAUUCAUAAGCCCGAGCCCAGCCCGGCCCAUUUUUUAAAUAAACACCAAAAAAAAUUUAAAAAUAAAAAAAUUUAUUUUAAAAAUAUUUUAAAAAAUAAAAAUAAAAAAUAUUUUAAAAAUAAAAAAAUAAAUAGAUUUAUUAUAUUUGGGUCGGGUCGGGCCGGGCCAAAAAAUGUUAUGUGAGGCCCGGUCCAUUUUUUAAAUGGGCCUUUUUUUUUGUCUAAUGUCAUAUUUCGGGCCUAUUUUUUACUUAAACCCUCCCAUAUUUUGGGCAGGCCAUUGGGCCGAGCCGGGCCGCCCGGCCCAUGAAGACCUCUAGAACCCAGCAAUGCGCCCAUGGAUAGAGAUGACAACAAGGUGAGACGGGACGAGUUUUUGCUCGCCUCAAUUUCGACUCGAUUUUUAUAUCCUCUACUUCGAUUUAUUCUGAGCUCGAUUUUAUUUAAAAAUGUAAAAAUAAUUAUAAAAUUAAAAAAAAAGUGUUUUAGUAAGUAAAUCAAGGCAGACAAAUCGAAUUUUCAUCUAAAUCUAAACUCGAAUUGAUCUUGAACUACCCAUGUAUGACUCCAGUAUCCAAAUAUCUAGAGUGUUUUUUGACCGUUGGAUGUCUUUCAAGAAAAGAGUACCCAUCCAACGGUUGAAAAAGUCUCACCUAAACAAGACGGUAGGAAAACAUUACAAGUAAAGAAGUGGCCAACAGACAUAAAUAAGCCUGGAAACGUAAAAGGUGUAAACCUUCACAAAGUGACGACUGCAUGUAGGAUACGAAAAUGGACGGUUAGAGAUCAUGCCGAGAAACACGUGUCAGACAUCUACUCAAUUACAGCAUCACCAUGAAAGGCUCACACCCACUUGAGAAUCAAAGGAUUAUGCAAAGUUGAUUCAUGUUAGUUAAUUAGGAUUUAAACAAUAUCUUAUUUUGCGCCUUUUUGUUUUUCUGUCUUUGAUCCUCUUACAAGCCACAAGGGUUUCAAUAAUAAAUUACACCCAACUUCAAAAAGUUAUUAAAUGAGCAAUAAAUUAUUCAAAUUUUUUUAUUUAAGUCACUAAACUAUUUAAAAGUUUUUAUUUAAUUUACUGGGCUGUUAAAUUUUUUUUUUAAAAAGGAGGUUCAGCUAGUGAACUCCAAGCAACAAUUUAACAAUCGGUAUGGUGGAUAAAUACCCGCUGACGAGUAGAUCCAAGUUGAUCUAACGGUUAGUGUCGGAGAUCGGAGAAUGAAGAGAAAAACUGUUUGGAUUUUAGUUUAUAGAUUUGUGACGUUAAAAGUUAUUUCAUAAAAAAAAAUUAAACUGUAAAAGAGAAGGGAAAUUAAAGCUUUUGAGUGUUGCAAGCAAUGCAGACAAAGAAAGCCGUACAACAGUAAUUUUAACAACCCGAUGACUUAAAUGAAAAUUUUCGAGUAGUUCAAUGAAAGAAAAUACAAAAAAUUCUCUCUGCUGCGUUGUUUUCGUCUUCUUUGCAGGUAAGGAGGCUAGCUGGCGUAAGGAGGUGGUGGAUGUGGCACAGCACACGCGGGGAAGGCCUUGGUGGCUGCGGCGCCGGAAGGAGGGCUGUUGCAGCUAGGGUUUUCUGAUUUUUUUUUUGUUUUGGGCUAGGGUUGUGUUGAUAGUUGUAUUGGGCUAGGUUUUUGGGCUGGGUGUAGUUGGACUAGAUGCAUCUGACUUUGGGUUUGUACCGGGUCACUGUAAAUGGGUUUGGUUUUUAUUGUUAUUGGGCUGUGAACUAUUUGAGUUUUAAUUAAUUUUUAUUUAUUUGGUUUUUUAUUGUGGGCUGGGCAAAUUGGGUAUUACAAUCAGCUAAUUAGGAAAGACUGUGAUGAUAGUCACACCUUACAUCCAAAAGCAAAGCUUUUUACAUGUGUAUGUGAGGUUGCUAAGCAAAUCUGAUGAGCCUUCACUGAUGUUUUAAGGUUAAGUUAAUGUUCCUUUUCGGCAAAGAACAUUAUCGAGAUCACGGUAUUUUGAUCGCCUUUUGCUUGUUAUGUUAUUUGUUCUGAAACGAUUGCAUAAUCUUUACUGUGAUUGCAGGAUAUAGAGCAACUUCUGAAUUUCAUUGGUGUAAAGAGUUGAGGACCACGACAUGUUCUUGCAAAUUUGAAGGAGCUUCUAAGGUCUGUCCGGUCUUCAGAAUAUAUAGAUACCUGAAUUAAUUUUGAUUUUGUAGGAUCAACUAUAAUUAGCUACUUAUUACACUAUGAAUAGACAACCUCACCUUCUUCACACACUACACGUGCGGAUUUUUUACCAAUCCCAUUUCAAAGGAUCACACUUUUUUGUUGUUUACAGAAUCAUAAUUAAUGUUAAUUAAAGUGGAAUAUUUCAGAUUUCUGAUGAUGAGCAUAUUCUUGAGUAUUGCAGUAAAAAAAUGGGUGUGGAACUUAUUUGAACUUUGAAUGUAUGUUCUGUUGGUGAGAAUAUAAAGUUGAUAAAGAUUUGGUAAAUAGAAUAAAAUAUUAUUUUUAUUAGAAAAAUUAUUUGGUAGACUGCCAAUCGAGUUAUAAUUAUCAUGACGUAAAACAUGUCAUAUUACAAAUAAUAAAAUUAUAAUGACUCAAAUAUACGAACAUGUCAAAAUUUACGUAAAACGAAUUAUUAACAUGUCAAUGUAUAAUACGGUACGCAAAAAUAGGAUAAUUGCUUGUUUUUUAAAUUGAAUUGUUAUAACAUAUUAUACAAAAUACAUUGUGAAUUAAAGCAUAAUAUGAACAUGAUAUCAAAAUAUUAAAUAUUUUUUAAAAUUUGAUGAUACGAAUAAUUAUGUAAAAUAUAACAUGAUACAAAAUAACUUGAGAGGAAAAGAGGAAUAAAGAAUUGCAUUGUUUGUGAGGUUUUAAAAUAUUCCAGUUUUAGAUUCAAUUUUCUAGUAUGUUUGGUUUAAUUUUACAUUAGAUUUCCUUUUUAGUAUGCACUAGUGAACGCUUGGCAGUUAAUUUAAUUUAAUUUAAUUUAAAGAGAUAUUGCAUAUACAUAAUAAUGGAUUAUGAUUUUACAUUAAACUUCAUAGAAGAAAAAAGAAAUAGACGGUUGAAAAUGAUAAAACCAUAAGAUAAAAGAGCUUUUAUUUAAAAUGCAAAAAUCAACAAAAUAUGCAUUAUCGCUCAACUUAGCAUAAUUAAACAUUUAGGUGUGGAAAUCAAAUCACAAUUUGAGUAGCUAAACAUAUCGCUUGAAAAUGUGAUAAGUAAGAAAAUUGCCCACAUUUGAGUAGCGACAGGUGGUAAUGCAUUUCCCAACAAGAGAAAACCAAGCUCUUCGCCAGUAUGGAUUUAUGUAGAGGACAACAAAAAUUGUUAACAACACAACUACAUAAGAAACCAAAAAGCUCACACAAAAAUCAUAACUAUCUAUCAAACCAUCUUCUCCUUUAUCUUCUGAUACAGUUGAUAUUGUUGAUGGUGAAUCGGUUUUGGAACAACUUUUAUGCAGUAUAGGUCCACAAAGAAAAGGGUUUCCUUCAUAACUGUUUUCAAUAAAGGUCUCAAAUUGAGCUUUUGGUUCGGGAAUACUACCUGACAAGUUGUUAAAUGCCACGCUGAAAACCUCCAAAGAGUUUAACUCUACCAAUUGAUUGGGGAUUUCACCACUUAAGUUGUUGUAAGAAAGGUCCAAACUCUCAAUUUGAUGUAGUUUUGAGAGUGACGAGGGUAUAACUCCGGUCAACUUAUUGUGUGAAAGGUUUAAAGAAUGGAUUUCACUCAAGUUCCCUAAUUCUGGUGGGAUAUGACCAGUUAAGUUGUUGCAAGAUAAAUCAAUCCCAGUCAUAUAUGAAAGGAUGUCGCCCUUGUAUGAAUAGAACCCACUCUUUGUUGUGAACUCUAUUACUUCUUCUAAGUAGCUACUAGGAUAGUAAGAAUCCAUUCCCAAAUUUAGUAUCAUACUGCGUGUUGUUUCAUCCUCUUCUAUAGAUGGCCCAUAGAACCAAGUUUCUAGAAUCUUCUUCGUUUGCAUUGGAAGAGAUAAAUUUCCCAAACAAGAAGGUAUAGGACCAGAAAACAUAUUUUGAGAAAGAUCUAUGAUGCUUAAAGAAUGCAACUUGCAUAACUCAAUAGGAACUUUACCAUGAAAAUGAUUAUCUUUCAAGAGAAGAACACUCAAAGAAGAAAGCGUGUAAAUCCAUUUUGGAAUACUACCUGUCAAAUUGUUUCCUCUAAGAUCUAAAGUCACUAUUGAAGAGCUAUUAUAAAAAGCAAGUGAUAGUGGGCCUCUCAGUCUAUUCCCGUGGAGGUGGACAUGCUCUAUGUAUGGUGGAUUAAAACAUGACGGUAUAGAGCCAGAUAAAUUAUUUUGAGAAAGAUCCAAAAAUUCCAACCUAUUCAACUUGCAAAAUUCCAUUGGAAUGGAACCUUCAAAACCAUUGUUGGACAUAGCUAAUCUCUGCAAAAACGAUGCAUUCCCUAUCCAUCUUGGGAGCUUUCCAUGCAACUUGUUGUUACUGAGAUCAAUUUCGCUUAGUGAAUUUGGAAACUCAAAAGUAGACACAUCAACAUUUGUCAUCUCUCCUGAAAAAUUAUUUCCAUCCAAAUAUAAAUGCUGCACCCCAUUUGCGCUGAGAAUCACAGGAACUACAUUUCCACUGAGGUUGUUAUUUGAUAGUCUCAAAAUGGUCAGUGAGCCUUUCGUGAUCAACUCUUCUGGUACUUUUCCAUACAAAUGAUUGUCUAAUAGAUCUAAAAAUGAUAAGUCCUUCAUGCCACUUAAACAAAGUGGGAUAUUAUCUUCAAAAGCAUUCUUGGAUAAGAAUAACCGACUCAAAUGUGGAAAAGUUGAACAUAUACCAGUUGGAAUUUGACCUUGUAAUUUGUUUUCAGAUAUGUCAAUUGAAGAUACAUCAGAAAUAAGAGCCGACGAAAGUGAGAGAGGACCUGUAAAUGAAUUACCCUUCAAGAUGAGAUCUUCUAACUUUGUGUUGUUUUCUAGCAACCAAGUUGGUACAGUUCCACUGAGAUUGUUAUGAGAAAGAUCCACAUAUCUCAAGUCAUAUUGGUAGUAAAGGAAGGUAGGAAAUUUACGAUUGAGUUGUUGAGAUGCUAUGCACUUUGGCAAUCUGAUGACUUCCAAUUGGAACUUUGGGAUUGAGGUAUAAAAGGAAGAUUCCAUUACCAUCUUGUUUUCAUUAAUCGAAAGGGCUUUGAGGUUUGAAAGGUUUGCAAAUGGUGCAAAUGACAGCGGAAUUUGAAAAUGGUUUCUUGAAACAUCUAACACACGAAGAGAUGUCAAGUUACUAAAACAACGAGGAAGCAUCCCCUCAAGUGCAUUGUUGCUCACAUCCAAUACUUCAAGGUUCUUUAGAUCACACCAUCCUGAAAAAUUUAUAAAUUCAUGGAAGAAAUUUUAAUUAAAUUUGGUCCUAUUAAAUAGAAUAGGAGAUAUUAUAUUACAAAAGCUAGUAAAGAAAUCAAUUUGAGCCAUAAAAUUAUUUACCUUGAUUAGGUAAGGGACCAAUAAGUCCACAAUGAUAUAAAGACAAUGUUUUAAGAGAAGCGAAUACUCCAAUGCUUUGCAAAAUGUUGGUGUUGAGAGUAGAAUAGUCAAGAUAUAUUUCCUCCAAACUGCUCGACACAUUUGAAUCUAAGCAAUGUCAAGAGGUAUUAGAUAACGGUAUUAUAGAAAGCCUCUACUAAGUAGAAUGCUUUAUUUUCUGUGAAUGAAAUGAAGUAUAUAAAUAUAUAUAUAUAUUUUUUAUGAGUUAGAUUAUUCAUGAUUUAUCUGAGAUAAAUUUUGAUAGAGAGAAGAUGUUGAAACUUUAAUAUAACUCUUCAUCCAUUUUAUUAAUUAUACUAUUUUUUUUCUUUUUAGUAUUUUCUUAUAUUAUUUUUUAAUAUAAGUAAUUAACUGAUAUAGCUAAGUUGUAUAAUUUUCAAACUCCAAUCAACAACACUAUAAAUAAUAUUUAUAAAAUAAAACAUGUCUACACUAAAUGUAUGUUUAAAUUUCAUAAAAUUGAAGAUAUUUUUAAAUUAUUCAAAAUUCACAUGUCUACACUAUAAAUAAUAUUUAUAAAAUAAAACAUGUCUACACUAAAAUUAUUAUAUUACCUUUAAAGAUGCCAAUAGUAUAUAAAAAAAUCAAAUAGGUAUUUUACUCAACAAUAAAUAAAACUCAAAAGAAUUAUAAGUAAACUCAGCGGAUUAAAUGAAAAUUUUAAAGCAUUAAAUCUUGGCCCAAAAAUAGAGUUAAGUUAAAAUUCAAAAUUCAAAAUUAUUUUAUUAAUAUUGUUAAAAUUAUUUUAUUAAAUCCAUGUUCAUUACGUCAUUUUUUUAGUUACAUUACUACUAAGUUUUUUUUUUAUUUCAAAAUGUCACACCAACAAGCUAUUUUAAAAUUUUAACAAUUUUAACAAUUUAACUAGGAUUUUGAUUUUUUUUUAUAAAAAAAACAGGGAUUAAAUUCUUGAAAAUAAAAGUAUAAGAAUUAAAUUACAAAUUAGUAAAGAGUACAUAGACCUAUCAUAUUUUUUAAAACCAAAAAGUUAAAAACAUAUGCACUUUGAAAUUUAUAAAAAGAUUGCAAUGGAAGUUUAAGCACCUCUCAAUGUAUGUUUAAAUUUCACAAAAUUAAAGUUUUUUUUUAAAUUAUUCAAAAUUGACAUUUAUUUAUUUUUGCCAAAAAAUGCCAUUUAUUUAACGCUAAUAUGUAUUUUUAUGUUUUAUACUAUUAAAAAUAUAUGAAAUUAAAAUAUAGUUAUAUUACAUAUUUUCUCAUAAAUAUAUGUUUUUAUUUAUUUAUAAUAUCAUUUUUUAUUGUUAUAAUUAUUUUUUAUCUCAUAAAAAUUCAAUAAAUUAUUUUAAAAAAUAUAUUUAUACAAACAAAAUAAUUAUAAACAUUAAUAUUUUAAAAUGAUGAAAAUUUUAAAGAAUUUUAGUUUCAAACCAAAGUCCAAACACAUUAUAAUGGAUGAUUUAGAAAAUGUUUCACCAAACCCAUAUUUUACUUUCAAGUAUGAUAUGAUAUAACUUUAUUAAUAUUUAUGACAAUAACCGUUAUUAUAAUAUUUGACAUCAAAACUAAAUUUCUAAAUUAAAAAAAAAAAGGAAGUUUAAUUAAAUGAUACCUUGGUGGAUCACCAAAUCUUUCAAUUCAUUAUAGCUCAUAUCUAGUUUCCUUAAGUUGAUAAAUGCUUCCAAAUCUAGGAAAACAAAAACAACAAAUCAACUUCAUUAUAUUCUCUUAAAACAUUAUUAUAUUCUUGUUAAAAAACUAAUACUUUUACCUUUCAUAUCUAUUGAUCCUUUCAAUUCAUUGCCUCUUAUGCUCAAAGAUUUCAAAUUUGAAAGCUUGUUAAGGGAUGCAAAUACACUAGUAUUGAAGUGAUUUCCAUCUAAAUUAAGCUCUUCCAAGUGGGUCAAUUCCAAUUUUCUACCAUCAUCUACAAAAGAUUUAUAUAAUUUCAUCAUCUACCAUCACUAAUUUCAUCUACCAAUUUGUUAAAUUGCUCAAUCCUAUACAUAUCCACGUACAAUUCAAAAAAUCAUUAUGUUAAUAAUUUUAAUUUCUACUUAAUAUUUUAAUGAAAUAAAAAUGAAAAAAAAAAGUAAAUCUAAAACUUGAAUUGAAGAUAAAAAUCCUCAAACGUGAAAUGUGAAUGUUCAAAUUUGAAACAAUUAAUUUUAAAAGGCUCUAGAAAGAAUUAUCAAGAAAAACAAAGUUAUAGCUUUAGUACCUUUAGUAUCUAAUGAGCCUUGCAAACGGUUGUUGAACAAAGUCAAAGACUUUAGGCUUGAAAGCCCUUGAGGAAAGGAAAUUGUGUUGUUCCGAAAGAGAUUACCACUCAAAUAAAGUUCCUCUAAGUUUGUUAGCCUCAAUUGUGUUCCAUCUAUCAUUGGAAGAAAGUAAUUAGUAUAGUUAACAUCAUUCAAGAUAUAAAUAGUUAGGAAAAAUGUUUGUUUGAGAAGGAAGAGCCAAUUUACAAGCUUUCCGAUGAAUUGAUUCAAUAUAUAAAUACUUUGUUUGAGAUACCUUCCUACUUAAAUUACUCAAUUUUGAAAUUUAAUCCCAAAUAUUGAUUACUUAUAUAUAUUCAUGAUAUGAUAAAAUCAAAUGACUUAUUGCAACAACUUUUCCUUCAACAUGAAUUUAUUUUAAAGAAUGCUAUUCUUCAAAUAAUUCCAACUUAUAUCAAUAAUUUCCAAUUUAAUGAGCCAUUGAAAACCUCAUUUAUAUAUUAUAUAAUUAGUUACUACAAAACUUAAAUAAAUAAUAAUACUCCAUUUUUGCAAUAAAAAUUCACUAAAGAAAAUACAUUUGAAGUCUGUCAUUGCCUUUUGGAAUAAGAGUCGGUCAAGAAAGUUACUAUGCAGAAAUACUUAUACCUUUGUUUGAGAUGCUUUCAAUGUCGUUCCAACUUAAAUCCAAGUACUUCAAAUUUGUCAAAUUAUUCAAUCCUGAAAUUCAAUCCCAAAUAUUGAUCAGUUAUAUAUAUAUAUUCAUGAUAUGAUAAAAGCAAAGACAUAUUGCAACAUUAACUGUCCCUUAAACAAAAAUUGGUUUUAAAGUAAAAAAGAAACAUAUAAAACCAGUCUACCUUUAAUAUGAAUUGACAUAUAAAUACUGUACUUAUACCUUUGUUUGAGAUGCUUUCAAUUCUGUUCCAACUUAAAUCCAAGUAUUUCAAGUUUGACAAAUUAUUCAAUCCUGAAAUUCAAUCCCAAAUAUUGAUUAGUUAUAUAUAUUCAUCGUAUGAUAAAAUCAAACUUGAACAUACAUUGAUUUUUAAAUCAAGGAUGAAAGAUUUCUCAUAUGAAACAAAAUGCUAUUCUUCAAAGAAUUCCCACUUAAAUCAAGAGUUUCCAAGUUAUUGAGUCUUGAAAGCAAUUGAAAACCUGAUAUAUAUAUUUACUUGUUAAUUGUUUUUUCUUUCUUAGCCAUAUGAAAAUUUUACUAAAGCAAAAGUGGAAUUACGACGGAUAAAAAGAAUGGAAAACUAGGUACCAAGCCUAGAAGACCAUCCUCAAACUCCACUAUACAAAUAAAAACUAACAGCAGACCAAACUUAAUUUACCUCUUUGAUGACCUGAUCCUUCAAAUUUGUUGAUUGAUAGAUCUAAAUACCGGAGAGAUGAAAGCUCACUCAAAGAUAACAAAAUGCUAUCAUUCAAGUAAUUGAAACUUAAGUCAAGGAUCUCCAAAUUACUCAAUGUGGAUGAUAGUUUUCCAAAGCCUAUAGAAAUAUUCUUUUAAAUAUAUACAAGUUAGUGACUUUUCUUCCAUAAAAUAAAAUAAAAUAUAAGUAAUUGCAAAUUAACGAUGGUAAGAGUAGUGGGAUAAUAAAAGAUGUAAUUAAGGAAAAACUAGAGGCACGACCUUCAUUUUCAAGGUUACCACUUAUGGCAUUCCCCCGCAAAUAAAGACUCUUCAAUUCCUCAAAGGGAAGAAACAUAGAGGUAUUGAGAUACCAGGCAUUGAGAUUCCUAUUAUCCGUUUUGUAUCCCAUACUGUCAAACCAUCUUGUAGAAUUAAGGGAGAGUUGUAUGAGUCUCCUAGUGGUGGUGUUACACUCAACUCUUUCCCAUUUACAACAAUCUGAACCCUUCACCUCAACCCAACUUUGCAAUUGAUUUUGAUAAUUGAAGAAAGGCUUGAGAUGCAAGAGAGCGAUUCUCUCAUGCUCCAAACAAGCAUCAGUAGUACACCAUCUGCAUCCUUCUAACACCAACAACAUUACUGCCAUCCUAAUAAGCCUUAACCAUUUCCACUCCAUCAUCAUCAUCUCUCUGUUUUCACUUCUCUCUCAGUUAUAUGUUACUUUUUGUUAACUUCUAUAUGUAAAUAAUCUAAAGCAGCCUAACCUUCUUAUUUAUAUACAAGCAGAACAUACUGGAUCCCACUAAUUCACUAUAAUGUAAAAAUAAUAUAUAAUUAAUUAAUUCCUCAAAAAUUGGAUCAAAAUCUAGGCUUUUUAUUUACGUAAAUUCCUUAUUGCAAAAACUCCUGGUGGAAAUUCGUUAGGAAAGGAUGAAUGGACCACAAGAAUGUUGAUGUUAAUCUUGAAAAACGAAUGGCCAAAAAAAUAUGAAAAGUGAGAGGUGGACAUAAAAUCUUGUGGUUGGGGUUGCAAAAGUCUUCAUGUGGCUUUCUUGUGAGCUUCAUUUAUACCCUUCUUACACAUAUACAAACUUAGUCUUGACUUGGCUUUAUUAAUGGAAAAUUUAGGUCUUCAUUUUUGGUUUCAUUCAUGGAAAUUUUACUUCUUUGAUUUUGAUUUUGCUUUUAUUCUUGCACAUUUUAGGUUUUGAUUUUGAAAAUUUAGUUUUUUUCAUCUCUAUUAUUAUAAAAUUUCUUGAUUUAAUUAAUAUCAUGAGUUAAUUUAAUAUUUUAAAAAAUAAAAUAUUACAUUCACUAUUUUUAAAAAAAUAGGAGUAACUAUAAAAUUUAAUUAUUUAUAUAAUAUUUUUAUAAAAAAACUAUUUAUUUCUACUAGACCACUACUUUAAAACUAUCAAUUAUCAUAUAACUUCUCUUUAAUAAUUCACUAUUCUUUGAACAUUCAUUAGUUUUUGAAACAUAAAAUUUAUAAAUAAUUAUUUUUAAAAUGACUUGAGUUUUACUUGAAUCAUUUUUGUAAUUAGUUAAUUAAAUUGGGUUAUUUUUAAAAAAAAUCCUCUUAACUAAUAGCAAAAAAAAAAAAAGAAAAAAAAAAGCCAUCAUGUAGAAAAUUCUGGUUUGUUGGAAAGAUAAAGACUUGCACCAUUACUUUAAAUUUUGAAAUGUUCAACUUGAUAUUGACAUCUGAUAAUAUGUACAAAUUUCUCAUUGUUUUGAAUUUUAGUGAUAUUACACAUAUGAUAAUAUGUUUGUCACACCAAAUUUUGAAAUAGUAGAACUUAAUGAAUUUAACAAAUACUUAAUGAAUUUAAGAAAUAUCUAAAAUAUCAAAUUAAAGUCUAGGAAUUAAAUCUACAACUUCAGUAAAGUACAAGAACUAUUGUAGAAUUAAACCUUUAUAUAAUAAUUUCCUUCUAUGAACCACAAUUCAAGUGCACCCCACAAGCAACAUUAAAAAAUUGGCAUGUGUCUAUUUUUUUAAAAAUAUUUAUUUUUUUAAUAUUAUAUACUACACCUCUAUAGGAUACGUGUCAAUCCUUUAACUCUCCUUAUGGAAUUUAAAAACUCCACUAACAAUGUACCAAAUAUUAAUCCUAAUUAUUAUACUAUUCAUGGAUAAAGAUAAAAUAUAAUAUUUGCUUAAAAAUCUCAAUUAUAUAUAUUUGGUCACCCAUUGUGAUGUAAUAUAGCACCGUCUACAAAAUAGUUGGAGGAAAGUGUUAAGAAAAUAUCAUUACAUAUAUCAACAUUCGCAUAAUUCAUUGCAUUAACUUUCAAAUGUUAACUAUUGACUUCUGCGUCAACUUUGAGCUUAUAUAGGUCCCCCUCAUGGAAAUUGAGAAAAACAAAUUAAUAUGUAUAUUCUUGUGGGUGGAAAUUUAGUGGAGAUGCCCAUCAUCUUUCCUAAUUAAUAAAAAUGAAGACUUAGAAAAUGUGCAAUCAUAAUCCUAGUCGUCGUUAUGGCCCCAAGAAUAGUUAUCUUAAUUUGUCUCUCUUCAGGAUUAAAGAUAAAAAAUAAAUUUUAUAAAGUUAGAACUAUAAUUUUAUAAUUAUAUUAACAUAUAAUUUCAUAAAAUUUUAAAAAUGUAUCUUUUAAUUUUUUAAUUAAAUUGAUAAUUCGUUAACUCAUAAUAUUAUUUUAUUUUUCAAAAUAUUUACGAGAACGAGUUCGUAUUCUAUUGUGUGGAAAAUUUUAGUACAGAUUAUUAAGUUAUUGGAGAAGCCAAAUCCAACUUGUUUGACCAAGAAAGUUUUUGUCGCGUGGAAAAUGGACAUUACCAUUUCCUUGAAUGACCUUCAAUUUAAUGUAUUCACACCAAAUUUCAUUAAUGAGUAAAACAAAUAAUGAAUAAUAAUGAAAAUUGGAGGAAAUUGUUAAGAAAUUAUUAUUACAUAUAUCAACAGUCACAUAAUUCAUUGUAUUAACUUUCAAAUGUUGACUAUUGACUUUUACAUCAACCUUGAGCUUAUAUAGGCCCCCCUCACGGAAAUAAUCUCAUAAUUAAUGCCUGAAAAAUUAUUAUACAUCAAUUUACAGUUUUAAUCCCUAGACUUACUCAAUUGAAUUAAAAUUUUAGUUUUUAUUAUUUAAUUUGAACUAUUACUUUAGAUUUUGAAAUGUUCAACUUGAUAUUACAAAUUUCUCAUUCUUUUGAAUUUUAGUGAUAUUACACCUAUGAUAAUAUGUUUGCCACACCAAAUUUAGAAAUAGUAGGACUUAAUGAAUUUAAUAAAUAUCUAAAAUAUCAAAUUAAAGUCUAGAAAUUAAAUCUACAACUUCAGUAAAGUACAAGAACUAUGGUAGAAUUAAACCUUUAUAUAAUAAUUUUCUUCUAUGAACCACAAUUCAAGUGCAUCCCACAAGCAACAUUAAAAAAUUAAAAUGUGUCUAUUUUUUUAAAAUAUAUUUUUUUUAAUAUUAUAUACUACACAUAUAUAGUAUACGUGUCAAUCCUCUAACUCUACUUAUGGGAUUUAAAAAAUCCAGCAACAAUGUACGAAAUAUUAAUCCUAAUUAUUAUACUGUUCAUGGAUAAAGAUAAACUAUAAUAUUUGCUUAAAAACCUCAAUUAUAUACAUUUGGUGACCCAUUGUGACGUAAUAUAGCACCAUCUACAAAGUAGUUGGAGGAAAUUGUUAAGAAAAUAUCAUUACAUAUAUCCAACAGUCACAUAAUUCAUUGCAUUAACUUUCAAAUGUUGACUAUUGACUUCACGUCAACUUUGAGCUUAUAUAGGCCCCCUCCUCAUGGAAAUAAUGUCACAAUUAAUGCUUGAGAAAUUAUUAUACAUCAAUUUAUAGUUUUAAACCCUAUACUUACUCAUUUGAAUUAAAAUUUUAGUUUCAAUUUGAUAUAUUUUGUUCCUCUUAUUAAUAUUAAUGUUAUAGAUUUAUUAAAAUAACUAACAUUAUUAAUUCUCUAACAUUUAAAAAUUAAAAUUAUGUGGUUAUUAAAAUUAUGAUGCUAAAUUGAGAAUUAAAAAUUAUCAAGUUUUAAAUGAUCUCGGGAAUUAAGAAGAGAUCGUGUCCUAACUUAUUGGGCAUGAUCCUUUUUUUUCUCAAGUUUUAAAUGAUCUCAGGAAUUAAGAAAAGAUCGUGUCCUAACUUACUGGGCAUGAUCCUUUUUUUUUUAAAAUCUAAGAUAGCUAAAUAUUUUUUAAAUAAGUAAAUUUUUGGCAUUCAUUCGCGCAUCGGGAAUUCAAGACAUUGUGUCCUAACUUACUGGAUAUAAUUCUCUUUCUCGAUUAAUGUGAAUUAUGGCUUUUUCCCGAAAAUUUUCAACAUUUCAAUAAAGGAUCGUAUUUUAAAUCUCUUUAAAGUUUUCAAUCUUCGAUACUAAGACAUUAAUUAAUCAACUAGGUACCAAUUUUGGGCGUAACGAGGGUGCUAAUCUUUCCUCGUACGUAACCGACUCCCAAACCUGUUUUUCUGAAUUUCGUGGACCAAAAUUAUUAUUUUAUUAAAAUUAAAUUGUUUAUUAAAAAUAACCACUUUUCAAGGUGGCCCGAUCACACCUUAUCAAAAAGGAUUGGUGGCGACUUCCAUAUUCGUUUUCAUUUUUUAAAAUCCAAGUCGACCCCGUUUUCACAAAAAAAAAAAGUGUCAACAAUUAUAUUAAUAUAUAAUUUCAUAAAUUCUUUAAAAAAAAUUGUAUCUUUUAAUUUUUUAAAUUAAUUUAGUAAUUCAUUAACUCAUAAUAUUAAAUUUUUUAUUUUUCAAAAUAUUUACGAGAACGAGUUCGUAUUCUAUUGUGUCGAAACUUUUAGUACAGAUUAUUAAGUUAUUGGUGAAGCCAAAUCCAACUUGUUUGACCAAGAAAGUUUCAGUCGUGUGGAAAAUUUUAGUUUUGUGGAAAAUAUAGAUUAACUUCUAUAUAUGUAUGUAAUCUAAAGAAGCCUAAGCUUCUUAUUUAAUUAUAUACAAGCAGAAGAUAUUGCAUCCCACUAAUUCACUAUAAUAUAAAAAUAAUAUAUGAUUAAUUAAUUCCUCAAAAAUUGGAUCAAUCUAGGCUUCUUAUUUACGUAAAUUCCUUAUUGCAAAAACUCUCGAUGGAAAUUCGUUAAGAAAGGAUGAAUGGACCACAAAAAUGCUUAUCAACUCUUGACUUUGGCGUUCAAUGCUAAGUUCAUUUUAAAAUUCUUUCAUGGAGAGAAGAUGGGAUGACAAGAAUGAUAAGUUUUAAGUCAUUUAAGUUUACACAAAAUUUUAAUCACUCACAAAAAAUCAGUCUUGAUAUUCUAUUAAAAAAUUUAAACAUGGCUUAACGUUGAUUUUAAAUCUAAUGUCGAUGUCAAUCUUGAAAAACGAAUGGCCAAAAAAAUAUGAAAAGUGAGAGGUGGACAUAAAAUCGUGUAGUUGGGGUUAUAAAAUUCUUCAUGUGGACAUAAUAUAUUUUUUAUGCCCUUCUUACACUUAUAUAAAGUUAGUCUUGAUUUCGCUUUAUUAAUGGAAAUUUUAGUUCUUCAUUUUUUGUUUUAUUCAUGGACAUAAUAUUUAUUUUUAUUUUUUAUUUUUGUGUUAUGGUCUAUGUUCGAGGUUUAUGGCUAUCCCCUUUCAACAACGUCGUCUCAACGGUUCAAACAUACACUUGCAGGUAAAAUAAUACUUUUUAAAAUCACAAAUAUUUGAAAUAAUAUAUUGCAGCUAUAUAAAUGCUUUCUUGUUUAAGAUACUAAUAAAGUAAUUAACAAAGUAAUUAUUAUACCUAUAAUAAUUCAAAAUGCCACUUGUUAUCUAAUGAAGUAUAGGGGUGCAAAUGAGACAUCCGUACCCGCAAGCUAUUCGAAUUCGGCUCAAAAAAUUUUGAAUUUGAUUCGGUAAUUAUUGCGCCGAGCUAUAGGUCGAUCCGGAUUCAAGCUUAGUAAUACUUGACUCGAGUAGUUUGGGAGCCUUAUUGAACUUUUCAUAUUUUUAUAUUAUUAGAUUACAUUAUUGCCUUUAAUAUAUAUUGUUAACCCUAAGUUUAAUUAUUGAGGCGAGCUCGAACUCGAGUACAAAAAUUGAUAAACAGAUUUAAUUUCGAGCUUAAAAAUAUAUGUUCAAUCGAGUAUCAAGCUUUGAAUUUCAAAUUAAACUUGAGUUUAACCGUAUUGAGUUCGAAUAGAUUCAAUUACACCCUACAAUAAAAUAUACCAACAAAACCUACAUUCCAUAUUUGCUUAAAAACUUUGCUGUAAAUUUUAUAUAUGUGUGUGUUUAACGUGAGUUCCAUCUAUGUCCAACUUGAUGACGAUGAAAGUUCCUAUGGUGUAAAAAGUUUUAGUUAUGUGGAAAAAUAAGGUCUUCUCUUCACACGUUUAAUAUGCUUACUUGUGACGGUCAUUUCGGGCUUGACAUCAAUUUUCAAAAUGUUCUAAUUGGUGGAAAACUUACGUCUGCUUUUAUGAUUCUUUCAAGUCAAUUGGAGAAUGCCUCUGUUACACUUCAAAAGAAGUAGAUUUUGAACUCAACAUGAACCUGUGAGAUUUGAUGCCUAAAAUAUAGGUAUAAGGUUUCAAUUCAAGGAAAUGUUGGAAGUCCAGGAAAUUUCUUAGUCUCCUCUCUUUGGAUGUUUUUGAACAAAAAUGUUUUAAGUCUCUUCCGAUGCUAAACUUCUGAUUGGUCGUCGGUUCACUGACCCUUUGGUACACAGCAAUAUGAAGCAUUGGCCAUUCAAGGCCAUUGCUGGUCCUGGUGAUAAGCCAAUGAUUGUACUACUAUAGAUUUGAAAUGAUUGUACACAUCUGAUCGGCUCUUUGUAAAUUUAAAUCUUACAAAUUCGGAUAAUAUUCGAAUUUAAAUAUUUCAAUUACUAUCUGCAAUAGAUUAAAAACAAACGUGAUUAUCAAUCCUUGGAUAUCCACAUACAGAUUAUGCAAUACAAUCUCUUAAGGCAUAUAGAAUUUGGGUCUUAACCAAGCUAUGUUGCUUAAAAGCUUGCUAAAAGCACCCCUAACAAAGGGGUAAAUAAAUAAAAUAUCAAGCACCAGUUAUCAAAGCAGAUUGACCACCUUAUAUCUAUGUAUGCUACUACAAAACUUGCACCAUUAAAAUCUCAAGCUGGUAAUUGGAGCUUCAUGUUAUUCUUGCAGCUGCAGGCAUAAUAAUCAAAUAAGUUGCAAUCAUUCACAUAGGUACUAUGAAGUGCUUUCCAGAGCGUGAGAAACCUCUGGAAGUAAUAGUAGAAGAAAUCAGCAUAAAGCAAUGUCUGGACAAGACCGCAAAUCCAAGCUGAUCAAAGGCAUCAAUCAUGUAAACUAGGUGUUAGAAAUAACAAAUAUAGCAUAGAAUAUAACAAAUAAUGAAUAACAAUGAAUAGUACACGUUACCAUUUCCUUGAAUGACCUUCAAUUUCUCCAUUGAGAUAUAGUAAGAGGGAGUGGAAUAGAUGUAAGGUAAUAUUUGAUGUAUUCGGUAAAUGAAUAAUAACACCACAUUCCAUUAAUGAGUAAAACAGAUAAUGAAUAAUAAUGGAAGUUUUAUAAAAUAAAAAUAAAUUAAAUCAUAUACAUAUAAUGUAUUAAAUCUUAUUCGUGAAGUUCACAAUGAACAAAAUACUAAUCCAUAAUGGAGAAAAAUAACCUAAACUUUAAACAUUUGUUCAUUACUAUAAACAUAUGUACAACUUUUUAAAGGUUUUAUAUAAACUAUUAAAAGGUAUAAACACUCUCAUAAAAAUAUAUUAUUAAGUACGUCUUCUUUUACUAGGAAAGUUCCUAUCCUGUAGAAAAAUGUAGUUUUGUGAAAAAAGGUCUUCUAUGCACUAAUUUGUGGCAAUCACAUGGGGUUUGGGAAUUUCAAUUUUGAUAGCCAACCGAGAUUCACUAAAUUUAAAUUUUAUUAUGAUUAAUUACGCUCUUCGUUUUGGAGAAAUAGGUAAUCACAACAACUAAUUUAAUUAAAUGUAAUUUAAUAAUUAAUUUUUUUAUAAUUUAAUUACAUUAACUAUAUUUAAAUUUAAUAUUUAGUAUUUAUAUUUUAAUUUAACAUAAUUUAAUUCACUUACUUUUAUAAUAUUAUUAGUUCGUCUAAAUAGUUGACACCUUUAAUUAAUUCUUAUUAAAAUGUUAAAAAUGUUUAUACUUAUUUUCCAUGUUAAAAUAUAUAUUUUUUUGUGCUUUUAAAAACAAAAUUUCACAAUAUCAUUUCCCGAUAUAAAAAUUAAAUCUCAAAUUAAUUUAUAUUUUUGUAUUUUUUUAUAACUAAUGUUAUCAAGAACUCUUAAUAGUGCAACUGAUUCCACCAUAAUAUUUAUAUUCUUUAAAUAUGAUUUACAAUUUAUGUUUGGAGUUCGUGACUGUCAUUCUUAAUAAUGUCAUUUCUAAUGUUCGAACAUGCAUCUCCCCUUGAGAAUGCAAUAUUCAUUACUAUUGCACCUAAUUAUUUUGAUAAUUUAAUUUUAAAUAUUGACAUAAAAAUAUUUUUAAAUAUAUUAUUAAUAAAUUUAAUUAAGAUUAUAAAACUUGAGGUUUUUUUUAAUUCUUCAAAAAUGUCAUUUAUUUAUUUUUGGCCAAAAAAUGCCAUUUAUUUAACUCUAAUAUGUGCUUUUAUGUUUUAUUUUAAAAAUAUAUGAAAUUCUAAUGAUAGUUAUAUUACAUAUUUUUUAAUUUUAAAUAUCAUUGUUCUUUUAUAAUUUGUUUCAAGUAUGAAAUGAUAUAAUUUUUUUUAGUAUCUAUCACAAUAACCUUUACUAAGAAUUGAAACUAAAUUUCUAAAUUUUGAACAAAAAUGAAAGUUUAAUUAAAUGAUACAUUGGUGGAUUCAUUACCCCUCAUAUCUAGUUCCCUUAAGUUGAUAAAUGUUUCCAAAUCUAGGAAAACAAAAAACAACAAAAUCAACUUCAUUAUAUUCUCUUCCAACAUUAUUAUAUUCUUGUUAAAAAUCUAAUAUUUUUACCUUUCAAUCCAUUGCCCCAUAUGCUCAAAGAUUUCAAAUUUGAAAGCUUCUUAAGGGAUGCAAAUACACUAGUAUUGAACUGAUUUCCAUCUAAAUAAAGCUCUUCCAAGUGGGUCAACUCUAAUUUUCGACCACCAUCAAUAAAAGAUUUAUAUAAUUUCAUCACUAAAAUGAAUUGGCAUAAACUUUUAUUAUAUAUAAGAAUUUAGGUAAUUGGUUAAAUAUAAAUGCAUACCAUUUAAGGAUUGAAAGCUUUCAAUUUCAUUCCAACUUAAAUCGAGUUUCUUCAAAUUUGUUAAAUUGCUCAAUCCUAUACAUAUCCUCAUCCAAUUCAAAAUCUGAAAUUAGUAAAGAUAAAAUUGCACAUUGACCCCCUAAAAUUGAUAAAAAUUUAAUUUAAUUCUUUAAAAAUUAUAAACAUAUGUAGCGACCUAAAAAUUUCGGCACGGGCGCUAGUCGAAGUAAUUAUUGUAAAUUUGAAAACUGAAUCUCGAUUUUAUUUGAAAAAGGAGUCGCCACCGAUAUUUUUUCUAGGUGUGAUCGGACACCUACAAAAUUCUCUUUUUAGAAGAAAAAAUUAUUUUUAAACUUUUCUAAAAAAGAGGUAAUUUUAGGUCCACGUAAAAAUCCAGAGAAAAUUAGGGUCCGGGAGUCGGUUACGCGCGAGGAAGGUAUUAGCACCCUCGCAACGCCCAAAAUUGGUAUCUCGUUAAACGCGUGUUGUCUUCAUUUUCAAAAAUACGAGUUCAAUUUAAUAUUAGUCGUGAUCCGAUUGAACACGAGAAUUUUAAAGCGCAACAACUUUUUCUUUUUUGAAAACACGAAAAUUUUAAAAUACAAGAAUUUUAGAAACACAAAACUUUUUUUUUAAAAAAAACACGAAGAAUUUAAAACACGAGAUUUUUUAUUUUUAUUUUUGAAAACACGAUUCUUCUUUUUGAAACACGAAAAUUUUUAAAACAGAAAAUUUGUUUUUGAAAACAUAAAUUUUUUGAUAAAAUACGAAACACGAGAAAUUUUGAAGACAUGAAAAUUUUUGAAACACAAUUUUUCUUUAAAAAAUACCGUAUUUAACACGAAUCGAUGAUAUUCAUCCCGAUAUGGCGAUGAAACCAUCGAAUUAGUGUUAACUCAAUUCAAUUUAAUAUUUAAUCGGGAUUCUAAUAAAACACGAGAAUUUUUAUUAAAAUACGAGGAUUUUUGAAUAUUUUUAUUUUUAAAAGGGUGUCCCGAAUUUAACACGAGCUAUCGAUAUCCACCCAACAUAGCGAUGAAUUCGAUGACUUGAUGCUAAAUCGGUUCGUUGCCUUAUGCAUUAAAAUAUUAUUAUUUUUAAAAAAAAUAUGCAAUUAAAAUGACAUAAUAAUAUUUAUGAAAACUGUUUUAAAGCAUACUAAUUUAAAUUAAAUAAAACACCAUUUAAAUAAAUAAAAUAAAAUAAAAUAGAUUAAAAAGAAAAAAAGAAAAAAAUUACCCAAAAGCCCAAAGUUAUGGGCUUAAAUUUUGGGCCUCCCCUUUUAUUAUUUUUUUUGCUGUUGGGCUNNNNNNNNNNNNNNNNNNNNNNNNNNNNNNNNNNNNNNNNNNNNNNNNNNNNNNNNNNNNNNNNNNNNNNNNNNNNNNNNNNNNNNNNNNNNNNNNNNNNNNNNNNNNNNNNNNNNNNNNNNNNNNNNNNNNNNNNNNNNNNNNNNNNNNNNNNNNNNNNNNNNNNNNNNNNNNNNNNNNNNNNNNNNNNNNNNNNNNNNNNNNNNNNNNNNNNNNNNNNNNNNNNNNNNNNNNNNNNNNNNNNNNNNNNNNNNNNNNNNNNNNNNNNNNNNNNNNNNNNNNNNNNNNNNNNNNNNNNNNNNNNNNNNNNNNNNNNNNNNNNNNNNNNNNNNNNNNNNNNNNNNNNNNNNNNNNNNNNNNNNNNNNNNNNNNNNNNNNNNNNNNNNNNNNNNNNNNNNNNNNNNNNNNNNNNNNNNNNNNNNNNNNNNNNNNNNNNNNNNNNNNNNNNNNNNNNNNNNNNNNNNNNNNNNNNNNNNNNNNNNNNNNNNNNNNNNNNNNNNCUCUUUUUACUUAAUUAUUUAUCAAUUUACACUAGUUCGAGUUUUUGUAACAGUAUCAUGGAGACUUAUGUACUAGGAGUUAGAUUGUAUUUUGCCUCUUUUACUCAAAAAAUGAGUAAAUUAAUCCUUGUACGUUAAAUCAAUGAGCAAACUAGUCCUUUUAGUUAACAUUUUCAUUCAUUUUUACUAUUAAAAAUUGGAGUGACUAACGAAAUAACCAGAUAGUUACACAUUACAUGCCAAGGGUGAAGCCAGAAAAUUCUUUUAGGGGGCCGAAAUUAAAUUUUAAUUUUUAAUAGCUUAUAUCUUUAUAAUUUUUAAAUGAUUAAAUCAAAUUUUUAUCAUUUUUAGGAGGGGACUAAAGUGUAAUUUUAUCUUUACUAGUUUAAAUUUCUAAAAUUUCUAAAAAGCCUAAAUGGAUAAUUUUCAAUUUUAGAGGGGUCAGGGCCCUUGCCAGCCUCCCUAGAUACGCCACUGUGGCAUGCCACAUGUACCUCAUGUCAGCAUACAUGAACCCGUUUUUAACAGUUAAAAUGGAUGAAUUUUUUAGUAGAAGGAUUAAUUUUCUCAUUUUUUGAGUAGAGGAAAGAAAAUGCAAUCCAAUGCCUAAUACAAGGGCCUCUAUGUCUUUCAUUAUUACUCAAUUAUUUGUCAUCAAAAGUUGUAUAUGUUCAAAUAUAAAUACAAUAAAACACAUAUGUAGUUAUUAAACAUAUCAUGCUAAUGUCAUUGUUUCUUCUUUAUCCAAAAUUAUUGGACUUAUAAAAUUCUUGAGAAUAAGAAAACCCCAUUAAACUUCCUUUUAAGUAAAACGUGUGUUCAAAAUCUUGAACUAGGUUUAUGCAGCAAUAGAAAUUCACAAGCUGUUUUUUUUAUACAUGAGAUGUGAAUCUCAAAAUUUUAGGGUUUCUGAUCUCAUAUAUUUUGGGUCCAGAUUUAAUGCUAAGGAUUUGUUGAGAAAGUUGAAAGGGAAGAAAAUGAUGUUCAUUGGGGAUUCACUAAGCUUGAAUCAAUGGCAGUCUCUAACAUGCAUGUUGCAUGCAUUUUUGCCACAAUCAAACUACACUGUUCACAGAGAAGGGAACCUUUCGACCUUUUAUUUGCCUGUGAGUUGCCAAAUCUAGUAGCUAUUUUAUUUCCUUCUUAUAAUUAAAACUUUUCAAUGUCACCUUUAGAAGGUAGCUGCAUGAAUCAAAUGAGUUAAAUCAAAUAGACUAAUUACUAUUGUUUGGCAAAAAUACCGAGUAGACCUUUUUAAAAAUAGUUAUUAUACUUUUAUUACAACAAAAUAAGCAGGGGUGAACCUAAAAUUUUUUUUAGCAGGAUAGAAAUUUAAUUAUAAUUUUUUCAUAGAUCAAAAUAUAAAUUUAUUAUGAAUUAAUUUAUAAUUUUAUCAUUUUUAAAGGGAUUAAACAGAAAUCAUUUCAUUUUUAUGGGGGUUAAAGUGUAAUUUUACUAUAUAUUAAUUUAUAAUUUCUUUAUUUAUAAGACUAGAAAAAAUUUUCAUGGGGGCCAAAGUACAAUUUUACUAUAUAUUAAUUUAUAAUUUCUCUAGUUAUAAAAGAACUAAAUUAAAAACUUUUCAUUUUUUAGGGGGGCCAAGGCCCUGCCUACCCCUUUCAGAUUAUUCGCCUCUGAUAAUAAGCCAUUAAACUUUAAUUUAUAACCGUUACCAUUAAUUUUUAACUUAUAUCCAAAUAACCCCUUACCAUUUUAUUUAUACUCAAAAUAAAAUUUAACAUAAAUAAAGGUGAGAGAGGGGCCUUGGCCUAUUGGUUAAAAUAGAAAAUUUUCAUUUAGGUCCAAAGGUAAAGCCAAAAAAUCAUUUUAGGGGGUUGGAAAUGAAUAAUAAAUUUUUGGGGAGACUAAUAUUGCAAUUUUAUCAUUAUAUCAACUUAUAAUUUCAUAAAUUUUGAAAAGAUUAAAAGACAAAUUUAUCAAUUUUUGGGGUUGUCUACUCUCCUGAGUUGGUCUCUAUUGAAAAUUAAUAAUUCCAUAAAAUAUAGCUUUCCUAAAUUUAUAAUUUUAGCUCGACCCUAAAUAUAAAAUUCUUUGCUUUACCCCUGAUAUUAAAUCAAAAGAUAGAAACUUAUUAUGUUACUAUAAGAAUAUAGGGAUUUAUUUAGCAAAAGCAAACUAUUUCAAGGACUUUUUUGGUAGUUUGCACUUAUAGUUGGUAUUAGUUAGAAUUAAGUGCCAAGAUUAAGUUUCCUUUGAGAUAUAUAGUUGGUUAAGCAAUUUAAUAUAAGUGGAAAUUUAGACCCCUAAGUUAUACCCUUCAUGCAUUUGGACAACUGUGUUGAGCCAAAAAAAAAAUUGCAGGAGUAUGAAGUUUCGUUGAUGCUAUCACGCAAUGCAUUUCUUGUGGAUAUUGUCCAAGAAAAGAUUGGCACCGUUCUGAAGCUUGAUUACAUUAAAAACGGCGAAUCAUGGAAAGGAUAUGACUUUCUCAUCUUCAAUACCUGGCAUUGGUGGCUCCACACUGGAAGAAAACAACCGUAAGCAAAACAUAAUUUCAGCAAUUAAAACCCGAUUUUUUAAUUGCAUCCCGAGUAGAUUUGUAAACAAAUACAACACUCGAAUUGGGUUGGGUUUGAACCGGAAUAUCAUUCCUAUAGUUUUGAUUAGACCUGUAGUUUAAAAGUUAAUUAUUUAUUUAAGUUUGAAAAUUCGUUUGAAAUUUAGAAGAAUAUUUAGAUAAAAAUAUUAGACUUCAUAAAUGAGCUUGAGUAAAAAAAUUAAACCCGUUUUUAAUAUGGGUUAAGCUUAAGCUCAAAAAAGUUAAGGAUCCAGACAUGUUGAUGAACUUAAAAUGAAUUUGCGAUAACUAUUUACAAAUAUUAGUAUGUUGGAGCAAAAUUUUAAGCCAUUGUUUGGUCCAACUAAAUUUAGGCAAAUAUAAAGUGCGUUAAUAUCAUGCUUAAAAUUGAUUCAAACUGAUCCCAACCCAUAACCACUUCUAAUUCUGAUUAGUUUGACUCAACCUUUUUAUUCUUUUAAAUACUUAUAAAAUCUCUUAUCCAAUUAUAUUUAUAUUUGAGCAAAAAAUGAUGUAUGUAUGUAUGUAUGUAUGUAUGUAACUUGAAAAAUGAAUUGGAUAUUAGAUGGGAUUUCAUUGAAUCAAGAGGAAAGGUGAAGAAAGACAUGGAUCGUAUGGCUGCAUAUAGAGAGGCACUAAGAACAUGGUCAAAAUGGGUGGAUUCCAAUGUUAACACUACAACUACCCAAGUGUUUUUUCAAGGCAUUUCUCCGACUCAUUUCAAGUAAGCUUUAGCUCUUCUCUUCUCUUCUCUUACCAUUUGCAUUAACUUCCUUGUUCUUAUUUUACUUAAAAGAAAUGGAAUUAUGAAAAAAAUUGAAAGCCAUUUUUUUUCCAAUAGAACUUAAUUCAUUUUAAUCCCAUCAGAUUUGGUUCAAAUUAGAGGUGUUUAUAAGUUGGUGAGUCAAUCGGCUUAGUUCGCUUUAGACUGCACUUGAAGUUAAGUUUUCAAGUUUCGAGCCAGAUUAGCCUUACUUGUUUUAUUAGUCGAAGAAAACUAUUUUUAAUUGUUUUAUAAACAAUGAAAAUGGACCAUUUAGGUAAGCUUAAGUUUGGAAAAUUUUUGAAAUUGGGCUUAAACUUGACUUGGAAAAUGAACACUUAUAGUUGAAAGAAACUCAUUUGUCAUAAAGCACAAAUACUUUUAUGAUUAGAGACGUUAAUGGGCUUGAACUUAAAUUUUCUUUUUGGUUUAAGCUUGGUUCGAGUUGAAAACUCGUAUUGUUUAAAAUAUUUCUAAUAUAUUAUUGUUUAAAAUAUUUCAUAAAUAUUUUCAAAAUGAAAUAUGUGUAAGAAUCAUAAAUUCAAGCUGUAGUGUUUCCUCAUAUAAAUUAUGAAUCACUCUAAAUAUCUCAAAGAGAAAAUGACAGUUCAUUGACAUCUAUAUAAAGAUUUUUUUUUUUAAAAUAAAAAUCAACAAGUCUCUUACGUUAUCCAUAUAUAAUAUGUGGAUGUACAAUUAUAAACUUCACCUCAAACAAUUUGGUAUUUUGAUCCACAAUUUUGACAGUGGCAAAGAAUGGAAUGGUACCAAAUCAACAACUUGCACACAUCAAAUCAGACCGGCUACCGAUUUAACGUACGAAAGUGAUCCACCUCCGGAAGUGACGAUCGUAAAGGAAGUGCUAAAAAACAUGUCGACGCCGGUGGUUUUGCUCGACAUAACCAGAUUAUCACAGCUGAGGAAAGAUGGUCACCCAUCAAUUUAUACUGGUCUAAAAGGAAAUGAUUGUAGUCAUUGGUGCCUAGCUGGUGUUCCUGAUACAUGGAAUGAAAUCUUAUAUGCAAUUCUUACAAGUAGGAAAACUUAAUUCAAGAUUAUAAUUUUUUUUUCAAUUUAAUGUAUUUAGUUAAUAAAAAUUAAUUUCCCAUUAAUAGAUGAAGAAUUUUAAAUUUAAUAACAUAGGUGUAGCCAUCAAUUUAAUGUAUUUUUUACCCGAACCCAAAUUAAGUCAAGCUCAAACCAAUGGAAAACCUACAAUAUUAUUCAUAAUAAUAUUGAAACUUUAGAUUUUUUUAUUAGUAUUAUAUAUUUUAAUAAUUAAUUUUAAAUAUUUUUAUUAAUAAAUAGUAUUCAGGUCGCGCCAGCCCAAUUUAAAAGAUAUUUAACUCAAUAUAAAUUCAACAUAUUAAAUGAAUAAUUCAAAUGUCAAAAUGAGCAAAGGAAAAUCUAGAGUUGUAAGCUUUGCAACUUUAAAUUGGACAUGAGAGUUUCUUUUAUUGGAUACAUGCCACAUUAUUUUUUAACAAAAUUCCUUUAUUUUAUCAAUUGAAUUUAAAUUAUUAUAUUAAUAAAAUUAUUUAAUUAUUUAAUUGUGUUUCAACCUUUUACAUAAAAUAAAAUUUUCUCUUUUAACUUUUUCAUCAUUUAAUUUUUCACUUUUUAAAAUCACCCUCAAUUUCAAAUAUAAAUUUACUUGUGUAAAAAAAAAUCUAAAUCUGUUAAUUGCAUCUAGAACUUUUCAGAGUUGGUCUUGUCAAAAUUUUAAGUCUAUUUGCUAGGCCCAAGUUUGGCCUAAAAAAUAGACUUAAAAUUUUGUCUAAAUUUAACCCGGAUAAAAUAUUAAAAUCAGGCUCGACUCAACUCACCUGAAUUAAUUUUUCUAUAAAAAUAUUAAAAAUAAUAGGUCAAAAUACUAAAAAUAUUAAAAUAAAUAUUUUUUAAUAAUUUAAAAAUAAAUUUAAAAAUAUUUAUACUUAGAUAAAAUUAACAAUAAAAUAAUUUUUUAAUGUUUAUUAAAAAAUGGGCCGGACCGGGCUCGGGCUUAUGAUAUUUUUCCCGGGCCGGGCCUGGAAAAAUAUCAGGCCCAUAUUUCGAGCCGGGCCAAAAAAAAUUUCUGGGCCCGACCCGGCCCAUGGACAGGUCUAAUCUUAGACCUUUUCAGUGUUGGUCUUGUCAAAAUUUUAAGUCUGUUUGCUAGGCCCAGGUUUGGCCUAAAAAAUAGACUUAAAAUUUUGUCUAAUUUUGACCCGAAUAAAAUGUUAAAACCAGACUUAGACUCAACCCACUUGAAUUAAUUUUUUAUAUAAAAAUAUUAAAAAUAAUACGUCAAAAUAUUAAAAAUAUUAAAAUAAAUGUUUCCUAAUAAUUUAAAAAUAAAUUUAAAAAUAUUUAUACUUAGAUAAAAUUAACAAUAAAAUAAGAGUUAUAUAAUAUAUAAAUAAUAAUAAAAUAAUAGUAACAACAAGAAAAUAGUAAUUUUUUGUCUUUUUGUUAAUUCAUAUCGGACCGGGCUUAACCCGGUUGAGAACGGUACUUAUAUUUGUACAAAAAAAAAAUCAAAAAAAAAUGUGAACGGUACUUAACCCGGUUGAGUCGGAGCUCCAUGACCCGAACAGCAAUUUAUUUUUCAAUUCUUCUUCGUUACGCAAAAAGGAAAAAAAAAAAAACAGCUCAUGAAAAUGGCAUGGUCAAAUACUCUGCUUCAGAUUCACAUCAAAUCCCCUUCGAUCCCUUCUCUCCAUUUCCCACAUUCCCUCCCAAAAAGCUCCCCAUUCCUUCUUAAUCCUAACCCUAUAAAUCCCAUUCCCAGAUCCCUCAGAAUGCAAUUCCUUCACAGACCCAACGCUGUCCCACUCGUAUCAAGAGCCAUGGACAUCAUCCAAUCGUCUCCUCCCACGUGGCAAUCCGCAGUCCUCAGUAACCUCUUGAUCUUCGUCGUCGGCACCCCACUUUUAGUGGCGGGGCUUUCUCUCUCCGGAAUUUGUGCUGCGUUCUUGCUUGGCACUCUCACUUGGCGCGCUUUUGGCUCCCCUGGGUUUCUCCUCGUUGCUUCGUACUUCGUUAUUGUGAGUUGCUAAUAAUAUAUUAUGAAUUGUAGCUGAAUUAUGGGAAUUAAGUUAAAUUUUGGAAAUUGGGUUUUGAUUUUGUAUCCAUCUGGUAUUAAAAGUUGCUUGCUUUGGAGAAUUAGCUGUCAUUGUUUGGUAGUAUGGCAAGGAAAAUAAACUUAAUUUAUGUCGAAAGGUUACUUUUUAAUUAGUUAGCUAUUCAAGUUUGAUUAGUUGUAUUUAGAGAAAUUGAUUGUACUAGGUGAAAUGAGAUCAAAAGAUUAACAAAAGUUACUUGAUGGUUUCUAGCUUUUUAGCUGAAAUAAAGUCCUGUAUGAAAUGAUAUAAUAUUUUAGUUUUCUAUUAUGGCUUGUUUUCCUUGCAAAGUAUGAAUCUUGAAUUAGUUCCUGCCUCCCUCUUCUAAUUCUCCUUACCCAUUUCUAGUUGAAAGUUAAUUGAAAUUCCAUGUGAUUUUGUGUUAUAAUUCCAGUUCAUAAUCUGAAUGGAGACAAUAAAUUUGGAUGAAGGAGCUUUAAGCAGUGGGAAAAAUCCAUAAUAAUUUGUAAUUCUCUAAAUCUCUAAACAAUCUUACAUCUCUUUGUCAUGCCUUUCAAACAUAGUUGGUAUAACUAUGUUCAAUUGUCUUAGCUAUUGUUUAAUCAUUUUUAAUUUUUCAUUCCCCCUGCUCCCCCAAAAAAAAAUGUUUGUCUGAGCAAUGAGUCUUUCUCAAAAUCAAUUUCCAAGGCCAUUUUAUUUGAUUAUGACUUUGUGAGUAAAACAUGUUUGUAUUUGUUAGGGAACCGCAGUAACAAAAGUGAAAAUGGCUCAAAAGGAGGCCCAAGGGAUUGCUGAGAAGAGGAAAGGAAGAAGAGGACCUGGGAGUGUAAUUGGGUCCAGUGCUGCUGGUUGUGUAUGUGCUGUUCUAACAAUAUAUGGAGUUGGAGGAGAGGCAUUUACACGUCUUUGGCAACUUGGUUUUAUUGCUAGUUUCUGUACUAAGUUGAGUGAUACAGUGUCCAGUGAGAUUGGGAAAGCAUAUGGCAAAACAACGUAAGUAGUGCAUCUCUGUUUGUUAAUGUAUAGGCGCUUUAGAUUAACUGUAUUAAUAAUUCUCCUUAGUUCAUUCUAAAGAAAGGAUAUUUCAAAUCAAGUGGAAUUUAGAUCCCUUAUGGUUCUUGCUAUAUUCGAGCUCUAUUAUUGUCAUAUAUGCUGGUGAUAAAGGUCGCUUUGACAUCCUAUAUAGAAACAAAAUUUGUGAGUGUUAAUAUUGCCUCAAAUCUUUUUUUUUUUCUUCAAAGGUUUAUGUCAAUUGCUACUCUCUUUUUUUUUUACUGUUAAACUACACUUUAGAAUUGCAAAUAUAAAGUGUGUGAUGUGCCAAAAUGAACAGGUACCUGGUGACAAACUUUCAGAUUGUUCCUAGGGGAACAGAAGGAGCUGUCAGUGUUGAAGGAACUGUUGCUGGACUUCUAGCAUCUAUACUGCUUGCCACUAUUGGUUGUCUAUUGGGUGAGGUAGUACUUGCUAUGUACUCAUACUAUGUGAAUAAUUUGUUCUGCCAUUCAUGAUACCAUUUUUUUUUAAUAACAAGCAUUAUUGUGAUCAUUACAAAAUGUUUACACCUUGUAAGAACCUGGAAUUUUUUCUAGUCUCUGCAACAAUAGACUAAUUGGUGGGGUGGUGCCUAGAUGGAAUGAUUUUGCAGAUAUAAUUUGUUGAAGGUGUUUUUCAAAGGGAACUCUUAGCAAAAUAGCAGAUCAUGAUAUAUUUAUAAAUUGAUUUUGACAUCUCAGUUUAGGCGUGUACGACCUUUGUGAGCAUUAUUUUGCUGGGAACUUAAAUUUCAAUUUAAUAUAGUUCAGGUAUUACAAUUUGGUAAAUUGGAUAAUAUUUUCAAGGGGAAGGAGAAUUAAAUUAGUUGAAACCGAUUUUUAUUGUUAGUGGUUUUUUGUAUGUGAGUGGAUGAGGUUGUCUCUCUAGCCUUGCUGCAUCUUUAGCUAGGAUUUUCUCAAAAAUCUUGUAUAUAUCCCUAAGGUUAUGGUGUUGUUCAUAGUAUUGACGCCAUAACCUCUAUACACUUUCAAACUGAAUAUGAUCAACAGCUUCUAGAGAAUGCAUAAAUGAAAUAUGGGUAUUUGAAUUUAUAGAGAUGUUCUAAGCUUCUGUUUUUUGCUUUUUCAUUUAUCUUUGCAAGCAGAUAAAUGUACCUGAGGUAUUGAUAUGUGUAAUAGCAUCCCAGAUUGCUAAUCUUGGUGAGAGCAUAAUUGGUGCUGCAUUCCAAGGGAAAGAAGGAUUUCGUUGGGUAAGGAAUCAUUUGAAUAAUAGGAUGGUUUCUGUCAUCCUGUUUUCUUAACCAUUUUUUCUUAAAUUUAGUGCCUAUGUAUCUUCUAGAUUUUAGUGUUACCGAUGAAUCAGGCUUGAUUCUAUAUGAAUGUAUGGUUUGAUGUGGUAUAUCGAUGAGAUGAUUACAUGUAUAUCAUUUUGUGGACUCUCAUCAUGUUUGGAUCUGGCUGCACUCCUAAAGCUGUAGUGAGGAAGAAUUAUAUACCCACUGUUUUGGGGUAAAGAAGAUCGAAGAGUAAAUUUAGAGAGAUCAGCCUGUUAUAAAACUGCCUGCUAAGGAUUAAUUCUAGUCUUAAUUUUCAUUCGAUGAAAUCACGGUAUUGUGCAUGUAAAAGGCUGUUAUGUUGGUCUGAUUCUUCUUUUUGCUUUGAAGUAUCCAUGUUCAACAUAUAGUCACACAAGAAAUAUGGAGAUAUGACCUUCAAGAUACAUGAUAAACUUUAGCACAAAUCUCUAUCAGACACUUACCUGAAUUUGAGCGAAAUAUCUGGGUUGGCCAUAUAUAAAUCUGCCUAGGAUCUAUCAUCUUAGCAUGUUUAUAUGCUUUUCAUUAUAAGGCUGAAACUUGGAUUCUUUUACCAUAUUGAUUUUGGUUUUCAUCUUGCAGCUGAACAAUGAUGCUGUUAAUGUCAUCAACAUAUCCAUAGGCUGCAUUUUGGCAGUCUUAAUGCAACAACUACUCCAAAACUGGCAAAUGUAAGUUCACCCCAUCAUCUCUUUUGCGAUGUCAGGUAAUUAUUGCAGAGUUCAUCGACACUGCAAUCGACAUAUUGCAAUGUGGGGAAAGAAAAGAAGAAGAAGAAAGAGAAAGUCUUCAAUGUAAUGCAAGAGAUGAGCACAAAGGUGCAACAAUUAUAGCAAUGAUUUUGCUAACCUUGAAAGAUACUCAAAUGAUAUGGAAAAUCAUUAGCAUAACCAUUUGUUCCAUGAGUAUAUUUUAAAAAGGCUUCUCUCUUUUAUAGUCUUGGUAUUCAAAGAUGUAUUCCUUUUAUCAAUCUCCAGUUAGAAAUGAAUUAGAUGCUUUUUAAAUUGCAUUUCUUAACCAAAAUUAUUGGCUUUUUUUUUAUUGUUGUUGAGCCGCACUGGAUUUAUGGGUGUAAUUGAAGCACAAGCUUGACUUGGAACUUUUAUGUUCAAAGUUCGGCCCGGGCCCAAGCUUGAGUUCAAUUAAGCCAUUUGUGAAUAUAUCAACCAAUUGUUCCUUUGUAAAGACAUGUCUAGUUUGGACUAAACCAUCUUGGAUUUUUUUUACAAGGUGAGAGUCAAUCUCUAUAUGUUUCGUUCUCUCGUAGUAUUCAGGGUUGGUUGCAAUCUGAAUUGCUGCUUGACUAUCAUAGAAUAAUAUGAUUGGUUCUACUCGUUUAAAUCCAAGUUCCUUCAGUAGUCCAGUCAACCAAACUAACUCAGCCAUAGUUCUAUACUUUGCCUUUGCUGAAGAUCGUGAUACUGCAUUUUGUUUUGUUUUGUUUUUUCCAAGAGAUGAGACUUAAAACUUCUGGAGGAUGGUCAGGAUGGGUGUUUGGUUUACAAGGUAAAGAAAACGGUGAAGGUGGAGUUUGUGAGGUUUUCUUUUUACCUUUCCCUUUGGAGGAGGAUGAAGGUUGGAUCAUGAAAUUUUCUGGAAGUUUUUCUGGUGGUCUAGAAAGAAUGUCUGCAAGAACAUUGGUUUUCCCUUUUAUGUGGAGGACAUUCUGUCACUAAUCGCUUUGACAUUGGACUUGAAGCCCAAUUCGAAUCACAAUAUGCUACAAGUUAUGGAGAACCAACUACAGCACAGAAUAAACCUUGUCCUGGAUCCUUUUUAAUGUAUCUGACUAUUCUAAGAGCAGCUUUAUAAUGCGACUUCUUGGGUCGUUGCAUAAACUGACUGGAUGUUGUACCACAAACGUCAUAUCUAGCCUUGUAUGAGUCAAGUACAAAAGCCUUCUAAUAAGCCUUUGAUAUAAUGAAACAUCUGUCAAUACCUCAUCAUCAUGAUUCAUUUGCACCAUCUCAUCUUACUGGAGAUGUCAAGUUUUGAUUUUGUUCUAAAGGAGUGACAACUAUCUUUCCUCCCCCUUACCUCGUGUCUGAAAUUAAUUCAAGAGCAUAUUUGCGUUGAUUCAGUACAAUUUCAAACUGUGAUCUUGUGAUUUCAAUGCCAAGAAAAUACUUUGAGAUCACCUAAAUCUUUCAUUUUGAAAUUUUGAUGCACAGUUCCUUUAAGCUCAUUUAUAAGCUUGGUAUCAUUUCCAGAAAUCAACAAAUCGUUAACAUAUAUCAACAUGACAACCAGCUUAUAACCUUUCUUCUUGAUAAAACGAGAAUAAUCGUACUUACUUUGUGAAUAACCAUUUAGAAGAAUAGCUUUAGUAAGCUUUAGAUUCCACUGUCAGACUUAGCAAUUGACAUACUCUAGUCUCUCUUUGAUUGCGAAAAUCGUCUGGAAGAGUCAUAUAAACCUUCUCAUGUAAAUCUCCUUGCAUUAUAGGCAUCCAUUUGAAACAAGGGCCAACCAAACUAUACAGCAAGAGCAAUGACCGUGCAAAUUGUGACUUGCUUCGCAACAGGGGAAAGUGUCAUGAAAAUAAAAAACCUGCCUGCUGAGUAUAACCCUUCCUAACAAGUCUGGCUUUAAAUCUUUCAACCGAGCCAUCAGAGCUGUACUUGACCUUGUAGACCCAUAUGCAACCAAUGGGCGUUUUACUAGGAGGUAAAGGAACUACCUCCCACGUGACAUUUGAUUCCAAUGCUUGAAUUUCUUGAUCCAUGGCCUUUAUCCAAUGUUUAUCCUUAAUUGCUUCACUUUAGGUUUAAGGUUCAAUAAUAUGGGAAAUGGAGGCAGCAAAAAAUUGUGUAUGCAAAGGUAAAUGAGCAUCAGCUAUACAAUUAGAUAUAGGGUACUAACCUUUAUGGAGUGAAGAAGAUAAAGAAGAGCAAUUUAAAUCUUUCAUCCAUGUAGGAUCCUUAAAAGAACGAGUAGUGCGAUGUAAAGACAGCUGGUAAGGUAGUAGACUACGAAGGUAAUAAGGACUGGUUGGGAAAUGGAGCUGAAGAACGACAAGGAGCUAAGGAUGAACAUUUCAAAUGGGAUUUUUCCAAUUCAAAGCUGAAGUAGGUAAUCUGUUAACAAUAUAACAAGCAGCAAGGAUACACUCGCCCCAAAAUUUGGUAGGUACAUUAGACUGAACUUUGAAAGCACAUGCUAUUUCUAACAAAUGUCGAUGCACACAAGAACUUUGAUGUAUUAUGCCUAAGAAGAAAAAAAAGGAGUAUAUUCAGAGUUAAAGAACUCAGUACUUAUGACUUCCAAAAGUUUUAACAACAGUUGAAAAUUGCGUGUGAACCAAGGCUAUAAACUGUUUCAAAAUGACAAUAGUGUCGGUUUUAAGCUUAAACAGAUGAACCAAAGAAAAAGGAGAAUCCGCUCGAGAAUAACUAAUAGGAAAUGGCAAUCGUGUUUGUUUAGUAAGAGGACGAACAUGGCAUGGACUAAUAUAGUCACUGUUCCAAAAUGAAAGAAACAUGGCCAAGUCCGGCAUGCCAAAGGAAAGACUGAUCAUGAGAUGUCAAAAAGGAAGAAAUGGGAGAAGAUACAAAAGAUGGCAAUUGAGGCUGUUGAUGCACCAGAAUGUAAAGAUCAUUCUGUUCUUUACCAAUCCCCUUCACUUGUCCACUGCAAAGUUGCCGUAAAAGGCAAAAAUCGGGAUAAAAGGAUACAAAACAAUGUAAGUCUCGAGUUAACUUGAAAACGAAAAUUAAAUUGAAAUGAAAGUCUGGGACAUGAAGGGCAUUGGUUAACUUGAUAGAGGAGGACAAGACAUAGGAACCCAUGUGAGUAAUAGGGACGGAUUUACCAGUGGGAAAUUGGACAAAUGAAGAAUGAAAAGUAAAAGGAACAAGAGAAUCCAAAUAUUGGCAAUCAGAUAUCAUGUGGUUGGUGGCCCUCGUCUCCAAAAUCCAUUGGAAAGAUGCAGGCCAAGAAACCAUACCUGCCAUGUGAGCAGCUACUCCAACAGUUGAAGUGAACUCAAGACUGAGUAAAUUCAAGAUCAGUAGAUACUGUGCCUGAAUAAACACAGGUGCAAAUACUAUGGUAGCAUUGUUAGUCAUAGUUGACCUUUGUUUUGUAAAUUUAAAAUCAACAGGAUACCCAAUAAGCUUCUAACAAGUUUCCCGUUUGUGACCUUUAAUCUUUCAAUGGUCACACACAUCUUUCAAUGGUCACAGAAUACAAUGUUGUAGGUUCAGAAGGAAAAGAUAUGCCAGAAGAAUGUUGUCUUUGAGCUUCCUCUUGAACAAGCACGGAAUUAGCUUAAUUAACAGAAGGUAAGGGUUCCAUUAACAAAACCUGACUUCCAACAACAGCAUAAGAAUCAUUCAGGCCCAUCAGAAACUGAAAUAACCACUGUUGUUGAAUAAGUUGUUGAUUCAUGCGGGAAUUUUCACAAGAAAAAGAACCAAAGCAUCGUAAUCCCACAAAAGCUUCAAUCGUGUAAACAAAACUGAAACAGAGUAAGUACCUUGAGCAUGGGAAGCAAUCUCACCAUGAAGAACCAUCGACUUUCUCAUAUCGUUCUUGAAGUUCUUUCCAUGUUGACAAAAAUAAACUGUGCGGUAUAAUUAUAUAAUUAACGUCGCUCAAAAUUAACAUAAAAUUUCAAUAUUUGUAAAUUCGAAUAAAGAAGGUGAAAUUCAAUUAUAUUACUUUAUAUACUCAGUGCUUUCUAUGUAAAUUAUUUUCAUUAUUUUAAAUAUAAAAUGUUUAUAUUAACAUGAUAAAAAAUAAAUUAAAUUAUAAAUUAAAUAAAAAAUAAAAUUCAGUUUUAGUUACAUUCAAAUACUCGAUUUUUGGGGUUUUCUGCGCCCUAAUAGUAGGAAAAGAAAAUUCUCAUCAAACCCUAAAGCCCAUAAAAGAAAAAGUGAGAAGUUUAGUUGAUCUAUCAGAAUCUCAAGCACUCACCCUUAAUUUGCAGUAAGUUGCGAGUCUGCAAUUCUUUAGACCCCUUUUCUCAAUUGAUUUUCUUCUUUAACCAAUCGUUUCUCUCGCGCUCUGUUUCUUUUAGGAUGGCCGAUGAACAUAUUUCCACAGUCCUGGAGCAGCUACGACGAAUCAUGGCCGACGAAAGAUUUCGGAACUCGGAGUUUCAGAUAAACUUGCUUGUAUGGAGACUCGAAGCUUUUCAAUCUAUGAUUCUUUAACAUGGGGACGGGCUAUUUUCGGUUCGGCUAUUGGAGCGUGGGAUUACUGUUCAUGCACUCGAUCAAGUGCUAUAUAACAUAGAAGAUGUAAUUAACGACGUCUUACAUUUAGGAGUAUCUACUGAAUUAGCAGCAGCAGGCCUUGAGAAGUUUGCUUCUACUCAAUCAAAAGCAGCAUCAGCAGAAACAGCCACUCUUUACAUCUUGCGCAAGAGGUUGGAAGAAUUGGAGGAGGUAUUGAUUGGUAAUCCGCAUGAAUCGCAUCCCUUGCACUCUAAACGAUCUUUUUUUGUAAAAUUGUCAAAGUUAUAUGGUCUAGAUGUGGUUAAGAAAGAUAUAAUAAAUGUAAUUUUGGGUGAAAGUUUCAGGGAUAGUAGCGACAGCAUUAAAACCAUCAUUAUUGUUGGCAUGGAAGGAACGGGGAAAACAUAUCUUGCGCGGUGCAUUUGUACUGAUUGUCAAGUUCUGGAAAUUUUUGACAACAUAAUUUGGGUGAAUGUUUCGGAUGAUUUUGAUUUAGGUAAAAUUGCAAGAAAAAUUAUUCUGUCUCUUGAAGGUUUGGAGCAUGACUCUUUGCGUCUCCUAACAUUAGUUCCAUUGCAAAGUCUGUUAGAUAGAAUUCAGCGAAAGAUUGUUAACAAGAAAUCACUUCUUGUUUUAGAUGGUGUGGGGAGAUAUGAUUGUGAUGAUUGGGAAGCACUUAGAGCUGUUUUUCAACAUGGCAUGUCGGGGAGUGGGAUUCUAGUGACUACUCAUGAGCACUCGGUUGCAGGAGCAAUGGAAUCAUCUUAUAAAUUUUGUUUGGGAAAGCUGUCUGAUGAGUUGUGUUGGAUGAUACUUCGUGAAGUUGGAUUGAAUGAUGAUACUCUUGAAUAUGCGGUAGAGGAUAUAGGAAGGGAACUUGCAAGGAGGUGUGAAGGACUACCCUUUGCUGCAAAGGUUUUGGGAGAUGCUAUACGACAUUAUGACUUUGGAAUAAGAGGAUGGGAUGUUUUUCUGAGAAAUUGUAUCUGGAAAUCUCCUAGAAUACCCAAAUAUAUGUCUAAAAUUCUAUCACUAUCUUAUUGCAAUCUACCUUUGUCUGUAAGACGGUGCUUAUCGUAUUGGGCUAUCUUCCCCAAAAGCUUUGAGAUUUCAAAAACUCUUUUGGUGCAACACUGGAUGGCACAAGGUUGUCUGUACUCAUCUGAUAAUUUAGAAAUGGAACUAAAAGGUGAAGAGUACUUUAAAUGCUUAGAAGCUCAUUCAUGUUUCCAAUAUUGUACCAGAGAUGGUGGUAUGCUUACUUGUAAGAUGCAUAGCUUAGUACAUGAUUGUGUCCAAUCUUUGUCCCCAUAUGAUUUAAUGAUGAGGUUCGAGUCUGUUAAACAGCUGACCUUGAAUUUAUCUUCUUGGACGGAGGAGGUCAAAGUUGUUGGCACUCAUCAUUUGGUAAUGAUGAUUGCUCAAGGAGCUGGUUUUCCCAUGGACAUUAGUGGUGCAGAGAAAUUGAGGACCCUUGUUGCUGUUACUCAAGGGUGUUUGAUAACUAGUCAAGCAUUAUCUAACUUAUUUAAACAAUCCAAACAUCUGAGGUUAUUGGAUUUGAGCUUGACUAGUGGGUGGCAUAAUUGUUUUGGGCCAUCCGGACAAGGUAAUAUACUAGAUGAAAUUCCGGUGGAAAUCUGCAGAUUGAUUAAUUUGAGGUACCUUAGCUUGGCUGGCAGCAAAGUAUUGAAGAUAUUACCAGAAACAUUGUGUGACUUGCAUAAUUUGCAAUCCUUGGAUCUUACUGGUUGUAGUAGUCUUAGAAAAUUGCCAGAUGGAAUGGGGAAAUUAAUGAACUUGAGGUAUUUUUAUACCUGGUGUUGCUCUAGUAUAACUUCCUAUCCAAAAGGGAUUAGCUGCUUAACUUCUCUUUGAGAAUUAACCAAUGUCAUUGCUAGAGCUGAUCACAAUGAUGCAAAGGAAUUCACUCUUGGAGAUUUUGAAAAGUUGAACAACCUUUGUGGACAUGUUCGUGUGAAACUGGUAGGGAAUGCGAUGGAUGCAGAUGAGGCUAUUAGAGCUAACCUUUGGAACAAGAAGGAUCUUGACCGUAUCAGAAUAAAUCUGGAUGGGGAUAUAGGGAAAGAAAGCCAAGACGUUAUAAAGAAAGCAUUAAACCCGCCUUCCGACUUGAAUAUAGAGUUCGUAGGUUGGUGGUUCUAGUCCAGAAAUGUAAGGAUGCUGCAAAGCAACAGGUAGUCUCUCUGUCUCAUUUUCUCUUUUGUUGUAGCUUUGAUGGUUCAAAUUCAGUAUUUACUCCUAUGAUUCAUUCAAACCCAAAUUUCAGUUGUGUUAUAGUAGUUCUAGUUUCUGUUGUUAUCAUCUGAUUAGAUGGAAUAUUAUGAAAUCUCUUAUAACAUUACAAUGACAAAGAUAUCGGCUUGUCUAUCACAUGAAAUUUCUCUCUUGCUAAAGCAUGCUCUGAAUGAAUCACUUUAAAACGGCAAGAUAACUUAGAUUAUCCUUAUUUUCUUUUGCUGGACAUACAUAUCCCGUGAGAGACAUUGUCGUUAUCGGUGGUACUGUAGUUAAAGUUGGAGUAUAUUUUUAGUAUUUUAGUUUUUAUAUUAGGAUUUAAUCAGUUAUUAAGAUGGAUUUUUUCUGGAAAAAACAUGGAUACUUUUUUCUAAAAUUUUUUAUUAACUCUUUUGAAAUUUGUUAAAUUUUUAAUUAUUUUUAUUAGUUUUUGAAUUUUUAUGAAUUAUAGGUAGGCUACCACACGAAUUGAUCACGUCAAUAUUGUUAAAAUUUUAAUAAUCUUUUUAAUUCAAAAGAAAGUAAUAUAACUAAAUUGUAAAGGUUAAGUGUAAAAGUCAAAAUGACAAAAUAAGUCAACAUUAAAAGAUUAAAUUUAUCACGAUGCCUUUUUUAUAUACUCAUAAUUAAUUAUAAUAAAAAGUUAACUUUAUUCAGAUAUAUUUGUUAUUUUAAAUAAAUAUUCAGAAUACAACUUGAAAAUAAUCUCAUGUUUAUAAUUAUAACACGAAAACUUUACUUACUAUAUAAUGGAAGAGUAUUUGGUAUAUUAACAGUGUGCCUUUUUUUAUUGCACAAGUAUGUGUAAAAGAUUGAUAUAUGUCUUUAUUUUUUAAUAUUUUAUUAUACUUUCUAAGACACUUGUCAAUCUUUUAACUUUGCUUAUAAAAUUUAAAAAUUCCACUAAUAAUCUCACCUAGCAAAAUGGAUUAAAAACAUUUAAAGUAAUUUAGUUGAAUUAUGAUAAAAGGUCAAUGUAUUCUAAAAUGCUAAAUGGCAUAAAUUUGAGUUUGUCAAAUUCUCUAGCAUUGGGAGGUAAGUCAAAUUGCAAACUAAGUUGAAUAUUUUUUGGCUUUUCAGUAAUCAUAUUCAUGCUAAUAUUUUUAGAUUUAAUUCUCACUUUCAAUAUUAAAAGAGGGUUCAAAUGCAACUUGGAGUCAACAUGAACAUGAUACUUUGAAAACCCUAAAGGGCACUUGCACUCUUGUUUUGGAGGUGAGGUUAAGAAGACCUACAACAAGUUUUAAUAGAAUUUGAUAUAGUUGAAAAAGAUUCAGAGGAAAAUGGUACCAAAAUCUACAGUCGUGGAAUACGAUGACUGUAUUAAAAUAUAUGAAAUUGGUUGAUGGUUUUAUUUAUUGUCUCUUAAUAUUUUAACUAAUCAAUUAAGUAGUAAUGAGAAGGACAUGACACUUAAUCAUUAUAGUUUCUAGUUAAAGUUUAGGAAGAUGCAUUGACAUCAAUUCACUAAUUUUUUAUGAAAAAUGUUUUUAACCGGUUCAUAUCCCCAAUACCAUUGAACGUUGAAUCAAAUGGUUUUGUUGAUUAGAGAAAGACACUAAGAAAUGUAGAGGAACAUGUAUGCGUAAGAGAGAAUUUGAGGCACAUUUAAUAAGUUAACUUUGGAAAUUUUAUAUGUGGAUAAUAGCAACGAAGAAAGAGACUGUUGAGAAUGAUCAAACUUGGAGCAUAUGUUUAGAUCCAUGUGGAGGUACCUAUUAGGUAAGUGAAACAAGCAAUUGAAAUGAUGGAGAGUUUAGUACACCGGUAUCGUACUAUGAUAAUUUAUGGUCAUUUUUAAUUAAUACAAGUCAAAAAUAAUAAUAUUUAAUAAACCUAAAAUUAAUGGGCAAAUAGUGAUGAGUUAUCCUAAAAUAGAAUUGAAGAGGAUAAGGUCCUACAAUUAAUAAUAAGAAAAGUGAAGACUCUUUGAAAAGAUUAAGGAUGUACUUUGAUUAAGAGUGGUUAUAAAAAAAAAAAUUGGGGGGAAGGGAUAGAGUGGAGUAAGGAAAGUGGUGUGAUUGCCCAUUAACAUAAGUAAGAAAUAUGCGAAUGAUUGCCCAUUAACAUAUAGAGUAGGUAAAAUUGACUUGUUUUUCUAGAAAGACAAUAGAUAAGCCUAAAAAGUUAUAAAAAGUAAUUGUUAAAAUAGUUAAAAUGAGAGGAAAAAAUAAGAUAUUUUUGUUUAUGAGAAUUAAGUGUCGUGAGUCGGGACGAAAAGAUUAAUCAUUGUUACGACAGUAAAUACCUUGAUUACAACGAAAAAGAUAAAAUACCAUUUUACUUUAUAGAAAAUUCUCAUGAUUUUAUAAAAUAUACCAUGAAUAUAUUAAAUCAUAUAAAAAGCGUAAUUCUAUAACUCAUACCUAAUUUAAAUACAGGAUGGUAUUUAGAAUGAUUAUAAGAAAAUGCUUGUUCAUGAAUGUUGUGAGUUUUCCGAAUCUUGGGGACAAUGUACCCUCUGGCUCCCGUCAGGAUUCACCUGGUAAUUUAUAAAAAGGAAUAAACAAUCACUUGGUAACUCACAACUCACAAGGCAUAAAAUAUAAUCACGUCAAGCAGCAAAACACAAACCUUUUUUAAUAUUCCAAUCUAAUACAAGUGAUAAUAUCAACUCUUAGAGCCCUAACUCUUAAAGUAUCAGCACAUAAUUUUAACCACUUACUUUUAAUAAAUACCACCAUCACUACCAUUAUCACCAUCGACAGAGCCUCUCAAUUCAUAUGUCCUGCAAAAAAUGGUGUCAACACUAACAAAAAAACCAAAAUUAUAUCAUUAAAAUAUAUUUGUAUUUCUUAAAAGGCAGAUCAUUCAGUUUUUCUGGACAAGUUUCCCUAUGCAAUCUAAUACAAGUGAUAAUAUCAACUCUUAGGGUCUGUUUGAUUGACGGAAUUGAUUUUCCGGAAAAUCAUUUCCAACUUUUCCAGCGUUUGAUUGGCGGAAAACAUUUUCCAUUUGGAAAAUGAACUCCAAAACAAGGGAAAAUGAGUUACAUUUUAGGGAAAAUGUCUUACUCUUUCAAUUUCUAUAAUUUUAGGCUUUUCCCACCUACCUCUAAUUACACAAAAUAUUUUCAGAUUUAAUUUACUAAUUUUGGCUUUUACAAGGUCAAGAUUUGACUAUCCCAUCAAAUGUCCCAAAUUUAUAAUUUGGUCCCUCUUCUCUUUUCCAUGCUUCAAUCUAACCCCUUCUUUGCUUGUUUUUGAUUUAAAGUGCCCGAAUUUUGUUCCUGUCAAUAUUUAAACACAAAACGCACCAAUUACCAGGGAUUAAUUUGAGAAUAAGUCGAGUUGAACACGUAAAUUAUGCAAAAUGAACAAGUUAUCAUUGACCAUUAGUGCUACGUCAGCACAAACAAACGGUGUUAGUGCAGAGAUACCAACCUAGGUGACAGAAUAUAAAUUCAGGUACCAAUUAGAUAAAAAAAAAUCAUACACCAAAUAAAUACUUUUGAAUAAGUUCGAAAAUAGACGACAAAUUAUCCUUUCUUUUCUCUUUUUAUCUACCUGUAAUAUUUGAAUAUGAAAAGAAGUUACACAACUUUUCAAUUUCAAUAGUAGUUAUUUAACUUUGCCUAGUUGAGUUUUACAUAAAAUUUCUUUCUUUCGUUGAACAUGCUCUCAAUGAAUCACUUCAAACCCCCAAGAUCCUAAUAUUUUGCAGAACAUAUCAAUUGAGAGGCUCUAUCGAUGGUGGUGGUGGUGUUAGAAUCCGUUUAUGCUGGUGGUAGCAUUUUGUAUUUUUUUUUAUCGUAUUUAUUAAAAAUAAGUGGUUAAAAUUACGUGUUGAAAAUUUAAGAUUUAGAGCAUAUCGCCACUCGUAUUAAAUUGUAAUAUAAGCAUCGAUUGUAAAAAGAAAAGUUUGUGUUUUGCUUGUACUGUCUCAUAAAAGACAUUAAGUAAUUUCGUUGUCGUGUUUAUAUUUUAUGCCUUAUGAGUUACCAAAUGGUUGUUCAUUCCUUUUUAUAAAUUACUAGCCGAAUCCUCUUCAGUGAAGGAGCUUGAAAAUUUUUUGGGAGGGUCGGAAUUAAAUUGUAUAUUUGUAUGAUGGUAAAAAUAGAAUUUUAUAAUUUUAAUAGCUUAUAUCUUUAUAAUUUUUAAAAGGUUAAAUCAAAAUUGUAUCAUUUUAAGAGGUCAAAGUAUAGUUUUACUAUUACUAAUUUAAAAUUUUAUAAAUUAUAAAGGGCCUAAAUUAAAAUUUACUAUUUUAAGGGGGCUAUGGCGCCUUGGGUCUCCACUACAUUAUGCCACUGAUCCUCAUGGAAGACAGAGGCUACCUUGACCCCCAAGAUUUAGAAAAUUGCCAUUUGACCUUUUUAAUUUUAUAAAAUUUUUAAUUUAGUUUAUUAAAAUUCUGUAAAUUUUCAUUAAACAAUUUUUAAAACUUUUAAUUAGAUCUCUCAAAUUCUUUUUGGAAAUUCUUAUUUUCUCAAUUAAUUUUUUAAUUAAACUAUUCAGAAUUUUUGAUAAUUCUCAUUAAACCUUUUUAAAAUUCUCGAAAUUUUAAUUAAAUUGGUAAAAUUUGAAAAAUUUUAGUGAAGGGAAUCCCUCCCACAUAUUGAUCAAGAAAGCUUUGAAAAAAUAUUAAUUAAUUAUAUGUUUGAGAGAUUAAUAAUGUACUAUUUGGCUCCCAACAAUAAUAAUUCACUCUUAAUUUUGCUUCUUUUCCCUUUUUCUUUUACUUGUUUUUGUGAAAGAUAUCAUAAUAUAUGUUUUAAAUAAUUAAUGUAAUAAUAGAAAUAUUAAAAAAUAUAGUUAAUAGUAACAAUAUUUUAUACAAGCACAAUGACUUAUUCAAUUCUCCAAUUUUACAAAAAGAGACCAAUAAGUGAUUAGAUGUAAUGACAGGUCACAUUGCAUUCCCAAAAGAACUGCCUAAGUUCGAACAUCAUAAGUAAUAUAAAAACUUAAACAAAGUCAUGUAACAACCCAUAUAUCAAGUAUCACCAAAUACCAUUUCAUUCUUAUUCCAUUGUUUAGUUUCUAUUUUCAAUCAACUGAAUAUCGUCCGAUGGAACUAUAGCAAAACGGGCUCAAAUACACGGGAAUAAGUUGGUCACACAAGUUGACAGUAUAUUAGGGCUGCUCAGACAAGUUGACAUUACAACAGAAUUGCUCACAUAAACUGAUAUUAUAUCAAGGUUAUUCAUCUGGGCUAAACCUUCAAUAUGUAUAACCCGAGAAUUUGAGACAAGCCCAAGAACUCAUCCUAUGUAAAAGGGGUGCCAAACCCUAGUGCAUAGUAGGGUAUGUUGCCGCCCCUUAGUGUUUUGAAUAAAGGGGAACUGUAGUAUCAUAUUAAAACAAUACUAUUUAAUUACUCAUUAUUCAAGUAAAACUUUUGUACUAUUUUCCUAAAAUAGGAUCUAUGAAAUGAUUUAAUUACACCUAUCGCUGUUAUUUUAUCAUAAAAUAGUGGUAAUUUGUUUAUAAGAAUAAAUUCUAUAUUCUGAAAAGCUCAAAGUUUUCGAUUUCUAUAUAGAGAAUUAACUUUCUCACUAAAAGUUCAUGAAAGAUUGGUUGAACUGGGCAAAAAAAUUGGUCGAAUUAGAUGCGAUUGAACUGGUUGAACUAAAAUAUUUUAAUAUAUUUUUAUUUUUUAUGAAUUUUUUAUGAUUUAUUUAAUUGAAUUAGACUAAUCAAUCAAACCAAUUGAAUCAAUUGGAUCAACAAACUAGUAACCUUAUUGGUUUGAUCAUCGAUUUAGUUUUUAAAACCUUAGAUUUCGUCAUACCGUUUCAAUUAUUAUACCUUAUAAAUAAAAUAUAAAGUAAACCAGUGGUGAAAUUAGGGGGAUUGGCAAGGGCCCUGGCCCUCCCUAAAAUGAUUUUUUUUUUCAUAUGGACCCUCUAAAAAAAUUAAAAUUUUAAAUUAAUAAAAAUAAAAUUAUACUUUGGCUCCCCUAAAAUAUAAAAAUUUGAUUUAAUCUAUUAAAAAUUAUAAAGAUGUAGUCUAUUAAAAUGGUGAAAUUGUAUUUUUCUAUCGUAAAAAUUACAAUUUAAUUUUAGCCCAUAAUUUUUUUUUUCUAAUUUCGCACCUGAAAUAAGCUAUAUUUGAUUAAAUUUAUUAUUUUACCUUACAUACAAAACACAAAAUAAACAUUUAACUAUACAAAAUUAAUUGAUGAAUUGUUUUACUCAGUUGAAAGUAGAACAAAUAAUUGAUCCAAGAGGAAAGUGAAAUUUAUCCUUUUAUACGUCGAACAUUAGCGAAAAGGACAAAAAAGAAAUUUUGGGUUAUUUGGCUUUUGUUUCCUGCUGCUCUCCUCAAUCCAUUGACGCUGUUUCACCCCCUUUCUCUCGAUUUCUCAAUGUUUCUUUUCCUGUAAUUUGUUGUGAUUUGAAGUAUAAAUCAGGGAGAAGUAAAAGCUAUCAUAAAAAUGGCGGAGGCAAUUCUUACGGUAGUCUUGCGACAGAUAACAACAAUCUUGAGUGACCAAGCGGUAAAAGAGAUGACGAUGUGGGGAGACCGCGAGGCUGCUCUCAAAAAUCUUGAAACAUAUCUGAAAUCCAUCCGAUCCGUUCUCAAAGAUGCAGAGGACCUUCAAAUUACAGACGAUGCAAUCAAACUGUUGCUAGAAGAUCUGAAAAUUGUAAUUUAUGAAAUCGAGGAUGUGUUGAAUUUAUGGAGCUGUAAAGUACGGAAGGCAGAAUCUGUUCGUGCCAAGGUAAAUUGUCUACUUGAAUUCAUUGCAUAUCGUCGUAGUUCUGAUAGAAUAAAGAAGAUUUGUGAAAAACUGAGUCCAUUUGAGCUGAAAAACAAGCUGGAUCUGGGCAAGAGUAAAAUUAUAUCUCCUCUGCGGAACAAAGAAAGUACUAGCUAUUGUGAUCUAUCAAAAAUUAUUGGUCGAAGCGGAAUAAAAACUGAGUUAGUGUUCCGUUUAGUUUNNNNNNNNNNNNNNNNNNNNNNNNNNNNNNNNNNNNNNNNNNNNNNNNNNNNNNNNNNNNNNNNNNNNNNNNNNNNNNNNNNNNNNNNNNNNNNNNNNNNNNNNNNNNNNNNNNNNNNNNNNNNNNNNNNNNNNNNNNNNNNNNNNNNNNNNNNNNNNNNNNNNNNNNNNNNNNNNNNNNNNNNNNNNNNNNNNNNNNNNNNNNNNNNNNNNNNNNNNNNNNNNNNNNNNNNNNNNNNNNNNNNNNNNNNNNNNNNNNNNNNNNNNNNNNNNNNNNNNNNNNNNNNNNNNNNNNNNNNNNNNNNNNNNNNNNNNNNNNNNNNNNNNNNNNNNNNNNNNNNNNNNNNNNNNNNNNNNNNNNNNNNNNNNNNNNNNNNNNNNNNNNNNNNNNNNNNNNNNNNNNNNNNNNNNNNNNNNNNNNNNNNNNNNNNNNNNNNNNNNNNNNNNNNNNNNNNNNNNNNNNNNNNNNNNNNNNNNNNNNNNNNNNNNNNNNNNNNNNNNGCAUCUUUCUAACACCAACAACAUUACUGCCAUCCUAAUAAACCAUAAGUACCAUUUCCACUCCAUCAUCAUCAUCAUCUUUCUGUUUUCACUUCUCUCUCAGCUAUAUGUUACUUUUUGUUAACUUCUAUAUGUAUAUAAUCUAAAGAAGCCUAAGCUUCUUAUUUAUAUACAAGCAGAACAUUUUGCAUCCCACUUAUUCAAUAUAAUAUAAAAAUAAUAUAUAAUUAAUUAAUUCCUCAAAAAUUGGAUCAAUCUAGGCUUCUUAUUUACGUAAAUUCCUUAUUGCAAAAACUCUUGGUAGAAAUUCGUUAGGAAAGGAUGAAUGGACCACAAGAAUGCUUAUCAACUCUUGACUUUGGCGUCCAAUGCUAAAUUUAUUUUAAAAUUUCUUCAUGGAGACAAGAUGGGAUGACAAGAAUGAUAAGUUUUAAGUCAUUUAAGUUUACACAAUUUUAAUCACUCAUAAAAACAAGUAUUGACAUUCUAUUAAAGAAUUUAAACAUGGCUUAACGUUGAUUUUAAAUCUAAUGUUGAUGUUAAUCUUGAAAAAAGAAUGGCCAAAAAAAAUAUGAAAAGUGAGAGGUGGACAUAAAAUAGUGUAGUUGGGGUUAUAAAAUUCUUCAUGUAGACAUAAUAUUUUUUUUAUGCCUUUUUUACACUUAUAUAGAGUUAGUCUUGACUUUGCUUUAUUAAUAGAAAUUUUAGGUCUUCAUUUUUUGUUUUAUUCAUGGACAUAAUAUUUUCUUAUUUUUAUUUUAUGGUCUAUGAUCGAGGUUUAUGACUAUCCCCUUUCAACAACGUCGUCUCAACUGUUCAAACAUACACUUGCAGGUAAAAUAAUACUUUUUAAAAUCACAAAUAUUUAAAAUAAUACAUUGCAGCUAUAUAAAUGCUUUCUUGUUUAAGAUACUAAUAAAGUAAUUAACAAAGUAAUUAUUAUACCUAUAAUAAUUCAAAAUGCCACUUGUUAUCUAAUGAAGUAUAGGGGUGUAAAUGAGACAUCCGUACCCGCAAGCUAUUCGAAUUUGGCUCAAAAAAUUUUGAAAUUGAUUCGGUAAUUAUUGAGCCGAGCUAUAGGUCGAUCCGGAUUCGAGCUUAGUAAUACUUGACUCGAGUAGUUUGAGAGCCUUAUUGAACUUUUUAUAUUUUUAUAUUAUUAGAUUACAUUAUUGCUAUUAAUAUAUAUUAUUAACCCUAAGUUUAAUUAUUGAGGCGAGCUCAAACUCGAGUACAAAAAUUGAUAAACAUAUUUAAUUUCGAGCUUAAAAAUAUAUGUUCGAUCGAGCAUCAAGCUUUGAAUUUCAAAUUAAACUUGAGUUUAACAGUAUUGAGUUCAAAUAGAUUCAAUUACACCCUACAAUAAAAUAUACCAACAAAACCUACAUUCCAUCUUUGCUAUAAAUUUUAUGUAUGUGUGUGUUUAACGUGAGUUCCAUCUAUGUCCAACUUGAUGACGAUGAAAGUUCCUAUGGUGUAAAAAGUUUUAGUUAUGUGGAAAAAUAAGGCCUUCUCUUCACACGUUUAAUAUGCUUACUUGUGUCGGUCAUUUCGAUCUUCACAUCAAUUUUCAAAAAGUUGGAAAACUUAUGUCUGCUUUUAUGAUUCUUUUAUGUGUGUGUUUAACGUGACUUCCUUGUGAGUUCCAUCUAUGUCCAACUUGAUGACAAUGAAAGUUCCUAUGGUGUAAAAAGUUUUAGUUAUGUGGAAAAUUGGUGGAAAACUUACGUCUUUUUCACUUGCUUUUAUGAUUCUUUUUACAUGAUAUUACUAUAUAAUUAAAUUGAAAUACUGAUAAAUUUGAACCCAUAUGAUGUAAGUCUAGGCAUCAUCUAAUUUAUUGAUAUUUAAUUAAUUAAUAUAUAUACUUUCAAUUAUAAGAAUUGAAACAUAACUUUCAAGUCAAUUGGAGUAUGCCCCUGUUACACGUCAAAAGAAGUAGAUUUUGAACUCAACAUGAACCUGUGAGAUUUGAUGCCUAAAAUAUAGGUAUAAGGUUUCAAUUCAUGGAAAUGUUGGAAAUCUUGGAAAUUUCUUAGUCUCCUCUCUUUGGAUGUUUUUGAACAAAAAUGUUUUAAGUCUCUUCCGAUGCUAAACUUCUGAUUGGUCGUCGGUUCACUGACCCUUUGGUACACAGCAAUAUGAAGCAUUGGCCAUUCAAGGCCAUUGCUGGUCCUGGUGAUAAGCCAAUGAUUGUACUACUAUAGAUUUGAAUAUUUGUACACAUUUGAUCGGCUCUUCGUAAAUUUAAAUCUUACAAAUUCGGAUAAUAUUUGAACUUUGAAUGUAUGUUUUGUUGGUGAGAAUAUAAAGUUGAUAAAGAUUUGGUAAAUAGAGUAAAAUAUUAUUUUUAUUAGAAAAAUUAUUUGGUACACUGCCAAUCGAGGUAAUUAAAACAUGUCAUUAUAAAUAAUAAAAUUAUGAUGACUCAAAUAUACGAACACGUCAAAAUUUAUGUACAACGAAUUAUUAACAUGUAAAUGUAUAAUACGGUACGCAAAAAUAAGAUAAUUGCUUGUUUUUUUAAUUGAAUUGUUAUAACAUAUUAUACAAAAUACAUUGUGACUUAAAGCAUAAAAUGAACUUGAUAUCAAAAUAUUAAAUUUUUUUUAAAAUUCAAUGAUACGAAUAAUUAUGUAAAAUAUAACAUGAUGCAAAAUAUCUUGAGAGGAAAAGAGGAAUAAAGAAUUGCAUUAUUUGUGAGGUUUUAAAAUAUUCCAGUUUUAGAUUCAAUUUUCUAGUAUGUUUGGUUUAAUUUUACAUUAGAUUUCCUUUUCAGUAUGCACUAGUGAACGCUUAGCAGUCAGUUUAAUUUAAUUCAAAGAGAUAUUGCAUAUACAUAAUAAUGGAUUAUGAUUUUACAUUAAAUUUCAUAGAAGAAAAAGAAAUAGAUGGUUGAAAAUGAUAAAACCAUAAGAUAAAAGAGCUUUUAUUCAAAAUGCAAAAAUCAACAAAAUAUUCAUUAUCGCUCAACUUAGCAUAAUUAAACAUUUAGGUGUGGAAACAAGUCACAAUUUGAGUAGCUAAACACAUUGCUUGAAAAUGUGAUAAGUAAGAAAAUUGCCCACAUUUGAGUAGCGACAUGUGGUGAAGCAUUUCCCAACGAGAGAAAACUAAGCUCUUCACCAGUAUGGAUUUAUGUAGAGGACAACAAAAAUUGUCAACAACACAACUACAUAAGAAACCAAAAAGCUCACAAAAAAAUCAUAAGUAUCUAUCAAACCAUCUUCUCCUUUAUCUUCUGAUACAAUUGAUAUCGCUGAUGGUGAAUCGGUUUUGGAACAACUUUUAUGCAAUAUAUCUCCACAACGAAAAGGAUUUCCCUCAUAACUGUUUUCAAUAAAGGUCCCAAAUUGAGCUUUUGGUUCGGGAAUACUACCUGACAAAUUGUUAUAUGCCACGCUGAAAACCUCCAAAGAGUUCAACUCUACCAAUUGAUUGGGGAUUUCACCACACUCAAGUUGUUGUAAGAAAGGUCCAAACUCUCAAUGUGCUGAAGUUUUGAGAAUGAUGAGGGUAUAACUCUGGUCAACUUAUUGUGUGACAAGUUUAAAGAAUGGAUUUCACUCAAGUUCCCUAAUUUUGGUGGGAUAUGACCAGUUAAGUUUUUGCAAGAUAAAUCAAUCCCAAUAAUAUAUGAAAGGAUGUUGCCCUUGUACGAAUAGAACCCACUCUUUGUUGUGAACUCUAUUACUUCUUCUAAGUAGCUGUCAGGGUUGUAAGGAUUUAUACCCCUUUCCCAUUUUCUCAUCACAAUGGAUGUUGAUUCAUCCUUUUCUAUAAAUGGAAGAUAGAACCCAGUUGCUAGACUCUCUUUCUCUUUCAGUGGAAGAGAUAAAUUUCCCAAACAAGAAGGUAUAGGACUAGAAAACAUAUUUUGAGAAAGAUCUAUGAUGCUUAAAGAAUGCAACUUGCAUAACUCAAUAGGAACUUUAUCAUGAAAAUGAUUAUCUUUCAGGAGAAGAACACUCAAAGAAGAAAGCGUGUAAAUCCAUUUUGGAAUACUACCUGUCAAAUUGUUUCCUCUAAGAUCUAAAGUCACUAUUGAAGAGUUAUUAUAAAAAAGCAAGUGAUAGUGUGCCUCUCAGUCUAUUCCCGUGGAGGUGGACAUGCUCUAUGUAUGGUGGAUUAAAACAUGACGGUAUAGAGCCAGAUAAAUUAUUUUGAGAAAGAUCCAAAAAUUCCAACCUAUUCAACUUUCAAAAUUCCAUUGGAAUAGAACCUUCAAAACCAUUGUUGGACAAAUUUAAUCUCCACAAAAAUGAUGCAUUCCCUAUCCAUCUUGGGAGCUUUCCAUGCAACUUGUUACUGAGAUCAAUUUCGCUUAGUGAAUUUGGAAACUCAAAAAGAAAUGUUCACACAAAGUUUUUUCCAACAUAUGUCUGUCAUUUGUGGGGUCUUGAAUUUAAUAUCAAUGGUUGAAUUUUCAUAGCUAAUAUGUGCGCAAAAGGCCUAGUGGGUGGAAUUUUAUGUCAGGAAAGCGUUUCUACAAUGACAUAAUUAAUUGCAUUACUUUUCAAAGAUUGACUAUUGACUUUGGUGAGCUUAUUAGGUUAAAUUCUGCUGCUGGUCACUGUUCUUUGUGAAAGUUGUAAAUUUAGUCUAUUUACUUCAAUUUGAUCAAUUUUAAUCCCUAUACAUUUUGAUUUUUAAAAUUUUAGUUGUGACCCAAACAAUAGAGUUAAAUCAAUUUAAUUAAAACCAAUUACUAGUCCUAUAUUAUGUGUACAAUUGUUGAUUUAGUCCAUACUCUCCAAUUGGAUCAUUCUAAGUACCUAUAUUUUUCAAAUUUUAAAAUUUCAGUCUUGAUGCAAAUGACAAUCCUUAGUCCGUUAACUAGAUUUUUAGUAACAUAUGAAAAUAAUAAGAUGAUAUGACAUUACAAAUAUGAUAAUAUUUUUGCGUUAAAUAUGUCAACAAUGACAUAAUUAAUUGCAUUAACUUUCAGACGUUGACCAUUGACUUUUGCUUCAACCUUGAGCUUAUAUAGCCCCUACAAUAAUUUAGGUUAUGGAAAUAAUCUUACAAUUAAUGCCUGAGAAAUUAUUAUAGAUCAAUUUAUAGUUUUAAUCCCUAUAAUUACUCAAUUGAAUUGAAGAUUCAGAUUUUCUUAUUUAAUUUGAUAUAUUUUCUUCUCUUAUUAAUGUUAAUGUUAUGGAUUAGUUUUUUUAAGACAACAUUAUUUUAUUCAAUGAAUAAUAUCAUACAAUUCGAGGAGAAAAUAACAAACACUCGUUGUACUCGUUAAAGGACAAGUUCCAUCAACACAACAAAACCUUUAACUUCAACAUUAAUAGAACAUUAUGGCAUGUUGAAAUCGGCUCUGUCACAACUCAAGCACAACAUAUCAGGAGUGAUUACAAGCACUUAAUAUGGUAAGAAAAUUAACCCCGGAUGGUCCAAAGCGGUGGGCAUAAAUCAGCAAAAGAACUGAGCAUCCACCAAACUAGAGGGGAUGCGGCGACAAAACUAACCCUAAAAUUACUCUCAAAAGCAAGACUAAAAAGCGUACUACAAGAGUAGACAAAAACUUCGAAAAGUAAAGACUUAUUAAACAAUGGAAAAAUAAACAAAAAAAACAUAUAAAACUUAAGAUAACAUGAGUCUAAACCGAGUCAUGAAAUUAUUUAUUAUUUUGAAACUCUCAAAACAUAAACAAAUUAAGAAGUCAACGAAGAGGUACCCACUUUCUAAAAGAAAGUGUUGGUGGUCGGUGGUGUUUCAAUGAUGAUAGGCAUUGUCACCUGUUCAUCACAACUUGUAAAGAUAACAAAAAUACCCACAAAAUAAAUCUGUAAAUUGAAAAGAACGAAGACUCAUGGAGUGAAUGAGAAGAAGAAAAAUAAAAAGGGUUAAUAGAGACAAAGCAGGGCGGUAACUAGUUCAGAGGCUAACACCGCUGCUAGGCUAAAAAAAGAAGAAGAAGCAAACAUGUUAUGGAUUAGUUAAAAUAACUAACAUCAUUGAAAAUUUCAUUACUUGGCUGAUUUGGAUUUUUUUUUUUAAAAAAUUGAAACUAGAAACCAUAAAUGAUCUAACAUUUAGAAACCAUAAAUUGGGUUCAAUUGCUUUGCUGUCCAACUCCAUCCAUCUAAAAUCGCAAGGAUGUACCCAUGUUCAAUAUGCAGUACAGACCCAAAAAUUGACCAUAUAAUGUGGCUCAAGAGAAUUUUCGAAUGGUUUUAAAGAAUUAUGAGAACACAAUGAAUAAAGUUAAGGCAUCAUUUAUUCAGCUUGCUAUAAUGCAGGUCAUUCCAAUAAAGAAGCAUUUUUUAACUAUAUUUUCCGUUACCCCAAUAACAAUGGCACAGAAUGUUCUCCGAUGAACAUAGAACUCACCAUUUUUAGGAACACGUGUAGUUGAGGAUGAGAAUUCGGAUCAACUGUAACUUCAAAUGGUGGAAUGAAAACAUUGUCCAGAAUAUUCUGAAAAGAUUUUUCAAUUCCCAUUUGCUUGUACACAUUAUACAAUCGUGGUGACUGCAGAAUUAAGUCAAAAUCAAGUGAAGAAGGUUACCUUUGACUUGAGAAAUAUAUCACAGAGAGAGAGAAAGAGAAAACAGUAAUCUGGAAAGAUGAUGCUUAAUAUGGACAUGAUACCCUAGAAACCGAUCGAUCUUAAAUUUUAAUUUCUAAAAUAUUAUUAGCUUGUGCAUACUUUCAAAUACUUUUCAUUAGAGUUACCAUAAGACUAAUUUUUCCAAUUUUAGAUGAUUCAAGAAACUAUUUGGGGGCAAUUCUUAAAUAAACAUGUCCAAACAGUAGUCAUUAACAAGAAAGCAUCCAAGAAAACCAGCAGUUAAUACUUAAAUUAACAUUAUCAAAUGGAGAUGUAAAGAAGAAAGAAUCCUACUGCAAAGCUAGAUAGCAGGAGAAUCACUAGAAUGAAGAGAAAUACUAUUGGCACUAUACCUGGAUUAACCAAACAGUAGUCUCACUAUAAAUUUCAUUGUUAAUAAACCAACUUGCCAAACUGGUCCCAUUCACUUUGUUUCCUUCCAUAUAUGGACACCCUGUACUCUGCCAUCUAGAAAAUAUAUAUAUUAUUCAGUGUAGUCAGAGGCGCAAGGAGCACUCUAGGUGCUAGAAUCCUUUUAUUGUACAAGGCACAUGGCGCACAAAAAAAAAAAAAAACUUGCUUAUGUUAAGGCACAUGUAUGCGUGUUUUGGUAUGUCCAUGUCUGUAUAUAUAUAAGCCGAAGAUAUAUAAUUAUAAUAAUAAACUAUAAAAGUGCUCCAGUCUGAAGUACAGAACAUGCCAAAUUUUCUUUCUUUUGUCAACCAUAUGCAUAUUUCCAUAUGAUGCCAUGCCUGGUGUUGAAUACUCAAAUAUUGAGAAGUUGAGAGUUCGAUAUUAUCCCUUUGUUACAAUUAAGAAACAAUUAAAGAGAUAGUAAAGAGAACUUCAAUUAGAAGGCCUUUUCCCCCUACAUGCACCAGGCAGGCGCUUAGCCUGAAAAGGUCAAAGGCCCUUUUACUGUCUGGUGAUAAGGCAAAAAACAUUGGACAAAGUUGGUGGGAGGAUAGAAUACUAAAAGAGCCCAAUGUUGUCACUUUUCUAAAGUAAGCUCAUAUGCCUUUUUUGUACCCAAACAAUAUCUUACCCUUUAAUUUGUACCUAAAGAAAUUAUUUCUAAUAGAAAGUUUACUUUUGUUAUGAUCAAUGCUGGAGGCCAAAACUGAUUUGGGCUAAGGAAUUGGUGGUGAGAGUUGGAAGGCAAGAAGAAAGAAAGUUCUUUUGAGUGUUAUAUUUUUCAAAAAAUACAAAUUGUUCAUUUUUUUUACCACAUCAUCAUGCCAGGUCAGCUUCCAUGUGGAUAAAGAAAAUUUUGGCGGCAUUGAAACAGAGGCUUCAUGGGCUUUUAGUAAUUUAGCCCUUGGAAGGAAUAUGACCAUCCAAAAAAAGGCAGUUGAUGCUUUAAGGUCAAUUAGCCGAAACAAUAACAACAAUUCCUAGGCUUCAAUAAAAUAAUUUAGACAACAAAUAAAGCUUGAAGGUUGAGUUUUGCACUGCAGCAGCAUUGGGCUUUACAAGGUGAAAACCCACAUUGCACAAAAAUAUCAAAGUUUCAGAUCUAUCAUAAUUUAAAAUUCUAACUAAACUAAACGCCAAGAAUGCUGAAUGCCUAAUCAAAAAACAUAAGAUUAACCCAAGGACCUAAUUGGGUAUGCUAAAAUUUGUCUUGGAAUGAAAUUAAUAAUAUCCUUACUAUUUCACUUUUUUUUUCUUCAUAUGUUUGGUGUGAGCAUGAUACAGAUUAGACUGAUUUUAAAGUAAAAGUAAAACGAUACCAAACCUAAACAUUUUGGUUUUUUUUUAAUUUUUUAUCAGAGCCCUGUUUGAUGCAUUUUUAGUUUUGUUUUCUAAUAACAAAUGGAAAGUUAAUUAAAAAAAAACCCUAAUCCAAUGAGUUCUUUUAUAGAUAUAAGAUAAGUCCUGCAAAGUUUUUGUUUUUUAGAAAUAAAAUUUUAUUUUUGUUUUUUAAUUCUUCAUACCUAUUUUAAUAUCUAAGUUCCGGAUUCCUAACUGCCCUUUCAAUUAUAUAGUAUUCAAGAUUUGAACUUAUAUUUUUCUAUAAAAAUAUAAUGUAUUUUAUUAUUGUAUCCUACAUUCAUUAAUACUUAGUAGAAAUAACCUAAUAAAAUGAUUUUUUUCAUAUAUUAAUAGAGAUAAGAUUCGUGCAAAAUUGUUGGUUGAAAAUUCAUUAGGAAAGGAUGAUUGUACGAAUGUACCAUCAUUAUAAGUGAGCUCAACGAUAAGCCUCCUAUCAAUCACCAGUGUGCAGAAAACAUUUGAAAUCGAAACACCCGUUCAUACAUCAUACAUCAUCAUAAGUGAGCUCAACGAUAAGCCUCCAAUCAAUCACCAGUCUACAGAAAACAUUUGAAAUCGAAACACCCCGGACAUCUCCAACAAAUCUGCCAUAACGUUAGCAUCUCUUCCAUUUUUUCUAAACAAAACCUCACUAAGCUCAUCAAAUGUGCCAAUAUUUCCAAGGCCUAGAUUUCUCAUUGAUACACCAAGAAAGCUCGACUAUGGAGUCGGAUUCAACCAUAAGCUUUCAGUCUAUAAUCCACUAGGAAUCCAAAAAGAAACACUCUCGAACACCUAAAGAACCUGAAACAUAGCAAUGACAUGACCCUUUGAAUUUCUAAGAACCUCACCUCACCACGUCGAGCUAAGAUUACCUAAUGUCGAACCUUCACGGUUAAACUUUUACCAGCCUUCACCUUACUCUUGAUAUGAUGAUUAUGGAUACUCCCUUCACAAUCCCACAAACACUCCCACCAAAUUGACUCAACAAAAUUUGCACCUAUAGGUUUUCUGUUUAUAUUUGAUUUUGUUCACACAUUGCCUAAAACUACUCAUGAUCCCUCUCCAACCUAUAAAUACGAGGAUAAUGCGCUUCAACGCGCUCAAACCCACGUCCUCCUACAUUAGCAACAAUACUCAUGUCAAUCGAGUUAAAACACAAUCAAUAGAUUUUUUUUAAAAAAAAUCUUUAAAUGUUAUAUUAUUAUAUAAGAAUUUGAAACAUGACUUCCGUAGGUUUUAAAUCUAAUGUUGACACUAAUCUUGAAUAAGUCAUUCCACUCCCAUCUUAACUAAUGGCCAAAGAGAUAUCAAAAGUGGGAGAUGGCCAUAAAAUUGUGUAGUUUGGGUUAUAAAAUUUUUGGGCAAACUACAUAUAUUAUCAUUUAAUUAUAUAUUUUUUUCAAUUUAAACACUUAAAGUAAAAAAUUUAUAAUUUAAGCACCCACAUUAUAUAGUUUAGUUAUUUUGAUCACUCCAGUUAAAAUAAAAAAUGGCAAACUGAAGCGACAAUUAAAAAAAUGUAUAAUAACAAAUUUAACCCUCAAAUUUUAUAUAUUAUAUCAAUUACAUAUUACAACUAAUUUUAUAAUUAUUGAUAUUGAAUAUGUCCCUCACUACGUUAGGGAUUUUUUUUAUAAUUUGUAUUUAAUUAAUAUUUAAAAUUAAUUUCAAAAUAUGUGAAAAUUUUAUAAUUAUUUGGUGUUAGUCCCUUUAUUAUACCCAAAUUUAGGAUUAAGCCCCUAUAUUUUAAUUUUGACAUAAUUUGUUUCUUUCACUUUUAUAAUCUCAUUAAUUAUUUCAAGUAACUAACACUUUUAACAAUAUUGCCAAAUAAAAUAAUGUCAUAUUUUUUUUUCUUAAAGCCAUCACUUCUAACUAAAUCAUGACUUAAUCACUUUCUAAUUAAUCAUACUAACUUAGAUUUUUCUUUUGUUGGAAUCAGUACGUUUAAGGAAAACCCACCUUAACAUUUGUAGAUGUCUUCAACAAUUUCCUAAGCACGAUACAAUAAAGCUUGGUGUGUAUAAUUUUGUUUUAUGGAAGCUCCAAAUUAUGUUGAUUCUUGAAUGAUACGGUCUGCAUGGGUUUGUUUUGGGUGCUAUUAGUGUACUAGCACAGUUUGUAGAGGAUAAAUAUGGGAGAUUAGUAGAAAAUUCUGAUUAUGUUUUACAUGUGCAACAAGAUAAGCUAUUGGCUUCUUGGUUACUUUCAACUGUUAGUGAUGAAAUCCUAGCCUAUCUUACUAGUGCUCGUACUAGUUAUUAUAUGUGGGAAACUAUUGAAAAGAAGGGUUGCGACUAAGUCCACGGUAAAAUUGUCCAGUCAUGUGUUGUAUUCACAGAAAAAGGGUCAUUUGUUUGUUAAAGAAUAUUUGUCUAAGAUCAAGUCCAUGUGUGAUAUGUUGGUUGCAACGGGUUGUUUGAUUUCAAAUCAAGAAAUGGUUAGCAUCAUUCUUGCAAGGUUGCCAGUUGAGUGUGAAUCAGUACGGGUAGUAGCUUCAGCUACUGGUGUGUCACUUGAUCUGUUGAUUGAGAUGCUGCUUGAUUGUGAAGCUCGAAAAUUGAGUUCUUGAAUAGUGUUCUCGUACAACCUAACAUAGCUAGUAAACAAGAUUGUGAUGAGGGUGAUCGGACCAAGGGUUCUGAUUAUAACAGUGGCUAUCAAGGGAACAAACAGACAUAUAUAGGUGGUUUUCAAUGCAAUAGAGGUUCCAUCGAGGUUGAGGCCGUGAGGGUUGUUUUUCUAACAAUCGGCCCCAAUGCCAGUUGUGUGGUAAAAUUGGACACAUUGUCCAAAAGUGUUAUUACCGUUUUGAUGAAAAGUUUUGCAGGUAUUGCUAGGAUGGUAAUAUGGUAUAGUGGGCUGCAUCUUGAUUGUUUGUUUCUCAUGCUGAGGCUAUAAUUUUAAUCAUACCUAUUAUUGUUUCUUGUGUCCUGCAAUUUCAUCAUUUGCAGGCUGUUUCACUAAUUGCAUCCUAUUUACAAGUUCCCUUGUGUUAUCCUCUGCGCUUGGGUGGUUCUCGCUCAUAUAUUAAUGACCAUGCGUCUUCAAUAGACCAUGCAUCUUCUGAUUUGUCAUUGGAUACAACACUUUCAGCAAAUGUAAAGCCGGUAGAAUUUCCGCUGUUUUUAGAAGGUCAAGACACGACAAGAGCAGCAUAUGCUGUGUUCUUGUUAAACAAGGUAAGCUUUUGCAUAUUAGUAAUUUUUUUUUCCAAGAUGAAUUAUUCUCCUUUGGCAUUUUAUAUUAUAUAAUUAGUCACUACAAAACAUAAAUAAAUAAUAAUACUCCAUUUUUACAAUAAAAAUUCACUAAAGAAAAUACAUUUGAAGUCUAUCAUUGCUUUUUCGAAUAAGAGUCGGUCAAGAAAGUUAUGCGCAAAUACUUAUAUCUUUAUUUCAGAUGCUUUCAAUUCUAUUGUCACUUAAAUCCAAGUACUUUAAAUUUGUCAAAUUAUUCAAUUUUGAAAUUCAAUCCCAAAUAUUGAUCAAUUAUAUAUAUUCAUGAUAUGAUAAAAGCAAAGACAUCUUUCAACAUUAACUUUCCCUUAAACAAAAAUUGGUUUUAAAGUAAAAAAGAAACAUAUAAAACCAGUCUAGCUUGAAUAUGAAUCAAUAUAUAAACACUAUACUUAUACCUUGGUUUGAGAUGCUUUCAAUAUUGUUGUCGCUUAAAUACAAGUAUUUCAAGUUUGUCAAAUUAUUCAAUCCCAAAUAUUGGUUAGUUAUAUAUGAUAUGAUAAAAUCAAACUUGAACAUACAUUGAUUUUUAAAGUUGAAAAUUACUUGUUAAUUUUUUUUCUUUCUUACCUAUAUGAAAAUUUUACUAAAGUAAAAGUUGAAUUACAACGGAUAAAAAGAAUGGAAAACUAGGUACCAAGCCUAGAAGACCAUCCUCAAACUCCACUAUACAAAUAAAAACUACUCAAACUCCACUAUACAAAUAAAAACUAACACCGGACCAAACUUAAUUUACCUCUUAGAUGACUUGAUCCUUCAAACUGGUUGUAUGAUAGAUCUAAAUACCGGAGAGAUGAAAGCUCACUCAAAGAUAACAAAAUGCUAUCAUUCAAGUAAUUGUAACUUAAGUCAAGGAUCUCCAAAUUACUCAAUGUGAAUGAUAGCUUUCCAAAGCCUGUAGAAGUGUUCUUUUAAACAUAUACAAGCAGUUAGUGACUUUUCUUCCAUAAAAUAAAAUAUAAGUAAUUGUAAAUUAACAAUGGUGAGAAUAGUGGAAUAGUAAAAGAUAUAAUUAAGGAAAAAAAAUAAAGGCACGACCUUCAUUUUCAAGGUUACCACCUAUGGCAUUUCCCGACAAAUAAAGUCUCUUCAAUUCCUCAAAAGGAAGAAACAUAGAGGCAUUGAGAUACCAGACAAUGAGAUUCCUAUUAUCCAUGCCGUAUUCCCAAUUGUCUUCCCAUUUUGUAGAAAUAAGGGAGAGUUGUAUGAGUCUCCUAGUGGUGGUGUUACACUCAAAUCCUUCCCAUUUACAACAAUCUGAACCCUUCACCUCAACCCAACUUUGCAAUGGAUUACGAUAAACGAAGAAAGGCUUGAGAUGCAAGAGAGCGAUUCUCUCAUGCUCCAAACAAGCAUCAGUAGUACACCAUCUGCAUCCUUCUAACACCAACAACAUUAUUGCCAUCCUAAUAAACUAUAACCAUUUCCACUCCAUCAUCAUCAUCUCUCUGUUUUGUAUACAUAUGGACUACAAUUCAAGUUUCAUGCUUAUAAUUAUACCAAAUCAAAGUUCAUGUAUCAAAUUGCACAUUAAAUCAAAAUUUAUGUAUACAUUUGAUAUUUAUCUCAUUUAUGGGAGAUUAACUUUCUAAUGGUAUUGUUUUGUUUACAUUAAUCCAAAUAAUAGGAAAUGAUGAAUUAGUUUAACGCAAAUUGUAAUUCUAUUAAUGUUUCUUCUCAAACUUUUGGUUGCUCUUAUUUACAUGUUUUAUUAAUUGAUAGAUUUAAAUUCUUGGAAUAUAUUCGGUUAGAAUGAAGUGCCCCGAAUCCUUAUUUAAAUAAAAUACAGUGUUAAAAUAAAAGAAAAGUAAAAUCCCUACAGAAUUAUACUUCUUUUAUUUUAUUUUAGAAUAAGGCUUUUUAAAUCUUAUUAAACUCCAUCUAUUUGAUAUUGAUUAGAAUAAAGAGUUUCACUCCUAUUAGAAUAAAGUUUUACAAGCCUAUAAAUAGACAUAGUCUACUCCUCUUGUAAUUAAUUCAAAUUCGACAUAGUGAAUUUUCUUCUCCUCUGCCCGUGGUUUUUUCCCGAAAGGGUUUCCACGUAAAAUUUGUGUGUUCUUUAUUUUUCUAUUUCUAUUUUCUUUGUGAUAUAUUAUCAUUACCGACAUUUAUUUUCACAAAUUGGUAUCCGAGCUUCUGGGUUGUUCAUCGCAAUCACUGUAAUGACGUCUUUGAAGUAUGAAAUUCUACUGUUGGAUCGCAACACCAGAUUCGCAUUUUGGCAGAUAAAGAUGCAGGCAGUUCUUGCACAGAUGGACUUAGAGAAAGCCCUGCUAAGGUUAGAUAAGAUGCCUUCAACAUUGAUGGAGGAAGAGAAGAAGCACAAGGAUUGAAAGGCGUUAACACAAUUACAUCUGCAUUUGUCUAACGAAAUUUUGCAGGAUGUGAUAAAGGAGAAUACCGCCGCUAGAUUAUGGAAGACGUUGGAACAACUAUGUAUGUCGAAAACUCUAACUAGUAAGCUGCAUAUGAAGCAGCGUCUUUAUGCUCAUUGUUUGGAGGAAGGUGCGUCUAUGCAUGAACACUUGACAGUGUUUAAAGAAAUUCUCUCAAAUUUGGAGGCCAUGGAGGUUCAGUAUGAUAAGGAAGAUUUAGGGUUGAUUCUACUUUGUUCGUUGCCCCCGUCUUAUUUAACCUUUAGAGAUACAAUUUUAUAUAAUCGCGAGUCUUUCACAGUUGAUGAGAUUUAUAAUUCUUUAACCUCGUAUGAUAAGAUGAUGCAUCUUAUGGUUAAAACUGACUCUCAAUGAGAGGGUCUCAUUAUUCGUGAGAGAUAAGAUCAGAAUAUUGAUGAUGAUCAUGGAAGGACACAAGAACGGAAUCCUCGUGGUAAAUCUAAAGGUAGAUCGAAGUUUUCAAACAGAGGUAAAACUUGUAACUUCUGCAAGAAGAAAGGGCACAUUAAAUCUAAGUGCUAUAAGCUACAGAAUAAGAUCAAAAGGGAGACUGUGAAUCAAAAUGGAAAACAACCAGAAAAUUUUGGUAAGGCUAAUGUUGUAGAAUACUACAGUGAUUGUGAACUUCUAGUCGCUUCUGUCAAUAAUUUUAAAGUGAGCGAGGAGUGGAUCCUUGAUUCGGGUUGCACCUUCCACAUGAGUCCCAAUAGUUAUUGGUUUACAACUUACGAAAUAGUGUCUGAAGGUGUUGUUUUAAUGGGAAAUAAUACUUCAUGUAGAAUUGCAGGUGUUGGAACAAUUAAAGUUAAGAUGCUUGAUGGAGUUGUCAGAACACUUAGUGACAUAUGACAUGUUCCAAAAUUGAAGAGAAAUUUAAUUUCAUUGAGUACUCUUGAUUCAAAAGGGUACAAAUACACAGCUAAAAGUGGUGUUUUGAAUAUUUCUAAAGGUUCCCUCAUUGUGAUGAAAGGAUAGAGAAAGACUACCAAGUUUUAUGUUUUGCAAGGUUCUAUUGUUACUGGUGAUGCAGCUGUCGUAUCCUCUUCCUUGUCAGAUGAUGAUAUUACUAAACUUUGGCAUAUGCGCCUAGGGCAUAUGAGUGAGAAUGGCAUGGCAGAAUUGAGCAAAAGUGGACUUCUUGAUAGGCAAUGAAUUUGCAAACUGAAGUUCUGUGAGCACUACAUUUUUGGGAAGCAAAAGAGAGUUUGAUUCACCAGAGGAAUCCAUAACACAAAGGGAACGUUUGAGUAUAUUCAUUCUGAUCUGUGGGGGCCAUCCAGAGUACUUUCGAGAGGUGGAGCUAAUUAUAUGCUAACUUUUAUUUAUGAUUUUUCCAAAAAAGUGUGGGCGUUCUUCCUGAAGCAGAAAAACGAUGUGUUUUUUGUAUUUAAGUCUUGAAAAACCAUGAUUGAAAAACAAACGGGAAAGUAAAUAAAACACCUCCGCACAGACAAUGGCUCAGAGUUCUGUUUUGAUAAGUUUAAUAAAUUGUGCAAGUCAGAAGGGUUCAUGAAACACUUGAUAGUUCAUCAUACUCCACAGGAAAACGGCGUUACAGAAUAAAUGAACAGAACGAUCAUGGAGAAGGUUCGAUGUAUGUUGUCAAAUACCAACUUACCAAAGUCAUUUUGGGCUGAAGCAGCCUCUACUGCAUGAUUUUUAAUCAACCGAUCUCUAUCCAUUGCCAUUGAGAAAAAGACUCCACAAGAGGUAUGGUCUUGUAAUCCUGCUGACUAUUCUGAUUUAAAGAUUUUUGGUUGUCAUGUGUGUGUGCAUGUUGAUAAUGGAAAAUUGGAAUUGAGAUCCAUUAAAUGUGUUUUUCUUGGUUAUAAAGCUGAUGUAAAAGGGUAUAAGUUAUGAUAUCCUAAAAAUAGAAAAGUUGUGAUUAGCAGAUAUGUUAUUUUUUAUGAAACUGCUAUGCUACCUAACUUAUCUCUUAAAGAAUCUCUCAAUAAAGAAAAUCAAAAGUAGGUGGAGCAUCAGAUUAAUACAGAAUCUACAACAGAGUCGACUACUGAAGCCAGUACAAAAAUUCAAAAUAGAGUUGCUCCUUCACCAUAAUACUCUAUCGCCAAAAAUAGAACUAGAAGAGAAAUUAGACCUCCAAAGAAGUAUGUCAAGUCUGAUCUAGUUGCUUAUGCUUUAAAUGUGGCUAAAGAUAUAGAUGUAAAAUAAGAGCCAUCUAAUUAUUCUGAGGCGAUUAGUUGUGAAGACUCAGAAAAGUGGAUGUUUGCUAUGCAAAAGGAGAUGGAAUCACUCCACAAAAAUAAAAUAUGGGAUCUUGUGAAACUUCCUAAAUGUAAAAAGAUUAUUCGUUGUAAAUGGGUGUUUAAAAAGAAAGAAUGGACUCCAAGAGUUGAAGAACCCAGAUAUAAAGCAAAGUUUGUUGCAAAUGGUUACAGUCAAAUUCCAGGAGUGGACUUCACAGAUGUGUUCUCUCCAGUUGUGAAGCAUAGUUUGAUUCAAGCUUUACUUGGUAUUGUGGCCAUACAUGAUUUGGAGCUUGAACAGUUAGAUGUAAAAAAUGCUUUUUUGCAUAGAGAAGUUAAGGAGGAUAUUUACAUGCAACAACCAGAGGGUUUUACAGUCUCAGAAAAAAGGACUAUGUUUGCUUGCUGAAAAAGUCUCUUUACAGUUUGAAACAGUCACCAAGACAGUGGUACAAGAGGUUUGAUUCAUUUAUGACUUCUCAUGAUUUUAAAAGAAGUAGCUUUGACAGUUGUGCUUACUUUAAGAAAAACAAUGAUGGUUCUUUUGUGUAUCCACUCUUUUAUGGUGAUGAAAUGUUGAUAGCAGUGAAAGAUAAAUGAGGGAUAAGAAAGGUCAAAGCCCAACUAAGUGAAGAAUUUGAGAUGAAAGAUUUGGGACCAGCAAAGAAGAUACUUGGUAUGGAGAUUCUCAAAGAUAGAAAAGUAAGUAAAUUGUACCUAAGUCAAAAGGGGUACAUUGAGAAAGUUCUUUGCAGAUUCAAUAUGCAGAAUGCUAAGCCUGUUAGUACUCCUUUAGCAGCCCAUUUUAGACUUUUAUCGGCUUUGUCUCCACAAUCAGAUGAUGAGAUUAAGUACAUGUCACAUGUUCCAUACUCUAGUACAGUGGGAUCUCUCAUGUAUACUAUGGUUUGUUCACGUCCAGAUUUAUCAUAUGUAGUUAGUGAAGUUAGCAGAUACUUGGUGAAUCCCGAUAAAGAACAUUGGAAAGUAGUUCAGUGGAUUUUAAGAUACUUACGAGGUACUACUGAUGUUUCCUUACAGUUUGGAAGAACUAGAGAUGAAGUCAUUGGGUAUGUUGAUGCUAAUUUUGCUGGAGACUUUGAUAGAAGAAGAUCUCUCACAGGUUAUGUCUUUAUAAUCGGAGGUUGUGCAAUCAGUUGGAAAGCCACUUUGCAAACUACAGUUGCUUUGUCCACCACUGAAGAUGAGUACAUGGCGAUUACUGAGGCUUGUAAAGAAGCUAUUUGGUUGAAGGGACUCUUUAGUGAACUCAAUAAAGGCUUUCAAAUCAAUACAGUAUUUUGCGACAGUCAGAGUGCUAUCUUCUUUACAAAAGAUCAAAUGUUUCAUGAGAGAACAAAACACAUUGAUAUUCGGUAUCAUUUUGUUCGUGAUAUUAUUGCUUGUGGUGAUAUUGUUAUGAGCAAAAUUAGUACUCAUGAAAAUCCUGCAGAUAUGAUGACUAAGUCACUUCCUAUAACCAAGUUUGAGCAUUGCUUAGACUUGGUUAGUGUUCAUUGUUGAAGUUAAACCCUUAAGGGGUUUUAUGGAAUAGGUGGAAAACUUGAUCGUUGAGAGUUCGCGAUGAAGAACUUGUUCAUUAAGAAUUCGUGUCAAUGUGGAGAUUGUUAGAAUUAAGUGACCCGAAUCCUUAUUUAAAUAAAAUACAGUGGUAAAAUAAAAUAAAAGUAAAAUCCCUAUAGAAUUAUACUUCUUUUAUUUUAUUUUAGAAUAAUAUUUUUUAAAUCUUAUUAAACUCCAUCUAUUUGAUAUUGAUUAGAAUAAAGAGUUUCACUCCUAUUAGAAUAAGGUUUUACAAGCCUAUAAAUAGACAUAGUCUACUCCUCUUGUAAUUAAUUCGAAUUCGACAUGGUGAAUUAUCUUCUUCUCUGCCCGUGGUUUUUUCCCGAAAGGGUUUCCACGUAAAAUCUGUGUGUUCUUUAUUUUUUCUAUUUUUAUUUUCUUUACGAUAUAUUGCUAUUAUCGACAUUUAUUUUCACAUAUUCUAAUUAAUUAGAUAUUUCCUUCCUUCCAAAAGCCUUUCAAAAUAGGUUUAGUUUGACCAAGAUACUCUUGUAGAAAAUUUUAGUUUUGUGGGAAAACGAAAAACUAGAUUUAUUUUUUAUUCUAAUUGGUUUCAUAUGCAAGGUAUAUAAACUUUUGUGUCGCUGCAAUUUUUUUCCAACAUAUGUAUGUGAUUUGUGGGGUUUCAAUUUUGAAUUUUUUUUAUAAUUUAAUUAAAUUGUGAAAGUAUUUGAAAGUUUUUAAGUUGAUACAAUGUUUAGAACUACCCCAACACCCACCCAACCCUUAAAUAGGAGGAUAAACAUGCUUCAGCACGCUCAAACUCACAUUCUCCUACAUCUAUGAUAAUACUAAUGCCAACCGAGUUAAGACUCAACUAGCCUUGAAUUUUGAAUUUUACUUCUGAUAUAUUUUGAAUUUUGAAAUUUUAAUUUUGACCCAAACAGUAGCAGUUAAUUUAAUUUGAUUAAAUUUAAUUACUAGACCUAUAUUAUGCGUACGAUUAUUGAUUAGUCUAUACUCUCAAAUUGGGCAAUUCUAAGUACCUAUACUUUCUGAAUUUUGAAAUUUCAGUCUUGAUGCAAAUGACAAUUGUUAAUCUAUUAAUUAGAUUUUUAGCGAGUAAUAUGUAAAAAUAACAAACUGGCAUAACAUUACACAUAUGAUAAUAUGUUUAUUGCACCGCAUUUGAAAAUAGCCGAAUUUAACAAAUAUCGUUAGUGAGGAUUGGAAAUUAGAGUCUAGGGAUUAAAUCCACAAGUUCAGUAAAUUACAAGAACUAAUGGUAGAAUUUAACCUUUAUAUAACCUUUAAAUUCUAACCGUGGUUUGCACACUACUCAGCCGACCAUUGGCUGUGGUGGGAACACAAACUGUUUGAAUUUGACAUCAGUGAUUGAAUUUUCAUAGCUAAUAUGUACGUUCCUUCAAUUUCUCCAUAGGAGGGAGUGGAAUACAUUAUAUAAGGUAAUAUUUGAUAUAUUCGGUAAAUGAAUAAUUGCAAGAUAUCUCAUUAUCUAGUAAAAUAAAUAAUGAAAAUUUUAUAAAUAAAUAUUAAUAAAAUAUUAUUACAUAUAUCAACAAUGACAUAGUAAGUUGCAUUAACUUUUAGAUGUUGACUAUUGACUUUUGCAUCAACCUUGAACUUACAUAGGCCCCUACAAUAAUUUAGGUUAUGGAAAUAAUCUUGCAAAUAAUGCUUGAGACAUCAUUAUACAUCAAUUUAUAGUUUUAAUUCUUGUACUUACUCAAUUGGAAUAAAGAUUUAGUUUUUUAUUUUCUUUUGAUACAAUGUCUAGAAUUAUCCAUAGCCCUUUUCCAACCCUUAAAUAAAUGAAUAAUGUGCUUCAGCGUACUCGAACUCACAUCUUCUUACAUUGACAAAUUGCUGAUGCCAAUUAGUUAAUGUUAAUGCUAUACUUUAGUUAAAAAUAACUAACAUUAUUAAAAAAUUCAUUAGUUGGCUCAUGUGGAUUUUUUUUCAAAAAAAUUGAAAUUAAGAACCAUAAAUUCUUUAAGACUUAAAAAUUAAAAUUAUGUGGUUAUUAAAAAAGAUUUAUUUUUUAUUAAAUUAUUAUUUAAAAUAAAUUUAUCUCAUCAUAAUGAUAUGAUUUUUUUCUUUAAAAAAUCCACAUUAACCAACUAAUAGAAUUGUAUAAAGCUGCCACCAAUCUCUUAGCAUGAUGGCAAAAGAUUCAGAGGCAGCCAGAAAAUCUUUUGAGGGGCGUGAAUAAAGUUAUAUAUUUUUAUAAUAGCAAAAGUGAAAUUUUAUUAUUAUAAUAGUUUAUAUCUUUAAUUUUUAAAAUAUUAAAUAAUUUUUUUCUUAUUUUUGAGGGGAUAAAGUAUAAGUUUAUCAUAUACUAAUUUUAAAAUUAUAAAAAGACUAAAUGUGAAAUUUUUCAUUUUAAGGGGUGGGGCCCUGUCAGGUCUCCUUGGCUUCACCUUGAUAAAAGUAUUAUGUAAUACGUAUAAAGUUUGAGUUUAAUCCCAAACAAUCUCAUUUCUUAUCCCUCAUUAUAAAAUAAUAAAAUAAAUAGAGCAAUUGAUAUGAGGAGACAAGUAUAAUAGGGCAAUUUUAACCUGGGCCAGAUUUCAAAACAAAACCCAAACCAAAUAAUAAAAGAGUCCAAAAUAAUUAAAACAAUCCAUCCAUUUUACAAACAAACCCAAAUUAGCAGCCCAAAUACAAAUUAAAACUCAAUAACCCAAAACUAACUAUAGCCCAAUUAGCUAAACACUUAAACGCAACAAAAAAAACCCUAUCCCCCUAAGCCUCCAACGCUGCAUGACCACCUACGCCGCACGUCGUCGCUGCCGCUCGAGGCUCGCCUAUCUUCGACCAUCCACGCAUCUGACACUUGCAAAACCAAGGCAACACGCAACAACAAAGGCCAAAUAGAGGAAACAACAAGGAAACAGACAAAAAAGGAAGAAACAAACAGUUUUGAUUCGGCUAUAAAAGCCCGAAUCUCACCCUUGUAAUUUUUUUGCGAACAUUAGAAAAUAAAAAAACAAAAACAACACUUUCAAGGUGAAUUUCUACUUUUAUUUCUGUUUUAAAUACUUAUUUGAUUCUAUAUUCAUAUUUUUAUUUUAUUUUUUAUAUAUAUACGAAAAUAAUAAAAUAAAAAAAGGAAGAAAGGGCUCACCGGAGACGCCCCGUGAUCGUGCCGUCAGAAGGCUCUUCUCCGUUGUUGCCAUCGGAUCCGAGAGGGGGUCGAGAGUCUUCCUCUUUCGCUUUUUUGGGUCGAGAGGGCUGGGCUUCCAAGGGAGCUGCGAAACGGGGGCUAAAAAUGCCCUUUUGCGCAACACCGACCACCGGCCACGACAGCACUACGACGGCGACCAUGGCCGGCCAAGGGGUGGGCUGAGAGAGAGACCAAGAGAUACUGAGAGAGUUCUCUGUUUUUUUAGAAAAAUGAAAGUUGAACCGUUUUUUUCUUCUUUUUUUUUGCUAUUUAUAUAGGGUAUAAUACGACGCCGUUUUGGACUUAAGCAUCAGUGGCCAAAACAAUGCCGUUUUGCAUCAGACCUGAAAAUCGACUCGAAUGCGGCCAGGAUCUGCGCGUUUUAGCUUUGAGGAGCUAUUUGCAUAUUCAGCCCUUCCGCUUUUGUAGUAUAGUGCAAUCUGGUCCUCGUUGUUUUUAUAUUUUGGCCGCAUAAUUUUUUGAUUGUUUUACUUUGGUCCGAGCUGAAACGCUGCGCAUAGGGGCUAGGAAUAUUGCCCAGUCGGUCCCUCAUUCCUUAAGCGCGCUCUAUUUCAGUCCCUAGCAACCCUUUUUUUUAUUUGUAAUUUAAACCCCAAAUUCUGGGUCGAUUUUAGUAUCAUCCUUAGUCCAUUUAAUUUAUUUGUUCACUAUUUUUUAUUUAAAAAACUCUUUUAUUAUUAUUUGUUUUAAGUUUUUUUAUUUAUCAUUUAUUUUAAAUUGUUUUACAUACUAUUUAUUUAAAUUUUUUAUAUAUUAGUCAUUUUAAACCAUUAUAUGUACAUUAUCUUUUAAAUUUUUAUAUACAUAUAUUUUUUUUAAAAAAAACUGUUGUAUGUUUCUUAUUUAUUUAUUUUAAACUGUUAUUAUUAUUCAUUUUAAGUUUUUAUAUACUGUUUAUUUGAAGCCGGUUAUUAUUUAUUUUUGAAUUGUUCUUAUAAAUUAUUUACUUUAAAUUAUUAUUUACUUUGAAAUUUUUUUGCAUAUUAUUUUGUUUUGUUUUUUUUAUUGUUAAUAUUAGUAUAAAAAUUAUAUACAUUGUGUGAUUAUUACCGCCAUGUGUACUAUAAUUAGUUUCUUCGUGUUUUCAUAUUAUUAUCACUCAUUAACAUAACAUUUUUUUCAUAAAUUGUUAUUUUAUGUUCUAUGUUAUCAUUCCAUUUCACUUCAUCACUUCGAAAGUUGCAUUCAAUUUGUAUUUACCCAUAAUAAACCGUUCUAUUUUGUCACAAAUAAAACAAAUGCACCUCGUUCAAGCAUUGUACUCACAAUUAUUCAAAACGGGGAAAAGUUUUAAAAUAAGACAAUAUUUCGCAUUUUGGAGAUUUGAGAAAUUGUACCCUAACUUACGGGGUUUCAAUUUUCUCGUUGAACCUAAAUAGCAAAAUAUCCUUCUAAUUUUCAAAAUUUACGAAAUUCCAAUAAAGUUAAAGGCUAGCUUAUUCUCAAGGGUUCUAAGUGUCGUGUCCUAACUUACGGGAUGUGACAUUUAUUAUCUCGAGACGAGAGGAUCUUUGACAUUCGUUUCAAUUUAUUCAAGCAAAUUCUUUUAAAUUAAAAUAGCGUUAACAAAAGGGGGAUCGUGUUUUAAAUUCUUUCGAAGUUUUUCAAUUUUUAACAUUUAGACAUUAAUUAAUCAAUUGAAUACCAAUUUUGGGCGUGACGAGGGUGCUAAUCCUUCCUCGCAUGUAACUGACUCCCGAAUCCGUUUUCUCAAAUUUCAUAGACCAAAAUCACUGUUUUGAUAAAUUAAAAUAUUUUAUUAAAACAACUAAAUUAUGAGGUGACCUAAUCACACCUCAUAAAAAAAAGAUUGGUGGCAACUCUCGUUUUAAUUUCCAUUUUCAAACCAACGUCGACCCUUUUAAAAAAAUGGUUUCAAUAUUAAGUUAUAAGUUGAAUGAAUUAAAAAUAUGUGAAAAGUGUAAAUAGAGACUCUUCAAUCUCAUUUCCUCUAAUGCUCUUUUUUUAAAUUUUUUUUUAAAUUUUUUAUGUACCUUUUAAAUAGUUAAUGAAAAUAAAAAUAUUUUGAUAAUUUUCACUUCGAAAUGCAAAAGCCAACAACAGUUUUUGACUACAAAAGCGGUGUGUUCUUCAUCACUUCUCAGUGGAAAAACACUUCUGCAAUGUAACAACACUUUUAACCCAAAACGGCUUUUUCACCACAAUAGAGAAUGCACCCUAAAAUUGUAAAUAGAAAAAAGAAGGAUCAAACAUUGUUUCUACCCUGUUUUUGUCUCCUCUUUGAAAAUACUUUCCAAAAAGUUUUAUCAUUUUUUUUUCUGUUUACAAAUUCCUUAUAGAAGUGCUUUCUUUUGAUCCACUUGCAUCAUUGUAAUAAGUUUGCAUUGCCUUCUAACUUUCUAUGUUGAUUACAGUUUAUUAAGUUUUCUGUUGGAUCUUAUAGUCAAAUUCCUUUACAUCAUGUAUGUUAAUUUGCUUAGCCCUGAUAAAUGUUAGAUAUAGGGUUAUCAGUGUCGAAACCACUUUUUUGGCGAACAAAAAUUAGUUGUUGACUUUAAAAACGAAAGUUGGAGUCGCCAUCGAUCCUUUAUUGGGGUGUGAUCGGCUCACCUUAAAAACGAUUUUGGUCUGCAAAAUUUGAGAAAACAGGUUCGGGAGUCGGUUACGCAUGAGAAAGAGUUAGCACCCUCUUAACGCCCAAAAUUGGUACCGAAUUAAUUAAUUAAGGUCUUAAUGCCGAAUAUCGAAAAUCUGUGAAGAAUUUAAAAAUACGAUCCUCCCUUUUUGUUAAUGUUAAUUUUAUAAAAGAUGCUUGGAUAAAUCGAAGCGAAUGCUAAAGACCUUUUUGUCUUGGAAUAAUAAAAUGUCACACCCAAUACGUUAGGACAUGACAUUUUAGUCCUCGAGAAUAAGCUUGUCUUUUGAUUUUCAAAGCUCGUGCGGUGAAGUUUAAAAAGGAUAUUCAAUUGCUUUAACUCAGAUGAAAAAUCGGAGCCCAAUACGUUAGGGCACAAUUUCUCAAAAUUCCGAGCAUUGAAUAUUGCCCUUAUUAUUAUUAUUUUUAAAAUCUUCAUCUCGAGAAAAUGACAUGUCAUAUCCAAUAUGUUAGGACACGACGUAUCGAAUUUUCGAGAAUGAGCUUUUUAUUUAUGCUUUAAUUAAAAAAGGAUACCCGGUUUCUUAGAUUCAACGAGGAAGAUUGGAAUCCAAUAAGUUAGGACACAAUCUUUUCGAGGAUCCUAAAUUCCGAGUGUCGCGUUAUUUUUGAAAAAAAACUUUUUGAAUAAAAAUGCUCUCGAUACUUGAAUGAUAUUAAACGUAACCUUUUAACAACGAAUAAAAUGCGACGGGACGAUAAUGUAUAACGCGGAAUGACGAUUUGUAAACAAAAUAUACUCUAACGAAUGACAAAUAAUCAAUAAAAACAAAUAAACAUUAUCAUACAUAUAAGAGCAAUAAUCACAUGUAAAUAUUAACAUCAACAUUUGAAAGCUAAUGACCUAAAAGCCUAUCGCAAAUACAACAAAUUUAAAAUAACUAAAAAAAAAGCAUGAGAGAAAAGAAAUUUGAAAUUAUCAACAUAUAUACACAAAAUACACGUAUAUAAAAAUUUAAAAGAAAUAAUUAAUAGGAAGACUUGAAAUAAUUUAAAAAUAGAAUUAAAAAUGAAUAAUAAUAUCUAAAUGAAUUUUAAAAUAAAUAUUAUAAGAAGAAAGUCAAAAUAAAUAAAACCCAAAAUAAUACACAUAUAUUAAUCUAAAUAGGUAAUAGAUAUAAAUUACGUAUUAUAAAAGAAAACUAUUUAAAAAGGGUAAAUUCUAUUGGAUUAACAUAAAAAUAUAAAAUAAUUUAUUAUGAAAUUAAAUAAUAAUAUAUGAUAAUAAUAUAAAAAAACUUAAAAUAAUAGUGCAUAAUAGAAUAAAAUAAUGAAUAUAAAAAGGUUAGAUAAAUUGAUAAAAAAUAAUACUAAUAAUAAUAAUAGUAGCAGUAAUAAUAAUAAUAAUAAUAAUAAUAAUAAUAAUAGUAAUAAUAGUAAUAAUGAUAAAUUAAUAUUAAAGUAAUUAAUUUGAUAGCAAAAAUAACAAAACAGAUUACUAAUUUGGAAUUAAAACAGAAAUUUAGGGGUAAGACGUGCAAUAAAAUGAAAUGAAAAGGACCUAAUUGAAAUUAAUUUAAAAUCAGACUGACUAGCAAAGAAAUUAAACGCACAAGUCUCACCUGGCAAUCAAGUCAGAUCAUCAGAAACGGCGUCGUUUCGAACGUUUGUCUCCUCAACUGACAGAAGGACGAAAUUGAAAGAAAUAUCGAAUUAUGUGGCAAAAUUAAAAAAGACAAAGAAGGAUUAAAAUGAAGUAAAUAAAAAACAGAAGGACCAAACAGGAGAAUAAGCCAUUGAAACAAAACACGCGGAUCCUCCCCGGGUCAAAUCGGAUCAUCGGGUCAACCAACACGGAGACGUUUUGAAGCCAUUAAAUCGGGCUUAAACGGCACCGUUUUAUUAUCGUUAAAAACCUAAAAAAAUAAAACCCUAAUAAUUUGUUUUGCCAUCCUAAAACAGAUCAAGAGCCUAGCCUUCUCCCCACCGGUCUCCACUCACGAACCCAAUCUGACUCCGAUUCAGACGGAGCAAACCAGAUUCCAAUGGCGUCUGCUCUGGUAAGACGCUUCUUCUCUCCCUCUUUUUUUUUCGUUUGGUGCCAAAGAAGAAAACAAAGAAUCAAAGAAAUAAAAGAGAAAAAAAAACGAAGAAAAUCACCUUUCGAAAAAACUUUCUGUUUUGAUUUUUUGUUUGUAUUCAAUAUGCGUAAAAAAGGAUUACAAUGGCCUUCUCCCUCUUUAUAGCCGAAUAUUCGAAAUAAAAUGAAAGAAAAUACAAAAAAUUCUCUCUGCUGCGUUGUUUUCGUCUUCUUUGCAGGUAAGGAGGCUAGCUGGCGUAAGGAGGUGGUGGACGUGGCACAGCACACUCGGGGAAGGCCCUGGUGGCUGCGGCGCUGGAAGGAGGGCUGUUGCAGCUAGGGUUUUCUGAUUUUUUUUUGGGCUAGGGUUGGGUUGAUAGUUGUAUUGGGCUAGGUAUUUGGGCUGGGUGUAGUUGGACUAGAUGUAUCUGACUUUGGGUUUGUACCGGGUCACUGUAAAUGGGUUUGGUUUUUGUUGUUAUUGGGCUGUGAACUAUUUGAGUUUUAAUUAAUUUUUAUUUAUUUGGUUUUUUAUUGUGGGCUGGGCAAAUUGGGUAUUACAAUCAGCUAAUUAGGAAAGACUGUGAUGAUAGUCACACCUUACAUCCAAAAGCAAAGCUUUUUUUACAUGUGUAUGUAAGGUUGCUAAGCAAAUCUGGUGAGCCUUCACUGCUGUUUUAAGGUUAAGUUAAUGUUCCUUUUCGGCAAAGAACAUUAUCGAGAUCACGGUAUUUUGAUCGCCUUUUGCUUCUUGUUAUUCGUUCUGAAACGAUUGCAUAAUCUUUACUGUGAUUGCAGGAUAUAGAGCAACUUUUGAAUUUCAUCGCUGUAAAGUGUUUAGGACCACGACAUGUUCUUGCAAAUUUGAAGAAGCUUCUAAGGUCUGUCCAGUCUUCAGAAUAUAUAGAUACCUGAAUUAAUUUUGAUUUUGUAGGAUCAACUAUAAUUAGCUACUUAUUAGAGUAUGAAUAGACAACCUCACCUUCUUCACACACUGACACGUGCGGAUUUUUUGCCAAUCCCAUUUCAAAGGAUCACACUUUUUUGUUGUUUACAGAAUCAUAAUUAAUGUUAAUUAAAGUGGAAUAUUUCAGAUUUCUGAUGAUGAGCAUAUUCUUGAGUAUUGCAGUAAAAAAAUGGGUGCGGAACUUAUUUGAACUUUGAAUGUAUGUUUUGUUGGUGAGAAUAUAAAGUUGAUAAAGAUUUGGUAAAUAGAAUAAAAUACUAUUUUUUAUUAGAAAAAUUAUUUGGUAGACUGCCAAUCGAUUUAUAAUUAUCAUGACGCAAUAUUAAGGGUAAUUAAAACAUGUCAUAUUACAAAUAAUAAAAUUAUAAUGACUCAAAUAUACGAACAUGUCAAAAUUUAUGUACAACGAAUUAUUAACAUGUCAAUGUAUAGUAUAAUAUGGUACGCAAAAAUAAGAUAAUUGCUUGUCUUUAAUUGAAUUGUUAUAACACAUUAUACAAAAUACAUUGUGAAUUAAAGCAUAAUAUAAUCAUGAUAUCAAUAUAUUAAAUUUUUUAAAAAUUCGAUGAUACGAAUAAUUAUGUAAAAUAUCACAUGAUACAAAAUGACUUGAGAGGAAAAGAGGAACAAAGACUUGCNNNNNNNNNNNNNNNNNNNNNNNNNNNNNNNNNNNNNNNNNNNNNNNNNNNNNNNNNNNNNNNNNNNNNNNNNNNNNNNNNNNNNNNNNNNNNNNNNNNNNNNNNNNNNNNNNNNNNNNNNNNNNNNNNNNNNNNNNNNNNNNNNNNNNNNNNNNNNNNNNNNNNNNNNNNNNNNNNNNNNNNNNNNNNNNNNNNNNNNNNNNNNNNNNNNNNNNNNNNNNNNNNNNNNNNNNNNNNNNNNNNNNNNNNNNNNNNNNNNNNNNNNNNNNNNNNNNNNNNNNNNNNNNNNNNNNNNNNNNNNNNNNNNNNNNNNNNNNNNNNNNNNNNNNNNNNNNNNNNNNNNNNNNNNNNNNNNNNNNNNNNNNNNNNNNNNNNNNNNNNNNNNNNNNNNNNNNNNNNNNNNNNNNNNNNNNNNNNNNNNNNNNNNNNNNNNNNNNNNNNNNNNNNNNNNNNNNNNNNNNNNNNNNNNNNNNNNNNNNNNNNNNNNNNNNNNNNNNNNNAUGGUCUUCUAGGCUUGGUACCUAGUUUUCCAUUCUUUUUAUCCGUUCUAAUUCCACUUUUGCUUUAGUAAAAUUUUCUUAUAGCUAAGAAAGAAAAAAAAAACUAUUAACAAGUAAUUAUAUAUAUAUAUCAGGUUUUCAAUUGCUUUCAAGACUCAAUAACUUGGAAACUCUCGAUUUAAGUCGGAAUUCUUUUAAGAAUAGCAUUUUGUUCCAUAUGAGAAAUCUUUCAUCCUUGAAGACUUUAAGAUUGAGCGGUAAUCAGUUGAAAGGAAGGCUGGAUCAUAUUCAAGGUAGACUAAUUUUACCUGUUUCUUUUUAACUUUAAAAAUCAAUGUAUGCUCAAGUUUGAUUUUAUCAUACGAUGAAUGUAUAUAACUAAUCAAUAUUUGGGAUUGAAUUUCAGGAUUGAAUAAUUUGACAAAUUUGAAGUACUUGGAUUUAAGUUGGAACGACAUUGAAAGCAUCUCAAACAAAGGUAUAAGUAUUUGUGCAAAACUUUCUUGACCGACUCUUAUUCCAAAAGGCAAUGACAGACUUCAAAUGUAUUUUCUUUAGUGAAUUUUUAUUGCAAAAAUGGAGUAUUAUUAUUUAUUUAUGUUUUGUAGUAACUAAUUAUAUAAUAUAUAAAUCAGGUUUUCAACGGCUCAUUAAAUUGGAAAUUAUUGAUAUAAGUUGGAAUUAUUUGAAGAAUAGCAUUCUUUAAAAUAAAUUCAUGUUGAAGGAAAAGUUGUUGCAAUAAGUCAUUUGAUUUUAUCAUAUCAUGAAUAUAUAUAAGUAAUCAAUAUUUGGGAUUGAAUUUCAAAAUUGAGUAAUUUAAGUAGGAAGGUAUCUCAAACAAAGUAUUUAUAUAUUGAAUCAAUUCAUGGGAAAGCUUGUAAAUUGGCUCUUCCUUCUCAAACAAUCAUUUUUCCUAACUUUUUAUAUCUUGAAUGAUAUUAACUAUACUCAUUAUUUUCUUCCAAUGAUAGAUGGAACACAAUGGAGGCUAACAAACUUAGAGGAACUUGAUUUGAGUGGUAAUCUCUUUCGGAACAACACAAUUUCCUUUCCUCAAGGGCUUUCAAGCCUAAAGUCUUUGACUUUGUACAACAACCAUUUGCAAGGCUCAUUAGAUACUAUAGGUACCAAAGCUAUAACUUUGUUUUUCUUGAUAAUUCUUUCUAGAACCUUUUAAAAUUAAUUGUUUCAAAUUUGAACAUUCACAUUUCACUUUUGAGGAUUUUCAUCUUCACUUCCAGUUUUAGAUUUACUUUUUUUUUCAUUUUUAUUUCAUUAAAAUAUUAAGUAGAAAUUAAAAUUAUUAACAUAAUGAUUUUUUAAAUUGUACGUGGAUAUGUAUAGGAUUGAGCAAUUUAACAAAUUUGAAGAAACUCGAUUUAAGUGGGAAUCAAAUUGAAAGCUUUCAAACCUUUAAAGGUAUGCAUUUAUAUUUAACUAAUUACCUAAAUUCUUACAUAUAAUUAAAUUUUAUGCCAAUUCAUUUCAGUGAUGAAAUUAUAUAAAUCUUUUGUAGAUGGUGGUAGAAAAUUGGAGUUGACCCACUUGGAAGAGCUUUAUUUAGAUGGAAAUCACUUCAAUACUAGUGUAUUUGCAUCCCUUAACAAGCUUUCAAAUUUGAAAUCUUUGAGCAUAAGUGAGAAUCAAUUGAAAGGAUCAAUAGAUAUGAAAGGUAAAAAUAUUAGUUUUUUAACAAGAAUAUAAUAAUGUUUGAAGAGAAUAUAAUGAAGUUGAUUUGUUGUUUUUGUUUUCCUAGAUUUGGAAGCAUUUAUCAAAUUAAGGGAACUAGAUAUGAGCUAUAAUGAAUUGAGAGAUUUUGUGAUCCACCAAGGUAUCAUUUAAUUAAUUUUCCUUUUUUUUUAAUUUAGAAAUUUAGUUUUGAUCUAUGAUAUUAUAAUAACAGUUAUUGUCAUAAAUAUUAAUAAAGUUAUAUCAUAUCAUACUUGAAAGUAAAAUAUGGGUUUGGUGAAACAUUUUCUAAACCCUCCAUUAUAAUGUGUUUCGACUUUGGUUUGAAACUAAAAUUCUUUAAAUUUUUCAUAAUUUUUAAAUAUUAAUGUUUAUAAUUAUUUUGUUUGUAUAACUAUGUUUUUAAAAUAAUUUAUUGAAUUUUUAUGAGAUAAAAAAUAAUUAUAACGAUAAAAAAUGAUAUUAUAAGUAAAAAUACAUAUAUUUAUGGGAAAAUAUGUAAUAUAACUAUAUUUUAAUUUCAUAUAUUUUUAAUAGUAUAAAACAUAAAAAUACAUAUUAGAGUUAAAUAAAUGGCAUUUUUUGGCCAAAAAUAAAUAAAUGUCAAUUUUGAAUAAUAUAAAAAAAAACUUCAAUUUUAUGAAAUUUAAACAUACAUUUUGAGGUGUUUAAACUUUUUUUUUUAACUUUUUAUAAAUUUCAAAAUGCACAUGUUGUUAAUUUUUUGGUUUUAAAAAAUGUGAUAGGUCUAUGUACUCUUUACAAAUUUGUAAUUUAAUUCUUGUAUUUUUAUUUUCGGGAAUUUGAUCCCUCUAUUUUUUAAAUUUUAAAAUCCAAGUUCAAUUGUUAACAUUGUUAUUUUUUUAAAAAAUAAUUUAUUGGUGUUGACAUUUUAAAAUAAAAGAACUUGGUAGCGAUGUAACUAAAAGAUGAUGUAAUGAACAUGGAUUUAAUAAAAUAAUUUCAACCGUAUAAAUAGUUAGACUUGAAUUUUGAAAAAAAAAAUUUGUAAAGAGAAAAAUAUGCACAUUAGAUUUAAAUAAAAAUAAUAUUUUUUUUAGUUUAAAAUUUUCUAUUUUAUAAUAGAACCAUUGAUUUAAAUAAAUGAGAUUUUGAAGAAUUUCCAAAAAAAAAAAACUAUGUAGGUGAAAUUUAAAUAGAGAAUUUGAUAAGCUGAAAUUCUCUUUUGGAAUUCAUAAAUUUUAAAAUUCAGAAGCAUGUAUUUUGACAAUUUUGAUUUAAUAUGGUGAAUUUAAUCAAAAAAUUAUUUAUUAGAUUGUAAAAUAUUUCUUAACAUUUAUAAUUGAGUACAAAGUAAAUUAAGUUUAAGGGAAAAUAUUGGGUACUAUUAAUGAAAUUCUUUUCUUUUAUCAAUUUUUUUUUAAAAAAAUCGGGGUGGUACUAUUAAUGAAAUUCUAAACUUCAUAAGUAGGAUUGAGAUAAUAACAAAUUUCUUAUAUGGUAUAGUAAAAUAUUAAAAAAUAAAUAUUUAAAAGAAAUAGGUUAGUGGCCAUUUUUUAACUUCACUUGUAGAGUUAAAAAACUCCAUUACCAGUACCAAAUACUAACAUUAAGGUUAAAUGCUAAUUGAUUUCAAACAUAUUUGAGUUUUUUAAAAGAAUAUUCUCAUAUAUUUAAAAGAAAACAACACAAAGUUAGAAGAUCUCAUCUUGAAGGGUAAUUCAUUUACCGGUCCUCUCACAUUACCGUCAGCUCCUAACUCUAAAGUGUCUUUAAUUGACAUAUCCCAAAACAAAUUGCAAGGUCAGAUUCCAACCAACGUGUGUUCACAUUUUCCACAUUUGAGCCACUUAUUCUUAUCCAAGAAUGCCUUCGAAGGUGAUAUCCCUCCUUGUUUGAGUGGCAUGAAGGAUUUAUCGAUUUUAGAUUUAUCAGACAAUCAAUUGUCUGGAAGAGUACCUGAAGAGUUAAUCACAAAAAACUCGUUGACCAUUUUGAGACUAUCAAACAACAACCUCAGUGGACAUGUGCUUCCUGUGAUUCUCAAUGCAAAUGGGCUGUCAAAAUUAUAUUUGGAUGGAAAUAAUUUUUCUGGGGAGAUGGCAAAUGUUGAUGUCUCUAUUUCUGAGUUUCCAACUUCACUAAGGGAAAUUAAUCUCGGAAAUAACAAGUUUUAUGGAAACCUCCCAAGAUGGAUGGGGAAUGUGUCAUUUUUGGAGAGAUUAGCUUUGUCCCAAAAUGGUUUCGAGGGUUCUAUUCCAAUGGAAUUUUGCAACUUGAAUCGCUUGGAAUUUUUGGAUCUCUCUGAAAACAAUUUAUUUGGCUCUAUACCGUCCUGCUUUAAUACCCUAAACAUAAAGCAUGUCCACCUGCACGGGAGUAGACUAAGUGGCCCACUACCAAUCGCUUUUUAUAAUAUCUCUUCACUGGUUACGUUAGAUCUUAGAGGAAACAAUUUGACUGGUAGUAUUCCAAAAUGGAUUGGCACACUUUCUUCAUUGAGUGUUCUUCUCUUGAAAGAUAAUCAUUUUCAUGGUGAAGUUCCAGUUCAGUUAUGCAAGUUGGAUUCUUUAAACAUCAUAGAUCUUUCUCAAAAUAUGUUUUCUGGUAUUAUACCUUCUUGUUUGGGAAAUUUAACCCUUUCAACGGAAACAAAUAAGAUUCUAACUGAUUCGAAAAUUAGUCCAAGGUUAACAGGGGACGGAUUAGUGAAAACAUUGGGAGCUCUCGGAAAUUAUUACUAUCCUGAAGGCUACUUAGAAGAAGUAAUAGAGUUCACAACAAAGAGUGGGUUCUUAUCGUAUGAGGGAAACAUCCUUACAUAUAUGACCGGGAUUGAUUUAUCUUGCAACAACUUAACUGGUCAUAUCCCACCAGAAUUAGGGAACUUAAGUGAAAUCUAUUCUUUAAACUUGUCGCAUAAUAAGUUGACAGGAGUUAUACCCUCAUCAUUCGCAAAACUUCAUCAAAUUGAGAGUUUGGACCUUUCUUACAACAAUUUGAGUGGUGAAAUCCCCAAUCAGUUGGUAGAGUUGAACUCUUUGGAGGUUUUCAACGUGGCAUACAACAACUUGUCAGGUAGUAUUCCCGAACCAAAAGCUCAAUUUGGGACCUUUAUUGAAAACAGUUAUGAGGGAAAUCUUUUUCUUUGUGGAGCUAUAUUGCAUAAAAGUUGUUCCAAAACCGAUUCACCAUCAACGAUAUCAACUCUAUCAGAAUAUAAAGGAGAAGAUGGUUUGAUAGGUACUUAUGAUUUUUGUGUGAGCUUUUUGGUUUCUUAUGUAGUUGUGUUGUUGACCAUUUUUGUUGUCCUCUACAUAAAUCAAUACUGGCGAAGAGUUUGGUUUUCUCUCAUUGGGAAAUGCAUCACCACCUGUCGCUACUCAAAUGUGGGCAAUUUUCUUACUUAUCACAUUUUCAAGCAAUGAGUUUAGCUACUCAAAUUGUAAUUUGAUUUUCACACCUAAAUGUUUAAUUAUGCUAAGUUGAGCGAUAAUGAAUAUUUUGUUGAUUUUUGCAUUUUAAAUAAAAGCUCUUUGAUCUUAUGAUUUUAUCAUUUUCAACCAUCUAUUUCUUUUUUCUUCUAUGAAAUUUAAUGUAAAAUCAUAAUCCAUUAUUAUGUAUAUGCAAUAUCUCUUUGAAUUAAAUUAAAUUGAAUACCAAGCGUUCACUAGUGCAUACUGAAAAGGAAAUCUAAUGUAAAAUUAAACCAAACAUACUAGAAAAAUGAAUCUGAAACUGAAAUAUUUUAAAACCUCAAAAACAAUGCAAUUCUUUAUUCCUCUUUUCCUUUCAAGUUAUUUUGUAUCAUGUUAUAUUUUACAUAAUCAUUCAUAUCAUCAAAUUUUAAAAAAUAUUUAAUAUUUUGAUAUCAUGUUCAUAUUAUGCUUUAAUUCACAAUGUAUUUUAUACAAUAUGUUAUAACAAUUCAAUUUAAAAAACAAGCAAUGAUCUUAUUUUUGCAUACCGUAUUAUACAUUUACAUGUUAAUAAUUCAUUGUACGUAAAUUUUGACAUGUUUGCAUAUUUGAGUCAUUAUAAUUUUAUUAUUUGUAAUAUGACAUGUUUUAAUUACCCUUAAUAUUGUGUCAUGAUAAUUAUAACUCGAUUGGCACCAAAUAAUUUUUCUAAUAAAAAAUAGUAUUUUAUUCUAUUUACCAAAUCUUUAUCAACUUUAUAUUCUCACCAACAAAACAUACAUUCAAAGUUCAAAUAAGUUCCACACCCAUUUCUUUACUGCAAUACUCAAGAAUAUGCUCAUCAUCAGAAAUCUGAAAUAUUCCACUCUAAUUAACAUUACGAUUCUGUAAAAACCAAAAAUGUGUGAUCCUUUUUUAAAGCUCUUUUUUUUUUCCUUUAAUGAAAUGGGAUUGGUAAAAAAUCCGCACAUGUGUCGUGUGUGAAGAAGGUGAGGUUGUCUAUUCAUUCUCUAAUAAGUAGCUAAUUAUAGUUGAUCCUACAAAAUCAAAAUUAAUUCAGGUAUCUUUAUAUUCUGAAGACUGGACAGACCUUAGAAGCUUCUUCAAAUUUGCAAGAACAUGUCGUGGUCCUAAACUCUUUACACCGAUGAAAUUCAAAAGUUGCUCUAUAUUCUGCAAUCACAGUAAAGAUUAUGCAGUCAUUUCAGAACGAAUAACAUAACAAGCAAAAGGCGAUCAAAAUACCGUGAUCUCGAUAAUGUUCUUUGCCGAAAAGGAACAUUAACUUAACCUUAAAACAUCAGUGAAGGCUCAUCAGAUUUGCUUAGCAACCUCACAUACACAUGUAAAAAGCUUUGCUUUUGGAUGUAAGGUGUGACUAUCAUUACAGUCUUUUCUAAUUAGCUGAUAACCCUGUAUCUAACAUUUAUCAGGGCUAAGCAAAUUAACAUACAUGAUGUAAAGGAAUUUGACUAUAAGAUCCAACAGAAAACUUAAUAAACGAUAAUCAACAUAGAAAGAAGGCAAUGCAAACUUAUUACAAUGAUGCAAGCGGAUCAAAAGAAAGCACUUCUAUAGGGAAUUUGCAUUUAAGGCAUCGUAAACAGAAAAAAAAAUGAUAAAACUUUUUGGAAAGUAUUUUCAAAGAGGAGACAAAAACAGGGUAGAAACAAUGUUUGGUUCUUCCUUUUUCUAUUUACAAUUUUAGGGUGCAUUCUCUACUGUUGUGAAAAAGCCUUUUUGGGUUAAAAGUGUUUUUACACUGCAGAAGUGUUUUUCCACUGCAGAAGUGAUGAACAACACAUAGCUGUUGUAGUCAAAAACUGUUUUUGGCUUUUGCAUUCAAAAGAGAAAAUUAUCAAAAUACUAUUAUUUUCAUUAACUAUUUAAAAGGUAUAUAAAAAUUAGAUUAAUUUAUAUUUUAUAUAUUAUUAUAUUAAAUUGUUUAAAUCUUAUUUAUUAUUAUAUUUAAUUUUUUCAAAAUAUUUUAUAUAUUAUCAAUUUUACAACUAAUUAACAAAAUAUUUUACUAGGGAAUACGUAUAUGUGAAUAUCUAUAAAUGGCAUGCCUGGAUAUGCAUAUCCUUUGAUAUCAAAUAUUUUGAAAAAAAUAUUAUCAAUUCCACUGAUAUAUUAUCAAUUCCACUGAUAUAAAGCUCUUUAUAUUACCAAUAUAAAUAUAAAUAUUUUGAAUAUAAAUAUCCAUUGAUAUAUUAUCAAUUCCACUGAUAUAAAGCUCUUUAUAUUAUAAAUAUUUUAUAUUUUUUUUCAAAAAUAUGGAUAUGCAUAUCCUUUGAUAUCAAAUAUAAAGGUAAUAUUUAUAGGAAUUGUUUUUUAAUUAGAUAUUUUUAUAUAUCAGUGGAAUUGUCAAAAUAUUUUCAUUAACUAUUUAAAAGGUAUAUAAAAAGAGCUUUAUAUUGCCUCAAGCGCAAGGCACAAAAUGAAGCGCUAGCCUGUGUGCAGUAAAGCGCAAUACGUAUAUGUGAGAGUUUUUGCAAGUCUGUGUGUCUAUAACAUAAAAGUUUAAGAUAUAUAGUAAACUCUAAAGUGUGGUCUGGUUUAUCCACAAAACUUGAAAUUUUUUUAUAGGUGAAUGCUCAAAUAUUGAGAAUUAUAGAGUUUGAUAUUAUCCCUUCCUUAUUAGUAAAGGUAUAUCAAAUGAAAACAGUGAAAAAUAAAAUAAAUUAUUGAGAAAUUCAACAAGGCAGGUUUUUCUAAUGCCCAUUGCCUUACAAAAAAAGUGUGCCUAGGUGCACCAGGCAUGCGCUUGAUCAAAUGGACCUCACCUGGAAGGGUCCAAGGCGUUUUGUUGUAUAAAACUAAGGCGUAGGCAUGCCUAGGCGCAUGCCUUGACGACACUGACCAUAUGUUGGCUUUAUUGCAAAGCAUUAGCAAUUCAAAACUACUAGCACAUUACCUAAUCUACUACUGCUAGAAUAGGACUCAAGUUCUUGCUCCUGUGCAGGUCCAACCAAGAUCUUUACAGGAUACAGUAAUGAAACUUGUGAUAUCAUAUAUUGUUGCCUUGCUCGAAGCUUCCUUUGCACAUUUUUAAGUUUAACACAACCCCUUUCUUCAGUGAGUAAUCUAUUUGCUUCCUGUGAUAAAAACAACAUAUAAUCAAUCAUGCCAUGCAUGCAAGACUACCAACCAUCUUAAAAAAGAGACAAAGAAGUAGGACAGCAAGAAGGGGAUAACCCUUGACUAUGCAAAGGAAUUCAUAGAAUGAGAAUCAUCUCAUCUAAGCCCCUCAACCACCUUCACAGGGGGUGGAGCUGCAAAAAGAGAUGUCUUAUUGAUCCAAGAGGAGAAUAAAUAACAUCUAAAGCUGAAUAAGAAGAAACCUUCAAAUGUAUCAUAAAUUCAGCAUUCAUGAUAAUAUCAAAAUGAAAUUCCAAAGCUAAUUUAAGCUAGAAUAAAAAUGCUUCACCUGUAAUCGCUUCCUUGCUACAGAAAGAGAGGUACCAGCAACCAACAAUGAUCUUACUUCAGUACUAAGCAUUUCCUCCUGUUUUUUAGCAUCCUCUGUUGCAACUUUGCAACGAGUUGACAUUUUGCCAUAACUACUUUCCUUGCCUCUAGUCUCUCACGCAUUUCCUCAAGCUCGUUCAGUUUAUUCAAAGACUCAUUUUUUACCUGCACAGCAUGUUCCCGCCCAUUAAUCAGUGGGCCAAUUGAUUAGGUCACAGAAGACAAAACUAAAUUACCACUCACCAGGUCCCCUUGAAGUGUCAUAUGGCUUUAACAAUUCAACGUGCAAUAUCUAGUAAAAGUAAAAUAAACAUAGAAGAAAGCAAAUGCAAUUCUUAAACGCCUUUAAAUGGACAACAUGAAACAGUUUAAGAGCCCUAUAAAACAGUAAAGUGGAAAAAAAAUCUGAAAAGGAAAAAGAAAUGAAUUGAAACAAUAAAUCCAUCAGGUACAAACAGCAACAAAACUUGAAAUAAGCUUUGGCUUUAGCCCAUUAAAGCCCGGGCAUCCAGCCAAAUAAACAGUGACUGCCAUGUCAACUUUUUGAGACGGUAGAAAAGAGAUCGAAAAUCUCAAUUUCCAAAAAUAAGGACAUAAGAAGUAAAAAAAUGCACUUAUUCUUACAGUAGAAGAGCAAAAUGAAACUAAAUGAAGCAUAAGGGAACUGAUGCGAAUUGACAUUGUCAUUUUUGGGACUAAAAAGAAUACGCAGAUUGAAUAUUUAAGAUUUGGAAGGGAAAAGUUCCAUUCACCAACACAAUUAUCGUCGCCCUUCAUCCUAGUAAAGCUUAAUUGACAAUUUUUCUGUCUCGUGUUCUUGCUAAAGCAUUUGAGCAACCCAACAGAAAUCAUUAUAUUUCAAACUGAAAUGAUUGGCUUUAUCAAUUUCACAACCUAUACCGCCCAACCUAGUAAGUAAUUUAGGUGCAGACACCAGAAAUCUAUUUCCUUUGCACUCUACAACUAAAUAGCCUACCACUUAUCAAUCAAACACAGCUGAAAACUUCAGUGAGGAAACAUUAUGAAAACUGAAAAAACUAUAACUUCAACUUGAUUCAUAGCUCGGCAAGUUCAGGGAAUUGGGACUUCUACCACCAUGAUCCAGUUCGAUGUGAAACAGUGAUCUAUAUCACGCAUAUCGGUUCCCGCAACAAGAGGUAAAACAGCAAAUUAGGUAAACGAUGAUCCUACUAUAUUUCAGAAUAGCAACAUUGAGCAUGAAAGCUAAAGUUAUAGCAUAUUAUGGGUCCUUGCUCUCUACAACUACAUAUAAAAUUACUAAACAAUAUUACUACAUUAAGGAUCCAGAAAAACUUUGUUUCAAUUGUUGAUCACUUGAUCCAACUAUUUUAGAAAGUUUAUUCUUCUUUUUCCUUUCCCUUAUUUUCUAAAUCAGGAAAAACAGUAGCACAUAAACUGGAUUACUACUCCAAGUUUCUAAAAUUUCAGCAAUAUCCCUUUAACCUUUUCACUCAAGUCACUACCCCCCCAAUUAACAAAUAUAUUCCCAGUUUCCCUUUCACUUCAAACCCCCUUUUUUUUUUCUCUACCCAAAUUCAGCUUAAGUUCAAAAACCCAAAAUUGGUUUGCUAAAAAUACAUAAUUUUCAAACACAAAGGUAACCUAAUUUUAAUCAGAAAAAAAAAGCAUUACCUGAAUUAGUGAAUGGAGUUUCUCUUGAAGACUUUGUUUUAAAACUAUCUUAUACUAUUUGCUUUAAAUCGAUUUUUAUUAGCUAUUUAAAACUCGUUUUCAUGUAUUAUUUAUUUUUUUAUCACUUAUUUAAAUUGUUUUACAUAUCUAUUUUUUAAACCCUAUUUUAUUAUAUUUUACUUAUUUUAACUUUUUUACAUAUUUCAUUAUAAAUAUUAUUAAUUAUCUAUAUUGAGUUUUUCAUUCCAUAUGUAUUACUUAUUUAGAUAAAUAUAUACUAUUUUGUGUAUUACUUAUUUUGAUUUUCUUCUUAUACAAUAUUACUUUAAAAUUCAUUUAGAUAUUAUUAUUUCACGUAGUAUUUAUUUUUAUCUUCAUUUUUUAUUUAUUUCAAACUCAUAUAUUGUUUAUUUUGAAAUUUUAUGCAUAUGAUUUAUUGUUUAUAUUGAUGAUUUUAAAUUUCCUUUCUUGCAUGUUUUUUUUAUUUAUUUUAAAACUUGUUAUACUUUAUUUGUGUUAAUUUGCUUAGUUUUUCUUUCAAAAUUAACUUAUAAUUCAUUAGCUUUUAAUGUUAGUAUUUGCACAAUAUGUGAUGUAAGAUUAUUGCUUUCCUGUAUUGCUUAUCUGUAUAUAUUGAUUAUUUGUCAUUCAUUAGUAUACAUUUUGGUUUACGAAUUGACUAAUUUACCAAAAAAAGCCAUUUUUUUAUAAAUUACCGAAAUAGGCCGGUUUUUUAAUUAUUUACCGGAAUGGGCCAUUUCCCCCGAAAUCGCGCCACGUCGAAGCGAUGUCAGGGGACGGGGCAGAAGGUCGCGUCCACGUCAGAGCGACCUACUGACGUGGAAGGAAAUCGCUCCCCUGAGGGCGCGAUUUCCUUCCACGUCAGCAGGUCGCGCUGACGUGGACGCGACCUCCUGUCACUUUGCGCGGUACCGGGAAUGCGAUUUUGACCCUGAUUUUUACGCCUAGGUUUUAUGGCUUUUAGGGUUUAGGGUGCAGGCUUUUUAGGAGUUAGGGGUCCGGGAAAAUUAUUUUUCGAGUUGACGUUUCUGGUUAAAUAGUGGGAAAUCGCUUAUACUAGGAUGCUAUUUAAGAAGAAAUUGUGAAAUAGUGGCCUCGUGGACGCGAUUUCGCUACAGUGGUCAUGUGAGAAAUAAUUUUUUUAGACGUUUUCUGAGGAAAUAGUAUAAAAUCGCUGAUACCAGGAUGCUAUAUGAGAAGAAAUUGUGAAAUCGCGCCCUCGUGGACGCGAUUUCGCUACAGUUGGUCAUGUAGGAAAUAAUUUUUUUUGACGUUUCUGAGUAAAUAGUGUCAAAUCGCGCCCUCGUGGACGCGAUUUCGCUACAGUAGCAAGUUUGGGCUGAGGUUAUAAAUUAGGCAGAGAAUUUUCUUAGAAUGCAUAACUCAGAGCAGAAACAUUUUAGGUUAGGGUUAGGGAAUUUAGAGUUUCAAAAUGAGUGAAUGUAUUAGUGCUGUUAUUUACUACGAUGGUGAGGUUUGCCACACCGAGAAUGGUGUUGUUUUUUUGUCGAAGAAUACGAUGCGACUGUCAUUUAGCCAAAACAUAGAUUUGACAGAACUCCGUAAAAGAAUUAGGCGUAAAAUCUUCGGAACCACGCCAAUGAAAGUUCAGUCAAUGACGUAUCGAUUUUGUUCUUCUGUUGAUUCGGUGACAUAUGACUCGUUCGACAUAAAAGGUGCUCGUAGCUUAGAGGCAAUGGUGCAGACUCAUCUUGCUAGCGGAGCAACUUAUAUUGAGUUAUAUGUACAAUUUACGUCACCAAAUGAUGUACUUUCGUCCGGUGUUCGAGAUGUAUACACGACCCCUGGCCGACACUCGGUUAGUGUGUUACAAAAUACGGAACAGCCCAUGUUCGGUAGCGGUGUCGAAUGCACAUCCCCCCAAGACACUCUGUCGGUGGAUGGGACAUGUACGUCGGUGGCUCGACGGUUGACGCUGGAAAUACGAGCUGGUACGUUCAUUCUCUUAUUUUAUUUUAUUUCAUAUUUUGGGAAAUUUAGAACGAUAAGCGAAAAUGAAUAUAUUCAGAUUAGCAGGGGACAUGACCCAUUUGUUUAGUGUUCUUGUUUUGCUUCUUAAGAUCCACACAAUCAAGUCUUGUGCUGGUACGUUCAUUUUCCAAAUAUUUACUUUACUUUUUGUUUCUGGGCUUAUUUCAUUUUAUGUUGUACUUUUUUCCCAGUAAUUUACUGCUUAAUAUAAAAGAAUCGAAUAUUUAGGUUAAAUUGUGGGUGGGUUUUUGCUAGUUUAUUGAAUACUCAAAUUGGAGCCAUGUAAAAUGUGGAAACUUUAGCUUGAUAGAAAAUGUGACCCCCUUUUUUUUUAAUGUAUGGAAUAAAAAUUUUUGUAUUUUGUGAAUUUUUUUUUAGUAAUUUGAAUUUGUAUGUAUGUUCAUUGGAAGUUUAGAAGCAAGGAGUUCUGAUCAUUAGGACUUUAUGUGAUUCAUUCAUUUUGAGUUAUAGUGUAGUUAGUUGUUGGAUUUAGUGUCACUGUUGGCAUCUUAUUUUAGCUGAUUUCCUUUCUAUUUGUACCGAUAAACCUCUAGAGGUUUUGAAAUUAGCAACUGAUUUUUUUUAUGUGUGAGAGUUUUUAUGGAAAUCAAUAAGCUAAUUACAUUUUGCAGGAUCAUACAGUCGGGUUAGUGGUUUUUAUGUCAUGCUGGCCUAUGGUUUUGAGAUGAACAUCAUGAAAUCUGUAUAAGAUGAGGGUAUUAAACUAUAAACAUAGCCGAGGUAGCGAUUUAUUUCGUAUCAUGCUAUUGGAAGUUUUUUUGGGGCGGCAAUGUCAACUAAAUUUAUAUUCUUUUGAUCAAGUCGAUUAUUUCCAGUUGCACAACUAGCUUGUUGGAAAUAUUUUCUUUCUUUGCUCCUGUCCUUUUCACUUUCAUAUUUUAUGGGUGGUGUGAUGAUGGGAAGAUUCAUGGGUGGCUAAAGCCAUCUUACUCACUAGAAGUGAGGCUGUUAUUUUUAGAAGUUAGAGAUGCUAUAUCAAUUGAGGAUGCCGUGAGCAAAAGCUUGCUAAUAAUAAGUGACUGUUCAUAUGCGUGGGUUCUAUCACAUGUUGAUGGAGUAUUUGGUGCUCUUUCUUCACUAAUUUCAUAUGUAUAGAUAUAAUUGUAUAACAUCUCGACGUUGAUUACUGUUACGAGGGGAAAAAAACACAGCAUGUAAUGAAACUCAAAAAGUAGGAAUCCUAGAUCCUUGUAUUCAUUCAUAGGCAUUUUACAACAUUUGAUUUAACUUGAGCAAGAUUCCGUUUUGGGCCUGGUCUUUUCCUGUUCGUUCCCUUGUUUAUAUAUGAUGAAGUUGGUUCAGCAUGCAGGAAACUCGACAGCAUGCAGGCCAUGAAGACCAAGUCGUGCAGGAGCUGCUGGAACGAGCUGAACUUUUCCUAUUUUGUUCAUCUAGUAAUCUUAAGUUAAUGUAAUGUACUUUAGUUCAUUUAGAACUAUGUUAGGUUUAUGAUUGAUGUAAUUUUGAUGACAAUUGAGCUGUUAAGUCAGCUUUGUUUAAGUGUGUAAGCUUAGUUUUUCAAGUUUCAAUGUAUUAGUGGUAGUAGGUGAUGAUUAGGUAUCAUUAUGCAGAUUUUGACAAGCAAAUUGCUUGGUUUAUGUAUUGGCAUUAUGCCAUUGUUCAACAUAUGAAUGAAAUCAACUUUGUUCAUCAAUAUUCUCUCAAAUUUCCUCAGCUUAUUUUCUUUUUUCUUCAACUCGAAAUUGUUUGUUUGCUCAGCAAGAUUCGAGGCUUGCUCGACAAGAAACUUGCUGAGUCUGUUUGAUUCUGCUGUUGCACCAACAAUUGGUAUCAGAGCUUAUUUCUUAAGGGACCUGUUAUACAAAUCCAUGGCUUCAUCAAGUUUUUCACCAGCUGCACCUCAAGUCUUCAAUGGAGAAGGCUAUCACAUAUGGGUGGUCAAAAUGAAGACCUACCUGCAGGCAUUUGAUCUGUGGGAGGUGGUCAACUCUGAUGUUGAACCAGAGCCACUUAGAGCUAAUCCAACAGUGGCUCAGAUCAGGCAGCAUGCUGAUGAAAGGACCAAGAGGCACAAUGCUAUGUCUUGCAUCCAAAACUCAGUGUCUGAUGUGAUUUUCACAAGGAUUAUGGCCUGUGAAUCACCAAAACAGGCCUGGGACAAGUUGCAGGAAGAGUUUCAAGGGACUGAGAGGACAAGGCAACAACAGUUGUUAAACUUGAGGAGAGAUUUCGAGAAUUUGAAGAUGAAGGAAGAAGAAACUGUCAAGCAAUAUUCUGACAGGAUUAUGGCUGUGGUUAACAGCAUCAGGCUCCUUGGAGAGCAGUUCAAUGAAGCUAGGAUAGUGGAGAAGGUUAUAGCAACUCUGCCUGAGAGGUAUGAGGCAAAAAUCUCAUCUCUCGAGGACUCAAGGGACCUGUCCACCAUCUCCCUGACAGAGUUGAUCAAUGCUCUAUAUGCUCAAGAGCAGAGGAGAGCAAGCAGACUGGAGGAGCACCAAGAAGGUGCCUUUCAGGCAAGAACAAAUACUUCCUACAAAGGCAAGAAGGCUUGGAGAGACAAGCCAAAGGAUGAUGCUGCAAGGAGAGAAGGUCAAACUUGCAAGCACUGCAGAAAGGCUGGUCAUUCAGAAGAAAAAUGCUGGUUUAAUCCAGAUGCUGUGUGUCAGCAUUGUAAGAAAAAGGGCCAUGUUGAGAGAGUUUGUAAGAGCAAUGCCAAAACAAGGCGCAAUCAGGCUCAACAGAUGAAAGCUGAGGCUCGAGUAGCUAAGGAGGACAGUGACCAAGAGGAGCAAGUCUUUACUGUGUCAUGCUCAGCUGCUCAGGAAAGGUCCUCAUCUGGUUGGCUCCUAGACAGUGGAUGCACCAACCACAUGACACCUGAUGCUGCAAUCUUCAAGUCUUUAGACAGAAGCUGCAGAACUAAAGUCAAGAUAGGAAAUGGUCAUUUUAUUCAAGCUGAAGGCAAGGGUGAUGUUCUGAUAUGCACUCUUACAGGUACCAAAGUGAUUUCAAAUGUGCUGUUGGUGCCUGAAAUUGACAGAAACCUGCUCAGCAUAGCUCAGUUGCUGGAAAAAGGUUACUUAGUUGUGUUUAAAGACCACCAAUGCCAAAUCAGUGAUCCAAGUGGAUCCAAACUGAUGGCAGUCCCUAUGGCUGAUAAGAGCUUUGUGGUUGACUGGACAAAAAAGUCAGACAUUGCCUACACAGCCACUUCAGAUGAAUCCAAGCUGUGGCAUCAAAGACUGGGACAUGCCAACUUCAGAUCGAUGGCCCGAAUGAUCAGAGAAGACCUGGCUGAAAACUUCAUCAACUCAGUAGACCAUGAUGAUGUAUGUGAAGUAUGUCAGCUAGGAAAGCAGGCCAGACUCCCAUUUCCCUCGAAUCAAGCCUAGAGAGCCUCUGAAAAACUCCAACUGGUGCAUACUGAUGUGUGUGGACCUAUGAAGACUGAGUCAUUAAGUGGAAACAGGUAUUUCAUACUGUUCAUUGAUGAUUUCUCGAGAUAUUGCUGGAUUUACUUCUUAAAACAGAAAUCAGAGGUGGCCACUGUGUUUUGGAAGUUCAAAACUGCUGCUGAGACUGAAACAGGCUGCAAGGUGAAGACCAUAAGGUCUGAUAAUGGGACUGAGUACACCUCAGCUCAGUUCCAAGCCUUCUGUGAUAAGGCAGGCAUCAAACAUCAACUUGCCAACACAUAUACACCUCAGCAGAAUGGGGUAAGUGAAAGGAAGAAUAGGAGUUUGAUGGAUAUGGCCAGGUGCUUGAUGAUUCAGAAGAAUCUGCCUAAAGCACUAUGGGCAGAAGCAGUUAACACUGCAACAUACAUUCAAAAUAGACUUCCAACCAGGGCUUUGGAUCAAAAGACCCCAUUCGAGGCCUGGUUUAGCUUCAAGCCAUCACUGGCUCAUCUGAAGGUCUUUGGAUGCAUCUGUUAUGCACAUGUACCUGCUGUUAAAAGGGACAAAUUGUCUGAAAGGGCUCGACCUGGUGUUUUGGUGGGCUAUAGCACUGUUAAGAAGGGCUAUAGGAUUUUAGAUCCUUCAACAAACAAAGUGUCAGUAAGCAGGGAUGUGGUAUUUGAUGAGAGGUCAUGUUGGAACUAGGAAAGACAUGAACCUGAAGAAGUUUUUGAAGAACUUGCAGCAGACCAAGCUGAGCCAGACCAAGAUGUCCCUGAAAUGGAUAUUGAUGAUGAACCAGUCAGAGGAACAAGGCCAUUGGCUGAAAUUUAUGAAAGGGCUCAUGUAGCCAUAGUUGAACCAAGCAACUUUGAAGAGGCUGAGGCUCAGCAAGGGUGGAAGCAGGCAAUGGCUGAGGAGAUCAGCAUGAUUGAGAAGAACCACACCUGGAAAUUGGUUGAAAGGCCAGUCAAAAGGAAAGUGAUUGGGGUGAAAUGGGUGUACAAAGCCAAGCAGAAUGCUGAUGGUACCUUGAACAAGCUGAAAGCAAGGCUAGUUGUCAAGGGGUUCAGUCAGAGGUAUGGCUUGGACUACCUGGAGACCUUUGCACCAGUGGCCAGGCUCGACACCAUCAGACUGCUGAUUGCCUUAGCAGCACAGCUUGAAUGGAAGAUCCAUCAACUUGAUGUGAAAUCAGCUUUUCUGAAUGGUUUCUUAGAUGAAGACAUCUAUGUUGAACAACCACAAAGGUUUGAAAUAGCUGGCAGAGAGCAUAUGGUCUACAAACUGAAAAAGGCCCUAUAUGGAUUAAAGCAGGCUCCAAGGGCCUGGUAUAGCAGAAUUGAUGGCUACUUGACUGAUCUAGGAUUCGAUCGAAGCAAGAGUGAGCCAACACUGUAUGUCAAGAAACAAGGGACACAAAUACAACUCAUUGUGUCCCUGUAUGUUGAUGAUCUUCUGGUGACAGGAGGAGAUCGAGUAGUGCUGGCUGAUUUUAAGACCAAGAUGCAGGAAGUGUUUGAAAUGUCUGAUCUUGGGGAGAUGUCAUACUUUCUUGGAAUGGAGGUGUCUCAAGUAUAGAAUGAGAUAUUUCUAAGCCAGAGAAGCUUUGCCACAAAGAUUCUGACCAAGUUCUCCAUGCAAAACAGCAAGGCAACUAAAACACCUAUUGCUGUUGGAGAAAAACUAUCGAGCCAAGGUGAUUUUAAGAAAGUUUGUGAAACAACCUACAGGAGUCUAGUUGGUUGCUUGCUAUACUUGACUGCCACUAGACCAGACAUUAUGUAUGCUGUAGGAUUGCUCUCAAGGUUCUUGCAUUGCUGCAAUGAGAAGCAUUUCCAAGCUGCAAAGAGAGUGCUGAGAUAUGUCAAAGGCACUUUAAACUAUGGUUUGAAGUACAGUAAAGAAGGAAAUCUGAAGCUGAUUGGCUACACUGAUAGUGACUGGGCUGGCUCGAUAGAUGACAUGAAAAGCACCUCAGGGUAUGCUUUUAACCUUGGUUCAGCCAUGUUUUGUUGGAGCUCAAAGAAGCAAAGUCUAGUAGCUCAAUCUACUGCUGAAGCAGAGUAUGUGGCAACAGCAAGUGCUAUCAACCAAGCCAUAUGGCUAAGAAAAAUAUUGGCUGACUUGAAUGUGCAUCAAGAGCAAGCUACUGAGAUCUUCUGUGACAACCAAUCUGCAGUAGCAAUUGCUAAAAAUCCAGUGUUCCAUGGAAGAACAAAACAUUUCAGCAUAAAGUUGCAUGUUGUUCGAGAAAUGGAGCAAGCUCAGGAAGUAAAGCUGGUCCACUGUAAUUCAGAAGAUCAACUUGCUGACAUUUUAACCAAAGCUCUUAGUGUCACAAGGUUUGAAUAUCUAAGAAAGAAGCUAGGUGUUUGCUCCAUGCAAACCAAGGAGGAGUGAUGAAGUUGGUUCAGCAUGCAGCAAACUCGACAGCAUGCAGGCCAUGAAGACCAAGUCGUGCAGGAGCUGCUGGAACGAGCUGAACUUUUCCUAUUUUGUUCAUCUAGUAAUCUUAAGUUAAUGUAAUGUACUUUAGUUCAUUUAGAACUAUGUUAGGUUUAUGAUUGAUGUAAUUUUGAUGACAAUUGAGCUGUUAAGUCAGCUUUGUUUAAGUGUGUAAGCUUAGUUUUUCAAGUUUCAAUGUAUUAGUGGUAGUAGGUGAUGAUUAGGUAUCAUUAUGCAGAUUUUGACAAGCAAAUUGCUUGGUUUAUGUAUUGGCAUUAUGCCAUUGUUCAACAUAUGAAUGAAAUCAACUUUGUUCAUCAAUAUUCUCUCAAAUUUCCUCAGCUUAUUUUCUUUUUUCUUCAACUCGAAAUUGUUUGUUUGCUCAGCAAGAUUCGAGGCUUGCUCGACAAGAAACUUGCUGAGUCUGUUUGAUUCUGCUGUUGCACCAACAAUAUACCUCCACUGUGCCAUUGUGUAUUUGUGUUCGAUUUUCAGUUCUGUCUCACAAUCCCUGUCAUGUCUUAUGAGUGAUUUUCUGGCUCUAAAUAUCUAUGAUAUAUUUGUGCAGGCAUUUCACUGAAGACUCAGGAACUCUAUGCUAUUGUCUUUGCUACUCGUUACUUGGACAUAUUCACUAAUCAUAUCUCGCCUUAUAACACAAUCAUGAAGCUAAUAUUCCUGGGCAGCUCUUUCUCAAUUGUAUGGUACAUGCGGUAUCACAAAAUAGUUCGUAGAUCUUAUGAUAAGGACCAGGAUACAUUUCGACAUUACAUCCUUAUACUCCCUUGCCUGAUUCUUGCCCUUCUUAUAAACGAGAAGUUCACCUUCAAAGAGGUAUCGACAUCCUUUUGUUUGUUGGAAUAUGAUAACAGUAUGUUCAUAUUAAUUACUGGUUAACUUAGAAGCUCCCUAAACUGUUUAUCUGUUUUAUAUUAAUUAUUCAUUAUUAUCCUUCUGGUUAUAUUUUUAUAUAUUGAUUAUUGUCUUAAAAAAAAUUGUUGAGCAGGUCAUGUGGACAUUUUCCUUGUAUUUGGAAGCUGUUGCGAUACUUCCUCAGCUUGUAUUGUUGCAAAGGACUAGAAAUAUUGACAACUUGACUGGACAAUAUGUGUUUCUCCUUGGGUAACCACUGUAUUCUUUAAAAAUCCUAAUCAGUUGCAAGUUUUCUAUUUUAUUACCUUGCAAUUUGCAUGAAGGACCCUUAUUUCCUGGCUCAGUUCCCUAAAAUGUUGCCUCCUUCCUGAGGAAACAAAAGAGAGAAAGUCUCUAAAUAGAGUUGCCAUCAUAUUGCCGCUUGGUUGCCACUGAUUUCUUUUUGAUGAAAAGUUGAUAUGAUUAUAUGUUGGACCAAAGUUAUCUAUUUUCAGAUGUGAUUAACUGCAGUUGAAUUUUGCGAGUAUGACUGUUCUUGUGUAACUUUUGUUAUGUGCUUUCAUGUCGUUUUUAGUCUUUUACACUGUGUUCUGUCUAUCUUUGUUUGCUAUUAUCCUAAGUUAGGAGACAAGGUGCCAUUAGGAGCAAUGUGACGUCAAAAUUCAUUUCCCUUUAGCCUUCAGUUCUACCUUUUCUUCCCUUUCUUUAUGUAGUUUUUGGGAGUUGGGGAUCACAGCGAUGAUAGUCGGUACAUGUGACUUGAAAGAUGCCUAAAAACUUCAAGAGCAUAGUGUUGUAUAAAUCUUUUGGAGAAAUUUUUUUGGUACAUUGAUGCCAACUUACAAUAACCCUUGCCACUACAACCGUGGCUUUGUUGGCUUAUGUAUGCACUCUCUUUGUCUUUAUAGGUCACCAAAUUCCUAAUGUCUAAUUCUUGGUUAUGGACUAAUAUAGUUGCUUGUUAUUGCAGUGCAUACAGAGCAUUGUACAUAGUGAACUGGAUUUAUCGGUACUUUACUGAAGACCACUUUGUCCACUGGAUAAGUAUGUACUCUUCUCUGUCUCCCUUCAUCUUUUACUCCAAGUCGGUAGCCAUGGGUGUAUGACGAGUGUGUCAAUAUAUCUACCCCAACACAUUUGUGAUAUACUAUGCUAUAUGUGUUAUUUCUAACACCUUGUUUACAUGAUUGCUGCCUUUCAGCUUGGAUUUGCGGUCUUGUCCAGACAUUGCUUUAUGCUGAUUUCUUCUACUAUUACUUCCAGAGGUAACCCCCUUUCUGACACUCUGGAAAGCACUUCAUACCUAUGUGAAUGAUUGCAACUUAUUUGAUUAUUAUGCCUGCAGCUUGAAGAACAACAUGAAGCUCCAAUUACCAGCUUGAGAUUUUAAUGGUGCAAGUUUUGUAGUAGCAUACAUAAACUUACAUCAUAUGGGUUCAAAUUUAUGAGUAUUUCAAUUAAUUUUAAUUUCACUAUGUUAUAUUGUAAUAUCAUGUAAAAAGUAUCAUAAAAGCAGGCAUAAGUUUUCCACCAAUUAGAACAUUUUGAAAAUUGAUGUCAAGCCCGAAAUGACCGUCACAAGUAAGCAUAUUAAACGUGUGAAGAGAAGACCUUAUUUUUCCACAUAACUAAAACUUUUUACACCAUAGGAACUUUCAUCGUCAUCAAGUUGGACAUGGAUGGAGCUCACGUAAAAAUAAUUUUUCAUAUAAAAACUAAAAACUAGAAAUUGACUUGUAAUAAUUCUCAAGGUUAAGGUUGACGUGGUCAAUAGUAAUGAACUUAUGUUUAAGGUUUGGGUUAUUUUUCUCAAUUAUAGAUUAGUAUUUUGUUCAUUGUAAACUUUGCUAACAAAAUUUAAUAUAUGACACAUAUCUGAUUUAAUUUAUUUUUAUUUUAUAAAACUUUCAUUAUUUGUUUUACUCAUUAAUGAAAUUUGGUGUGAAUACAUUAAAUAUUACCUUUUAUAUAUUUCACUCCCUCUUACUAUAUCUCAAUGGAGAAAUUGAAGGUCAUUCAAGGAAAUGGUAAUGUCCAUUUUCCACAAAACUAAAAUUUUCCACACGACAGAAACUUUCUUGGUCAAACAAGUUGGAUUUGGCUUCACCAAUAACUUAAUAAUCUGUACUAAAAUUUUCCACGCAAUAGAAUACGAACUCGUUCUCGUAAAUAUUUUAAAAAAUAAAAAAUUUAAUAUUAUGAGUUAACGAAUUAUCAAUUUAAUUAAAAAAAGUUGAAAGAUACAUUUUUUAAAAUUUUAUGAAAUUAUAUAUUAAUAUAAUUAUAAAAUUAUAGUUUUAACUUUAUAAAAUUUAUUAUUUAUCUUUGAUCUUGAAGAGAGACAAAGUAAAAUACCUAUUCUUGGAGCCAUAACGACAACUAGGAUUAUGAUUGCACAUUUUCUAAGUCUUCAUUUUUGUUAAUUAGGAAAGCUGAUGGGCAUCUCCACUAAGUUUCCACCCACAAGAAUAUACGUAUUAAUUUGUUUUUCUCAAUUUCCAUGAGGGGGGAUAUAAGCUUAAAGUUGACGUAGAAGUCAAUACUCAACAUUUGAAAGUUAAUGCAGUGAACUAUGUGCUUGUUGAUAUAUGAAAUGAUAUUUUCUUAACAAUUUCCUCCAACUAGUUCGUAGAUGGUGCUAUAUUACAUCACAAUGGGUAACCAAAUGUAUAUAAUUGAGAUUUUUAAGCAAAUAUUAUAUUUUAUCUUUAUCCAUGAAUAGUCUAAUAAUAAGGAUUAAUAUUUGGUACAUUGUCAGUGGAGUUUUUAAAUUCCAUAAGUAGGGUUAGAGGAUUGACACAUGCCAAUUUUUUAAUGUUGCUUGUGGGAUGCACUUGAAUUGUGGUUCAUAGAAGGAAAUUAUUAUAUAAAGGUUUAAUUCUACCAUAGUUCUUGUACUUUACUGAAGUUGUAGAUUUAAUUCCCAGACUUUAAUUUGAUAUUUUAGAUAUUUGUUAAAUUCAUAAAGUCCUACUAUUUCCAAAUUUGGUGUGGCAAACAUAUUAUCAUAGGUGUAAUAUCACUAAAAUUCAAAAGAAUGAGAAAUUUGUACAUAUUAUCAGAUGUCAAUAUCAAGUUGAGCAUUUCAAAAUCUAAAGUAAUAGUUCAAGUAUUUAUUUUUCCAUAAAACCAAAAUUUUCUACAUGAUGGCUUUUUUUUUGGCUAUUAGUUAAGAGGAAUUUUUUUAAUAACCCAAUUUAAUUAACUAAUUUAAAAAAUGGUUCAAGUAAAACUCAAGUCAUAUUAAAAAUAAUUAUUUAUAAAUUUUAUGUUUCAAAAACUAAUGAAUGUUCAAAGAAUAGUGAAUUAUUAAAGAGAAGUUAUAUGAUAAUGGAUUGUUUUAAAGUAGUGGUCUAGUAGAAAUAAAUAGUUUUUUAUAAAAAAAUAUUAUAUAAAUAAUUAAAUUUUAUAGUUACUCCUAUUUUUUUUAAAAAUAGUGAAUGUAAUAUUUUUUAAAAUGUUAAAUUAACUCAUGAUAUUAAUUAAAUCAAGAAAUUUUAUAAUAAUAGAGAUGAAAAAAACUAAAUUUUCAAAAUCAAAACCUAAAACGUGCAAGAAUAAAAGCAAUCUGAAGACUUAAAAUUUCCAUUAAUAAAACCAAAAUCAAAGAAGUAAAAUUUCCAUGAAUAAAACCAAAAAUGAAGACCUAAAUUUUCCAUUAAUAAAGCCAAAUCAAGACUAAGUUUGUAUAAGUGUAAGAAGGGUAUAAAGGAAACUCACAAGAAAGCCACAUGAAGAAUUUUAUAACUCCAACUACACGAUUUUAUGUCCACCUCUCACUUUUCAUAUUUUUUUUUGGCCAUUCAUUUUUCAAGAUUAACAUUAGCAUUCUUGUGGUCCGUUCAUCCUUUCCUAACCAAUUUCCACCAAGAGUUUUUGCAAUAAGGAAUUUACCUAAAUAAGAAACCUAGAUUGAUCCAAUUUUUGAGGAAUUAAUUAAUUAUAUAUUAUUUUUAUAUUAUAAUGAAUUAGUGGGAUGCAGUAUGUUCUGCUUGUAUAUAAAUAAGAAGCUUAGGCUUCUUUAGAUUAUAUACAUAUAGAAGUUAACAAAAAGUAACAUAUAGCUGAGAGAGAAGUGAAAAUAGAGAGAUGAUGAUGAUGGAGUGGAAAUGGUUAAGGUUUAUUAGGAUGGCAGUAAUGUUGUUGGUGUUAGAAGGAUGCAGAUGGUGUACUACUGAUGCUUGUUUGGAGCAUGAGAGAAUCGCUCUCUUGCAUCUCAAGCCUUUCUUCAAUUAUCAAAAUCAAUUGCAAAGUUGGGUUGAGGUGAAGGGUUCAGAUUGUUGUAAAUGGGAAAGAGUUGAGUGUAACACCACCACUAGGAGACUCAUACAACUCUCCCUUAAUUCUACAAGAUGGUUUGACAGUAUGGGAUACAAAACGGAUAAUAGGAAUCUCAAUGCCUGGUAUCUCAAUACCUCUAUGUUUCUUCCCUUUGAGGAAUUGAAGAGUCUUUAUUUGCGGGGGAAUGCCAUAAGUGGUAACCUUGAAAAUGAAGGUCGUGCCUCUAGUUUUUCCUUAAUUACAUCUUUUAUUAUCCCACUACUCUUACCAUCGUUAUUUUGCAAUUACUUAUAUUUUAUUUUAUUUUAUGGAAGAAAAGUCACUAACUUGUAUAUAUUUAAAAGAAUAUUUCUAUAGGCUUUGGAAAACUAUCAUCCACAUUGAGUAAUUUGGAGAUCCUUGACUUAAGUGAAAACUACUUGAAUGACAGCAUUUUGUUAUCUUUGAGUGAGCUUUCAUCUCUCUGGUAUUUAGAUCUAUCAGGCAACAAAUUUGAAGGAUCAAGCCAUCUAAGAGGUAAAUUAAGUUUGGUCUGGUAUUAGUUUUUAUUUGUAAAGUGGAGUUUGAGGAUGGUCUUCUAGUAAUUCCACUUUUGCUUUAGUAAAAUUUUCAUACAGCUAAGAAAGAAAAAACAAUUAACAAGUAAUUUUUAACUUUAAAAAUCAAUGUAUGUUCAUAUUCAAGGUAGACUGGUUUUAUAUGUUUCUUUUUUACUUUAAAACCAUUUUUUUUGUUUAAGGGACAGUUAAUGUUGCAAUAUGUCUUUGCUUUUAUCAUAUCAUGAAUAUAUAUAAUUGAUCAAUAUUUGGGAUUGAAUUUCAGGAUUGAAUAAUUUGACAAACUUGAAGUACUUGGAUUUAAGUUCGAACAGAAUUGAAAGCAUCUCAAACAAAGGUAUAAGUACAGUAUUUAUAUGUCAAUUCAUAUUAAAGGUAGACUGGUUUUAUAUGUUUCUUUUUUACUUUAAAACCAAUUUUUGUUUAAGGGACAGUUAAUGUUGCAAUAUGUCUUUGCUUUUAUCAUAUCAUGAAUAUAUAUAUAUAUAUAACUGAUCAAUAUUUGGGAUUGAAUUUCACGAUUGAAUAAUUUGUCAAACUUGAAAUACUUGGAUUUAAGUCGCAACAACGUUGAAAGCAUCUCAAACCAAGGUAUAAGUAUUUGUGCGUAGUAACUUUCUUGACUGACUAUUAUUCCAAAAGGCAAUGACAGACUUCAAAUGUAUUUUCUUUAGUGAAUUUUUAUUGCAAAAAUGGAGUAUUAUUAUUUAUUUAAGUUUUGUAGUAACUAAUUAUAUAAUAUAUAAAUGAGGUUUUCAAUGGCUCAUUAAAUUGGAAAUUAUUGAUAUAAGUUGGAAUUAUUUGAAGAAUAGCAUUCUUUAAAAUAAAUUCAUGUUGAAGGAAAAGUUGUUGCAAUAUGUUAUAUCAUGAAUAUAUAUAAGUAAUCAAUAUUUGGGAUUGAAUUUCAAAAUUGAGUAAUUUAAGUAGGAAGGUAUCUCAAACAAAGUAUUUAUAUAUUGAAUCAAUUCAUGGGAAAGCUUGUAAAUUGGCUCUUCCUUCUCAAACAAACAUUUUUCCUAACUAUUUAUAUAUUGAAUGAUGUUAACUAUACUAAUUACUUUCUUCCAAUGAUAGAUGGAACACAAUUGAGGCUAACAAAUUUAGAGGAACUUGAUUUGAGUGGUAAUCUCUUUCGGAACAACACAAUUUCCUUUCCUCAAGGGCUUUCAAGCCUAAAGUCUUUGACUUUGUUCAACAACCGUUUGCAAGGCUCAUUAGAUACUAAAGGUACUAAAGCUAUAACUUUGUUUUUCUUGAUAAUUCUUUCUAGAGCCUUUUAAAAUUAAUUGUUUCAAAUUUGAACAUUCACAUUUCACGUUUGAGGAUUUUUAUCUUCAAUUCAAGUUUUAGAUUUACUUUUUUUUUUCAUUUUUAUUUCAUUAAAAUAUUAAGUAGAAAUUAAAAUUAUUAACAUAAUGAUUUUUUGAAUUGGACGUGGAUAUGUAUAGGAUUGAGCAAUUUAACAAAUUUGAAGAAACUCGAUUUAAGAUGGAAUCAAAUUGAAAGCUUUCAAUCCUUUAAAGGUAUGCAUUUAUAUUUAACCAAUUACCUAAAUUCUUACAUAUAAUUAAAUUUUAUGCCAAUUCAUUUCAGUGAUGAAAUUAUAUAAAUCUUUUGUAGAUGGUGGUAGAAAAUUGGAGUUGACCCACUUGGAAGAGCUUAAUUUAGAUGGAAAUCACUUCAAUACUAGUGUAUUUGCAUCCCUUAACAAGCUUUCAAAUUUGAAAUCUUUGAGCAUAAGUGGGAACCAAUUGAAAGGAUCAAUAGAUAUGAAAGGUAAAUAUAUUAGUCUUUUUAACAAGAAUAUAAUAAUGUUUGAAGAGAAUAUAAUGAAGUUGAUUUGUUGUUUUUGUUUUCCUAGAUUUGGAAGCAUUUAUCAACUUAAGGGAACUAGAUAUGAGCGGCAAUGAAUUGAAAGAUUUGGUGAUCCACCAAGGUAUCAUUUAAUUAAACUUCCUUUUUUUUUUAAAUUUAGAAAUUUAGUUUUGAUGUCAAAUAUUAUAAUAACGGUUAUUGUCAUAAAUAUUAAUAAAGUAAUAUCAUAUCAUACUUGAAAGUAAAAUAUGGGUUUGGUGAAACAUUUUCUAAAUCAUCCAUUAUAAUGUGUUUGGACUUUGGUUUGAAACUAAAAUUCUUUAAAAUUUUCAUCAUUUUAAAAUAUUAAUGUUUAUAAUUAUUUUGUUUGUAUAAAUAUAUUUUUUAAAAUAAUUUAUUGAAUUUUUAUGAGAUAAAAAAUAAUUAUAACAAUAAAAAAUGAUAUUAUAAAUAAAUAAAAACAUAUAUUUAUGAGAAAAUAUGUAAUAUAACUAUAUUUUAAUUUCAUAUAUUUUUAAUAGUAUAAAACAUAAAAAUACAUAUUAGCGUUAAAUAAAUGGCAUUUUUUGGCAAAAAUAAAUAAAUGUCAAUUUUGAAUAAUUUAAAAAAAAUCUUUAAUUUUGUGAAAUUUAAGCAUACAUCGAGAGGUGCUUAAACUUCCAUUGCAAUCUUUUUAUAAAUUUCAAAGUGCAUAUGUUUUUAACUUUUUGGUUUAAAAAAAUAUGAUAGGUCUACGUACUCUUUACUAAUUUGUAAUUUAAUUCUUAUACUUUUAUUUUCAAGAAUUUAAUCCCUGUUUUUUUAUAAAAAAAAUCAAAAUCCUAGUUCAAUUGUUAAAAUUGUUAAAAUUUUAAAAUAGUUUGUUGGUGUGACAUUUUGAAAUAAAAAAAAAAACUUAGUAGUAAUGUAACUAAAAAAAUGACGUAAUGAACAUGGAUUUAAUAAAAUAAUUUUAACAAUAUUAAUAAAAUAAUUUUGAAUUUUGAAUUUUAACUUAACUCUAUUUUUGGGCCAAGAUUUAAUGCUUUAAAAUUUUCAUUUAAUCCGCUGAGUUUACUUAUAAUUCUUUUGAGUUUUAUUUAUUGGUGAGUAAAAUACCUAUUUGAUUUUUUUAUAUACUAUUGGCAUCUUUAAAGGUAAUAUAAUAAUUUUAGUGUAGACGUGUUUUAUUUUAUAAAUAUUAUUUAUAGUGUAGACAUGUGAAUUUUGAAUAAUUUAAAAAUAUCUUCAAUUUUAUGAAAUUUAAACAUACAUUUAGUGUAGACAUGUUUUAUUUUAUAAAUAUUAUUUAUAGUGUUGUUGAUUGGAGUUUGAAAAUUAUACAACUUAGCUAUAUCAGUUAAUUACUUAUAUUAAAAAAUAAUAUAAGAAAAUACUAAAAAGAAAAAAAAUAGUAUAAUUAAUAAAAUGGAUGAAGAGUUAUAUUAAAGUUUCAACAUCUUCUCUCUAUCAAAAUUUAUCUCAGAUAAAUCAUGAAUAAUCUAACUCAUAAAAAAUAUAUAUAUAUUUAUAUACUUCAUUUCAUUCACAGAAAAUAAAGCAUUCUACUUAGUAGAGGCUUUCUAUAAUACCGUUAUCUAAUACCUCUUGACAUUGCUUAGAUUCAAAUGUGUCGAGCAGUUUGGAGGAAAUAUAUCUUGACUAUUCUACUCUCAACACCAACAUUUUGCAAAGCAUUGGAGUAUUCGCUUCUCUUAAAACAUUGUCUUUAUAUCAUUGUGGACUUAUUGGUCCCUUACCUAAUCAAGGUAAAUAAUUUUAUGGCUCAAUUUGAUUUCUUUAUGAACUUUCUGUAAUAUAUUAUCUCCUAUUCUGUUUUAUAAAGCAAAAUUUAAUUGAAACUUCUUCCAUGAAUUUAUUUAUAAAAUUUUCAGGAUGGUGUGAUCUAAGGAACCUUGAAGUGUUGGAUGUGAGUGGGAAUGCACUUGAGGGGAUGCUUCCUCAUUGUUUUAGUAACUUGACAUCUCUUCGUGAGUUAUAUAUUUCAAGAAACCAUUUUCAAAUUCCGCUGUCAUUUGCACCAUUUGCAAACCUUUCAAACCUCAAAUCCCUUUGGAUUAAUGAAAACAAGAUGGUAAUGGAACCUUCCUUUUAUACCUCAAUCCCAAAGUUCCAAUUGGAAGUCAUCAGUUUGCUAAAGUGCAUAACAUCUCAACAACUCAGUCGUAAAGUUCCUACCUUCCUUUACUACCAAUAUGACUUGAGAUAUGUGGAUCUUUCGCAUAACAAUUUCAGCGGAACAGUCCCAACUUGGUUGUUAGAAAACAACACAAAAUUAAAAGUUCUUAUCUUGAAGGGUAAUUCUUUUACUGGUCCUCUCUCA